CACCCCACAACGCCGCCCGCGCUGCCGUCGGCGUGGGCGCAGUGAGCUGGAGCACGAAGCUGCAGGCGUACGCCCAGAGCUACGCCAACCAGAGGAUCGGCGACUGCAAGCUCCAGCACUCCGGCGGGCCCUACGGGGAGAACAUCUUCUGGGGGUCGGCCGGCGCGGACUGGAAGGCGGCGGACGCGGUGAAGCUGUGGGUGGACGAGAAGAAGGACUACGACUACGGGUCCAACACCUGUGCAGGGGGGAAGGUGUGCGGGCACUACACGCAGGUGGUGUGGCGCGCGUCGACCAGCAUCGGCUGCGCUCGCGUCGUCUGCAACAACAACGGCGGCGUCUUCAUCACCUGCAACUACGAGCCCGCCGGGAAUGUUGUUGGACAGAAACCAUACUAAACUGUGAUUGCUUUUCGCAGUACAUAUACAUAGUCCAGUAGUCCCUCGUUCCUCACGUGCAUGGGAUUCAUGCACGCUCGUAUCUAUAAUUAGCUAGAGGGGCUGGGCGAGUAAAUAAAAGGAAUGCUGUAAUAAGCUAUGUAUUCUCCUCUCCAUCAUGGACAGUAAUAAAUAAUGAGCUUUUUUACUGUACCCUGAAAUUCAUCUGAACCUUUCAUUACAGUUAAUCUAAUCUUAAAGAUGAUUGUGAUGAUAUAUUGAAUGGUACUCCAGCACAAGUAAAUUGGAGGGAUAUACCCCCUAAAAAUCCAAGGAGAGUACCAUGUGUUUAGCUAAGCGUAUCUAAGGUUACCUUCAUAUUCAUUUACAAAAAAGGUUACCUUCAUAUUAAAAAUGAAUUAUUUCUAAUGUGCUUUGGUUAUUUUGUAGCCCAGAAUAUUUUGAUACUCUGUCCCAACAAGGAAAAUCUAGUCCCACUUUUUUUUAGGAAAAUCUCAAAAAACCUAUCUCUCAUCAAUCCGGGACUCUGCUUAGAACUCGAUCGAUCAUGAUAUUGUCGUUUGGUGAUGGGCUAUUGAUUAGAGAUAAGGGAACAUACCGCAAUAUCAAAUAUAAAAGGACCAACUGCCCUCUUAGAUGAUGUUAGGCACCGGAUCUGGAUCUAGUAUUUCUCUUCAUAGUUUCAUCUCAAGUACAUAAUGGUGUUACAGAGAGAAGGGAGAAGAACAGAAAAUAAAGCCGCCAUUGACGUGCCUUUGCCUGAUCCUCAUGGAUGCCCAGCGAGUCGCUGAGAGAGCUUAAGUAGCAUUCCACCAUUCCGGGCCCACGAACAUGCGGGUGGGCUGCUUGAUCCUAGGUGGACUUGCGAUGACGUGCUUGUGUCCCUGAUUGGUGGAAGGGGGUUUCUCUUCUGCCAUGUAAUCCGCUCGCCCCGAAUUGGCGAGGUUGUUGUUCGCUGGGACUGAGACUGGGUCGCUGACAUCCCCUACUCCUUGAGAGCAUGCUUGACCCCAAGCUGCUACAGUCGGAUACCUGCCCUUCAGAGCAAGAGAAUCUUCCCAAGAGGCAUCGAGCAGUUCAGAAUCAGACCAGCGCACCAAGUAUUGCUCGCGACGACUGACAGGGGUUUGCCGCCAGCAUUUGUCCAAGAGCUCCACUCGAGAUAGUUCAGCCGAACGAGGAACUGGUAGUGUAGAAGAUGUAGUCGUACCUGGUGCGAGUGCUUGGCAUAGCUGAGAAACAUGGAAGACAUGACGAAUGCGCACUCCUGUGGUAACGCGAGCUCAUAGGCCACAUGGUUUAUCUUGUGUAGUAUUUGGAACGGACUAAAGUAUCUGAACACAAGCUUGUGGUUGGCUCGACGGUGCACUGAAGAGUGCACGUAAGGUUGCAGCUUGACAAAAAUGGCAUCGCCCACUUGGAAUUCUCUGGCAGAACGUUUCUUGUCGGCUUGAAUUUUCAUAACGUGACGUGCUCGGUGCAGAUGUUGUUUGUGCACUUGUUGCAUAGUCUUGCGCUCCUCUAGCCAAUCUUUUAGUGGUGGAACCUUGCAUACAGAUGCAGCUUCAAUUCCCCAAUGCCUUGGCUCAUGUAUGUACAGAGCCUGAAACUGUGACAUGUCGAAUUCCGAAUUGUAGCUGGCAUUGUACCAAAACUCGACAAGUGACAAAAACUGGCUCUAGUGGUUGGGACAGGCAUGGAUGAAGCAACGCGAGUAAAUUUCAAAGCACUGGUUCACCCUUUCAGACUGUCCAUCCGUUUGUGGGUGAUACACAAUGUUCAUCUUCAGUUCCGACCCUAUGCAAGCAAAUAGCUCCAGCUAGAACCUGCUCGUGAACACUGGGUCCCUGUCUGAGAUGAUGGCUUGGGGCAGCCCAUGCAGCUUGUACAUAUUAUCCAGAUAAGAUCGAGCCAUUCUAGCUGCUGUGAAAGGAUGUUGGAGGGGUAGAAAAUGCGCAUAACGCGUGAACUUGUCCACCACCACGAGAAUGCAGAUGCAGCUUCAAUUCCCCAACUGCGAAACAAUUCCACAUCGUCUUAAGUGAGCACCAAACUCGUAACUCAUAUAUUCACCUCCUCGCUCAUAUUGUAGGAACUUUAUCUUCUUGUUACGAUGAUUUUCAACUUCACUCUGAAAUUGCUUGAACAAACCUUUCACACUUGUGCUUCAUCAAGUAGAUAUACCCAUACGUACUCAAAUUGUCAGUGAAAAUGAGAAAAUAAUGAUAUCCACCGCGCGUCUCUAUGCUCAUUGGUCCGCACACAUCAGUAUGUAUGAUCUCCAACAAGUCAUUUGCACGCUCCAUUAUUUCGGAGAACGGAGUCUUAGUCAUCUUGCCCAUAAGACAUGGUUCGCAUGUGUCAAGUGAUUCAAAAUCAAGUGACUCCAAAAGUCCAUCAGCAUGGAGUUUCUUCAUGCGCUUUACACCAAUAUGACCUAAGCGGCAGUGCCACAAGAAAGUGGGGCUAUCAUUAUUAACUCUACAUCUUUUGGUCUCAAUGUUAUGUACAUGAGUGUCAUCACAAUCGAGAUUCAAUAUGAACAAACCCCUCACAUUGGAUGCAUGACCAUAAAAGAUAUUACUCAUAUAAAUAGAACAACCAUUAUUCUCUGACUUAAAUGAGUAAUUGUCUCGCAAUAAACAAGAUCCAGAUAUAAUAUGCAUGCUCAACGCAGGCACUAAAUAAUAAUUAUUUAAGUUCAUCACUAAUCCCGAUGGUAACUGAAGUGAGAGCGUGCCGACGGCUAUUGCAUCAACCUUGAAACCAUUUCCCACGCGCAUCGUCACUUCAUCCUUCGCCAUCCUUCGUUUAUUCCGCACUUCCUGUUUCGAGUUGCAAAUGUGAGCAACAGAACAGGUAUCAAAUACCUAGGCACUACUACGAGAACUGGUGAGGUACACAUCAAUAACAUGUAUAUGAAAUAUACCUUGUUUGGCGUUGGCCGCCUUCUUAUAGGUCAGAUACUUGGGGCAGUUUCGCUUCGAGUGACCAGUUCCCUUGCAAUAAUAACACUCAGUUUCCGGCUUAGGUCCAGCCUUGGCUUUCUUCGUCAGAGGGAAACAGAUUUGCCACUCUUCUUGGAGUUACCCUUCUUUCCUUUGCCCUUUUUCUUGAAACUGGUGGUCUUAUUGACCAUCAACACUUGAUGCUCUUUCUGGAUUUCUGACUGUGCGACUUUCAGCAUCGCAAACAGCUCGGCGAGUGACUUAUUCAUCCCUUGAAUGUUAUAGUUCAACACAAAGCUCUCAUAGCUAGGUGUCAGUCAUUGAAGAACUCUUUCAGUGAUAGCCUCUUGCGGGAGUUCAAUCCCUAACUCAGCUAGACGGUUAGACUACCCACACAUUCUGAGUAUGUGUUCACUGACAGACCCGUUCUCCUCCAUAUUGCAAGCAUAGAACUUAUCGGAGGUCUCAUACCUCUCGAUCCGGGAAUUCUUCUCAAAAAUAAACUUCAACCCUUGGAACAUCUCAUAUGCUCCAUGAUGUUCAAAACGUCUUUGAAGUCCCGGUUCUAAGCCAUACAAAAUUGCACAUUGAACCAAUGGGUAGUCAUCCUUACGCGACUGCCAAGCGUUCAAAACAUCUUGGGUCGCCGUAGCGGGUGGUGCAUCACCUAGCGCAACAUCAAGGACAUAUUGAUCUUGGCCAGCCAUGAGGAUAAGCCUCAGAUUACGAGCCCAGUCAACAAAGUUGCUUCCAUCAUCUUUCAGCUUAGCUUUCUCUAGGAACGGUAUUAAAAUUCAGGGUUGCUACUCCGCGGGCCAUUGAUCUACAACAUAAAAUUUUGCAAAGAUUACUUAGACUAUGUUCAAGACAAUUGAAUUUAGCUAAUCAUAUUACUAAUAAACUCCCACUCAAAUAGACAUCCAUCUAGUCAUUCGAGUGUUGCAUGAUCCAAAUCCACCAACUCAAGUCCGAUCAUCACGUGAGUUGAGAUUAGUUUCAAUGGUGAACAUCUCCGUGUUGAUCAGAUCAACUAUAUGAUUCAUGCUCGACCUUUCGGUCUCUUGUGUUCCGAGGCCAUGUCUGUACAUGCUAGGCUCAUCAAGUUUAACCCGAGUGUUCCGGUGUGCAACUGUUUUGCACCCGUUGUAUGUCUAUGUUGAGUCUAUCACACCCGAUCAUCACGUGGUGUCUCGAAACGACGAACUGUCGCAACGGUGCACAGUCGGGGAGAACAGAAUUUUAUCUUGAAAUUUUAGUGAGGAAUCACCUUAUAAUGCUACCGUCGUCCUAAGCAAAAUAAGGUGCAUAAAAGGAUUAACAUCACAUGCAAAUCAAAAGUGACAUGAUAUGGCCAUGAACUUGUGCUUCUUGAUCUCCAUUACCAAAGCACCGGCAUGAUCUCCAUCGUCACUGGCACCGUACCAUGAUCUCCAUCAUCAUGAUCUCCAUCAUCGUCCUGCCAUCGAGGCUGUCGCGCUAUCUAUGAUGUUACUACCAAAGCUACUGCCUAGCGAUAUAUCAAGAGCAUCUGCAAGCGCAAAAUAAAUUUAAAGACAACCCUAUGGCUCAUGUUGGUUGUCGUAGCAUCGACGUGCAAGUCGAUAUUUAACUAUUACAACAUGAUCAUCUCAUACAUCCAAUAUAUCCUAUCAUGUCAUUCGCCAUAUCACAUCACAAGCAUACCCUGCAAAAGCAAGUUAGACGUCCUCUAAUUUGUCGUUGCAUGUUUUACGUGGCUGCUAUGGGUAUCUAGUAUGGUCGCAUCUUACUUACGCAUAGCCACAACAGUGAUAUGCAAAUUGCUAUUUAACCUUCUCCAAGGACCGCCUCGGUCAAAUAUGAUUCAACUAAAGUUGAAGGAACAGACAUCCACCGGUCAUCUUUAUGUUGGAAUUAUGCCCUAGAGGCAAUAAUAAAUAUAGUUAUUGUUAUAAUUCCUGUAUCAAGAUAAUCGUUUAUUAUCCAUGCUAUAAUUGUAUUGAAUGAAGACUCAUUUACAUGUGUGGAUACAUAAACAAAACACCGUCCCAAGCAAGCCUCUAGUUGGCUAGCCAGUUGAUCGAAGAUAGUCAGUGUCUUCUGAUUAUGAACAAGGUGUUGUUGCUUGAUAACUGGAUCACGUCAUUAGGAGAAUCACGUGAUGGACUAGACCCAAACUAAUAGACGUAGCAUGUUGAUCGUGUCAUUUUGUUGCUACUGUUUUCUGCGUGUCAAGUAUUUAUUCCUAUGACCAUGAGAUCAUAUAACUCACUGACACCGGAGGAAUGCUUUAUGUGUAUCAAACGUCGCAACGUAACUGGGUGACUAUAAAGAUGCUCUACAGGUAUCUCCGAAGGUGUUAGUUGAGUUAGUAUGGAUCAAGACUGGGAUUUGUCNNNNNNNNNNNNNNNNNNNNNNNNNNNNNNNNNNNNNNNNNNNNNNNNNNNNNNNNNNNNNNNNNNNNNNNNNNNNNNNNNNNNNNNNNNNNNNNNNNNNNNNNNNNNNNNNNNNNNNNNNNNNNNNNNNNNNNNNNNNNNNNNNNNNNNNNNNNNNNNNNNNNNNNNNNNNNNNNNNNNNNNNNNACAAGCCUUGCAAGCAAUGUAACUUAGUGUAAGUUGCAGGAUCUUGUAUUAUGGAACGAGUAAAGAGACUUGCCGGUAAACGAGAUUGAAAUAGGUAUGCGGAUACUGACGAUCGAAUCUCGGGCAAGUAACAUACCGAAGGACAAAGGGAAUGACAUACGGGAUUAUAUGAAUCCUUGACACUGAGGUUCAAACGAUAAGAUCUUCGUAGAAUAUGUAGGAUCCAAUAUGGGCAUCCAGGUCCCAUUAUUGGAUAUUGACCGAGGAGUCUCUCGGGUCAUGUCUAAAUAGUUCUCGAACCCGNNNNNNNNNNNNNNNNNNNNNNNNNNNNNNNNNNNNNNNNNNNNNNNNNNNNNNNNNNNNNNNNNNNNNNNNNNNNNNNNNNNNNNNNNNNNNNNNNNNNNNNNNNNNNNNNNNNNNNNNNNNNNNNNNNNNNNNNNNNNNNNNNNNNNNNNNNNNNNNNNNNNNNNNNNNNNNNNNNNNNNNNNNNNNNNNNNNNNNNNNNNNNNNNNNNNNNNNNNNNNNNNNNNNNNNNNNNNNNNNNNNNNNNNNNNNNNNNNNNNNNNNNNNNNNNNNNNNNNNNNNNNNNNNNNNNNNNNNNNNNNNNNNNNNNNNNNNNNNNNNNNNNNNNNNNNNNNNNNNNNNNNNNNNNNNNNNNNNNNNNNNNNNNNNGAAGCCCAUAGGCCUUUGGGGAGACACACCAGCCCUUAGUGGGCUGGUGGGACAGCCCACAAGUGCCCUAUGCGCCAAGGAGAAGAAAAUCAAGAGAGAAAGAAAAAAAAAGGAGGAGGUGGGAAGGAAGGGGGACUCCCUCCCACCAAACCUAGUCCAACUCAGUUUGGGGGGGGAGAGUCCUCCCCCUUGGACUCGGCCGACCCCCUUGGGGCUCCUUGAGCCCCAAGGCAAGGUCCCCUCCCUCCCACCUAUAUAUACGGAGGUUUUAGGGCUGANNNNNNNNNNNNNNNNNNNNNNNNNNNNNNNNNNNNNNNNNNNNNNNNNNNNNNNNNNNNNNNNNNNNNNNNNNNNNNNNNNNNNNNNNNNNNNNNNNNNNNNNNNNNNNNNNNNNNNNNNNNNNNNNNNNNNNNNNNNNNNNNNNNNNNNNNNNNNNNNNNNNNNNNNNNNNNNNNNNNNNNNNNNNNNNUCGGGCGGAGCCCUGCUGAGACAAGGUCAUCACCAACCUCCGGAGCGCCGUCACGCUGCCGGAGAACUCUUCUACCUCUCCGUCUCUCUUGCUGGAUCAAGAAGGCCGAGAUCAUCGUCGAGCUGUACGUGUGCUGAACGCGGAGGUGCCGUUCGUUUGGUACUAGAUCGUGGGACUGAUCGCGGGAUUGUUCGCGGGGCGGAUCGAGGGACGUGAGGACGUUCCACUACAUCAACCGCGUUCUCUAACGCUUCUGCUGUACGGUCUACAAGGGUACGUAGAUCACUCAUCCCCUCUCGUAGAUGGACAUCACCAUGAUAGGUCUUUGUGCGCGUAGGAAAAUUUUUGUUUCCCAUGCGACGUUCCCCAACACUUUAUGCAACAAGUUGCAUGUCAGUCGAUGAAACCGGUCUCUCGUAAGCGUACGAGUAAAGUUGGUCUGGGCCGCUUCAAUCCCACAAUGAUGCUGAAUCAGGAAAAGACUAAGCAGGAAAGAAAAUUGAACAUCAACGCCCACAAACUCUUUUGUGUUCUACUCGAGAUAUCAUCUACGCUUGAACCUAGCUCAUGAUGCCACUCUUGGAGAACGUUGCAUGGGAANNNNNNNNNNNNNNNNNNNNNNNNNNNNNNNNNNNNNNNNNNNNNNNNNNNNNNNNNNNNNNNNNNNNNNNNNNNNNNNNNNNNNNNNNNNNNNNNNNNNNNNNNNNNNNNNNNNNNNNNNNNNNNNNNNNNNNNNNNNNNNNNNNNNNNNNNNNNNNNNNNNNNNNNUCAUCUACGAGAGGGAGAUCGGAUCCACAUACCCUUGUAGAUCACUAAGCGGGAAGCGUUAAGAAACGUGGUUGAUGUAGUGGAAUAUCUUCGUGAUCCAAAUCGCCGCCGUCCCACGAUCCGUCCCGAUCUAGCGCCGAACGGACGGCACCUCCGCGUUCAGCAAACGUACAGCUCGACGAUGAUCUCGGCCUUCUUGAUCUAGAGAGAGGGGCCGGUGAGGUAGAUGAGUUCUCCGGCAGUGCGACGGCGUGACGGUGAUGGUGGUGGAGCUAGUCCAGCAGGGCUUCGUCUAAGCACAGCUGAAACUAGACUAGAGGAGAAACGGAUCUACAGAUAGGGCAUCACGUGGCUAAUUGUUGUGUCAAACACCCUCAAAAAUCUCUAGUAUAUAUAGGAGGAGAGGAGAGGAGGCAGCCUUGGCCCCUACUCCAAGGAGAAGGGGUCGGUUGAACCAAAGGAAGAGUCCACCUUCCCUUGUGGGAAGGUGGACUACUUUGGGAGGACUCCUCCUUCCCUUCCUUUUAAAAGUACUUUACCUUUUAUCUCUUCUCCUAGCCGCAUGGGCCUUUGAGAGAGGCUUAGGCAAGCCCACUAGGGGCUAGUACACCUCUUCUCACAGCCCACGAGGCUCUUGGGUCGUCACACCCCUUCCGGUGGUUCCCCGGCACCCUCCCGAUACUCCCGGUACACUACCGAUGAGCCCGAAACUUUUCCGGUGACCAAAACAGGACUACCUAUAUAUCAAUCUUUACCUCCGGACCAUUCCAGAGCUCCUCGUGACGUCCAGGAUCUCAUACGGGACUCCGAAGAACCUUCGGUCACCAACACCUAUAACUCAACUAUACCAAAAUGUCAUCGAACCUUAAGUGUGCAGACCCUACGGGUCCGAGAACUAUGAAGACAUGACCGAGACACUUUCCGGUCAAUAUCCAAUAGCGGGACCUGAACGUCCAUAUUGGAUCCUACAUAUUCUACGAAGAUCUUAUCGGUUGAACCUUUAUGUCAAGGAUUCACACAAUCCCGUAUAUCAUUCCCUUUGUCCUUCGGUAUGUUACUUGCCCGAGAUUCGAUCAUCCAUAUUGAUACGUCUCCAACGUAUCUAUAAUUUUUUAUGGUUCCAUGUUAUUAUCUUGUCAACUUUGGAUGUUUUGUAUGCAUUUUAUAUCUUUUUUGGGACUAACCUAUUAACUCAGUGCCAGUUCCUGUUUUUUUCCCUGUUUUGACCUUUUUCAGAGGAGAAUAUUAAACGGAGUCCAAACGGAAUAAAACCUCCGAAAAGAUUUUUUCCGGAACAGAAGAUACGCAGGGAACUUGAGAACCAAGGCAAAGGGCUCCGGGGGAGGCCACAAGCCCCCUAGCCGCGGCCUGGGGGCCGCACUUAGCAGGCUUGUGGCCCCCCCGUGGCUCCUUUUCCCUACCUCUUUCACAUAUAAAUUCCCUAAAAAUCUGAAAUCACGGGAGAGAGCCAUGAAAAUACUUUUCCGCCACCGCAAGCUUCUGUCUCCGCAAGAUCCCAUCUGGGGCACGUUCUGGUGCCCUGCCGGAGGGGUGAAUCGGACAUGGAGGGCUACUUCAUCAACACCAUUGCCUCUCCGAUGAUGCGUGAGUAGUUCACCACAGACCUUUGGGUCCAUAGCUACUAGCUAGAUGGCUUCUUCUCUCUCUUGGAUCUUCAAUACAAAGUUCUUCAUGAUCUUCAUGGAGAUCGAUAUGAUGUAAUCUUCUUUUNGCAACUCCUACAACAACACUCAUGGAAAUUACAAUAAAUUACCCUCUGAUCUAGAUAGUAAUAUCAAAGAGUUCAUCAACUCUCAAAAGAUUUUCAAUGCGUCCAUAGAGGAAAAGCUACUCAAAAUUGACGAUUUGGCUAAGAGCGUUGUUAGAAUUUCUAGUGAUGUUGAUGCUUUGAAAGUUAGAUGUGCUCCUCCCAAAAUCAACAUGGAUGAAACUUUUAAAGCUAUGUGUGUUUCCAUGAUUGAGAGCCAAGAAAGAAUCGUCCAAAUUCGUGCUAGACAUGAAUGGCUUAAAAAGGCGUGUUCUCGUGAUAAGAAUCACGAAGAUCUUAAAGUGCUUGGUGUGACUCCACUGAAUCUUUGUUUUCUUGUGUCAAAUAUAAUGAUUAUGGGGCUGGAUAUGAAUCCACUUUGGUUGAAAAGUGCCCCAAUGAUUGGGAGUUCAUCUAUCUUGAUGCUAAAAGCAUUGAAAGUGGAGUAGAAGACGUUAAAACUUUGAGUAGUAAUGAAAUUACUAUUGUGGAUUUCAAGGAAUUCAAUUAUGAUAGUUGCUCCUUGAUUUAACGCAUUUCUUUGAUGCAAUCCAUGUUAAACUCUCCACACGCUUAUAGCCAAAACAAAGCCUUUACCGAUCAUAUCGUUGAAGCUAUGAUAAAAUCUCUUGAAGAGAAACUUGAAUUGGAAGUAUUCCCUAGAAAGCUUCAUGAUGAGUGGGAACCUACUAUCAAAAUCAAAAUCAAAAACUACCAAUGCAAUGCUUUGUGUGAUUUGGGUGCUAGUGUUUCUGCGAUUCCAAAGUCUUUAUGUGAUGCUCUGGGUUUUAAUGAGAUUGAAGAAUGUUCUCUUAAUUUGCAUCUUGCUAAUUCUACUGUCAAGAAACCUAUGGGAAGGAUCAAUGAUGUUCUUAUUAUUGCAAAUAGGAACUAUGUACCCGUGGAUUUCAUUGUGCUUGACAUUGAUUCCAAUCCUACAUGCCCUAUUAUUCUUGGUAGACCUUUCCUAAGGACUAACGGUGCUAUCAUCGAUAUGAAGGAAGGGAAUAUUAGAUUUUAAUUUCCUUUAAGGAAGGGCAUGGAACACUUUCCUAGAAAUAAAAUAAGAUUGCCUUAUGAAUCCAUGAAGAGGGCCACUUAUGGUUUGAGCACCAAAGACGACGAUACGUGAUUUUAUCGCUUUUCUGCCUAGCUAAGGGCAUUAAACAAUAGCCCUUGUUGGGAGGCAACCCAAUGAAUUUAUCUUUUUAUUUCUGUUUUGUUGCAUCCACACCUUCACAAUUCUGUUGUGAUUGUGUUUUUUGUGUCUAUUUUUGUGUUUGAGCCAAGAAAAACCUUUAUGACUAUGGUAAUGGUUGUUUGAUCCUGCUAGAAAAAGACAGAAAAUUUUCGCUCACGAGAUGAUUUUUCAUUUUUAUUCAGAAAGAUAUUUUGAGUUGAUUCUUUUUGCUGCUGGUUGAUAUGCUUUUUCCCCAGGCCAUCGUAAUAUUUCAGAUUGUUUGAGGUACCAGAAGUAUAAGAAGUAUACAUAUUGCUACAGACUGGUCUGUUGUUGACAGAUUCUGUUUUUGUUGAGUUGGUUGCUUGUUUUGAUGAAACUAUGGUGUAUCGGGGGGGUACUAGCCAUGGAAAAGUGAGAAUACAGUAUCCCAGCACCAAUAUAGAUAGAAUUCAAGUUUGCUACAGUACCAAAAGAAGUGGUAGUUUGUUUUCUUGUGCUAAUGUUAUCACGAGUUUCUGUUUAAGUUUUGUGUUAUGAAGUUUUCAAGUUUUGGGUGAUGUUCUCAUGGACAAAGAGAUAAAGAGUGGAAAGAGCUCAAGCUUGGGGAUGCCCAAGGCAUCCCAAGCCAAUUCAAGGACACCAAAAAGCCUAAGCUUGGGGAUGCCCCGGGAAGGCAUCCCCUCUUUCGUCUUCAAUCCAUCGGUAACAUUACUUGGAGCUAUAUUUUUGUUCACCACAUGAUAUGUGUUUUGCUUGGAGCAUCUUGUAUCUUAGGAGUCUUUUCCUUUUGUUGUGGCACAAUCAUCCUUGCUGUACACCUUUUUGAGAGAGAGAGACAUGCACUCAUCGUGAUUUUGCUAGAAUGCUCAUAGUGCUUCACUUAUAUNNNNNNNNNNNNNNNNNNNNNNNNNNNNNNNNNNNNNNNNNNNNNGUCACAAUCAUCCUUGUUGCACACCUUUUUGAGAGAGAGAGACAUGCACUCAUCGUGAUUUUGCUAGAAUGCUCAUAGUGCUUCACUUAUAUCUUUUGAGCUAGAUACUUUUGCUCUUAGUGCUUCACUUAUAUAUUUUGAGCUAGAUACUUUUGCUCUUUGUGCUUCACUUAUAUCUUUUUGAGCUAGAUACUUUUGCUCUAGUGCUUCACUUAGAUCUUUAGAGCACGGCGGUGCGUGAUUUGGUAGUUGGCUUAUGCUAUGAAAGUAGUCCCAAAUGUGAUAGGUACCCAAAGAGGAUGCAAAACCUCCAUCUUCAUGUGCAUUGAGUAGAAAGAGAAGUUUUGAUUCCUCUCAUUUAGUUUUGAGAUGUGGAUAUGGUAAUAUUAAGAGCUAUGUUAGUAGGGUGUUGUGAAUCUAGAAAUACUUGUGUUGAAGUUAGUGAUUCCCGUAGCAUGCACAUAUGGUGAACCGCUAUGUUAGGAAGUCGGAGCAUAAUUGAUCUAUUGAUUGUCACCCUUUCUGUUGAGGUAGGGAUCGUGCGAUGGUUAACACCUACCAACCCUUCCCCUCGGAGUAUGCGUUUAGCACUUUUUUUCGAUUACUAAUUAAAACUUUCGCAACAAGUAUGUGAGUUCUUCAUGACUAAUGUGAGUCCAUGGUAUAGAUGCACUUUCACCUUCCACCAUUGCUAGCCUCUCUAGUACCGCGCAAUUCUCGCCGGUGCACAAACCCACCAUGUUCCUUCCUCAAAACAACCACCAUACCUACCUGCUAUGGCACUUUCAUAGCCAUUCCGAGAUAUAUUGCCAUGCAACUCCCACCGUUCCGUCUCAUGACUUGUGCCGUCACUCUCAUAUUGCCAUUGCAUGAUCGUAAGAUAGCUAGCGAGAUGUUUCAACGUCAUACGGCAUGCUAGAUCGUUGCACAUCCCGGUACACUGCCGGAGGCAUUUCCUAUGGAGUCAUCAUUGUGAGUUUUGAGCUGUGAGUAAAUAAAAGUGUGAUGAUCAUCAUUAUUAGAGCAUUGUCCCAUGUGAGGAAAUAAAAAAAAGGAGGCCAAAGAGCCCAAAAAAAAGAGGCCUAAGAGCCCAAAUGAAAAAAAGAGAAAAGAGAGAAAAAGAGAGAAGGGACAAUGCUACUAUCUUUUUCCACACUUGUGCUUCAUAAUAGCACCAUGUUCUUCAUGAUUGAGAGCUUCUUGCUUUGUCACUACCAUAUGCUAGUGGUAAUCUUCAUUAUAUAACUUGGCUUGUAUAUUCCAAUGAUGGGCUUCCUCAAAAUUUCCCUAGGUCUUCGUGAGCAAGCAAGUUGGAUGCACACCCACUAGUUUUCCUUUUGAGCUUUCACAUACUUAUAGCUCUAGUGCAUAUCUUGUAUGGCAAUCCCUACUGAUUCACAUUGAUAUCUAUUAAUGGGCAUCUCCAUAGCCUUUUGAUACGCCGAGUCAAUGUGACCAUCUCCUCCUUUUUGUCUCACAACCACCACCACACUCUAUUCCACCUAUAGUGCUAUAUCCAUGGCUCACGCUCAUGUAUUGCGUGAUAGUUAUAAAAAGUUUGAGAAAGUAAGAGUGUGAAAACAAUUACUUGGCCAAUUCCGGGGUUGUGCAUGAUUUACAUUAGUUGUGUGAGGAUGUUGGAGCAUAGCCAGACUAUAUGAUUUUGUAGGGAUAACUUUCCUUGGCCUUGUUAUUUUGAAAGUUCAUGAUUACUUUGCUAGUUUGCUUGAAGUAUUAUUGUUUUCAUGUAAAUAGAAAACUAUUGUUUUGAAUCUUAUGGAUGUGAACAUUCAUGUCGCGUGAAAUAAGUUGCAAAGGACAACUAUGCUAGGUAGCAUUCCACAUCAGAAAUUCAUUCUUUAUCACUUCCCUACUCGAGGACGAGCAGGAGUUAAGCUUGGGGAUGCUUGAUACAUCUCCAACGUAUCUAUAAUUUUUGUUGGUUUCAUGCUAUUAUCUUGUCAAACUUUGGAUGUUUUGCAUGCCUUUGACAUAUUUUCUGGGACUAACUUAUUAACUCAGUGCCAAGUUCCAGUUCCUGUUUUUUCCAUGUUUUUGACCCCUUUCAGAGGAGAUUUUGAAACAGAGUCCAAACGGAAGAAAAUCCCCGAAAAGAUUUUUUUCCGUAACGGAAGAAGAUCGGGAAGCUUGAGAGCCAAGGUAGGGGGGCCUCACGGGCCCCACAAGCUCCCACCCCGCGGCCAGGGGGGUAGGCCGCGGCCCAUAGGCUUAUGGGCCCCCUGAGCGCCCUCUGCCCUAGGGGUUGCGCCUAUAUAUUCCCUAAAAAUCCCAAAAAAAAUCAGGAGAUCAUCGAAAGUACUUUUCCGCCGCCGCAAGCUUUUGUCUCCGCAAGGUCCCAUCUGGGCACGUUCUAGUGCCCUGCCGGAGGGGGGAUUCGUACACAGAGGGCUUCUUCAUCAACACCAUGACCUCUCCGAUGAUGCGUGAGUAGUUCACCANNNNNNNNNNNNNNNNNNNNNNNNNNNNNNNNNNNNNNNNNNNNNNNNNNNNNNNNNNNNNNNNNNNNNNNNNNNNNNNNNNNNNNNNNNNNNNNNNNNNNNNNNNNNNNNNNNNNNNNNNNNNNNNNNNNNNNNNNNNNNNNNNNNNNNNNNNNNNNNNNNNNNNNNNNNNNNNNNNNNNNNNNNNNNNNNNNNNNNNNNNNNNNNNNNNNNNNNNNNNNNNNNNNNNNNNNNNNNNNNNGUUUGUCGAGAUCCGAUGAAUUGUGGAUUUAUGAUCAGAUUAUCUAUGAAUCUUAUUUGAGUUUCUUCUGAUCUCUCUUAUGCAUGAUUUCAUAUCCUUGUAAUUCUCUUCGAGUUGUGGGUUUUGUGUGGCCAACUAGAUCUAUGAUUCUUGCAAUUGGAGAAGUGCCUGGUUUUGGGUUCAUACCGUGCGGUGACCACACCCGGUGACAGAAGGGGUAGCGAGGCACGCAUCAUGUUGUUGCCAUCAAGGGUAAAAAGAUGGGGAUUUCAUCAUUUGUUUGAGAUUAUCCCUCUACAUCAUGUCAUCUUGCUUAAAGCGUUACUUUGUUCGUCAUGAACUCAAUACACUAGAUGCAUGCUGGAUAGUGGUCAAUGUGUGGAGUAAUAGUAGUAGAUGCAGAAAGUAUUGGUCUACUUGUCUCGGACGUGAUGCCUAUAUGUAUGAUCAUUGCCUUAGAUAUCGUCAUGACUUUGCGCGGUUCUAUCAAUUGCUCGACAGUAAUUUGUUGACCCACCGUGAUAUUUGCUAUUUUGAGAGAAGCCUCUAGUGAACACUAUGGCCCCCGGGUCUACUCCACACCAUAUUUUCAGCCUUACACUUUUUACUUCGUUGCACUUUCCGCCUUCAAAUCUCACUUUGCAAACAAUCUUGAAGGGAUUGACAACCCCUUUGAAGUGUUGGGUGCAAGCUUGUUUGUGUUUGCGCAGGUACUCUGGACUUGAUGAGACCCUCCUUCUUGAUUGAUACCAUGGUUCUCAAACUGAGGGAAAUACUUACUCCUCCUAUGCUGCAUCACCCUUUUCUCUUCAAGGGAAAAACCGACGCAAACCAGAGAAGUAACAAGAAGAAUUUCUAGCGCUAGGGAAGGACUUUUGUUGCCGUAGCAAUUUCUCAUAUGCAUGAUUUCAUAUCCUUGUAAUUCUCUUCAAGUUGUGGGUUUCGUUUGGCCAACUUGAUCUACAAUUCUUGCAAUGGGAGAAGUGCUUGGUUUUCGGUCAUACAGUGCGGUGACCUCACCCAGUGACAGAAGGGGUAGCGAGGCACGCAUCGUGUUGUUGCCAUCAAGGGUAAAAAGAUGGGGUUUAUAUCUAUUACAUGAAUUUAUCCCUCUACAUCAUGUCAUCUUCCUUAAGGCGUUACUCUGUUUGUUAUGAACUCAAUACACUAUAUGCAUGUUCGAUAGCGGUCGAUGUGUGGAGUAAUAGUAGUAGAUGCAGAAAGUAUCGGUCUACUUGUCCCGGACGUGAUGCCUGUAUGUAUGAUCAUUGCCUUAGAUAUCGUCAUGACUUUGCGCGGUUCUAUCAAUUGCUCNUAGCGUUGGGUGCAAGUUUGCUGUUUUUGCGCAGGUACUUUGGAGACUUGCCUUGAUACUCCUACUGGAUUGAUACCUUGGUUCUCAAACUGAGGGAAAUACUUACUUCUACUCUGCUGCAUCACCAUUUCCUCUUCAAGGGAAAAACCAACGCAAGCUCAAGAGGUAGAAAGAAGAAUUUAUGGCGCCGUUGCCGGGGAGGAUCAAGUCAAGAAUAGUCUCCCGUCAACGUGCCAAUUUCUGGCGCCGUUGUCGGGGAGUAUCAAGUCAAGAAUAGUCUUCCUCCAACAUGUCAAUUUCUGGCACCGGGGAUUAUUCUAAGUGAAGCUUAUCCAAGUAACUAUCGCAAACUCAUCUCUUGCAUUUACUUUUUUUGCCUCUCGUUUUCCUCUCCCCCAUUUCUGAAAAACAAAAAUUUACAAAAAAAAUUACCUUUUUCGUUCGCCCUUUUCUUAGCUUGCUUUUUGUUUGCUUGUGUGGGAUAGUCUACCUAUCCUUAUGGCUAGACCUAUCGCUUUGAACGAUACUCCCGAGAGCGAAGUUCUUAAUUUCAAAAAAAUGAGGGAGAAAACUUAAAGGAUGCUUCGUAUAGGAUUUUCAAUGCUCAGAAUAGAUCUACUCAUAAGCAAUCUACUACUGUCCUACUUUGCAGCUUUUAUGUGGGUAUUUCCCCUUGGAAUAGGUAUGUUCUUGACACCAUCGUAGGUGGAAAUUUCUUGGGUAGCCGUACCGUUGAUUCUUACGGUGCUUUAAUAAAUUUAGUUGGCUCACCCCCACUCAUGGUUAAUGGAACUACCUUAACUUUGGAACAUGUGAUGCGUAGGUUGGAUAUCAUUGAAAAUAAAGUUGCUACGAUUGAACUCAUUGAAAAUUUGGAUAAAAAGAUCCACAAUCAAGUCACUCAGUAUGGAUCCAAGGUGCGAAUGACUUUGAAAAAUUUAAAGGAGAGGGAACCCACAGUUAACAAAAAACUAGGUCAUGAUUCCGCUAGAAUUGGCAAACUAGAGGAUGUUAUAACCAACUUGGGUUCCGCUUUUGCCGCUGUGCAGAACACUCCAAAUUUCGCCCACAAUAAGGCCACCAAGUCUGUUUUUGUUCCUAAAAACAAUGGUGAACCAUCUAGUAAGAUAGAUGAAGAUCUUAAGAUGAUGAGUGUUCACCCUACUUAUGGUUUGAGUACCAAAGACGACGAUACGUGAUUCUAUCGCCUUAUGCCUAGCUAAGGGCGUUAAACAAUAGCGCUUGUUGGGAGGCAAACCAAUGAAUUUAUCUUUGCUUUUUGCUUUCUGUUUUGUUGUGUCCACACCAUCAUAAUUCUGUUAUGAUUGUGUUUGUGUUUCUUUUUGUGUUUGAGCCAAGUAAAACCUUUAUGAUUAGUUUUGGUGAUGGUUGUUUGAUCUUGCUGACAAGACAGAAACUUUGCGCUCAUGAAGUUAUUUUUCAUUCCUAUCCAGAAAGAGAUUUUGAGUUGAUUCUUUUUGCUUCUGGUUGAUAUGCCAAUUGCCCAAAUUGUCAUAAUUUUUCAGAAUUUUUGAGAGAACAGAAGUAUACGAAGUAUACAGAUUGCUACAGACUGGUCUGUUUUUGACAGAUUAUGUUUUUGUUGUGUUGAUUGCUUAUUUUGAUGAAACUAUGGAUAGUAUCGGGGGGUACUAGCCAUGGAAAAGUGAGAAUACAGUAAUGUAACACCAAUAUAAAUAGAAAUCAAGUUUGCUACAGUACCUAAAGAUUUGGUAGUUUGUUUUCUUGUGCUAAUGAUAUCACGAGUUUGUGUUUAAGUUUUGUGUUGUGAAGUUUUCAAGUUUUGGAUGAUGUUCUCAUGGACAAUGGGAUAAAGAGUGGAAAGAGCUCAAGCUUGGGGAUGCCCAAGGCAUCCCAAGCCAAAUUCAAGGACACCAAAAAGCCUAAGCUUGGGGAUGCCCCGGGAAGGCAUCCCCUCAUUCGUCUUCAAUCCAUCAGUAACGUUACUUGGAGCUAUAUUUUUAUUCACCACAUGAUAUGUGUUUUUCUUGGAGCGUCUUGUAUCUUAGGAGUCUUUUCUUUUUGUUGUGUCACAAUCAUCCUUGCUGCACACCUUUUUGAUAGAGACAUGCACUCAUCGUGAAUUUGCUAGAAUACUCAUUGAGCUUCACUUAUAUCUUUUGAGUUAGGAAUUUUAGCUCGCGUGUGCUUCACUUAUAUCUUUUGAGAUAGAUAACUUUUCUCUAGUGCUUCACUUAGAUCUUUUUAGAGCACAGCGGUGUCAUAUUUUGGAUAAAUAAUAACUCUCAAUCUUCACUUAUAUAUUUUUGAGAGUGCUCUCUCUGAGUAACUUGGUAGUUGGCGUGUGCCAUGAAAGAAUCCUAAAGAUGAUAGGCAUCCAAAGAGGAUAUAAUAAAACUUCCACAUUCAUGUGCAUUGAUUAGUAAAGAGAAGUUUGAUUCCUCUCAAUUAGUUUUGAGACAUGGAUAUGGUAAUAUUAGAGUUAUAUUAGUAGGGUGUUGUGAAUCUAGAAAUACUUGUGUUGAAGUUUGUGAUUGUCGUAACAUGCACGUAUGGUGAACCGCUAUGUUAGGAAGUCGGAGCAUAAUUGAUUUAUUGAUUGUCAUCCUUUGUGUGGAGGUCGGUAUCGCGCGAUGGUUAACACCUACCAACCCUUNNNNNNNNNNNNNNNNNNNNNNNNNNNNNNNNNNNNNNNNNNNNNNNNNNNNNNNNNNNNNNNNNNNNNNNNNNNNNNNNNNNNNNNNNNNNNNNNNNNNNNNNNNNNNNNACACCUACCAACCCUUCCCCUAGUAGUAUGCGUUUAGCACUUUGUUUUGAUUACUAAUAAAACUUUUGCAAUAAGUAUAUGAGUUCUUCAUGACUAAUGUGAGUCCAUGGUAUAGAUGCACUUUCACCUUCCACUGUUGCUAGCCUCUCUAGUGCCGUGCAACUUUCGCCGGUGCACAAAACCACCAUAUACCUUCCUCAAAACAGCCACCAUACCUAACUAUCAUGGCCUUUUCAUAGCGAUUCCGAGAUAUAUUGCCAUGCAACUCCCACCGUUCCGUCUCAUGACUUGUGCCAUCACUUUCAUAUUGCCAUUGCAUGAUCGUAAGAUAGCUAGCAAGAUGUUUCAACGUCAUACGCUAAGCUAGAUCGUUGCACAUCCGGUACACUACCGGAGGCAUUUCCUAUAGAGUCAUCAUUGCUCUAAGUAUUGAGUUGUGAGUAAAUAGAAGUGUAAUGAUCAUCAUUAUUAGAGCAUCGUCCCAUGUGAGGAAAUAAAAAAAAAUAGGCCAAAUAUGCCCACCAAAAAAAUAUAUGAAAAGAGGCCAAAGAGCACAAACAAAAAAAGAGAGAAAAAGAGAGAAGGGACAAUGCUACUAUCUUUUUCCACACUUGUGCUUCAUAAUAGCACCAUGUUCUUCAUGAUUGAGAGUCUCUUGUUUUUUCACCACCAUAUACUAGUGGGAAUCUUCAUUAUAUAACUUGGCUUGUAUAUUCCAAUGAUGGACUUCCUCAAAAUUGCCCUAGGUCUUCGUGAGCAAGCAAGUUGGAUGCACACCCACUAGUUCUCCUUUUGAGCUUUCACACACUUAUAGCUCUAAGUGCAUCCGUUGCAUGGUAAUCCCUACUCAUUCACAUUGAUAUCUAUUGAUGGGCAUCUCCAUAGCCCAUUGAUACGCCGAGUCAAUGUGACCAUCUCCUCCUUUUUGCCUCACAACCUCCAUCACACUCUAUUCCACCUAUAGUGCUAUAUCCAUGGCUCACGCUCAUACAUUGCGUGAGAGUGGAAAAAGGAUUGAGAAAGUAAGAGUGCGAAAACAAUUACUUGGGCAAUACCGGGGUUGUGCAUGAUUUAAAUUCGUUGUGUGGGGAUGAUGGAGCAUAGCUAGACUAUAUGAUUUUGUAGGGAUAACUUUCUUUGGCCUUGUUAUUUCAAAAGUUCAUGAUUACCUUGCUAGUUUGCUUGAAGUAUUACUGUUUUCAUGUCAAUAGCAAACUAUUGUUUUGAAUCUUACGGAUCUGAACAUUCAUGUCACAUGAAAGAAGUUGCAAAGGACAAAUAUGUUAGGUAGCAUUCCACAUCAAAAAUUUAGUCUUUAUCACUUCCCUACUCGAGGACGAGCAGGAGUUAAGCUUGGGGAUGCUUGAUACGUCUCCAACGUAUCUAUAAUUUUUGAUGGUUCCAUGCUAUUAUCUUGUCAACUUUGGAUGUUUUGUAUGCAUUUUAUAUCUUUUUGGGGACUAACCUAUUAACUCAGUACCAAGUGCCAGUUCCUGUUUUUUUUCAUGUUUUCGACCUUUUUCAGAGGAGAAUAUUAAACGGAGUCCAAACGGAGUAAAACCUCCGGAAAGAUUUUUCCGAAACAGGAGAUACGCAGGGAACUUGAGAACCAAGGCAAAGGGAUCCGGGGGAGGACACAAGCCCCCUAGCCGCGGCCUGGGGGCGCGCCUAGCAGGCUUUUGGGCCCCCCGUGGCUCCUUUGCCCUACCUCUUCCGCCUAUAAUUUCCCUCAAAACCUGAAACCACGGGAGAGAGCCAUGAAAAUACUUUUCCGCCGCCGCAAGCUUCUGUCUUCGCAAGAUCCCAUCUGGGGCACAUUCUGGUGCCCUGCCGGAGGGGGGAUUCGGACAUGGAGGGCUUCUUCAUCAACACGAUUGCCUCUCUGAUGAUGCGUGAGUAGUUCACCACAGAACUUCGGGUCCAUAGCUAGUAGCUAGAUGGCUUCUUCUCUCUCUUGGAUCUUCAAUACAAAGUUCUCCAUGAUCUUCAUGGAGAUCUAUCCGAUGUAAUCUUCUUUUGCGGUGUGUUUCUCGAGAUCCGAUGAAUUGUGGAUUUAUGAUAUGAUUAGCUAUGAAUCUUAUUUGAGUUUCCUCUAAUCUCUCAUAUGCAUGAUUUCAUAUCCUUGUAAUUCUUUUCGAGUUGUGGGUUUCGUUUGGCCAACUUGAUCUACAAUUCUUGCAAUGGGAGAAGUGCUUGGUUUUGGGUUCAUACCAUGCGGUGACCUCACCCAGUGACAGAAGGGGUAGCGAGGCACGCAUCGUGUUGUUGCCAUCAAGGGUAAAAAGAUGGGGUUUAUAUCUAUUGCAUGAAUUUGUCCCUCUACAUCAUGUCAUCUUGCUUAAGGCGUUACUCUGUUUGUUAUGAACUCAAUACACUAGAUGCAUGUUGGAUAGCGGUCGAUGUGUAGAGUAAUAGUAGUAGAUGCAGAAAGUAUCGGUCUACUUGUCUAGGACGUGAUGCCUAUAUGUAUGAUCAUUGCCUUAGAUAUCGUCAUGACUUUGCGCUGUUCUAUCAAUUGCUCGACAGUAAUUCGUUCACCCACCGUAAUAUUUGCUAUCAUGAGAGAAGCCUAUAGUGAACACUAUGGCCCCCGGGUCUACUUCACAUCAUAUUUUCAGCCCUACACUUUUACUUUGUUGCACUUUCCACCUUCAGAUCUCACCUUGCAAUCAAUCGUGAAGGGAUUGACAACCCCUUUGUAGCGUUGGGUGCAAGUUUGCUGUUUUUGCGCAGGUACUUUGGAGACUUGCCUUGAUACUCCUACUGGAUUGAUACCUUGAUUCUCAAACUGAGGGAAAUACUUACUACUACUGUGUUGCAUCACCCUUUCCUCUUCAAGGGAAAAACCAACGCAAGCUCAAGAGGUAGCACGUAUCGACAUACCUAUUUCAAUCUUGUUACCGACAAGUCUCUUUACUCAUUCCGUAAUACAAGAUCCCGUGGCUAACCCUUUAGUCACAUUGCUUACAAGGCUUUUUGUGAUGUUGUGUUACCGAGUGGGCCUCGGGAUACCUCUCCGUCACACGGAGUGACAAAUCCCAGUCUUGAUCCAUGCUAACUCAACGGAUACCUCCAGAGAUACAUGUAGAGCACCUUUAUAGUCACCUAGUAACGUUGCGAUGUUUGAUACAUACAACGCAUUCCUCCGAUGUCAGUGAGUUACAUGAUCUUAUGGUCAUAGGAAUGUAUACUUGACAUGCAGAAAAAAUAGCAACAAAAUAACACAAUCAUAUGCUAGGUUUAUUGUUUGGGUCUUGUCCAUAACAUCAUUCUCCUAAUGAUGUGAUCCAGUCAUCAGGUGACAACACUUGUCUAUGGCUAGGAAACUUUAACCAUCUUUGAUCAACGAGCUAGUCAACUACAGGCUAACUAAGGACAUUGUUUUGUCUAUAUAUCCACACAUGCAUUUAUUUUUCCAUUCAAUACAAUUAUAGCAUGGAUAAUAAACGAUUUUCUUGAAAUAGGAAAUAUAAUAAUAACUAUUUAUUAUUGCCUCUAGGGCAUAUUUCCAACAUGGACCUCCCGUGAGGAAAAGUUGGGUUCCCAAAAGCUGAUUGGAAAAUCUUCACGUGAAUGUCCUCAUGACACCACCAGUGAUGAACUAGAACCCCACAUCAAAUUCCUCAGGUGGACCAAAGUCUUCACGAGGAUCAAAUUCCUCAAAUGGUCAAAAUUAUUCUUGUACUCACACUAAUGCUUGUGAUAUGCAGGGAAACUACAAUGGACAUGAAUAUGAGCACUAUUCCUCAAAUCAUUAUGUUCAUAAGUCCUCAAAGAAUUUCUCUGCCUAUUCAUUUGAGUACUCUAACCCCCUUACUGUGAAAAGAAGUGCAUUAGCUUCAAUGCCUCCAUUUUCAUAUGGUGCUCGCAGGAUGAUGAAUUCUUUGCCACCCCUUCAGAUGUGGGUGGUGAACAAAUCGAACUAAUCACUUUUGCACGUCAGGUCUCCAGAUGAAAGUCAUCGUGUGAAGAAUUUUCUGGAGACCUCAGGAAAUUGCUUGAUUGGAUGUAAGCUAAAAUGUGAUGAAAUGAUCUAACAUUUCACUCGUCAUCAAAUUUACUGUUUGUGAUGAAAUUCAAGUCUGAUGAAAUUGAUAUCGUAUUAUUCAAAUCUGAAGCAUAUGAGAUGGUAAGUUGUACUAAUUCAUCUGUAGGAUGGUAAACCCAAGAACACAGAGUGGGUUCUUGAUAGUGGAUGUACAAAUCACAUGACUGAUGAUAAAAGCACAGCGGUACCACUGAAGCAAAUCACUUACGCUGAUAAAGGUAAAAGCAAGGUAUUGGGACUUGGUAAAGUGGCUAUCUCCAAGGACCGACACAUGGACAAAGUUAUGAUUGACGAAUCCCUUGGGUUUAACCUCAUGUCAGUCUCAAUGCUUUGUGAUCUUGAUAUGAUUGUCAUCUUUGGAAAAUAUACAUGUGUAGUCAUCAUGGAACCUGACAAAUCCAAAGUCUUCGAAGGCUUUAGGAGAGGAGACUUUUAUAUUGUUGAUUUUUCUACACGUCCUCAAUGUUAGGGCAUAUUUUAUGCCUAAGUAAUUUUGGUGAUUGAUGAUAGUACCGCAAAGGACUAAUCGUGUGUGUUAAGAUUUCAGAUAACACAUGUCAACGACACAAGACGACUCGUCCCCUCUUUCCAUGGAACAGAAGCACNCAUAUGUUGCUUACCCAAACUUGUUAAGAUUAAUUAAAAAGUGGUCGUUGCCUACUCACACCCCCCCCUCUAGUCAACCAUAUCGAUCCUUUCAAUUGGUAUCAGAGCCACAUCUCUUUAUUAAGGGUUUAACCACCUGAAGAGUAUGAAAGAUGAUGAGGGAGUUCCCCGUGCACAAACCGAGGGCAUGGACUUGACUUCGAUCACAAGGGACGACUUGAAUAUGGCUAUGGCCGCACUCAAGACGUCCAUGAUGAACGAGGUCAAGACCAUGCUUAACGAGUUAAUUGAGGGAAUUAAAAACUCUCCCGAACCGGCAUUGGUGGUUAAACCCACCACCACGGAUUCGGAGGCCAAUUCCGUUAGGGAAACGGCUAAAGGUAUGCAACCUCCCCCUCCUCUCGAAAAUGAUGGGAAUGGGACGUAUGCAUCUGUCCCACCACCCUUAGUCUAUGGAGGACCGGUUCCUACACCGCGUCUUAAUCCUGCUGGUCCUCCUCCUAAGCUUGUAAAAGGUGAUUUUGCUAACUGGGUAUUUUCUAUUAAGUCUCAUUUGAAUCACAGCUCAACAAAUUUGUGGAGAAUCAUCGAGCAAGGCUAUUAUCCCCAUGAUCCAAGCAACCUCACUCCAAGAGAAGAAGCGGACAAUCAAUAUAAUCACUCUGCUUUGUUUAUUCUCUAGUCCGUAGUGCCACCUGAAGAUCUUCCUCACUUCCAUCCCUUCACUUUUGCCAAGGACUGUUGGGAGCACAUUAUGGUGUUGUACAAGGGAAGCUCAAGCAUUCAAUAGUCCAACUAUGAAGUCGUACUUGAUAAGGCCGAUGAGUUUGUGAUGAAGGAAGACGAGGACCCUCGUGAUCUCUAUCGGAGGGUGACUGCUAUUGCUGUGGCACUCAAGGACCAUGGGAGCAAGGAUGUGGAUGAUACAUGGGUCAAGCGCAAGUUUCUCAAAGCCAUCAUGCCUUUCAAUAAAGCCAUGUCAUUUGUCAUUCGUCAGCGACCAGACUUCCACUCCUUGUCUUCCAGUGAGGUGUUGGAUGAAUUCAUUGCAAUGUCAAUCAUGAACGAGACAGCUGACAAUGCACUUGCUCGUGUUCGCUCAAAGACAGCUUCACCCAACCUUGCGUUAAAGGCAAAAGCAACUUUUGAAGAAGAAGAAGAGGAUGAGGAAGAGGAGAGCUGCCUUGAAGACAUGAAGUAUGCUUAUCAUGAGCACAUGGCUCUUGCGUCAAGGCAAUUCUGGGGUAGCAAGAGGAACUCAAGACCCACCUUCACCAAGAACAACUCAAGUGGGUUCAAACCCAAGCAACGAGUGAGGACAUGCUAUAACUGUGGUAACGUGAGUCACUUCAUGGCCGAAUGUCCCUAUGAGAAAAGGGAAGACAACGGGGGCAAGCUCAUUCGCAAAGACAGAACUAAGUCAUUCCCAAUCAAGAACAACUUUGUGAAGAAACCCCACCCAAAGGGCAUGGUGGCCCUUGAAGAGUACCCUUCCGAUGAUGAUGAUGAUAAUGAUAUGGUGGCAACGGCAACUGUUGCUAUUGCCACCCUCUCUCCCAAGAAGGUGUCUCUCUUCAACGCCCCCAACGAGAACCACAUCGCCAAGUGCCUCAUGGCAAAAGGUAUCAAUCAGGUAACCCCCAUCAUUAAUACCAACAUCGCUACUGCUCCUUCAUUGUUAAAUUGUGUUGAUCAUAGUGCUGUUGGGGAACUUAAUGAGCAUGAUCUUGACAAGUUUCUGUGCACUAUUAAGGGAGAAUCCAAGAAGCAUUUUGUUGCUCUCCUGGAACAACUGGGUGAGGCCAAUGACCUCAUCGAGACUCAUGAGGAGACCAUCUCCGAGCUUCAGGGACAUAGUCGUGACUAUGCCGAUGAAAUUGUUGAAUUAUCUAUUGCACUAGAAAAAGAGUGCACUCUUCGUUUGGCUCUUGAGGAGUCAUACAACGAUGACUGCGCUAAAAUGCAAAAGAAACUAGAUCAUGAUACUGUUCUUACUCGUAUGCUUAAGUCUGAAAAGUAUGCUCUUGGGGUUGGCCAUGAUAGACUCAAAGUGGAGUUUGACACAAUUGACAAGGCUCACAAGGUCUUGAAAGGUGUUCAUUUCUCUCUGAAAGAGUCUCAUGAUCAACUCCAAGCAAAGCUUACCAAGGAGAUCUCUACUUGUCCUCCCUUUGUGUUAAUUGAUAAUGCUUGUACAACUAAUCCUUGUUGUGAGCAUGUACAUCUUGUGGAGGAAAAUGCCAAGUUAAAGGAGAAACUUGAGAAGGGCCUUGUGGCAUACAUACAAGGUGAGAAGAGCCUGAAUGACCUCUUGAGCAAUCAAAAGGGUGUUGUAGGAAAGGAGGUACUUGGACUUACCUCCAAGUCAAAAGGAAAAAGGAGGAACAAAAACAAACGAUCCUCUACCCUCAUGGACAUCUUUGUCAAAGAGGGCGAAGGGACUCAGGAGGUGAACAGGAACAAGGUGGACGAUGGUAAUGUCAAGAAGGGCAAAACCAUUCCUACUAACACAGCCGGCAAACUCAAUCCUUCCUAUGUCUUAUGUUGUGCUGGUGAUGGGCAUGUUUAUGCCAGAUUUGUUGGUUCUUACCAUGAGUCCAUUGAAUGGGCUAUCUGGGUUCCUAAGACCCUUGUCUCUAACAUUAAAGGACCCAUUAAAAAAUGGGUACCUAAAACCAAGCCUUGAUCUAUUGCAGGAGUUUUCUUCCGGUGGGGUGUCAUGGUUGCUCGAUAGUGGAGCAACAAAUCAUAUGACCGGAAGCAAGGACUUAGUGGUGGAUGUGCAUCCUUCUGCAUCUAUGCCCACCCGUGUCCAAUACGCCGAUGCAUCCUCGUCAAAGGUAUUGGGAUUUGGUAAGGUGGUCAUCUCUCAAGAGUUAUAUAUUGAGAAGGUCAUGCUUUUGAUUCUCUUGCCUACAAUUUACUUUCGGUUCGUCAACUUGCAAUUAUGGGGUUUUCCACUUUCUUUAAUCUUGAUACUGUGGUCCUCCUCUGGAGCAAGACUCUUAAAGUAGCCUAUGUUGGAUAUGUCGAAAAUGGUCUUUAUGUGGUGAACUUCUCAAAGCGACCCACUAAGACUGCGACAUGUUUAAUGGCUAAAGUUGAUGUGGGCUGGCUUUGGCAUCGCCGACUAGCUCAUGUCAAUAUGAGGUCUUUGCAAAGUCUUCUCAAAGGGGACCAUAUUCGUGGACUAACAAAUGUGAGUUUUGCUAGAGAUCGUGCUUGCAGUGCCUGCAUUGAAGGAAAGAUUCAUGAAAUUGCACAUCGUCCAAUGACUCUCAUUUACACUAAGACGCCAUUGGAGCUCCUCCAUAUGGAUCUUUUCGGUCCUCCAUCAUUUGAUAGUCUUGGAGUCAGAAAGUACUGCUUGGUGAUUGUUGAUGACUACUCAAGAUACACCUGGGUAUAUUUCUUCAAAAGGAAGAGUGAGACUCAACAAACUGUCAUCAACUUUGCUAAUGAAGCUCAACAUCAACAUGAAGCAAAGAUCUUGAUGAUUAGAAGUGACAACGGCACCGAGUUCAAGAACUACACCUUGGAUGAGUUUCUAGGUGAUGAGGGAAUAAAGCAUCAAUAUUCAACACCAUAUACCCCUCAACAAAAUGGCAUGGCAGAAAGGAAGAACCAGACUUUGAUGGAUGCUGCAAGAACAAUGAUGGCGGAAUUCAAAUCUCCAUAUAACUUUUGGGCUCAGGCCAUCAACACAGCAUGUCAUGCGUCCAGUCGACUCUAUAUCCGCAAAGGCUUGAACAAGACUCCAUAUGAGAUUCUCACUAGAAACAAACCCAAUCUCAAGUACUUCCGGGUAUUCGGUUGUACUCAAGAAAGGUGCACGUUUAGCUAAAUUUGAUCCUAGAGCACAAGAGGGCAUCUUUGUUGGUUAUGCUACAAACUCUCAUGCUUACCGUGUCCUCAACAAGUCCACCGGACUCAUUGAGGAGACGUGUAACGUGGAGUUUGAUGAAAAUAAUGGCACCCAAGUGGAGCAAAGUGGUCUUUGUGAUGUAGGUGAUGAAAUUCCUCCCCAAGCCAUAAGAAGAAUGGGGAUUGGUCAAAUACUCCCCAUUGAGGAACCCCUUGUGGCCGAAGCAUAAGGACAAUGCUCUACUCAAGUGGAGCCAUCACCCCCACAAGCCCCACAUGCUUCCGAUGAACAAAGAGAAGACUCACAACAAGUUGAACAAGCUCAAGGUCAAGAUCAAUUGCCCAACAAUGGUGAUGUGUCCCAUGAUAUUCAAGCACUUACCCAAGGUUCCGAACCUGCUCAAGAUCAAGAUCAAGUGCAACCACAAGAUCCAGACCAAAUAGAAGCACAAGAUCAAGAUCAAGAGAAACCACAAGUACAAGGACAAACAAGUGAACCUGCUCAAGUCAAAAAUCAAGAUGAUCAGGAUACUGUCUCGCAAUUCCCUUCUGCAGCACCAACAGCCGGUGCCAAGGGAAGUUCAAGACCAAGGGCAAGCAAAGUAAAAAAGUCGAUGCUCCCCAGUUAUCCAAUGAAGAACUCUUGGAGCGUCGAGCAGCCAAGAUUGCGAACAAGCUGAAAGUCAAGUCACAUCUUAUGAAGAAUGUACUUGACAGUUUAAAAAAGGGAGUAUCCACCCGUCAACAGAUUUUGAAUUAGUGUGAGCAUCACGCGUUUGUUUCGUAUUGUGAACCUCAACAGGUACAGGAAGCGCUUGAUGAUGAGGAUUGUCUUAUGGCCAUGCAUGAAGAACUUAACAACUUCGAGCGUAAUCAAGUCUGGGAUUUAGUACCAAGACCAAAGGAGGAUCAUAAUGUCAUCGGGACCAAAUGGAUUUUCAAAAACAAGCAAGAUGCCAAUGGGAUUGUGAUUCGAAACAAGGCAAGAUUGGUGGCUCAAGGCUACUCCCAAGUCGAGGGUAUCGACUACGGUGAAACCUUUGCCCCUGUUGCUCGUCUAGAAUCUAUUUGCAUGCUGCAUGCAUUUGCUUCUCAUCAUAACUUCAAAUUACAGCAAAUGGAUAUGAAAAGUGCCUUUCUUAAUGGUCCUUUAAAUGAAUUGGUCUAUGUCAAACAACCCCCGGGAUUCGAACAUCCCAAGCUCCCAAAUCAUGUGUACAAACUUAAUAAGGCACUCUAUGUCCUUAAACAAGCCCCACGUGCGUGGUAUGAGUAUCUUACUGAGUUAUUACACGAUCGUGGGUUUGAAAUUGGGAAGAUAGAUCCCACUCUUUUUACUAAGAGGGUUAAAGGGGAUUUGUUCAUAUGCCAACUAUAUGUUGAUGAUAUCAUUUUUGGUUCUCCUAACAUUUCCUUCAAUGAAGAAUUUGCUGCACUAAUGACCAAGAAAUUUGAGAUGUCCAUGAUGGGAGAGUUGAAGUUCUUCCUAAGAUUCGAGAUUAAAUAGGGUCUAGAAGGGACCUUCAUCAAACAAGCCAAGUACACUCAAGACAUGCUCAAACGGUUCGAGCUUGAAGAUGUCAAGCCGGUCAAGUUCCCCAUUCCAACAAGAUGCAAACUUGAUAGUGAUCCCAAUGGUAAAGCAGUGGAUCAAAAGGUAUAUCGCACCAUGAUUGGAUCCCUCCUUUACCUUUGUGCAUCUAGACCAGAUAUUAUGUUGAGUGUAGGGAUAUGUGCACGGUUUCAAUCCGCACCAAAAGAAAGUCAUUAUAUGGCUGUUAAGCGAAUCUUUCGAUAUUUGGCUCAUACCCCAAACUUUGGUCUAUGGUAUCCCAAAGGAGCAAACUUCAACCUAGUGGGCUAUUCUGACUCAGAUUGGGCAGGAGAUUGUGUGGACAGGAAAUCAACUUCUGGAGGACGCCAAUUCCUUGGUCGCUCACUGGUAAGUUAGUCUUCAAAGAAGCAGAAUUGUGUCUCGCUAUCAUCCACCGAAGCUGAGUAUGUGGCAGCUGCAAGUUGUUGUGCACAAUUGCUAUGGAUGAGGCAAACUUUAAAGGAUUACGGUGUCACUUGUGACAAAGUGCCGCUUCUAUGUGACAAUCAAAGUGCUAUCAAGAUUUCCCUCAACCCAGUGCAACAUAGCAAGACCAAGCAUAUUGGCAUUCGCCAUCACUUCAUUCGUGAACAUAUCAAGCUUGGUGAUAUUGAGGUUCACUUCAUCCACACCGAAGAGCAACUUGCAGAUAUUUUCACUAAGCCCCUAGAUGAAUCAAGGUUCCGGGAGUUAAGGCAUGAGCUAAAUAUCAUUGAUUCAAGUAAUGCGGAUUGAAGCUAGGCACUUUGCUCCUCACUAGGCAUUCGAUCGUGUUCUAGAUGUAGGCAUGGACAUAGGGGGGAGUGUUGUUCUCUCAAUAAACUUUUCCUCCCCCCAUUAUGCAUAAAUUGAUCAAGUCUUUCACUUUAGCCAGUACCAAAUGGCACUUGUGCUUCAAAGACGAGAAUUUGUCAUGAACCCAAGGAUAAAUCUUUGUGGUGUCAUACCUUUGUCUCAAACAUAGGUGGCCUCGGCCACCGCCCCCACCUUUCUCUCAUAUGGAAGAAAGGAUACAACAUGACGAGUCAGUAUAUAUUGCUGGUGCUAUCUUCUUAUUCACUGGCUUGUCGUUUGCCCACGUCUUUCUCAUGCAAUCAUAUGUCUCGUUGUGCCAUUUGGAGCGGUACUACCGCUAGGGGUAGCGGUACUACCGCCAGGACCCCAGCGGUACUACCGCCAGGGGUAGUGGUACUACCGCCAGAACCCGAGCGGUACUACCGCUCGGGAUAGCGGUACUACCGCCAGGACCCGAGCCUACCACGACCUGACUAGGGCUUUUAGGGCUGUCUCAAGGGGGAGCGGUACUACCACCAGGGGGAGCGGUAGUACCGCCAGGACCCCAGCGGUACUACCGCUACAAGCAGCGGUACUACCGCCAGGACCCCAGCGGUACUACCGCUGGCCCGUACCACUUGGACUAUAUAAAGGAGGGGGAACCCGUUUUUCCUGCCCUCUUUCUUCUUCCUCGUGGCUCUCCCUUCCCCAACCCCGAACUCCCCCUAUUUGGAUCUCUAUCUGUGGAGCCCCUUCUCUCCGUUGAGUUGGAGGGUUUGCUCCACUCCUCCUUCCUCCACCAAGUGCCAUGGACUCCGGUAAAGCUCCUCCCUUUAUUCUCUUGAUUGGUAUUUUGUUGUUCUAGGGGUAGGAGCAUUGGUGAUUUGGAUCCAUGACUAUGGUUUUGUGCUUCGUUUUUGGAUGGAACGAAGGAGAUAUUCUAGGGGAGUGUAGGUCCUAUGAUUCAUUGCGUUUAUAUUGACAUGUUCAAGGUUCUUCAUGGUUCAGAUCAAGCACUUUUUCUCUUAUUUUGGAUUAGAUCUAAAACUUGGAUCCUCUUGACUAGGCAUGUCUUUAUCUAGAUGAUUCGUGAGAUCCUCAUGUGUUUAGGGCUAUGGUGGUUUUUGUAGCGAUUCUAUGCAGUACCCAUGGCCCUCGUAAAUCCAAUCUAGCCGUUCCUAUGGGUCUUUUUCUAUUUCAGAUCUGAAAGUCAACCCCCUAGCGGUACUACCGCCCGGCUGGCGGUACUACCGCUAGGACCCCAGCGGUACUACCGCUAGGGGUAGAGGUACUACCGCUAGGACCCCAGCGGUACUACCGCCAGGUGUAGCGGUACUACCGCCACGAGGAUAUAUUUUCUUCUUUUCCAUUUUCUUGGCAAUGUGAGUUUACUUUUAUGCCUCUUUUUGUUCAUUGCCUUGACUCCUCCUGUCGCUCUUUUUCGGUGUGUGUCUUGUGUGUCACAGGUGGUGCUCGCCGCUCGAAUCCCCCACGGGACACCCAGCCGAAGCAGUAUCGCACUCCAGAUGCUCUAGAGGGCUACGCCACUUCCGGUCUGAAUCCCAAAAAGAAGUCUUUCAAGAAGACAGCUCACAAGACCAAGGGGAUCAACGUUCGCAAUAUGCCCCCUAAGGAUUUUCUGCGGUUCCGCACCCGCAGUCACUAUCUAGAAGAGAAGGCUCAGAUCAAGAAUGUCGAGCAUGUUUGGUCACGGGAUCACUGCAUGAUGUAUCGCGACAUCAUCAAGCACUUCAAGAAGAUGUUUGUUCCAGUUCAGUGGAUUGACUUGGCUCACCUUCAGCGGAACCCGGAUUACUUUGGUGAGGCUCUCUCUUUGAUUGACAAGCUUGGCAUUAAGGAGAUCAUCACCUUCAAAUGCGACUUUGAUCCAGAUGUUGUGGCCCAAUUCUAUGUCACUGUUCACUUCUCACCUGAUGAAGAGCGCACCAUGACUUGGAUGACUGGUACUCAGAAGAUGGCAGGUUCCUGGUCAGAAUUCAUGAAGUUUCUCAAGGUCGACUUUCAGGGAGCUGACAAUCCUCUUGGGUUGCGUCCUCAUGCUCCAUCUUCAUCUAUUGCCACCCCCAAGGACAGGCUGCAACAACUUUAUGUGAAGAAAGGUGUGCUCCCCAAGCAUCUGGAUAUCAUGCAUCGGAUCUUCCGCAACACUCUCUUUCCUCGCAUUGGCAACUUUGACGAGGUGCAUGGUUAUCUAGCUGAGAUGCUUCUUCUUUGUGAGGAGGCUAGGACUAAGGAAUCUGUCCCUCUCGAUAUUUCUGACGUGAUGUUCAAUGAGCUCUGGAAUUGCAUCAUGAACUGCAAGGUUCCCAUCUAUGGGCCCUACUUGUUUGCCUAUAUUCGCCAGAGGUGGCACGACGUCUAUUUGAUUGAGGAGUUCCACCUUCAGGCUGAUUACUUUGUGCACGAUCAUAUGAGGCUCCGCAUCAAAGACAAAUGGGCCAACCCAUCCACUUCGUAUCAGCACAUGGACACUGACACAGAGACUACUGCUGACAGAGGCCCCGCUUCUCAGUCCCACUCUUCUGCUAUGCCAUCUUGGGCAGUGAAACUGAAGGAUAAAAUGAAGACUCUCUUCUGUAUGCAGGCCAAGGGACAGUAUCAGACUCAUGUGGCCCAGAAGGAGAACCGUCAGAGGCACAAGCAUGUCCUGAGGACACUUGAUGUUGAUAUCUCCAGCGGCUCAGAGGACAACAUCACUCCAGAGUCUGAUUGGAUGCGGGCUCAAGGUUAUCAGUGGUCUGAUGCAUAGGAGGAGGCGUCUGAGGAGGACAAUGAGGAGGAGCAGGACGAUCCGGAUGCCACGGACGAGUCUGGGGCUGAUGAGGGUUAGGAGUGACCACCUGUGUCAUUAGGUGUGCCCCUCUUUGGUGUCUUGUGCCAAAGGGGGAGAGAGUCUAGGAGCUGGAUUUGAGAUUUGAGCUUUUCUUAUCUUAUCGUGUUUGCUUUGAACUUGGUUUGCUCUUAUUUGCUAUCUUUGCUUUGUGUGAUGUGAGACUUGAACUAGUGUGAGAUUUAUUUCUACCAUAUGUUGUGAGUCAUAUGCUCCUUAAUUUUCUAUACCACUAUCUUUAUGUUCACAUGCUAUUCACUCUGCAGAUCCGGUAUUGUCAUCAAUCCGCCAAAAAGGGGGAGAUUGUUAGGGCAUAUUUUAUGCCUAAGUAAUUUUGGUGAUUGAUGACAGUACCGUAAAGGACUAAUCAUGUGUGUUAAGAUUUCAGAUAACACAUGUCAACGGCACAUGGAACAGAAGCACNCAUAUGUUGCUUACCCUAACUUCUUAAGAUUAAUUAAAAAGUGGUCGUUGCCUAUUCACCCCCUCCCUCUAGUCAACCAUAUCGAUCCUUUCACUCAACCAGCCACGUGUUUACUAGCAAAAACCUCAGAAGGCUGGCUAUGGCAUCAACAACUUGGUCAUGCAGGCAUGAGGAAUUUGCACACACUAGCGAAGAAGAAGCACGUCAUUGGCAUCAAAACUGUCAAAUUCCUCAAGGACCAUCUCUACGGUGCUUGUGAGUCUGGAAAAAUGACCAAAUCCAAACACCCCUCGAAGACUAUCAUGACUACGUCCGUUUGAAUUGCUUCACAUGGAUCUCUUUGGACCUACUCAUUAUGCUACUCUAACCAAUGCAGCAUCUUUAUAUGUCUUUGUCAUCGUUGAUGGCUAUUAUCGUUAUACUUGGGUACACAUCAUUGCUUACAAAAAUGAAAUGCAUGAAGUUCAAACGAUUUUCCUCAAGGGCCUCAACAAACUUCGACGUCACGAUCAAACACAUCACGAGUGAUGAUGGGACAUAAUUCAAAAAUACUGGUCUUGAUGAUUACCUUGAUGAACUUGGUAUUACUCACGAAUUGUCUGCUCCUUAUACUCCUCAACAGAAUGGCGUCGUUGAACGCAAGAACAUGACUCUGGUUGAAAUGGCACGAACUAUGCUUGAAGAAUAUCAGACUCCUCGUUGCUUCUGGCCUGAAGCAAUCAACACUGCUUGCCACAUCAUCAACAUGGUAUAUCUUCACAAAUUCCACAAGAAAACAUCAUACGAACUCCUCACUGACAAGAAACCCAAUGUAAGUUAUUUCAGAGUCUUCGGUGCAAGAUGUUGGAUUAGAGAUCCUCACCAUACCUCAAAGUUUGCACCUAAAGCACAUGAGGGUUUUAUGCUUGGUUAUGGAAAUGUUUCGCACACCUAUAGAGUCUUCAACACCUAUCGCAACAAGGUUGUUGAAACUGUAGAUGUGUGGUUUGAUGAACCUAAUGGCUCGGAAAGAGAGCAAUUGCCUCCCGUGCCAGAUAAAUUGACUCCUGAGGAAGCUAUUAAGUACAAGGCUACUGAAGAUAUCAUUCAUACCGAGGAACAACCCCUUGUUGAAGAAAUUGUCCCCAACACUGAGGAAAUUCAAGAAGGUGCACCUCAGGAAAAUGUUACAGAUCAAAUUCCUCAGCCUAACCAAAGUCUUCAACCAACUCAUCCAAGGAUUGCAAAUGAAGUGGAAAUUUACAAAAUCAUCGAUGACAUCAAUGCGCCAGGUCCUCUCACUCGCUCAAAAUCUUCACAUUUCGUUAACUUUUGUGGGCAUUCCUCUUUUGUAUCUAUCACAGAACCCUCAAAAGUUGUUGAAGCCUUCAUGGAACCUGAGUGGAUUCAAGCCAUGCAAGAUGAACUUCAGUUCAAGCUAAAUCACGUAUGGGAACUCGUUAAAAGACGAGAUCCUCGCAAGCACAAUAUCAUAGACACUAAGUGGAUCUACCAAAACAAGCAAGAUGAGGAUGGUCAGGUUGUGAGAAACAAGGCGGCUUGUAGCCCAAGGCUACACACACGUUGAAGGAAUUGACUUUGAUGAAACUUUUGCACCUUUUGCUAGACUUGAAGCUAUUCGAAUAUUGCUUGCUUAUGCUAACCAUCACAAUAUUACUCUAUAUCAAAUGGAUAUGGAAAGUGCAUUCCUCAAUGGUAAGCUUGAGGAAGAAGUAUAUGUUGCUCAGACCCCAAGUUUUGAAGACCCUAAGCAUCCACACAAAGUCUUCAGACUAAAAAAGGCAUUAUAUGGCCUCAAGCAAGCCCCUCGGGCGUGGUAUGAUACACUGAAGGAAAUCCUCAUGAAGAAAGGCUUCAAACCCGUUCACUUUAUCCUACCCUUUUCACAAAAUCCUAUGACAAUGAACUAUUCAUGUGCCAAAUAUAUGUCGACGACAUUAUUUUUGGUUGUACUGACAAACGUUACAGUGAUGAAUUUGCCUACAUGAUGGGUGAAGAAUAUCAAAUGUCCAUGAUGGGGGAGCUGAAAUUCUUCUUAGGUCUGCAAAUUCGUCAACAACGCAAUGGCAUCUUCAUAUCUCAAGAGAAAUACCUCAAGGAUGUCCUGAGGAAAUUCGGCAUGCAUGAAUGCAAAGGCAUCAAGAUUCCUAUGCCUACCAACGGCCAACCUCUCAAGUGACGAAAAUGGUAUAGAUUUCGGUGAGCAGGUAUAUAGUUGUAUAAUUGUCUCUUUAUUGUACCUAUGUGCAUUUAGUCCAGACAUUAAGCUUAGUGUUUGCAUGUGUGCAUGUUUUCAAGCAAAACCGAAGGAAUCACACCAUAAGGGUGUGAAACAUAUUCUUCAAUAUCUAGCUCACACACCAACACUAAGAUUAUCGUACCUCAAGGGCUAAAAUCUUCAUGUUGUUGGAUAUUCUGAUUCUGAUUAUGCUGGUGACCGUGUGGAUCACAAGUCAACGUCAGGCACAUGUCAUUUCCUCGGACGAUCCUUAGUCUGCUGGUCCUCAAAGAAGCAGAACUGUGUAUCACUCUCCACUACUGAAGUUGAAUGCGUUGAUGCUGGAUCUUGCUGUGCUCAACUGUUAUGGAUGAAUCAAACCCCGAGAGAUUAAGGCAUCAACAUGAAGAAUGUGCCUCUCUACUGUGACAAUGGGAGUGCAAUCCAGAUCGCCUACAACCCAGUACAACGCUCGAAGACCAAGCACAUCUAGAUUCGUCGUCAUUUUCUUCGUGAUCAUGUACUCAAGGGCAAUAUCAUCAUCGAUCAUGUGAAGACUGAUGACCAGCUAGCAGAUAUCUUCACAAAGCCCUUGGAUGAGAAAAGGUUUUGCAAGUUGCGGUGUGAGCUAAAUAUCCUAGAAUCUUAAAAUGUUCUGUAAACAUGCACACAUCCUAACACUUAUGAAAUUGAUGACUUUGAUGCGCAACACAGGAAGUAACGUUUUUCUUCAACCAAUGAAAAAUGACACUCUAAGUGUGAAGACAUUACUGAAGAAUUUGAUUCUCAGGACCCUACGACAAUUGUACACGGCACCUAAAAUCAUCAUUCUUAUACGGUGGGUAACGCCACCACCAAACUUUGAAAUUCUUCAUAGUUGAAAUUCUUCAAAUCUGAGGUUUUUCAAAAAUUUCUCAAAAUUUUCAAAGUCUUCAAACUUUUUCAAAUUCUUCAAAAUUUUCUGUGAUGAUCUUCAUUGACUAUAUAUUAUAUAACGAGCUUUCAAUGUCCUCAUAGGCAUUCACGUAUUGCUAAGUCUUCAAUUUGGUAUUUCUUCUAAGUGAAAGUGAAUCGGACCCGUCUUCCCUCUAUGCUAAGCUCAACCAAGUCUAUUCUCAAAUCUUCGCAUGCGUUCUAUUUGACACUUGUUCAAAGUCCUCUCUAAGUCCUUGUCAGCUCAUGACUUUGCAACAAAAUCCUCAAAAUUCAAAAAAAAAAUCGUUACCAUUGUAACUGCACCCACUACUCACGAUAGGAUAACCACUAUCUCCACCGCUUCGUUCGUGGGUAGCGCGUGUCAUGUUGAGACGAAAGGGCAGGGAUAGUUUCAUCCGAAGAAUUCGCUUAGGACCGUUUUCACUUGAGCUAUAAAUAGCCCCUUACCCCCUCCAGUCAAAAACUCUUCUCUCCCUCUCAUCUUCUCCGCCCAAGCUAAAAACCUAGCGCCGCCGCUAGCAAUUCUCGUCGCCGGUGAGGAACAGCUUCAGUACCUCGACCUCGCCGUCGCCGGACUCAUGCCGACUGCGGAUCAUCUCCCUCCGUCGCUGCCGUAGCUAUCUUCCGUCACCAUGUUAGGGCACUCAAGAUCCGAACCAAAGAGCUUCUGCUUUUACUUCCCUAGUUCAUCGUGUUCUUCAUUCAGGGUAAUUGAAAUCCUAUUUUACUACCCUUGUUGAUUCAUUUAUUUUCUUUAGAUUCGUGAAAUCAGUUGUUCCUCACAAUAUAUUUCAGCUGUGCACAACCAUGUCUAGAACACUUGAUGAAUUUCACUAAGUCCCUAAAUUCUUCACGAGAUUCCUCAAUUGUAUAAAUUUUCGAAUCUGCACAACUUUGGAACCCAAGAUCAGAAGACAUUAGUCAAAUUCCUCAACUUAAGUCAUUUUUCAAUUUCCCCAAAUCUGAGAACGCAUAUGACCUCUCCAAACUCUCCGCACCUAUACUUUGUUCACAGGUACAAAAUGACAGCUAACGAAUCACUAGGUUCUCAUCAACUUAACUCAUUUGUAGCAUUUGUUGAAGAAACAUUAUCUCUGUCCUAGGAUUCCUCAAGAAUACAAAUUCAUCAGCAAAAACCUUAGCUGAAGAAAAUGGAGGAAGACAGAAACAAAAGGGUGGCAAGAAGCUAGAGCAGAACAUUGCUUUUGAAAUCCCAGAGGAAAUAUAUGCUGAUUACUGCACGCUAGAUGAAGAAAUUCAUGGGAAAGAAACCACUGCAAAAGGCAAGAUCAGGCUUCAAAAGAUUGAGCGCAGAUGGGCAAAAGAGUGGAAAUAAUAUAGGUAUGUCACUCCAAAGUAUGCCAAGAAGUUUGCCCUAAAACCUCCCCGCAAAAGAUUGCCUCAGGGAGACCAACAAACUGCACAUUCCUCUAGUGUAGCUACAAUUGAAGACUAUCCUGAUGAAAAAGACAAGUAUUUGUCCAAGCUACAGAAAAAGGAAGACAUUGAUGUAACAAAGUUUAAUGAGGAUUAUGUCGCUGUAGGUGCUGCUGCCACCUCCUUUGUUGCCGAGGCUUCUACUAUAGAACAACCUCCGAAGAAGGCUGCUACUGCAACAAAUGACCUUCCAACGGCGCCAGAAAUAAGCGUGUUGACGGGAGACUAUUCUUGUCUUGAUACUCCUCAGCAACGGCGCGAGGAAUCCUUCUGCUACGGCUACGCCUUUAGGGACUUCCUUGGCAAAUAUGCAAAUGAUUCCCCCGUGGCCUUGGAGCCUUGCGUUGGUGUUCCCUCGAAGCGGAAAAGGUGAUGUAGCACAGCGGCGGUAAGUAUUUCCCUCAGUUUUGAGAACCAAGGUAUCGAUCCAGUGGAAGGAUUGCGUCAAGUCACAAGUACCUGCACAAACACAAAGAGCUUGCACCCAACGCCAUGAAGGGAUUGUCAAUCCCUUAUAGAUUAUUUGCAAAGUGAGAACCGAAAGCAAAAAAGGAAACAAAGCAAAGUAAAAGUGAAAGUGGAAACGAUAGUUGUGAAUAGACCCGGGGGCCGUAGUGUUCACUAGUGGCUUCUCUCAUGAAAGCAAGUAGACGGUGGGUGAACGAAUUACUGUCGAGCAAUUGAUUGAACCGCGCAAAGUCGUGACGUUAUCUAUGUCAAUGAUUAUAUCUAUAGGCAUCACGUCCAAAACAAGUAGACCGAUACUUUCUGCAUCUACUACUAUUACUCCACACGUCGACCGCUAUCCAUCAUGCAUCUAGUGUAUUAAGUUCAUGAGAACAGAGUAACGCCUUAAGCAAGAUGACAUGAUGUAGAUGGACAAUCUCAUAUCUACGAUAAACGCCCAUCUUGUUACCCUUGAUGGCAACAACACGAUGCGUGCCUUGCUGCCCCUUCUGUCACUCGAACUGGCACUUGGCACUGAAUUAAUAAGUUAGUCCCAAAAAAGAUAUGAAAGGUAUAUAAAACAUCCAAAGUUGACAAGAUAACAGCUUGAAACCAUCAAAAAUUAUAGAUACGUUUGAGACGUAUCAAGCAUCCCCAAGCUUAACUCUUGCUCGUCCUCGAGUAGGGAAGUGAUAAAGAAUGAAUUUUUGAUGCUGUCAUGCUACCUAGCAUAGAUGUCCUUUGUAACUCCUCUUAUGUGACGUAAAUGUUCAGAUCCAUUAGAUUCAAGACAAUAGUUUGCUAUUGACGUGGAGACAAUAAUAAUUCAAGCAAACUAGCAAAGUAAUCAUGAACUUUCAAAAUAACUAGGCCAAAAGAAAGUUAUCCCUACAAAAUCAUAUAGUCUGGCUAUGCUCUAUCAUCCUUGCACAACGAAUUUAAAUCAUGCACAACCUCGGUAUUCGCCAAGUAAUUGUUUUCACAUUUUUACUUUCUCAAACUUUUUCUACUCUCACGCAAUACAUGAGCGUGAGCCAUGGUUUUAGCACUAUAAGUGGAAUGUAGUGUGGUGGAGGUUGCAAGACAAACAAGGAGAAGAUGGUCACAUUGACUAAGCAUAUCAAUAAGCUAUGGAGAUCCUCAUCAAUAGAUAUCAACGUGAAUGAGUAGGGAUUGCCAUACAAUUGAUGCACUAGAGCUAAGAGUAUGUGAAAGCUCUUAAAGAAAACUAGUGGGUGUGCAUCCAACUUGCUAGCUCACGAAGACCUAAGGCAAUUUUGAGGAAGCCUAUCAUUGGAAUAUACAAACCAAGUUAUAUAAUGAAAAUUUCCCACUAGCUAUAUGGUGGUGACAAAACGAGAGACUCUCAAUCAUGAAGAUCAUGGUGCUUAAUAAGCACAAGUGUGGAAGGAUAGUAGCAUUGUCCCUUCUCUCAUUUUUUUGGUGGGCUCUUUGGCCUCUCUUUUUUUGGUGGGCAUCUUUGGCCUCUUUUUGUAUAUGGCCUUCGCUGGCCUCUUUUAUUUCCUCACAUGGGACAAUGCUCCAUCAAUGAUGAUCAUCACACUUUCAACUCAAAACUUAGAGCAAUGAUGACUCUGUAUGGAAUGCCUUCGGUAGUGUAUCGUGACAAUGAUCUAGCAUGGCAUAGACAUCAAUGGAAACAUCAUGCUAGCUAUCUUAUGAUCAUGCAAUGGCAAUGUAGAAGUGGUGGCACAUAUCAUGGUGGUAGUUGCAUGGUAAUAUAUCUCGUAAUUUCUUUGAAAAAACCAUAGUAGGUAGGUAUGGUGGCUGUUUUGAGGGAGGCUAAUGGUGGGUUUUGUGCACCGGCGGAAGUUGCACAGCACUAAAGAAGAAAAUGAUGGUGGAAGGUGAAAGUGCAUCUAAACCAUGGACUCAACAUUAGUCAUGAAGAACUCAUAUACUUGUUGCCAAAGUUUUAGUAGUACUCGAAACAAAGCAUUCAACGCAUACUCCUAGGGGAAGGGUUGUUAGGUAUAAACCAUCGCGCGAUCCCGACCGUUACACAAAGGAUGACAAUCAAUAGACUAAUCAUGCUCAGGCUUCAUCACAUAGCGGUUCACCAUACGUGCAUGCUACGGGAAUCACUAACUUCAACACAAGUAUUUCUAGAUCCACAACACCUUACUAGCAUAACUUCAAUAUUACCACAACCACAACUCAAAACUAAUUGAGAUGAAUCAAACUUCUCUAACUACUCAAUGCACAUGAAGGUGGAAGUUUUCAUAUCCCUUUGGAUAACUACCCCUUUUGAGAAUAAUUUCAUAGCAUAGAUCAACUACCAAGCCACGCACCGCCGUGCUCUAAAAGAUAUAAGUGAAGCACAUAGAGCAAAAUCAACUAGCUCAAAAGAUAUAAGUGAACCACAUGUGAGCUGAAUUGUCUAACCAAAGGAUAUAAGUGAAGCUCGACAAAAUCACGGUGAGUGCAUGUCUCUCUCUCUAGGUGUGCAGAAAGGAAGAUUUUGACACAACAAAAAUAAAAGACUCCUAUGAUACAAUACGCUCCAAGAAAAACACAUAACAUGUGGUGAAUAAAAAUAUAGCCCCAAGUAACAUUAUCGAUGGAUUGAAGACGAAAGAGGGGAUGCCUUCCCGGGGCAUCCCCAAGAUUAGGCUUUUAUGGCAUCCUUGAAUCAACUUGGGGUGCCUUGGGCAUCCCCAAGCUUGAGCUCUUGCCACUCCUUAUAUCUUUGUCCAUAAGAACUUCACCCAAAACUUGAAAACUUCACAACACAAAACUUAAACAGAAACUCGUGAUAUCAUUAGUAUAAGAAAGCAAACCACCACUUCCUUAGGUACUGUAGCAAACUUAAAUUCUACUUAUGUUGAUGUUGGGUUACUGUAUUUUUAAUCUUCCAUGGCUAGUACCCCCCGAUACUAUCCAUAGUUUCAUCAAAAUAAGCAACCAACUCGACAAAAACAGAAUCUGUUAACAGCAGACCAGUCUGUAGCAAUCUGUAUACUUUGUAUUCUUCUGGUACUUCCAAAAUUCUGAACAAUAACGACAGUCUGAAGAAUUUGCGUAGCAAUCAGCAGAAAAAAGAAUCAACUCAAAAGCUCUUACGAAAAAAAACGAACAGAAAGUUUCUGUCUNUUGCACCCAACGCUAUGAAGGGAUUGUCAAUCCCUUAUAGAUUAUUUGCAAAGUGAGAACUGAAAGCAAAAAGGAAACAAAGCAAAGUAAAAGUGAAAGUGGAAACGAUAGUUGUGAAUAGACACGGGGGCCGUAGUGUUCACUAGUGGCUUCUCUCAUGAAAGCAAGUAGACGGUGGGUGAACGAAUUACUGUCGAGCAAUUGAUUGAACCGCGCAAAGUCGUGACGUUAUCUAUGUCAAUGAUUAUAUCUAUAGGCAUCACGUCCAAAACAAGUAGACCGAUACUUUCUGCAUCUACUACUAUUCCUCCACACGUCAACCGCUAUCCUUCAUGCAUCUAGUGUAUUAAGUUCAUGAGAACAGAGUAACGCCUUAAGCAAGAUGACAUGAUGUAGAUGGACUAUCUCACAUCUACGAUAAAAGCCCAUCUUGUUACCCUUGAUGGCAACAACACGAUGUGUGCCUUGCUGCCCCUUCUGUCAUUGGAAAAGGUCACCACACGGUAUGAACCCAAAACCAAGCACUUCUCCCAUUUCAAGAAUCAUAUAUCUAGUUGGCCAAGCAAAACCCAAGACUCGGAGAGACUUACAAGGAUAUCAAAUCAUGCAUAUAAGAAAUCAACAAAGACUCAAAUAUAAUUCAUAGAUAAUUUGAUCACAAAUCCACAACUCAUCGGAUCUCGAAAAACACACCGCCAAAGAGGAUUACAUCGGAUAGAUCUCCAUGAAGAUCAUGGAUAACUUUGUAUUGAAGAUCCAAGAGAGAGAAGAAGCCAUCUAGCUACUAACUACGGACCCGUAGGUUUGAAGUGAACUACUCACGAGUCAUUGGAGAGGUGAUGAUGUUGAUGUAGAAGCCCUCCAACUCCAAAGUCCCCUCCGACAGGGCACCGGGAAGGGUCUCUAGAUGAGAUCUCGCGGAAACGGAAGCUUGCGGUGGCGGAAAAGUGUUUUCAUGGAUGCCCUGAUUUUUUCUGGGAUUUUAGGGAAUAUAUAGGCGAAAGAGCUAGGGCAGAGGAGCUCCACAGGGGCCACAAGCCUGGUAGCCACCGGCCCCCCUGGUGGCGGCUACAGGGCUUCUGGGCCCCCUGUGGCUCUCCUGCCUUGGCCCUCAAGUCCCCCGAUCUUCUGUUCUGGAAAAUUUUAUUUCGGGGAUUUUAUUCCGUUUGGACUCCGUUCCAAAAUCAGAUCCGGAAAGAGUCAAAAACACACAAAAAACAGGAACUGGCACUUAGCACUUAAUUAAUAAGUUAGUCCCGAAAAAGAUAUAAAAGGUAUAUAAAAAAUCCAAAGUUGACAAGAUAACAACAUGAAACCAUCAAAAAUUAUAGAUACGUUUGAGACGUAUCAAAGGCCCUGAUGAAGAAAUCACGUGCAAAGUCAAAACCAUCAACAUCAUUAUCUAAAGAGCAAAUUCCUCACAAAGAAUCAACAAUGGAUGAAAAGUCCACAACUGCAGCACAGUCUUCACUUCCUCCAUAGCCACAGCUCACGCAACAUCAAACAUGAAAUCUAAAUUCCUCAGUACCAUCAGCCUCUCGCUCAGCUCUCAAAUCAUCACCUUGCAUAAUGAAGACAAAGAUGACUGCUGGAAGAGGAACAAGGCCGAGCCCAAGCAAUGUUGUCAAUGUCCCUUGUGCAUCAGAGGGAAGUCGGGAAUAUGAUGAUGAAACUCUUCAAGCCAUCACCAGGAACAAACAAGAAACGGUUGCACAAGCUACUGGCAACACCAUUCCCCUCGCACUGGAUCCGAAAGUGGUGCUGAACUUCAUCGAUCUUUGGUAUGAGGAUCCAAACACACCCAUUGAUGAUUUGAAACUUCCACCUGGACUCAGCCACAUGGUUAUUUCAUUCAUCAAUGAAGCAAAGUGGAAGGACCAGCAAACCAAGCAAGCACGGGCUGCAAAGAUUAAAAAGGAGAAGUACUUGAAACAAAACAUCCUUAACCUGACGCCUGAGAAACUUGUCUCUACUCAAGCCAAAUUGAAAACCCUCGCUGACAAAUACACUAGUCUUCAUGCAGACUGAAAGGGUGUCAAAGUGAGGUUUGUGAAGGCCGCAAUUGAAGCAAUUGAUGUAUACAACGGUAGGGUUGCAACCCCAAAGCAACCAACAAAUCCUCAGGCCAGCUACACUAUACAACUGGCUGAUUCUGCUGAAGAUGAAGAACGAGCUGCUGAUGAAACUACUCAGAAUGUUCCAGCUGAAGAAUUUGCCACGCCUGAAACUGCUCAUGUAAUGCCUGAUGAAAAUGCUCCUUCAUCAAUGUCUUCAAAAGUGAAGAAAAUGACUCUUCCGUAUGCAUCAGACACGAAGAAAACAAAAGCUGCUGAGAAGAAGGCCAAGAAGAGAAAGGCAUCAACACCUUCAAAGUCUUCAGAGGCAAAAUGCGUGACGACUAUGCCUACUACAUCAUCAGCUCCAGUUGAUGCAACUCCCCUCAGUGUUGCACCAUCAUACAUGAUUGUACCAUUUGGUGAAGAGCAUAUCAUUCCAGAACAGGAUGAGGAAAUGCAUGACAAUCGCUCUGCUGCAUCCACACCAAUAGAUGAGGAAAUUCAAGUUAAUCAAAUUCCUCACGUCUCAACACCUCCUCCUCAAAACCCAGAAAUGACUGUUGAAGAAAAGGAGGCCGAUGAUGACAUUGGCAGCAGCACACCUGUUAUCCAUGAUGAUUUUUGGGAAAAAGAUCAUCCAAACUCGCCAAUAGCUUCAAAAAUUCCUCGAACUAUUGUAUCUCCUUAAGCAACAAAAAUUCUAACUGGCUCUCAAGAAAAGAGCUCACGUGGGAAAUCAGUGCUAGACAAAGAAUCAGCCACAUCAGCUGAUGAAACUGAGAAGGAAACUGUUGUACCAGAAACUGCAUGUGCUCCUCCGGCACAACAAAUUCCUCAAACUGAAGAACAAGCCUCUGAUGAAAAUGCCUCUGCAUAGGAUAAAGAUACAACUGAUGAACCACAUGUUGCAAAUCCUGGCACUGUAAUUGUGGUGGCCAAAAAUCCUCAAGGUGAUGAAAUUCAACAUCAAAAUCUUCAACCAAAGCCUCAUCAGCCCUACUCGAAGAGGCCAAAGUUUCUGAAAGCAGACUUCUAUGAUGAACAUCAUUUCUUCACGGGAGAAAAUCCAUACGAUAAGCCUCGUAUCACGCACAGGAAGUUCUGGACCAAAACUCAACUCAAUUACUAUGCUACUGUGCUUUGUAGGAAACGGAAGAUAUUUCAUCACACGCACAUUCCUCAUUGUGAUAUGGAAGAAAUUCCUUGCUUCAUCCCCGUUCUGAGUGUUCUUCACGACAUAGGACUACUGCCAUUCUGCACAGAUAUUGGUGACUGGAAUACAAAUAUCAUUCUUCAGUUCUAUGCCACACUGCAUAUCUGAGGUGGCCCCAAAAACAUCAACUUUUGGGUCUUGGACUGGAUGACUCAGCACACUCACUUAACAGCUCCAGCCACAGAAUUUCUUCGAGCUCUACCAAUCUCAAUUCCUUUAGAUGAAGCAAUUAACAUAUACGAUGAAAGAGAGUUACAAAAUCAGCUAAUGGAGGCCCUCACGAAGCCUUUAGCUCAGGGCCAACCUCCAAGGACUAGAUUCCCGGUGAAGGAAUUGAAGUAUGUGCCUAGAACUGUCUACAGAAUAUUGGCCUAUUCCUUCGCACCUAUCAAAGGGCAUGAUAAGGAAGAAGAUGUUGUUGGAAUCAUGAAGAACAUCCUGUUCAAUGUCAUUCAUGGAAUCAAAAUGAACCUUCACAACUUCUUCCUGAGGACUUUGGCCAACAAUGCCUUGUCGCCAUUUGAGCUAAAGAUUUAUGCGCCUUGGAUCAUGAGAUUCAUCAAAACCAGAUCCUCCAUCAACUAUCAAGGUGACUAUUUGAAUCACCUCAGCUAUCUGCCUCCUCUCAAAGUCAUCAAGAAAUAUUUUGAACCAGUUGAGGGCAAAGGCAAGUCAGUGAUUGAUGAAGGAAAUCGGCCACUGGAUGGUCAAUUUCGGAAGGAUGCAUCCUACUCCUCAUAUGAUGACACUUCCACACAAGAAUCUGAUGGCAGAGCAAAACCUCCAAGUCCAACUACCCCACGGGUGAUGACUAACAGAGAGCUUCUCCUCAGUCUUCAUUAGAAAGUUGAUCAAAACCAUAAGUGGGUGAAAUGUCAGUUUGGCUCUAUUGUGAAAACCCUCAAUGCUACUGGAAAUGCAGUGAAGAAAAAUCACUGUUAUAUUCAUGAAGUAUUUGAUUGCACCUAGGCCAUACUGUCCCAUCUCAAGACUCCCGAGGAACUCAAAGAACUGGAAUUCACUCAAGACUUUGAUUGGUCGUGGCCACCAAAGAAGAAAUGCAAGAAGAUCCCAGUUCCUGACCUGGUGGACAGCUCUUAUUCUUCAUUCCGCACUGCUGAUUCAGAUGAAGAACAUGCUGAUACUGCAAUCGGCCCAACUAUGAAGACUAGCAUGAAGAGCACGGGCGCCUCUCCUCCAACACAGAAGUGAAAUUCUUCAUGGGCGUUAGUCAUCAGUUUCGUCCCUUUUCGUCACUUGAUGGCAAAGGGGGAGAAAUCUGAGAGUUAGUCUUCAAACGGGUUAAAUUUAUUGGCUUAUAAACUUUAUUAAGUUAGAAACUCUUGGUUCUUCUAAAGUGUUUGUUGUAAUGAGUUGUAACUUAAGCCCGUUGGUGUUCUAACACUUUUGAACAUUUUUCCUCGCAUGCUUAUUCCUCAAGUUAAUUAAUGCAUGCAUGCUGACAUUCGUGAGACACCAUUUUUUCAUCAUGCAUUUCAAAUUCCUCAUACUAUAUGUCAAAUGCAUGCAUGAAUUAAAAGAUACACGGGAGAUCUCCAUGAUAUAUAUCAUCAAUGUGCAUUUGCUGUUCAACGAAAAUUCCUCAAAACAUGCACAUCUUCACGGGGAAUUUCUCUAUAUCUUGCCUUCAAAUUCCUCAAACUCAGUAAUUCCAUUUCAUAUUAUUGUCCCCGUUGAAAACUUAACCUAUUUGUCAUCAACCACAAAAAAGGGGGAGAUUGUAAUUGCAUCUAGUGCCCCUUAGUGAUUUUGGUGGUUUGAGGACUUAUAGGUCAAGAGACUAAUAUGUUUGUAAGUGUACACACGAUGUGAAAGUCACUAAGGAGUUUGGGUUAUUCGAUGAAUAUCGACCCCUAAAAUGUAUGUCUUCGGGUGAAGACUUUGGUCAUUCCUUGAAGACUUUGAUCGCGAAGAAAAUGCGAAGAAAUGGUUAUUCCUCACGAAGAUAUUGAAAAUGAGGAAUUCGGUGUGUCCCAAAGAAAAUACUUUGAAGACUUUGAAGCUUGAAGAUUUACUCCUUUUGUUUCAUUUUCUUUAUGCUUGAGUCAUAGGAACCCCAUACUGUUAAAGAGGGCGAGGUAAAACUAUGGAACGAAUUUCCUCAUGAUGCUCAACCCAAACCUACACCUACCAAAUCCUCAAAGUGAGGAACAUGAAAAACAUGAGGACUUUCAUAGUUGAAAGUUCCAACCGUUGUCGCGCUAUGCACCACCUGUCCCAAGUCUUAUCCACCCAACGGUCAUAUCAUUAAGAGCAUUUAGGUCAAAUUAUGUCAGGAUGCUCCGAGGCUAUAAAUAGACACCCCCACAACCACUAGCUGGUUGGAUGCUUCGAGAGAAACUGACACUAGUAAUUUAGUGCAACCCAAAUUCCUCAAAGUCUUUGAGAGAAAAUCAUCAAGUGAGGAAAUACCCCAAACAUCCAAACCCAAACCAAAACCCAAGUCAUUGAGCAUCACUAAAGAAGUUAUUCCUGUGUGGAACCAACGCUUGUUACCUUUGAGGACUGUGCAUCCUCCAUACGGCUAGGCGUCAUGGUCUACAACAUCCAACAGUAAAUUGUGGAUCGCCAGGUGACCGAGAUUGUGAGGGUUUGAAAGUUUGCCCUGAAGACUUACCACCAGUGUUGGGUGAGGAUUGUGUGUCCUUAGCUCAAGGAGAAUACGGUAGGGACUGUGUGCCCCGGGACUGUGUGUCCUCUGGUUUCAAUACCAAGCCGCUCCAAACCAGACGUACAACUGUCACAUCAAUUGGAACUAGGUCAUCAACAAUUGUAUUCAUUGAGCUACUAUUUCUAUUUCCUCAACUCCUUUCAUUUCCUCAAUUGCAUGUUGAAGACUUUCAUCUAUACUGUUUGAAGAAUUUGACUGAAGACUUUCUCUGAAUUCCUCACCUCAAAUUGUUCACCUGAGUUAUUCUUCACCUGCCUAUCCUGAACUCUAGACCUGUGUAAACCGAUUCUCUUAAAUCAUGCUCAGUACUUUGUUGUAGACAUUUUUGCACUUCUGACUUAGUACUAUUUCUGCUGCACUCAGUUCAUAACUGAGGAUUUUCCUCACUAGGAUUUUCCUCAGUGAUGAAAUUGUAAAAUUGCCUAUUCACCCCCCCCUCUAGUCGAUAUAACGCACUUUCAAGAGUGUUUUGGAUCCUAUCUUGUAAGUCGUAGUCACCUAUUACGUGUCAUGAUCCACAUCCCCCAAGUUGACAGAAAUUGGGAUUCUUUUCAGUGAUUGUCAUAGUUUGAGGAGUUCAUGUAUUCACCAUGUGUUAGUGCUUUGUUCUAGUUCUCUAUUAAAAGGAGGCCUUAAUAUCCCUUAGUUUCCAAUAGGACCCCACUGCCACGGGGGGGUAGGACAAAAGAUGUCAUGCAAGUUCUUAUCGCAAGCACGUAUGACUAUAUACGAAAUACAUGCCUGCAUUAUAUUGAUGAACUGGAGCUAGUUCUAUGUCGCCCUAGUGUGUAACUAUUACAUGGUCAAUGUAAUCUAAAUCAUUAUCCAUCACCGAUCCACGUGCCUAUGCUUUUCAUAUACUGAAUCUUGCUAAGUUACUACAGCUGCGGCUACUGUCACACUUGCUACUAAAUUGAUAUUGUUACUUUUGCUACUAAAACUGCUAGUGUCACUACUACUAUUUGCCGUGCUACUAAAUCCUUAUUCCAGAGAGAUACCACAAGUGCGGUUGAAUUUACAACUCAUCUGUCAAGGACAGUAAAUACUCUUGUGUCAAACCAAUAAAUUAGGGUAAAAUAUUACCUGUGAAGACUGUCGCGAUCCCCUACACUUGUGGGUUAUCAGGCAACACCCUGUUCAGUGAUGACAUGUUCCAAGUACGCAAUCUGCCCAAAAGCACAUUUAGAUUGUUUAACUUGCCAAUGGUCCCUUCUGAGUAGUUGCAGCACUUGACGGAUGUGCUCCACAUGUUGUUCAAAUGUUUUAUUGUAAACCAAUAUGCCAUCGAAGAAGAGAAUGACACACUCCCGCAGCAGUGGUCGCAGAGUGCAAGUAAUUGCUCCAAUGAAAGUUGGGGUGCAGUAGCGAGGACGAACGACAUGACCAAGAAUUCACAGGUGACCUAUGUGGGUUGUGAAGGCUGUUUUGUACUCUUCCUCUUGUGCCAUUCUUAUCUGAUGAUAGCCAGCACGCGGAUCCAUUUUGGAGAACCAUUUUGCUCCCACCAAUUCAUCGAGAAGCACAUCUAUAAUUGGAACUGGAUACUUACUGACGAUUUUCAUUGCAUUCAGCGUCUAGCAGCUCCUUAACUUGUCGCUCAAUCUCAUUUUUGAGCUCAGGUUUGUGUCGGUAAGGACGUUGGUUGACAGGUUGUGCUCCUUCCAUGAGCGGAAUUAUGUGAUCACAAGCACGUGUGGGAAGCAGCCCUUUUGGUUCUUCAAAGACAUCUGUGUAUUGCUCCAGAACCCUGAGAAUCUCUACGGGAAUAGCUUCUUCUUGUAAACCUUCUUCAUUUAUUGCAUUGAGGUGGACUACAAAAGCUACGGACCCUUGCUUGCAUGCAUUCAAUAGUUCUUGAGAUGAUAUAGCAGAACACCGUUGAUGGUUGCUACGAGCAGCUUGUAGUUCAAUCAAUCCCCCUUCAGAUAUAACUUUCAUAUGUUCUGGCUCCCAGUCAAUAUGCAUAGGGAUGUGCUUCCUGAGCUAGUCCAUCCCUAGGAUAGCAUCGUAUGCUCCAAGGAAAAGAAGCUUGAAAUCUGUGAUAAACUCAUGCCCCUGAGACGUCCAUUGGCACUGUAGUAUGAAGCUGUCACAAUUCAACACAGCACCGUCGACCACUUUAACUCUGCAUGUCCUUGGCAGUUUGCAAACUCCCUUCAAUUUAGCUAUGAGGCAAUGGUCAACGAACAAGGAAGAACUACCUGAGUCAACCAGCAAAGACAUUUCCUCCCCUUAAAUCCACGCAUGCAGCUGCAGCACUCCCGGUCCAGCCGACCCAUCAAUCGCUUGCUUGGAGAUGGUACACAGAUUGUCUUCGUCCAACUCGUUUGAUUCAGGUUUGCUGGCACUGUGCACCUCCUCUGCUGCGAAGAGCUCCCAUAGUUCCUCGACCACAUGCAUCUGCACUAUCGUUGGACAUGUGUGAUAUUUGCCCCAGCAUUCACCACACUUAAAACACAGUCCCCGAGCGCGUCUGAAAGAGCGUAAUGCUGCAAUUUUACUGCUCUCUGCUCCCACUCGCGCUGCAUCUGUGCCCUUGCACUCCUGUGCUUUGGUUGUAGACGCUGAUAGUUUUGCAGUUCCCAACAGCAAAGUUGGAGUGUUGGCCCUCAUCACGCGCGGCAUUGGUGCACGGUUGGGUACAACGCGCAAGGUGUUCUCCCCAUCUGCAUCUUCCUCCUGGAGUAGUGAAAGGGAACAUGUCGUGUCAAGGUCGGACGGCCUCUGAAUGAGAACCACAUCAUGAAUAUCCGCUCGCAGUCCCUCGAUGAAUCGUGUAAGAAAGAAAUACUGGCGUGUCAGUUCCGAGUAAGAGAUCAUAUCAUUCAUCAAAGUCACAAAAUGUUUAAUGAAAUCGGCAACAGAUUCAGUCUGACGAAUAGCAUAAAAUUGACGAAUGAGCAAUUGGUGUUUGUCACGCCCAAAUCAAGUGCAAAGCACAGCCGUGAAUGAUUCCCACGCAAGACCAGAGAUCUUGCGAUGACGGACUGUAGCCAAAUGGCAGUCAGACCCAAAAAAUUCAAGACCGCCAUGGGUACCCAGUAUGAUUCAUGAAUGACAAACUCUGAAAAUACUGCUCUGCCAGAGUUUUCCAGAGCUGUGGAUUCUCACCAGCGAAGCUGGGAAAUGAGAUCGGGGGUGGAACUUACCCCAUCAUGGCGAGCACUUGUGAUGGAAGUGGAGAGGAAUUCGAGGGAGGGAACAAGGUCGUACCCGUGACCGGGGAAGCCGUCGGUGACUCCAUGGUCAGCGUCGGAGGUCCCCCGGGAUGUAGUGACGCGUCGUGGCUUGGUUGCUCUUGGAUCUUGCGCGCGACGAGGGGAGAGGUCGCAGGCGGCAGAGAUUCACUGGUAGGCGUGACCGAGGUGGACGUGGCUUGAAGGUUCUCGAAGGAGAGCUCCAACUGCGUGAAUUGCGCCUCCAACUCUGGCUUCGAGGAGACGAGGGCGUCGAUCCAUGUGGAUUGCGUCGCCAUGGCCUCGAGGAUGGCCUUGUUGUUUACCUCCUUCCUGGCAGCGCGGGCAACCGCGUCGUCGUUCAUCUUGUCGAGGUGCGCCUUCAGCACCGGAUCCAGGGUGGCGAAGAAGGCGUCGCCCGUGUGCUCCUUGCUGCGGGUUUCCAGUGCGGAGACGGAAUACGGUGCAGACGGCGAGGCGUAGGGUGGUAGGUGGCUAGCUAAUACCAUGAUGUUAGGCAUCGAAUCUAGAUCUAGUAUUUCUCUUCACAGUUUCAUCUCAAGUACAUAAUGGUGUUACAGAGAGAAGGAAGAAGGACAGAAAAGAAAGCCACCAUUGCCGUGCCUUUGCCUGAUCCUCAUGGAUGCCUAGCGAGUCGCAUGAGAGAGCCUAAGUAGCGUUCCACCAUUUCGGGCCCACGAACCUGCGGUUGAGCUGCUUGAUCCUAGGUGGCCUUGCGAUGGCGUGCUUGUGUCCCUGAUUGGUGGAAGGGGAUUUCUCUUCUGCCAUGUCAUUCGCUCGCCCCGACUUGGCGAGGUUGUUGUGCGCUGGGACUGAGACUGGGUCGUUGAUAGAUGAAUCGUCAGAUUUUAUUUGUAAUUCCGCUCAUCUUUGAGAAUUACUAGGUGCCAUAAAAUUGCUCCCAAUGAAAUAUUGAAGUUCACGCAAGAAAAGUUGCGCAUGGUGCACCUCCAGUUCAUCAUCGAUAGAGUGCGUUCGCGCCUGGCAGGAUGGAAGGGCAAGCUCCUCAAUUUGGUCGCCCGUGGGGUGCUCGUGCGAGCAGUUCUCACUGCUCUGCCCACCUUUGCUCUGACAGACCUCAAGGUGCCCAAGAAAAUUCUAAAAGAGGUGGACAAGGCGUGACGAUAGUUCCUCUGGGCUCAGGACGAAGAUCUGACUGGUGCUGAAUGCAAAAUGGCUUGGAGCACAGUGUGCUUGCCAGUCGCCAAAGGAGGGCUCGGGGUCCUGGACCUUCAUCGUUUCAGCGCUGCUCUACGUUUACGCUGGUUGUGUCUUGCGUGGCAGCAGCCGCGGCGGUCCUGGACGGACUUCCCUACGUCCUACGACCAACGAGACCCGGAGCUGUUCGCAAGGGCAAGCAAUGACUGUGAAGAUUGACUACGGCAUAUUGACAAGUUUCCGGUGAAGUACGUGGUAGGGGCAGAGUGAAUUGCAAAAAACCAUCACAUUUGGUCCAUCGAUUGCAGAAAACCACCAGGUGGCUAAUCUUUUGCAAAAAACAUUGUGUAUUCUGUAAACUUUUGCAAUAUGUACUGAUCGGGCGAUUUCCUGUUUUUGACCAUUUUGUCGACAACUGGGGCCCUUUUUCACCCCACCUGGCCUAACGGCUGGGCAACGACGCCGUCAGGUGGAAUCCCUUUGCCCCCCUCGCUUCAGACAGACCGACCGACCAGGCCACGCCACUCCACACUCCUCUCCCUUGGGAUCCCUUAAUGGUGAAACCUCGCGGCGCAGCGGCUGCGCUUCCGUUGGAGAUGCUCCAGGCUAUGCUGAUGGAGAUCCACCGGAGUUUUAUGGGAGCUCAAAUCCUUCUUAGCCGCUGCCUCCCCCCGAAUCUUCGGAGUACGCAGGGGCUAGGGAAUUCACCCCGACUGUGAAGGCAAAUCCAACGGGCAGCCAGGGUAAGACAGUGUGGUGUAAGACAUCCAUCCACUCUCACUCAUUUCUCUUUUCCCUGAUUUGGUUUCUAGUGUUAGGGUGCUAGGGUUAGGAAUUAAUUGUUCAAGAGUUGUAAGUAUUGGGUUGAACUGAAUGUUUAACACUAUUUUUAACUAAAUGUAGGUUGGAUGGUGAAGAAUUGAAAGUGAGGUACCAUUUCUUGGACAAAGAUAAUUUGGAAAGAAUGGUUUUCUUAUCGAACAUAACCUAUUGGAAUGUGAUUGCACUAAUAGAGAUAGCAGGCUGUAGUUCAAGAUAUUUUAUGUAUUAUGUUAGAGAUCCACGAGUUGGGGUGUCAGGAAUGGAAGAAUUAACUAAUGUUGACAAGGUGGGAGAAAUAUUGGAUGACAUAAUUAGUAAAGGAAAUAAUAUGGUUAACAUUACAGUUACGAGAAGUGAUGCACCAACAGUAGGUGACCUUAACAUUGGUCAUCUUUAUGAAGAGCAAGUCCCUUUGUCUGAAUUUGGUGUACCACUUUUCUAUGAGGUAGAUACUAGAGGAGUUCUUUUCCCUAGUCCUAUGAAGCCCCAACCACAUCCAGCCCAGGUCAUGAACACCGAGGAGAGUUCAUGUUUGUUGAAGAGUUGACUAGCGGUGAUAGUGAGAAUGAAAUUUUAGUAGACGAUGACAUAAUAGCUAGGCUGGAGGCAAUGAAGAGGCAUAGAGCCGACCCUCUCAAUCACUAUGAAGGAGACGCUUAUAUAGAAGAGUAUGAACCAGAUGAGGAGGAGGGGGAGGAUGAAGCAGGAGAGAAGGAGUCAGGACAGAGGAGCAAGCAGAGGAGGGCAGGAGAGGUGGAAGCAUUGUAGGAGGAAGUAAUGCAGGAGGAAGCAGCAUCACAAGAGGAAGUCAGGGGAAGGGGCCAACAACCAGAUCACAUGGAUGUCUGGAUCAAACCAUAGAGAAAUAUUGGAUACAUUUAUCUGAUGGGGAGAGCAACCUUGGUGACUUAUGUCAGGAUGAUAAUGAUGGUGCUCAACUUCCAACAUUUAGGCUUAGUAAGAUACCCAAAUAGACAUGGGCUAGACAUGCCAUGGACAAAAAUUGUAAAACCUACUUAGAAUGUUUAGAAAAAACAGUUUAGAGUCUUUCUUCACAAGACGCAAGGAAGCAUUUGUGCACCUUUACAGAGCUUUGCGAUAUGACUCACAUAAAAUAUGUUUAUCAUGAUGAAGUUAAAGUAUGUUAAUUCCUUUUCUCUUUGAGAGGAAAAGAUGAGAAUGCUUGAUAGCUUUUAUUAAAGUAGACAUUACAUCUUGGAAUAGUUGUUGCAAUAUGUUCAUGACUAAAUAUUUUCCACAUGUGAAAACAAUGCAAUUGUUUAACAUUACAAGUAUUAAACAUGAAGACCAUGAGCCGCUAGCGCUUGCGUGGAAUCGUACAAAAGAAGUUGUUAGGAAAUGCCCUAACCAUGGCAUGAAACAAUGGUUAAUUCUAUAUUUGUUUUAAAGUGGUUUAAAUCAUUUAUAUAAAACAUCAUUAACACUACUACAGGGGAACUAUUAUAGGACAACCACUUGGUGAAGCAAAGAAGCUCGUAUAAGAUAUGCAAGAAAAUUAUACUCACUCACACGUUGAAAACUUCACAUCUAGGUAAAUUCUAUUAAUGAGGAAAGUAAUGAAUAGAUUUCAACAAAAAUUGGUGAGCUCCAAAGAAUGAUAAAGGUAAAGAAGAAAUUUCUAUGAACUCUAAUAUGGAAGUUGACAUCAAUUUCAUUCCUUGCAAGAGUUAUAAUCCUGGGCGGAAGAAUAUAAUAUUUUUUUCAAAUUAUUGGAGACCACUCAUACGUCUCAAACGUAUCUAUAAUUUUUGAUGGUUUCACGCUGUUGUCUUGCCUUCUUUGUAUGUUUUAUGUACCUUUUUAUAUCUUUUUGGGACUAACUUAUUAAUUCAGUGCCAAGUGCCAGUCCCUGUUUUUUCCGUAUUUUUGACUCUUUUCAGAUCUGAUUUUGGAACGGAGUCCAAAUGGAAGAAAAACCCCGAAAUGAUUUUUUUCCCGAAUGGAAGAAGUCCAGGGGGCUUUUGGGCCAAGCCAGGUGGGCUCCACGGAGCCCACAAACCCCCACUCCGCCACCAAGGGGGAGGCGGCAGUGGGCAGGCUUGUGGCCUCCCUGGCCGCCCCCUGACCUAGGUCUUUGGCCUAUAAAUUCCCAAAUAUUCCGCAAAAAAUCAAGGGAGCCUCGAAAAUACUUUUCCGGCGCCGCAAGCUUCCGUUUCCGCGAGAUCUCAUCUUGAGACCCUUCCCGGCGCCCUACCGGAGGGGACUUUGGAGUUGGAGCGCUUCUUCAUCAUCAUCAUCGCCCCUCCAAUGACUCGUGAGUAGUUCACUUCAGACCUACGGGUCUGUAGUUAGUAGCUAGAUGGCUUCUUCUNNNNNNNNNNNNNNNNNNNNNNNNNNNNNNNNNNNNNNNNNNNNNNNNNNNNNNNNNNNCGAUGUAAUCUUCUUUGGCGGUGUGUUUGUCGAGAUCCGAUGAAUUAUGGACUUGUGAUCAGAUUAUCUAUGAUAUAUAUUUGAGUCUUUGCUGAUUUCUUAUAUGCAUGAUUUGAUAUCCUUGUAAGUCUCUCUGAGUCUUGGGUUUUGUUUGGCCNNNNNNNNNNNNNNNNNNNNNNNNNNNNNNNNNNNNNNNNNNNNNNNNNNNNNNNNNNNNNNNNNNNNNNNNNNNNNNNNNNNNNNNNNNNNNNNNNNNNNNNNNNNNNNNNNNNNNNNNNNNNNNNNNNNNNNNNNNNNNNNNNNNNNNNNNNNNNNNNNNNNNNNNNNNNNNNNNNNNNNNNNNNNNNNNNNNNNNNNNNNNNNAGGGGCAGCAAGGCACACAUCAAGCAGUUGCCAUCAAGGAUAAAAAGAUGGGGGUUUUAUCAUUGGUUUGAGAUUAUCCCUCUACAUCAUGUCAUCUUGCUUAAGGCGUUACUCUGUUCUUAUGGACUUAAUACACUAGGUGCAUGCUCGAUAGCGAUCGACGUGUGGAGUAAUAGUAGUAGAUGCAGAAAGUGUUGGUCUACUUGUUUUGGACGUGAUGCAUAUAGAAAUAAUCAUUGCAUAGAUAUCGUCACGACUCUGCACAGUUCUAUCAAUUGCUCGACAGUAAUUUGUUCACCCACCGUCUACUUGCUUUCAUGAGAGAAGCCACCAGUAAACACUACGGCCCCCGGGUCUAUUCACAUCCAUCGUUUACAUCUCCGCUUUUACUUUGCUUUGUUACUUCGUUGCUUUCAGUUCUCACUUGGCAAACAAUCUAUAAGAGAUUGACAACCCCUUCAUAGCGUUGGGUGCAAGCUUUUGUGUUUGUGCAGGAUCUUGAGAUACUCUUCUGCCGGAUUGAUACCUUGGUUCUCAAACUGAGGGAAAUAAUUACCGUCGCUGUGGUACAUCACCCUUUCCGCUUCGAGGGAACACCAACGCAAGGCUCCAAGGCCAUGGGGGAAAUCCUUUGCGUACUUGCCUAGGAAGUCCCUUAAGGCGUAGUCAUAGCUGAAGGAUUCCUGGUGCCGUCGACACAACUAUUUCUGGCGUCAUUGCAAGGGAUACACAACAAACAUCAGAAGUAUUUCUGGCACCGUUGCCAGGGAGGAGGAUCGUCAAGAAUAUUCUCCCGACAACGUGCCCAUUUCUGGCGCCGUUGCCGGGGAGGAGAAAUAAAGAUCUAUCCAAGUAGGUCUCACAAACUCUUCUCUUGCAUUUACUUUUGUUGCCAGUUGCCUCUCGUUUUCCUCUCCCCCAAUUCACAUUUGCCGUUUUCAUUUGCCUUUCUCCUUUGCCGUUUUCCUUUGCCUUUGCCGGUUUUCUUGCUCGCUCGUGUGCCAUGUGCCAUCAAUAUGCUUGCAUCUUCGCUUGCUGAAAAUCUAGUGAUAUGGAUCCUCAUCCACUUGCUAGUCUCUUUAAGAGACCCACUCGUGUGGAACAAAUUGCUAGUGAGUUGAGGGCAAUUGACUAUUUCUUUGGAGUUUUGCGUAAGAUGCGUGAAUCUGAAAAUUGUGAGGAAGAAAUUCAUGAAGUGAUUCACGAGGGCUCCUUGGAUGAAAAGCAUGAUUGCAAUGAUUUCACUAUAAAUCCUAUUAGUGACAAUCAUGCUAAAAAUAUGCAAAACCCUAAGCUUGGGGAUGCUAGUUUUGCUUUGUCCACUACUUGUUGCAAUAAUCAUGAUUGGGGUGAUGAUCUUUCUUAUGAUCUUGAAAAUUUGUUCAAACCUCAUGAUGAAUAUGAUAUUUGCAACAAUACUGAAAGUGGGAUUGGAGAAGUCAUGACUUUAUUUGAUGAUAAUCCCACUAUUUUUUAAGAGCGUCAACUUUGCAUGCAUGUGGAUCAUGAAAAGAAUAUCCUAUGGGAUAGCUUUAUUGUUGAAUUUGAAUAUGAUCCCACAUGUAAUUGUUAUGAGAGAGGAAAAUAUUUUGGUAGAAACUUUCAUGUUACCAAAUUACCUCUCGUUAUGUUGAGAUUGCUAUUGUCUCUUUCUUCUUCCUUGCAUAUGGCAACUAUUAGUUGUCUUGACAAUUUGUUUUCCUACAAAAUGCCUAUGCAUAGGAAGUAUUUUAGACUUAGAUGUGAUUUUCACAUGCUUUAGGAUGCUCUCCUUGUGCUUCAAUUCUUGUCUUUUGUGUGAGCAUCAUUGAAUGCCUAGCUAAGGGCGUUAAACAAAAGCGCUUGUUGGGAGGCAACCCAACGAAUCUAUCCUUUUUCUUUUUGUUUUGUGUUUUCCAAACUUUCAUAAUUCUAUUAUGAUUGUGUUUUUUGUGUUUCUUUUUGCGUUUGUGCCAAGCAAAACCGUUAUGAUUAGUCUUGGGGAUGAUCGUUUGGUCACGCUGGAAAAGACAGAAACUUUCUGCUCACGAAAAGAAUUUUAUUAUUUUUUCUGUAAGAGCUUUUGAGUUGAUUCUUUUUUCUGCUGAUUGCGACGCAAAUUCUUCAGACUUUAGUAAAGUUUCAGAAUUUCUAAAGUACGAGAGGUAUACGAAACAUACAGAUUGCUACAGACUGGUCUGCUGUUAACAGAUUCUGUUUUUGUUGUGUUGGUUGCUUAUUUUGAUGAAACUAUGGAUAGUAUCGGGGGGUAUUAGCCAUGGAAUAUUUAAAGUACAGUAACCCAACAUCAGCACAAGUAGAAUUUAAGUUUUCUACAGUACCUAAGGUAGUGGUGGUUUGCUUUCUUGUACUAAUGUUAUCACGAGUUUCUGUUUAAGUUUCGUGUUGUGAAGUUUUCAAGUUUUGGGUGAAGUUCUUAUGGACAAAAAGAUAAAGAGUGGCAAGAGCUCAAGCUUGGGGAUGCCCAAGGCACCCCAAUAGAUUCAAGGAUGCCGUAAAAGUCUAAGCAUGGGGAUGUCCCGGGAAGGCAUCCCCUCUCUCGUCUUCAAUCCAUCGGUAACGUUACUUGGGGCUAUAUUUUUAUUCACCACAUGUUAUGUGUUUUUGCUUGGAGCGUCUUGUAUCGUAGGAGUCUUCUAUUUUUUUUUGUGUCACAAUCAUCCUUGCUGCACACCUAGAGAGAGAGACAUGCACUCACCAUGAUUUUGUCGAGCUUCACUUAUAUCUUUUGGUAGACAAUUCAGCUCACAUGUGCUUCACUUAUAUCUUUUGAGCUAGAUACUUUUGCUCUAUGUGCUUCACUUAUAUCUUUUAGAGCACAUUGGUGCGUGGCUUGGUAGUGGAUCUAUGCUUUGAAAGUAGUCUCAAAAGGGGUAGUUAUCCAAAGGGAUACGAAAACUUCCACCUUCAUGUGCAUUGAAUAGUUAGAGAAGUUUGAUUCAUCUCAAUUAGUUUUGAGUUGUGGUUAUGGUAAUAUUGAAAGUCAUGCUAGUAAGGUGUUGUGGAUCUAGAAAUACUUGUGUUGUGGAUCUAGAAAUGCUAGUAAGUCAUGCUAUUUAGCGCGUAGGGCGAUGUAGCGCGUACACCCUCCAACCUUCGAUCCUCUAUUGGGCCGACCCAUCAACGGAUUUCUACCCCUCUGGUUUAGAACCUUACCUAAACAUAAUUUUCUUUUUUUCUUUAUGUAUCUUUUUUUCUCUUUUCUUCUUCAAUUUGCAAACAUGUUCCAAAUUCGUGUUUGUUAGGGAAAUCCUGGACAGUUUUUGUAAUACGUAAAUAUUUUUUUUAAAAUUACUAACAUUUUUAAAUUUGUGACCAUUUUUUACAAAUUUGUGACCAUUUUUUGAAAUUGUGUACCUUACACUUUUCGUUAUUUGAUUUCAGAAAAUGUGCAUCAAUGUAAAAAAAUGUUCAUCGAAUUCAAAUUUUCUUCAUCGUAUCUAAAAAUGCUCAUUGAAUUAAAAAAUGUUUAUCUUUCUUCAUUGAUUUUCAGAAAAUGAUCAUCAAAAUUCAAAAAAUAUUCUUUCUUUUGAAAUCGCGAGCAUUUUGUGAAUUCAAGAGCUGUUUUUGAAUUCGGUGAACAUUUUUUGAAUCCGUGAGCCUUUAUCAUUUCCGAACAUUUUUUUCAUAUCAUGAACAAGUUUCUGAAUUCACGAACAUUUCAAAAAUUGUAACUUGUUUUUUGAAAUCCCGAAUUAGUUUUAUAAUGGAAAACAGUUAAAACAGAAAAAAGCAAAAAAAAAAAAAAGAUGCUUCCCGCUUUGCUGCCCCCACACAUGGGCCGGUCCACGAGGGCGUCGGGGGUAAACUAAACAAGAGGUCCCUGAAUAAAGCUCUUCAGUUCCCAGAAAAAAGGGUAAACUAAAAGCAGAGCUCGGACCGACACGUUCUUGCCACACGAAGACAGCUCCGAACCAUUUUCCACCUGCAUGGACUAACCCCACAGACCAGCUCGUCCCCAACCCAUUACUGCGGUGCAGACAACACCCUUCCACCUUUCUCCGGUCCACUGGACCAGGAGCGCGGAGGAGCGCACAGGACAUCCACCAUUCACCGAGGAUGAGGGGAGGCGGAGGAAAUGGGUCGAGUCGCUCUCGCGAAAGGGACCCCCGCUCUGCCCCUCCUCCGCGUGGCGAAAUUCUCUCCUAUAGUCUACGACCGUGCGCUGCAGCUGCCGCCCCGCCGUGCCUCAGCGUCGCCGCCGACGCCUCAAUCCCCGCCGUACCUCGCCGUCCCCGUCCUCCCUCGCCGGGACGUCGCGUCCCCGCCGUGUCCACCCCGUCCCAGGCGAUUGGGUUUUGAGGUAUGGGCUUGUUUCGCCUAGCGAUUUGUUAAAUCACACCGAGCUCCACGAUUUUUGGGUGUGCCGGUGCGCCCACGCGGCACGCCAUCUUGAUCCGCUCCUGUUGUUGGAGAGGAGUGAUAUUGAGCAGAAUCGUAGAUGUUCUCUGAUAGGAUUAUAUCAGCCUCGGAAUAAAGAGUCAGGCUCUUAUUAAUUGUGCACAAAAAAACUUAUUGCUCAAUACUUCCGUACUAUCCUAUUCAGCAAGCUGUACAAAAAAUGGCUGGGGGGAACAAAAUUUGACUUAAGAUGCAGAUUGAAAUCCAUCAGGCACUUUGACUUUUAGGGAGCGUUCAUGUGUUGCGCUGAUGCCCAUGGUCUGUUAAACAUCAUGAUAUUCCUGUCUAAUGGAAUAAACAGGAUAGUAUUCUUGAACAAAUGCUAUAAGCAGACUCAUUGUAUGCCUCAUAUGCUUCACCUUUACUGCUUUAUUUCUCACAGGUGACCUCCACUGCUCAUUCUUUUACCUACUUAAUGCAUGUGUAAGCCUACAAUUCUUUGUGUAUAUGUUGAAAUGCGUGUAUGACAGGUUCUUCGUUUUCAAUUUUGUAGCCUAGGCACUGGGAUCUUCUUUGAAGUAAUUGAAGCUAUCCUAAUUGACAAACUAAAUUCAGUGGAUUAUACUGAGAAUCGAUAUUCUGCUCAGCUGUAUUUUCACCGAAACACAACCAUUUUGUAGUCCCUUGUCAAAAAAUAUGGGGAUUGAGAUAUGGUUACCCAUGAUGAGUAUGCGCUUGCUCCUGUGUGAUUAGAGCUAAUCCGGAAAUCUAUAAAUCCAAGCUAUUGAUGGAGCAUGCUAACUGCGAUGCGCACGAGCAUGUUAUAAAUGUAGCACAUGGGGAAACCGCAUCAACAUCAACCAGUCAUCAAGAUCUGCACAGUGAUACGGAUGAACCACAUCAGGAAGAUCGGCCUUCAACAAGCACGAGGACGCCAUCGCCACAAUCUUCAGCAUCAACAUCACCAACUGCUUACAGCUCCAGAAAUUUAUCAUUUCCUAGAAGAGAUAGUUUCUAUGGUCGUGGAACAAGUCUUUGGAAUUCUGGUUUAUGGAUCUCGUUUGAAUUUGUCAUGUAUGUAGCACAGAUUACAGCUGCUAUUGUCAUCCUCAUCUUGUCAAGACAUGAACUUCCCCAUGCCCCUUUAGUUGCAUGGAUAAUUGGUUAUACAGUUGGCUGCACUGCAAGUCUUCCUCUUGUAUAUUGGCGCUAUGUCCAUCGAAACAGACCUUCGGAGGAAGAACCUGAACAGCCACCUACAACUUAUCCUACUUUGACUUCAUCUUCAUCAGAAGGACGCAAUCAGCGUACCAGUGGUUCUGUCUUGCAUCUUGGGUGCAUCACAAUUGCUUGUCCAAGGUGAUUUUUAACUCCGUGCUAAUCUUGAUUUUGAGUUCCCUAAGCUUCUACAUGUUGAGGAAUCCUUCUAUGCAGUCACACUCCUACGCAUUUUAAAUCUUAUGGUCUUAUAUGUGUUUUCCAGAAAUCUGGAACGGUGAAAGGAAGAAGUUAAUGGUUAAGCUGAAUGAAAUUGCAACCUUUAGAGCAUCACACAAUUAGCUUCGUUGUGAAUAAUCUUACACUUGUUUGUGUAAAAUUCUGUAGUAGGUAUAUAAAACUGUAUAGUAUGAAAACAAAUCUGAGAUAAGAGUUGAGUAAAAAUUAUAACAGCUUAAGCAAAACCUUUAAAAUAAGCAAAUGCAGUUAUCAGUUUGUAUAGAUAAGAUAAUAUAUGUGCAGUUUUAUUUUACAGUAUAGCAUUGUGAAAUGAUUUCAAGGUCUUCUUUUCAGAACUUCUCCCUUUCUAUGCUUAACUCUCAAUGAUAUGUUCUUUUUUCGGUUUGCCAGUUUAAGCCUGUCAGCCCUAAGAACUCAGCAAUAGAAACACCUUUUGAUGGCUUUCCAAGAUUUGUGAAUUUGGAAAGGAGAACUUUAUAGGUUUUUUAGUCUGCGUGGCAAAUAGUUGUAGGACUGUUCACUUUUGUGAGCAAAAUCUUGUUGAUAUCUUUACUUGAUAUGGACCAAUGUAAUUACUAUGUAUGCCACUCGAAUGACGAGUCCAGUGUCAAUCUUAGUGUGCCACAUCACUUCAAAGUUAAAUAAUAUAGCGGCACAGCAGAUUAUUAUGCGUUCACAUCUUUUACUCCCUCCGUUUGACAAUAUAAGACGUUUUGACAGGCUGUUUUAGCUUGCAAAAUUUUAUAUUAUGGGACAGAGGGAGUAGCAUAUAACUACCACAUAAAGCCUCGCCAAAAAAAACUAGAAAUAUACUUAUAUACAGGAAAUGUUCUACAACUUAGUUAUCAUGUAUCCUCAUUUUCUUUUUCAUUUGCUCAUUUCCUGUGGAAGUAAGACAGAAAUUUGUUCCAUGGACUAGCGGAAGUCCCUAAGUCAUAGCAUAAUAUUACCAUGCUUUCUUCACAUGUCUGACUAGACUGGUUUGAUGAUGGUCCCUUAAGUAUGCAGCUAUGCGGAUCAUAAGUUUAUAACAUAUCCUCUUUAAAUAGAGUGAAACUGGUGCUAUUUUACUCUAGUCUAAAGUAUUCUUAUCUGAUUAGUAACUUGUAGAACUUGGUGAUGUAGGGUCUUAUAGUACUUGGUUGUAUGUUAAAUUUGAAGUGAAUGAAUGCUGUUAUUUGAUGUGAUUAUGUCUUAUAGGCCUAGCAUACUGGCUUAUCAUUCCAAGACAGCCGUAGACUGUUUCUUUGCUAUAUGGUUUGUUGUUGGCAAUGUGUGGAUUUUUGGUGGGCGUGGCACUUCAUCAGAUGCUCAGGACGCUCCAAAUAUGUAUAGGUAAUUGUACUGCUUUGUGUUUAUUCCAUUAUAUUUGUUGAACUCCCAACUGACCUUGCUGUGCCUUUAUAGGCUAUGUUUAGCGUUCCUUGCACUUAGUUGUGUUGGGUAUGCCAUUCCAUUCAUCAUGUGUGCAGCGAUAUGCUGCUGCUUUCCAUGCUUAAUUUCCGUUUUGCGCCUUCAAGAGGAUUUGGGUCAAAGCAGAGGAGCUACUCAAGAGCUAAUCGAUGCAUUGCCAACCUACAAAUUUAAACCAAAACGAAGCAAAAACUGGGUUCUUGAUCAUGCUUCGAGCUCAGAGAAUCUUAGCGAGGGCGGCAUCCUGGGCCCAGGAACUAAAAAGGAAAGGAUUGUUUCGGCUGAAGAUGCUGUGAGUAUUCCGCAUCCUUUUCCUGUGUCAUGAUAUUCAACAAAUACUGCAAGGAUUUGCUAUUGACCUUCAUAUGCUCCAUGAUUUAGUAAGAUAGCUUCAUUCAAUACAAGUGCAUUGUAAGCACUCAAUGUUAUGCUGCAACGUUUAUUGUUUUUUACCUUCAGAUUUUUUUUUUUUUUUGAGAAAACGCAAAAGCCUUGCGUUUCUUUGCAUUGAAAAGGGAGAUAGUACAGCCUCCGAAGAGGAAGUUACAGCACGGUUACAUGUAGGUCUAGUGGACAUCCCAGGUUGGGGGCAAAGCUACCCUAAGCCCUUUGUCCCCAGCCCGAGCCCAGCACCUAAUCUCAUCUUGAAUCCUAUCUAAGAGCUCGCUCAGCGACGGAGGUAUGUGAUCGAACACACACGCGUUCCUAUGCUUCCAUAUCAUCCAGGGGACCAGCAGCGCGACAGAACGCAGUGUCUUGCGGAGCGGUGCGGGGGUGGCGUUUCGCGCCCUACUCCACCAGUCCUGGAUGGAAGCGUCGUGCAUCGGCAGAGGGGCCGGGAGGUGCAGCCAGGACAACGUCUCAUGCCAUGCCUGCCGCGCGAAGGAGCAGGAGAUCAGCAGGUGCCGGAUAGUCUCGGGCUCCUGGUCGCAUAGGAGGCAGCGAGUGUGGUGAGGGAGCCCUCGGCGCGCAAGCCUGGCUGCGGUCCAACAGCGGUCCAGAUCCGCAAGCCAGUGGAAGAACUUGACUUUCGGGGGAGCCCAACCUUUCCAAAUGAGCUGCCAAGAGUGGCAUAUUAAUGAUCCAUGGAAGGUUGCCCUGUAGCAAGACCUCGCCGAGUAGAUGCCGUUGGCCGUCCACUUCCAGAUGAGCUUGUCCGGCUCCGAGGACAGAUUGAUCCGAGCGACGAGCUGCCAUGUCCUCAAGUAUUGGCCUAUCUCCUGCAGGCCCACCACACCUCUGAUGUCACGGGCCCAGGCAUUGCCGGCGAUGCCUUCCGCCACCGUCCUCACUUCUCUUCUGUUCUUGGGGAUGCAUAGGUAUAGGAGUGGCGCAAGCUCGCGAAUUGACUGCCCAUGCAGCCAUCGGUCCUCCCAGAACAGUGCGGUGAGGCCAUCACCUACUAGCAUGAGGGUGGAUGCAUGGAAUAGGCCGCGCUCCUCAGGGGAGAACUCUAAGUCAAGGCCUUGCCAUGCACGGUCGGCAUCCGUCCUCGAUAGCCAGAGCCAGCGGAGCCUGAGCGCUAGCCCCGUGCGCUCCAGGUCUCGAAUGCCCAACCCACCGUAGGCGAGCGGCCGGCAGACAGUGCGCCAGUUGACGUGACAGUGCCCUCCCUUUGCAGCCUCACGACCCGCCCAGAGGAAGCCGCGCUGAAUCUUCUCAAGCUGUUUCAGGGUCUUCUUCGGGGGCGAGAGAGCCAGCAUCUGGUGAAUCGGAAUCGCGCUGAGAACAGAUUUGACCAAUGCCAGCCGUCUUGCCUUGUUCAUGAGCCAUGCCUUCCAGGACGGGAGGCGGCCUGCGACGGCGUCUACCAGUGGCUGCAUCUGUGCCGCUGAGGGCCGGCGAGAAGAGAGCGGGAUGCCCAGGUACAUGAUGGGCAGCGCCGCGGGCUGGCAGCCCAGCGCCUCCAGCAGGGCGUCGGCGUCCUCACCCCCAUGCAGGGUCGUGGCCGAGCUUUUGCCGUAGUUCACCCGCAGGCCAGAUGCGGUCUCGAAGAUGCCCAAGAUGCUCUUCACGGCAAUAACCUCCUCCAUCUCGGCGUGGCAAAACAUCAUCACGUCGUCGGCAUAUAGAGAAAUUGCCGGAAUGUUGCGACGGGGGUGCAGGCGCCUGAGGAUGCCGGUGUGGAGCGCCCUGUGCAUGAGGCGGGCCAGCGCAUCGGCCGCCAGGACAAAGAGCAGCGGCGAUGUGGAGUCGCCCUGGCGCAGCCCGCGCCUGUGCCAGAUCGGUGGGCCGGGUACUCCAUUGAGCAUAACUAGCGUGCUGGCCGAAGAGAGCAGGAUGGACAGCCAUUCCCUGAUCCUGUCACCGAAGCCAUAUUGGCGCAGGACCUCGAAGAGGAACGGCCAGGAUAUGGAGUCGAAAGCCCGUGUGAGGUCGAGCUUGAGCAUGAUGCACGGCGCGCCCAGGUGCUGGAGCAUCUGCAGAGACUGCCUGACGAGCACGAAGUUGUCGUGGAGCGUGCGACCGGCGAUGAAGGCGUUCUGGUUGCGGCUCACCAAGCUAUCGAGCUUGGGGGCGAUGCGCAACGACAGAACCUUGGCGAAUAUCUUGGCGACUAUGUGGAUCAGGCAAAUGGGCCGAUAGUCUCCCAGCUUGUGUGCAUCCGCUCGCUUGGGCAGCAGGGUGAGCAGGGCUUGGUUGAGCUUACCAAACCCUCUUCCUUGGAGCGCAUACAGCUGCUCGAAGGCGUCCAGGAUGUCUUGCCUGAUGAUGCACCAGCAAGCGCGCAGGAAUUCGGCGGUAAACCCGUCCGGCCCCGGUGCCUUGUGGGGCGGCAUGCGGCACACCGCAGCCCAGAUCUCCUCGGAAGUGAAAGGCUCGUCCAGGUUGCCCAGCUGGCCGGGCGUGAUGAGCUGCGCCAGGUCAAGCGUGUGCUCUCGGUCCACCGCAGUGCCCAGGAGUCCGUCAAAGUGCUCAAAUGCGGCCUGGGCCAUCUCCUCGUGAUCAGUCCGAACCUGUCCAUCAACUAGGAGGCUAUGCACGCGGUUCUUCUGGCGGCGGUAGGUGCACUGCCGGUGGAAGAAGCUCGUGUUAGCAUCGCCCUCCGCGAGGGAGGUAAUACGGGCGCGCUGCCGCGCGAUGGUGCGCUCCAGGGAGGCAAGCCCGAGGUAUGACUGCUUGAGCUGCCUGCGCAACCAAUCCUCUGAUGGGGUGAGCGGGCGAGUCUCCAUCGCGAGGUCGAAGCGGGCAAUCAGCUCGCGGGAGAUGGCCAGCUUGUCCCGGAUACUGCCCGUGGAGCGGGCGCUCCAGCUCGUAAGGGCGAGGGCAGUGGCCUGCAGGCGCCGGACCAGCCGCUGGAAGGGGUCGGGGUCAUGUACCGAGCUCCAGGCUGUGGCGACGGUGUCGUGGAAUCCGUCGAGGCGUAGCCAGAAAUUCAGAAUAUUUAUAAUAGAUGGUAUUUUUUUCUUGAUAUUUGCGCACUACUUCACCAGACAAUUCAUUGAAAUAUAUUUUUUAUUCUCAAUGUAUAGCACAGAUUGAUCUACAAGUGCUUUUGAGAUAUAUUCUUGGUUUGCAAGGAACAUUUUACUAGUUGUCUUGCUAGCAUGUGAACCUCUUCCAUGCGUUGGUAUCUCUUUAUUCAGCAGCAUAUCCCCUCAUUGGUUAUUAUUCUAUACUCCACGUGUCUAGGUUAAUAGUACCUCCGUCCCAAAAUAAGUGUCGCAGAUUUAGUACUAAAUUAGUACAAUUUUUGUACUAGAUCAACGACACUUAUUUUGAGACGGAGGGAGUAUUUGUUAGCGUGUUCACUCUUUGCAAUUUGGCCAAUAUUAAAUCAUGACCUAGCUUUCCAAAUACUCUACCAUAUUUCCAAUGUUCACCAUCUGGGCUACAUUUGCUCUCUUUCUCAGCAUGAUUCACAAGUUAUCUCCUUAUUUAACAGCAUGUCAGCAUGUCCCUUCUUAGAGCAUCAGCAAGGUUUGGAACAUCCUGCAUAUAAUAAGCUGGGCCCCACCACUCUGUCUGAUCUAGCAAGUAGUAGUGGACUGUAUGGUGCUGGUUCUAGUUAACCAACCUUGGACUCCAGAAAUUCUGCAUUCAUUUCUCCACUCCCCAUGCUCGCGGACUGCCGUUUUGGCUACCACCAGUGACACGUGGGGCCCAAAAAGUGAUUCCUUUACCCUAGAACCGGUACUUGAGCUGGUAGCCGUGCCUAGCUUGGAAUUAUUUUGGACAUCCUUACAGUGUUUGGGACCGGUACUAUGCGAUUCUUUUGGACCUCCUCUUGUCACAAUACUGUGGAUGCUGUUAGAUUAUUCCAAGCUACAUUAUGUACUGCACAUGGCUAGGUUAAUAUUUGCUAGUGUGUUCACUAUUUGUAUUUUGCCACUAUUAGUUUAUAUUUUGGCCAAGUUCUCCGGAUAUUGAAAGUUGAGCCCAGCUCACCUACACCUGGUUGGGAAAAAAAUAAUCAAUUUUCUUUGCAAACCAUUUAAAAAAACUUAUUGUUUGGCAGGUCACAUAUGUGUGUGUUCUAUCUACCUACACAUUCUCAUCAACAAUCGACAUUCGUGGUGCUCUGUGCCUAAAAAAAACCAGUGCUCUUAUAUGCUUCAAAAAUGGCAUUUUUUUUAGCCACCGAUAUUUUUGUUUUGCACAGAGCACAUGUUACUUAUUUGUCAUGAAAAUUUGCUCGUGGUUCAAAUACACACACAUGCUUGCUGGACAAAAAAUUCAUAACUUUUUGAAGUGUUUUGCUAAAUUGUUUUCUUCAAAAGAAAGUCUAGCCAGGCGUAGGUGAGUCCGGGAGCCUAGUUACUGCCCCCCAAGUUCUCCAAAUACUUUACCAUAUCAGUUUUUAAUACACUCAUAUGGGGCACAUUUGCUCUUUCUCAGCAUGAUUUACAAGUUAUAACUGUCAAAGUUUCUAAUAUUGGUGCAGGUGUGCUGCAUCUGCCUUACUAAGUACGGAGAUGACGAUGAGCUUCGCGAGCUUCCUUGCAACCAUUUGUUUCAUGUGCAAUGUGUCGAUAAAUGGCUCAAGAUAAAUGCAGUAUGCCCACUCUGCAAGACAGAGAUUGGAGGCGUGGUUCGAUCAUUCUUUGGAUUGCCCUUUGGCCGCCGCCGUGUUGAUAGGAUGGCAGGAAGAGGUGUAGCUAGCUCAAGAUUUAGUGUAUAGAACACGUCCUUUUGCUCCGAUAUAUGCUUGCUAUGUUGUUUGUUGUAUGCCUAGUGUUGCUCAUGGGAUUCAGUGUGCUGAUUCUCAAGGAAAGAGGUAAACUGCUUUCUGUCGGACUGUUAGGCUUGUUUCACCAAACGGAGGACAGCAAGUGGAGACCGGAUGCUUGUAAUGGCAUGUUUGUGGUACAGUGGAGGUGAUGUUAUAUUCGGAUUUAUCAUUUGACGUCAAGCUUGUAAAUAAAGAGAUGAAGUUCACUUCUGAGCGUAGGGAAGGAUGAUAUAUUUCGUCGAAGGAAGAAUGAUAUAACUUAGAGGGCAUUCUGUUUUGUGCUAUCAUUGUGCUUGGUAUUUGUUUUACAGCCAGUACUGUGAGUUUCUCUUUGUUGGCACCAUGCACCAAAUGCGCAGGACGAGUCUCAUGUUUUUGUUGCCUUGGAGAUGCUAUAUUUGCUAUAAUGUCUUCUUUCCUGCAAACCUAUUGUUGCUGCUAUAUUUCAGAAUUCGCUGGAGUCAAGUUAACAUAAGAACAUGUACAUUUGCAGCAGGAAAAAUGAUGUUUUUGUUCAUGUAUGACCAGAAGUUGAAUAGUCGAAAACCUAUGUGAAAGCAGGCUGAAAAGUAUACUGGAGGAAGAGGUUGGUAUGGAAUCAGCAUGCCCUUGGUUCAAUGAAAUUUGUAGGAUUCCAGUUGACACGGAAUUCGAAUCCAUUUAGUUCAAAGGAAUGAAUUCUCCAAAAAUUAUGUGCAUUGUUUUCCUACAUGGGCUUCUUUGGUUCAAAGAAAUUUUAAAGCAACUUUGUUGAUUUCAAUCCAUAAAAUUUCUAGCAAGUUAUGGUCUCAUAUCUCAAUAGGAAGUUGAUGUGCCUUUCCUGGUUCAUGUAUGAUUCAAAAUGUCAGGAUAUCUAUUCCUAUAUUUUUUUCAUGUUCCUAUGUUCUUCAGACCCUGCGGAGCGAAGAAGGUUCUACUAUUCCAUAAGAUUGAUUGGAAAAUUUCCAUAUAUCUUGACAAGCAUGACAUGCACUCAAUGUCUACGAAAAGUUCUUACGGUUUUUCCUUCGAUGCAACCAAACAACUUCCGGUACUGGUGUUUUCAAUCUCAGAAUUCCAAGUGUCAUGAUACCAUAUUGUCAUGUUUUUCAUAUUACGAUGUUUUUAAAAUCCUAGAGGCCGUCAGUUUCUGGUACCAUUCUCACAUUAUUUUAUCAGCCUCCUUUUUUUUAAUAACUCUAGAUGAUGUAAGGUAAGCAUGUUCAGGAGGCAGAAGCUGCAAUUUUUUAGAUAGUCAAAGCCAUAAUUCAGCAAGCACAAAGGAGGUGACGACUUAUAGCUGCCCCUCCCAUGUAUGUGUGGAUGUACUGGGUGGCAUGUUGCAUAUGGCCGGCAGCUGCAAAUAUGCUCACAAUAAUUCAAGGCCGGAAAGUCUGCAGUCCACACCGCUAGAGAACAACCCCCUAUUCCAGCUGCUGUCAUUGCGGUUAGCUCGUUGUCCUGAUGACUGAUUAGUUUAAGAAACACGAGCGAUGUUAUGCAGGGAAAUUCUUUGUCUGAUGCGAAGACGUCCAUGUCAUGGAGAAGUUUCAUGGAAUGUUGCCAUCCUGCUGCUGGCCUAGCUUUGGGAAUCCCUCGUGUGGGGUGGGUGGCAGCUCGCCAGGCCAGGACAGAAUAUUUCCCUCUCGUGAUCUCGUCUAUUUCCAAAGAUGCCAGGGCUGUGUACUCUGGCAGACUGGUGGCCACAAUGUGGCAUGCGACACCAGCGGCGUUUCCCUUGUGACUGACUACUUCAUUUAAUUUUUACUUCAUCCGUUCCUAAGUACUCCCUCCGUUCCUAAAUAUAAAUCUUUUUAGACAUUUCAUUAGUAGACUACAUACGGAUGUAUAUAGACAUAUUUUAAAAUAUAGAUUCAUUCAUUUUGCUCCGUAUGCAGACUCCUAGUGAAAUCUUUUAAAAGACUUAUAUUUAGGAACGGAGGGAGUAUAAGACUUUAUAGAAAUUUUAUUAUAAAAUAGAUACGAAGUAAAAUAAAUGAACCUAUACUUUAAAAUAAGUCUAUGUAUAUCUGUAUGUACUUCCUCUGUACCUAAAUAAUUGUAGUUGGGGAGAUUAGUUCUCCUCAUCUAUAGUUAUUUCGAUAUAGGAGAAGUAGUCUAUAUUUAAAAAAUGUCUUAUAUUUAGAAACAGAUGGAGUAUUAUGUUGUAUGGUUUGUUUUCGGUGUUUGUGGUCAAAACGAGGCUAUUAUACUGAAACUAGGGCUUCCUCUUGGUUUCCUCUGGGUAAUUCUACCUAUAGUUUUUUGAAAAAUAAAUAUUAAGUUGUUGGAGUAUAGAAUAUGGUAGGCUAGUACUGAUGGGGCUGGGGUAGGCCCACGGACCUGCAUUCUAAGGUCCAUCUAAGGCCUCACAUGGACAUCAAUGUCCUCAAAGCUACCAGUACAGUCACGGUCUCAUUCGGGCAAACAUGUUCUCACUCGGUUUGCACAAGGUCAUUCGGUUUAUCUUCUAUCAGUCGGACGUGCCCCGACACUCGGACUACAACGAGGCAUGGACGACGAAGAGACUGCAACGGCCAUAGACUUAAACUACCACAUGAAGUGCAGUGAAGACAAACGUUACUAGUAAUGCUGGAGUUAGAGCUGCUUUACUAGUAACUUUCAUAGUUAUUACCAUGAACUCAUCCUUGUAAUGGCGCUUGGCCGGUCGUGGCACACUCUAUAUAAGACGCACCCGAGCUCCUGGACAAGGGUUGAGCAUUCUGUAAUCGCACACCCCUCAUAAGGAAACACUAGCCUCCGGGCUCGAGACGUAGGGUCGUUACCACUCUAGAGUGGGGCAAGAACUCGUACAUCCGAGUGCAACCACUGCGCUGUAGCUAGGCUUAGCCCCUCGUUCGUACCCCUCGUACUAUUGUGAGGAUCAUUCCCACGACAGUUGGCGCCUACCGUGGGGCAGCGCGUUUAGCAAAAUCCUAUGUAGUUGGAAUUUCCAUCCUUUCCAUCAUCAUGAUGACACUCCGCGGUGAGAUCCUCUUCGGUUCCCUCAGCUUCGUCAUCGACGACUCGGCAUGGCUGCAGAACUCGCGCUCGACACUGAUACGUCCCAAAAGUAUCUAUAAUUUAUGCUUGUUCCAUGAUCUUUUGGGUGACAUUGGUAUAUGUUUUGCUACACAUUUAUAUCAUUCCACACAUAUUUGGACUAACCUACUAACUCAGUGCACCCAGUGACAGUUUCUGUCUCCUGAUGUCUAUUUUGCAGAAAAAAUUAUAACAAAUCAGUGAAACGGUAGCUUCCGGAUCACCGAAGAUGGGCGAGAGGGGGGCCAGGGGCCUCCCAGGCGGCCUGCUGGCGCGACCAGGCCCUAGGCCGCGCCAGGAGGUCGCCUGGGUAGGUCCCACCUCCUCCGGUGCCCUCCUUUGGCCUAUAUUUAGAGUCCCGAGAGGAAACCCUUGCAGACUUUCGGGAAUCGCGAAUUUCUCCAUCGUUCCGCCGCCGCAGCGCUUCUCAGAUCGGGAGCGUCAGGAGACCUCUUCCCGGCACCCUGACGGAGGGAGGACUGACCUCCGGGAGCUUCUCCACCGCCAUGGACGCUUCCCGGACGUGCCGUGAGUAGUCCUCCUUGGACCAUGAGUCUAUGACCAGUAGCUAUGUGAUGUCUUCUCUCCAAUCUUGUGCUUCAAUGGUUAGUCCUUGUGAGCUGCCCUACAUGAUCAAGGCAUCUAUGUAAUUUCUUGCUUUUGCUAUGCUCGGUUUGUUGGGAUCCGAAGGAUUAUGAGAUUAUGUUCAGAUUGUUAUGAGUUAUAUAUUUGAUUAUCCUUUUAUAUUAUGUUCCUUAGUGAUUCAUGCAUGUUCUCCNCGUUAAUGCAGUUGUCUGUUGCUUUGAGUUUACACUUUGGGUGGGGCUCGCAAUUUAAUACCGGCGAGAUGUUCUGAAUAGAUAUCUCAAGGUGUAUGAUUAGUAAGUAGAUACUGAUGAAUAAACGGUCUACUUGUCUUGGCGUACUGCCCAUUACUAUUGAACCUCUAACUAUCAAGUAGCAUAAUUAGCAUUGCGGUGCGAUCAUAAUUCUGUCAAUUUCCCAACUGUGAUUUGUUUACCCAAGCAUAGUUGUUUAUCUCUUUUGGGAGAGAGACAUCACUAGUGAACAUCAUGCGACUCUGGUCCAUAUCAUCAUCAUUGUAUACACCUCCAUCAUUUAUCAAUUUCAUUUGCUUUUCCGUUGCAAUCACUAGUACCUUCCCGCUUGUGUUUUGAUCCUUUGCAAACUACAAGGCCGGAGAGAUUGACAACCUCUCUGUACUCGUUGGGAGCAAAGUUAUUUGUUGUGUGUGCAGGUCCACGUCUUCUGCUAGCGCCAGGGUGGAAGACACCUACUUGUUGAGCCUAGGAGUCCUCUUGGUUCGAUAAACCUUACAAUCUCCGUGUAAGAGAAAUCUGUUGUUGACUACAUCUCCACCUUCCACUUGGGGUAACCAACGAGGGGCGAGAAGUAUAUCCAUCAACUCGUCAUCAAGCAAAUUUAUGGCGCCGUUGCUGGGGAUUCCAGUCUUCAAGAUAGGGGAGUUGCACGCUAUCCUUUACCUUUGCUUUUUAGUCUUGUUAGUUUUCUUUUUAGUCUUUGCUUUAGAGUCUUAUACCAAAAACCACAAAAAAAUAGUUGCUUUGUUCUUGCUUGUUGCUGCUUCUAUAGGUUCCACUGAGAAUACUAAGUUGUGUGGCUCCACUAGUUAGGCUUAUGGAAAACUGCACUCUUAGUUCGUUGCUUGGGGAAGGCCGCUUUACCACACCCGUGGUAAUGAAGUCUCCUCCACCUACUGAAUGUAUCCCAUUCAAAAUACCACUUGGGAUAAUUGAAAUAAUUAGGAAUGAUUGUUAUGCAGGAGAUGGAACAGUCAAUCCUAGUAUUGAUUUGUUGAAACUUACAGAACUUUAUGAUUUGUUUAAGAUUUCAGGUUUGACAAGAGAUGGAGUCAUGAGGAAAUUAUUUGCCUUGUCACUAAAAGGAAAAUCAUUGGAAUGGUAUAGGCUACUAGAUGAUUCUCACCUACGGGAUUGGGAAGAGAUUCAAUCUCUCUUUUACUCCAAGUUUUAUCCUCUUCAUGAAGUCCAUGUGGAUCAUGGUAACAAUGCUUUAUGUGAUACUUAUAUUGUUGAGUUUAUUCAUGAUCUCACUGAAAAUUAUUAUGAGAAGGGAACAUAUGCUUAUAGAUGUUUCAGUAAUAUCAAGUUCCCUCUCUUUAUGUUGAAGGUUUUGAAGUUGCACUUGUUUUGCCUUCCUAUGCUUAUUGCUUUGUGCUUCAAUGAAUUAUUCUAUUGCAAUAUUCCUAUGCAUAGGAAGCAUGUCAUACUUAAAUGUGUUAGGUAUUUUCUUCUUGAUGCUCUCUUUUGUUCUACAAUUCUUAUUCCUAAGAGAGCAUCAUUAAAAUCUUAAGCCUAUCUUUAUGGCUAUAAAGAAAGAGCUCUAGGUAGACAACCCUAGUUAUCUUUACUUUGAGUUUUUACUUUUAGUUUUAGUGGUCUUGAUACUUGUUACUACUAUAGCAACAUCAUUGUAUCUUUAUUUUAAAGCUUUGUGCCAAGUUAUAGCCUCCGAUUGCAAGAAAGUUCAAAAAUUGUGACAUGCUGUCCAGAAACAGAUUAUGUUUGCUUGACGGAAAAAUUUGCCAAACAUCACCAGAUCAUCUUUUUGAUCUGAAUGUUUUUGUCAGCAUGCUAUAUAUAAUUGCCUUUCUGGCAUCUGUUCUGAGUUUUUUGAUUUGAGUUGCAGAAGUGCCCCGAAUAAAUUAUUUACUACGUGAUGUUCUGUUUUUCACAGAUUCUGCCAUGUUUUGCGUUUUCAUUGUUUUGCGAAUCCUAAGCUUGCUUUUUAUUUGCAAAAACCUUUUGGCAUUCAUAAGAAGCAGUAGAUUUUCAUGAAAAUCUUUAUUUCCAGAAGGUAAUCAAUUAUUUUAUUAAGGGAACUAACUACUCUAAUCAGCUUAUGAUGAGUUUCGUAUGAAGGGAGUUUUCAAGUAUGCGAUGUGAGAUGAUGAAAUAAGAUACAGGAGUGUCAAGCGCUCAAGCUUGGGGAUGCCCCCAUGCACCCCCAUAAAUAUUCAAAGGAUACUCAAGCGUCUAAGCUUGGGGAUGCCCCCGUGCACCCCUUUCUCUAUCAACAAUCAUCAGUUCGUUCAUCUCCAUGCUAUAUUUUUAUCACUUCAUAUGGUAUGUGCUAUGCUUGGAGCGUCUCGCUCUUCACUUUUUAGUUUGUUUUAGUUUUUCUUGUUGUUCAUAACAAGUCGGAACCUAGAUUACCUUGUUUGGUAGAGAGACACGCUCCAUUCCACUCUAGAACACAACAUAGGUUUUCAUGCUUAUCUUUUUCGUGUGUUCGUCAUCUUUUCAUAGCUACUGUCAUGCUUAGCUCUUAGUUUUCAUGCUUAUCUUUUUAAGAGAUAUUAUUUAGGUUGCUUCUAGAACUCUCUUGAGUUAUCAUGCUUAUCUUGUUUAGAGAGUUGGCUCGUUGCUGUGAGUUGUGUGUCUUGCAUGAGUAGGUAAUUGAGGCUGCUAUUUAAGUAUAGUAGUAACUUGCAAUAGUUUUGAGGUAUUGAUUUGAGUAAUGUUUGGACUAUUGGUGCCAAGAGCUUGAGGCUAUUAGUGAUAGGUAUCGUAUUUUUGGAAAUUCGUGUGUUUUUCAAAAACUAAAAUUAGUUGAGAACUCUAGCUACUAAAUUGAUCGCUAACCUCUGGAGGGGUUUGAAUAUAUAGAGUACCCUCACGUUGCCAUGGUCGAGGAUGCGCAAGGAUAACCAAACCCCCAAACACUCCUCCUCGGGGUACUUGUCUCUUUGUGAAUUUCCUAACAAGAUAGAGAGUUACCGAUAAUAAGUGUAUGAUUUCUUGGACUAAUGUGAGUAUUCGAUUGUUGGCACUUCCACCAUCCAUAUUUUGCUACCCUCUUCAGUACCGUGCAUUGCCCUUUCUCACAUUGAGAGUUGGUGCAAACUCCGCCGGUGCAUCCAAACCCAUGACAUGGUACGCUCUGUCAUACAUAAGCCUCAUUAUAUCUUUCCUCAAAACAGCCACCAUACCUACCUACUAAGGCAUUUUCAUAGCCUUCCCGAGAUACAUUGCCAUGCAACAUCCACCAUCUCAUGACUUGAUCUUCAUGUCAUACAUGCUUUUGCUUGAUCGUAGAGCCGCAUGCUAAUUGGGCCUUGCCCUUAUUACUGCUACAUGACGCACUAGUAUCAUUGCAAAUCCUGCCACACUGGCAGAGGCAUACAUUUGCAUAGAUCAUGAUAGUUUUCACUUGCCUUUAUAUUGAGUACUUCUUAUAAAGUGUGAUGAUUUUUCUUUUAUUCAUGUAAAAUAUAGAGUGUUGCCCUUAAGUGAGGAAAAGAUCUCAAAGAGGACAAAACAAAAGAUCCCAAAGUGAACAAAUGAGAGAUAAAAAGAAAGAGCCAAAGAGGCCACAAAAAAAUAGAAAAAGGAGAAAAAGAGAAAGAAAAAAAGAGAAGGGGGCACCACUAUUAUUCCUUUUGAAAGAUCCACACUCGUACUCCAUUGUUAUAUUUGUACUACAUAGAGAUUAUCAUUCAUGCAUAACUAUGUGGGGACCCUUACACUAUAGAACUUGGUUUUCUUAUUCCAAUGAUGAGCCUCCUCAAAUGAGCAAACAAGUUGGAUGCACCCCCACUAGUUCCAUUGGAGAGCUUACCUUAGCUCGUAUGUGCAUCCGUUACAUGUCAAUCCCUACUCCUCACAUCAUAUCUAUCAUUUGGCUUUCUCUCGCCUAUGGUUGUCCUAAUUGAUGUGAGCCUAUCACACCUUUUUGUCUUCCUUCCCCAUCAUUAUUCUAUUUGCCAUCCUAAGUGCCAACAUAUCUUGCUUACGCUCAUCCAUUGCAUGAGUGCUCAAAAUCGAAAGGGAGAGGAUCAUUUUGAUUUGUGCCUCACUAGUGGUCUCGGGAUGAGUCAAAAUAAGAUUUCGAAGGAGACCAAGUGUGAAAUUUUAGUAGAUUGAGUUCUCAAUUAAAAAUAUAUUUUAUGAUAUAAACCCAUCUCCCAUUUCUUGCAUGCAAACACCAUUUGGAGACAUUCGAGUCACGGACAGCGAGAGCUCUUGCACCUUUAUGUUCUUACUUUGCUGAACUCAAUAGAUAUAGACUCUUGCUUGUUAUUGUCUUGACUUGAAUUGCAUAUCUCACUUGCUUUACUUUGAAGUUCUUAUAUGUGUGUUAGCAUGUCACCACAGAAAUUAUUGUGUUAUCAUUUAUCUACUCGAGGAUGAGCAGAAAUUAGGCUUGGGGAUGUUGAUACGUCCCAAACGUAUCUAGAAUUUCUGCUUGUUCCAUGAUCUUUUGGGUGACAUUGUUAUAUGUUUUUCUACACUUUUAUAUCAUUUUACACAUAUUUGGACUAACUUACUAAGUCAGUGCACCCAAUGCCAGUUUCUGUCUGCUCAUGUCUAUUUUGCAGGGGCUUUUACCCAAUUUUCCGAAGCCCGAAAAAUUCCAGAAAAUAUAUAUAAAAAAUCAGCGAAACNCGUUAAUGCAGUUGUCCGUUGCUUUGAGUUUACACUUUGGGUGGGGCUCGCAACUUAAUACCGGCUAGAUGUUCUGAAUAGAUAUCUCAAGGUGUAUGAUUAGUAAGUAGAUGCUGAUGAAUAAACAGUCUACUUGUCUUGGCGUACUGCCCAUUACUAUUGAACCUCUAACUAUCAAGUAGCAUAAUUAGCAUUUCGGUGCGAUCAUAAUUCUGUCAAUUUCCCAACUGUGAUUUGUUUACCCAAGCAUAGUUGUGCAGGUCCACGUCUUCUGCUAGCGCCAGGGUGGAAGACACCUACUUCUUGAGCCUAGGAGUCCUCUUGGUUCGAAAAAUGUUACAGUCUCCGUGUAAGGGAAAUCUGUUGCUGACUACAUCUCCACCUUUCACUUGGGGUAACCAACAAGGGGCGAGAAGUAUAUCCAUCAACUCGUCAUCAGAUACCGAUGCCCUACCCGCACGAGGUGCGUUGCAAACCGUUGGUGGUGGUGCAUGGGGUCCUGAUCCGACAACCGUUGGUACCGUAUCAUUCGGUGCCCCAGGUCCUGCUGCGGUUCAUCGCAAGUGCUCCAAGCGCUCACGUCUGCAGCGGUGGAUCAAGCAUGCGGUGGCCCUUCAGGCCACAUCAGGGCAGGUGGCUAUGCUCGAUUCACACGAGCCCCCCCGUCAGUUUCUUCCCUUUAUCGAGCAACGAUUUGUUCGAUGAUUCCGACCGCGAAAGCUGUGGCGGUGCCACAGAGAUCUUGAUGGCCGACACGGCCAGGGGGAGGAGCCCCUGGUUUUUUCGUGGAGAACUCUCACUCACACGAUGGCGGCGAGCGUCAUCACGGCGACGACAGCCAUCACGUUCCUCAACAUCUCACCGAGCAACGGGAGGAACUUUGGCGGAGGAGCGAUCAGGCUCUUCAUACUCCCAUCACCAGGAACACCCCGAAGGAAAUAUCACUUGAUAAAGCGCUUCAGGCCACUCUGGUCGAGCACGAGCGACUCAAGCGGCUUCAGCGCUCACUCGACACCCGAGCCACAAGGGAUCACCCCAAUUCCAAUCGCAACCACCGGCAGUUGUUUUUGAACGAUCGCCAGCGUAACAUCAAGGUUAUGUGAACACCUUUGCAGAACCUGGCCGCGGCCACUCAAAUCGUUGAUUCCAUUCUACUGAGUGAUUCAGCGACCGGGGAAGGCAUUCGGCAGAUCCCGACUCUGCUGAGUUCCUAACUCUGCUGAAGACCGCCUUGCAGUAGAACUGCACGGUAUCACAAUCAUGAUAUCACAUCCACAGCAGGUCUGUCCAAGUGGACUCGGUGCAGUCGGCACACAACCCUCAUGCAUCUGGAAGACGCCAAANNNNNNNNNNNNNNNNNNNNNNNNNNNNNNNNNNNNNNNNNNNNNNNNNNNNNNNNNNNNNNNNNNNNNNNNNNNNNNNNNNNNNNNNNNNNNNNNNNNNUUUCUUUCUCUUUGAUUUCUUAUCCUUUGGCGCAUAGGGCCUUCUUGGGCUGUCCCACCAGCCCACUAAGGGCUGGUGCGCCACCCCCAAGGCCUAUGGGCUUCCCCGGGGUGGGUCCCCCCCCGGUGAACACCCGGAACCCAUUCGUCAUUCCCGGUACAUUCCCGGUAACUCCGAAAACCUUCCGGUAAUCAAAUGAGGUCAUCCUAUAUAUCAAUCUUCGUUUCCGGACCAUUCCGGAAACCCUCGUGACGUGUGUGAUCUCAUACGGGACUCCGAACAACAUUCGAUGACCAACCAUAUAACUCAAAUACGCAUAAAACAACGUCGAACCUUAAGUGUGCAGACCGUGCGGGUUCAAGAACUAUGCAGACAUGACCCGAGUGACUCCUCGGUCAAUAUCCAAUAGCGGGACCUGGAUGCCCAUAUUGGAUCCCACAUAUUCUACGAAGAUCUUAUCGUUUUAACCUCAGUGCUAAGGAUUCAUAUAAUCUCGUAUGUCAUUCCCUUUGUCCUUCGGUAUGUUACUUGCCCGAGAUUCGAUCGUCAGUAUCCGCAUACCUAUUUCAAUCUCGUUUACCGGCAAGUCUCUUUACUCGUUCCGUAAUACAAGAUCCCGCAACUUACACUAAGUCACAUUGCUUGCAAGGCUUGUGUGUGAUGUUGUAUUACCGAGUGGGCCCCGAGAUACCUCUCCGUCACACGGAGUGACAAAUCCCAGUCUCGAUCAAUACUAACUCAACGAACACCUUCGGAGAUACCUGUAGAUCAUCUUUAUUGUCACCCAGUUACGUUGCGACGUUUGAUACACAGAAAGCAUUCCUCCGGUGUUAGUGAGUUAUAUGAUCNNNNNNNNNNNNNNNNNNNNNNNNNNNNNNNNNNNNNNNNNNNNNNNNNNNNNNNNNNNNNNNNNNNNNNNNNNNNNNNNNNNNNNNNNNNNNNNNNNNNNNNNNNNNNNNNNNNNNNNNNNNNNNNNNNNNNNNNNNNNNNNNNNNNNNNNNNNNNNNNNNNNNNNNNNNNNNNNNNNNNNNNNNNNNNNNNNNNNNNNNNNNNNNNNNNNNNNNNNNNNNNNNNNNNNNNNNNNNNGUGAUCCCGUUAUCAACUGACAACACUUGCCUAUGGUCAGGAAACCUUGACCAUCUCUGAUCAACGAGCUAGUCAACUAGAGGCUUACUAGGGACAGUGUUUUGUCUAUGUAUCCACACAUGCACUGUGUNNNNNNNNNNNNNNNNNNNNNNNNNNNNNNNNNNNNNNNNNNNNNNNNNNNNNNNNNNNNNNNNNNNNNNNNNNNNNNNNNNNGGCAUAUUUCCAACAGAAAAGUGCCCGAGUGAUUCGAAGUCCAUCUAUCUUGAUGCUAAAAGCAUUAAAAGUGGGGUAGAAGACGUUAAAACUUUGAUUAGUAAUGAAAUUACUACCAUGGAUUUCAAGGAAUUCAAUUAUGAUAGUUGCUCCUUGAUUGAAUGCAUUUCUUUGAUGCAAUCCAUGUUGAACUCUCCACACGCUUAUAGCCAAAACAAAGCCUUUACCGAUCAUAUCGUCGAAGCUAUGAUGAAAGCUCUUGAAGAGAAACUGGAAUUGGAAGUCUCUAUUCCUAGAAAGCUUCAUGAUGAGUGGGAACCUACCAUCAAAAUUAGAAUCAAAAACUAUGAGUGCAAUGCUUUGUGUGAUUUGGGUGCUAGUGUUUCUACGAUUCCAAAGUCUUUAUGUGAUGUUCUAGAUUUUAAUGAGAUUGAAGAGUGUUCUCUUAAUUUGCAUCUUGCUGAUUCUACUGUCAAGAAACCCAUGGGAAGGAUUGAUAAUGUUCUUAUUAUUGCAAAUAGGAACUAUGUACCCGUGGAUUUCAUUGUGGUUGACAUUGAUUGCAAUCCUACAUGCCCUAUUAUUCUUGGUAGACCUUUCCUAAGGACUAUUGGUAGUAUCAGCGAUAUGAAGGAAGGGAAUAUUAGAUUUCAAUUUCCUUUAAGGAAGGGUAUGGAACACUUUCCUAGAAAUAAAAUAAGAUUGCCUUAUGAAUCCAUGAUGAGGGCCACUUAUGGUUUGAGCACCAAAGACGACGAUACGUGAUUCUAUCGCUUCUAUGCCUAGCUAAGGGCGUUAAACAAUAGCGCUUGUUGGGAGGCAACCCAAUGAAUUUAUCUUUUUUCUUUCUGUUUUGUUGCGUCCACACUUUCAUAAUUCUGUUGUGAUUGUGUUUUUGUGUUUCUUUUUGUGUUUGAGCCAAGCAAAGCCUUUAUGAUUAGUCUUGGUAAUGGUUGUUUGAUCCUGCUGGAAAAAGACAGAAACUUUUCGCUCACGAGAUGAUUUUUCAUUUUUAUUAAGAAAGAUCUUUUGAGUUGAUUAUUUUUGCUUCUGAUUGAUAUUCUUUUUCCCCAGACGUCGUAAGUUUUCAGAUUUUUUGAGGUACCAGAAGUAUACGAAGAAUACAGAUUGCUACAGACUGGUCUGUUUUUGACAGAUUCUGUUUUUGUUGGGUUGGUUGCUUGUUUUGAUGAAACCAUGGUUAGUAUUGGUGGGUACUAGCCAUGGAAAGUGAGAAUACAGUAUCCCAUCAUCAAUAUAUAUAGAAUUCAAGUUUGCUGCAGUACCAAAAGAAGUGGUAGUUUGUUUUCUUGUACUAAUGUUAUCACAAGUUUCUGUUUAAGUUUUGUGUUGUGAAGUUUUCAAGUUUUGGGUCAUGUUCUCAUGGACAAAGAGAUAAGGUGUGGAAAGAGCUCAAGCUUGGGGAUGCCCAAGGCACCCCAAGCCAAAUUCAAGGACACCAAAAAGCCUAAGCUUGAGGAUGCCCGGGAAGGCAUCCCCUCUUUCGUCUUUAAUCCAUCGGUAACAUUACUUGGAGCUAUAUUUUUAUUCACCACAUGAUAUGUGUUUUUCUUGGAGCGUCUUGUAUCUUAGGAGUCUUUUCUUUUUGUUGUGUCACAAUCAUCCUUGNNNNNNNNNNNNNNNNNNNNNNNNNNNNNNNNNNNNNNNNNNNNNNNNNNNNNNNNNNNNNNNNNNNNNNNNNNNNNNNNNNNNNNNNNNNNNNNNNNNNGAAUAAUCAUCCAAAGACUCAAGCCAUGAGCGAGACAAUUUCUAAUCAUUAAUUUCAUUCUCUCCCAAGAUUGUGCAACAUGUUCAUUAUCAAGUUGCUUGAAAUUCAUGAUAUCAUUACGGAGAGAGAUGAUCUUAGCCGGCAGAAAAUACUUGGAUAUAUAAGCAUCUUUGCACUUAUCUCAAGAAUCGAUACUAUUUUGGGGCAAAUAAGAAAACCAAGUUUUUGCACGAUCUCGCAAGAGAAAGGAAAAAGCUUCAAUUUAAUCACGUCAUUAUCCACAUAUUUCUUCUUUUGCAUAUCGCAAAGCUCAAUGAAGGUAUUGAGAUGGGAUGCGGCAUCUUCACUAGGAAGGCAGAGAAUUGCUCUUUCAUAACAAGAUUCAGCAAGGCGACAUUGAUUUCGUAUGACUCCGCACUAGUGGCGGGAGCAAUCGGAGUACUAAAAAAAUCAUUAUUAUUAGUAUACGAGAAGUCACAAAGUUUGGUGUUUUCAUUCAUGGUGACUUCGGCAAGCAGGCAAGCACACAAGCAAACAAAGAGCAAGCGAGGAAAAAGGGCGAACAAAAAGGCGAACGAAAAAGGCAAACAAAAAAGGCAAAUUGGUGAAGUGGGGGAGAGGAAAACGAGAGGCAACUGGCAAACAAAGUAAAUGCAAGAGAUGAGUUUGUGACACCUACUUGGAUGAGUUCUUUACUUGAUCUUCCUCCCUGGCAACGGCGCCAGAAAUUCUUCUGCUACGGCAACAAAAGUCCUUCCCUGGCGCUAGGAAUUCUUCUUGUUACUUCUCUGGUUUGCGUCGGUUUUUCCCUUGAAGAGGAAAGGGUGAUGUAGCACAGGAGCAGUAANNNNNNNNNNNNNNNNNNNNNNNNNNNNNNNNNNNNNNNNNNNNNNNNNNNNNNNNNNNNNNNNNNNNNNNNNNNNNNNNNNNNNNNNNNNNNNNNNNNNNNNNNNNNNNNNNNNNNNNNNNNNNNNNNNNNNNNNNNNNNNNNNNNNNNNNNNNNNNNNNNNNNNNNNNNNNNNNNNNNNNNNNNNNNNNNNNNNNNNNNNNNNNNNNNNNNNNNNNNNNNNNNNNNNNNNNNNNNNNNNNNNNNNNNNNNNNNNNNNNNNNNNNNNNNNNNNNNNNNNNNNNNNNNNNNNNNNNNNNNNNNNNNNNNNNNNNNNNNNNNNNNNNNNNNNNNNNNNNNNNNNNNNNNNNNNNNNNNNNNNNNNNNNNNNNNNNNNNNNNNNNNNNNNNNNNNNNNNNNNNNNNNNNNNNNNNNNNNNNNNNNNNNNNNNNNNNNNNNNNNNNNNNNNNNNNNNNNNNNNNNNNNNNNNNNNNNNNNNNNNNNNNNNNNNNNNNNNNNNNNNNAGUAGACCGAUACUUUUUGCAUCUACUACUAUUACUCCACACAUCGACCGCUAUCUAGCAUGCAUCUAGUGUAUUGAGUUCAUGACGAAUAGAGUAACGCCUUAAGAAAGAUGACAUGAUGUAGAGGGAUAAUCUCAAACCAAUGAUGAAAACCCCAUCUUUUUAACCUUGAUGGCAACAACAUGACGCGUGCCUCGCUACCCCUUCUGUCACCGGGUGAGGUCACCGCACGGUAUGAACCCAAAACCAAGCACUUCUCCCAUUGCAAGAAUCAUAGAUCUAGUUGGCCACACGAAACCCACAACUCGAANNNNNNNNNNNNNNNNNNNNNNNNNNNNNNNNNNNNNNNNNNNNNNNNNNNNNNNNNNNNNNNNNNNNNNNNNNNNNNNNNNNNNNNNNNNNNNNNNNNNCAUGGAACAGAAGCACGGUGUACUCCACGAUUCUCUUUCUUUGAGUCAUAGGAACGUCGUACUAUUAAGAGGGGACCCGUAGUGGAAAGGUUUGGGUGGAAUCAAUUUUGCACGCACACACUUUAUCUCAUUUCCCUUUACGUGCAACUUUGGAGUGGCUCCUGCCUCUGUUUUUAUCUCAUCUAAGCAAAAGGUCUCUCAGCGGUAGUACCGCUGUGCCUAGCGGUAGUACCGCUGGGCCUAGCGGUGGUACCACUGGAACUGGUGGUAGUACCGCUCGCCCUAGCGGUAGUACCGCUGGUGCUGGCGGUAGUACCGCUAUGCUGGCGGUAGUACCGCCCCUGGUCAGCGGUAGUACCGCUCCAGUAGCUUAGUACCGCGUUCCUAGAGGCUGUACUUCGUCGGACCUUUUUGCGAAGACUUUCUUUGCGGUGGUUGGCCCGGUAGUGCUUCUGCACUACCAUGGGCCCAGCGGUAGUACCGUUGGAGUGCCAACGGUAGUACUGUUGCAGCCAGCGGUAGUACCGCUGGAGUGCUAGCGGUAGUACCGCUGCAGCCAGCGGUAGUACCGCUAGGCUCGGGCUGUGAGUGGGAAAACGGUUGGAUUCCCCCCCCCCACUAUAUAAGGGGUUCUUCUUGCUGUAGAACCCUACCUUUUACCCUACCAAGCUCCAUUGUUGCUCCCUAAGCUCAAAAGUGCCCGAUCUCUCUCCCUAGCCAAUCAAACUUGUUGAUUCUUUAGGGAUUGGUUGAGAAGGCCUAGAUCUACACUUCCACCAAGAGAAAAGUUGAUUCCCCCACCAAUCCCUUGCGGAUCUUGUUACUCUUGGGUGUUUGAGAACCCUAGACGGUUGAGGUCACCUCGGAGCCACAUUCCAUUGUGGUGAAGCUUAGUGGUCUUGUUGGGAGCCUCCAAGCUUUGUGUGAAGUUUGCCCCAACCUUGUUUGUAAAGGUUCGGUUGCCGCCUUCAAGGGCACCUAUAGUGGAAUCACGGUACCUUGCAUCGUGUGAGGGCGUGAGGAGAAUACGGUGGCCCUAGUGGCUUAUUGGGGAGCAUUGUGCCUCCACACCGCUCCAACGGAGACGUACUUCCUGUCAAAGGGAAGGAACUUCGGUAACACAUCAUCGUCUUCAUUGGUUCCACUUGUGGUUAUCUCUAACCUUUACUUCGUGUAUGCUUAUGUUGUUGUCUAUCUCUUACUUGUCUUAGUUGGUCUUGUUGUUAGCAUCAUAUAGGUUCACCUCGUUGUUGCUAUUUUAGUGAACCCAUAUGUUGCUUACCCNNNNNNNNNNNNNNNNNNNNNNNNNNNNNNNNNNNNNNNNNNNNNNNNNNNNNNNNNNNNNNNNNNNNNNNNNNNNNNNNNNNNNNNNNNNNNNNNNNNNGGCAGCCCGACCACAUACCUCCACGGUUUUUCCUCUAGAUCGCGUUUCUGCGGAGCUCGGGCGGAGCCCUGCCGAGAUCAGAUCACCACCAACCUCCAGAGCGCCGUCACGCUGCCGGAGAACUCAUCUACGUCUCCGUCUCUCUUGCUGGAUCAAGAAGGCCGAGAUCAUCGUCGAGCUGUACGUGUGCUGAACGCGGAGGUGCCGUCCGUUCGGCACUAGAUCGUGGGACGGAUUGUGAGACGGUUCGUGGGACGGUUCGCGGGGUGGAUCGAGGGAUGUGAGGACGUUCCACUACAUCAACCGUGUUCACUAACGCUUCUGCUGUGCGAUCUACAAGGGUACGUAGAUCAAAAAUCCCCUCUCGUAGAUGGACAUCACCAUGAUAGGUCUUCGUGUGCGUAGGAAAUUUUUUGUUUCCCAUGCGACGUUCCCAACAUAUUCAACCAAAGUGGAUUCAUAUCCAGCACCAUAAUCAUUAGGUUUGACACAAGAAAACAAAGAUUCAAUGGGAGUCACACCAAGCACUUUAAGAUCUUCGUGAUUCUCAUCACGAGAACACGCCUUUUUCAGCCAUUCAUGUCUAGCACGAAUUUGGGCGGUUCUUUCUUGGCUCUCAAUCAUGGAAACACGCAUAUCUUUCAAAGUUUAAUCCAUGUUGAUUUUGGGAGGAGUAAAUCUAACUUUCAAAGCAUCAACAUCACAAGAAAUCCUAUCAACGCUCUUAGCCAAAUCGUCAAUUUUGAGUAGUUUUUCCUCUAUGGACGCAUUGAAAAUCUUUUGAGAGUUGAUGAACUCUUUGAUAUUACUCUAUAGAUCAUAGGGUAAUCUAUUGUAAUUUCCAUGAGUAUUGUUGUAGGAGUUGCNNNNNNNNNNNNNNNNNNNNNNNNNNNNNNNNNNNNNNNNNNNNNNNNNNNNNNNNNNNNNNNNNNNNNNNNNNNNNNNNNNNNNNNNNNNNNNNNNNNNGAAUAAUCAUCCAAAGGCUCAAGCCAUGAGCGGGACAAUUUCUAAUCAUUAAUUUCAUUCUCUCCCAAGCUUGUGCAACAUGUUCAUGAUCAUGUUUCUUGAAAUUCAUGAUAUCAUUACGGAGAGAGAUGAUCUUAGCCGGCGGAAAAUACUUGGAUAUAUAAGCAUCUUUGCACUUAUCCCAAGAAUCGAUACUAUUUUUGGGCAAAGAAGAAAACCAAGUUUUUGCGCGAUCUCGCAACGAGAAAGGAAAAAAAGCUUCAAUUUAAUCACGUCGUUAUCCACAUAUUUUUUCUUUUGCAUAUCGCAAAGCUCAAUGAAGGUAUUGAUAUGGGAUGCGGCAUAUUCACUAGGAAGGCUAGAGAAUUGCUCUUUCAUAACAAGAUUCAGCAAAGCGACAUUGAUUUCGUAUGACUCCGCACUAGUGGUGGGCGCAAUCGGAGUACUAAUAAAAUCAUUAUUAUUAGUAUUCGAGAAGUCACAAAGUUUUGUGUUUUUGUUCAUGGUGACUUCAGCAAGCAAGCAAGCACACAAGCAAACAAAAAGCGGGCGAGAAAAAAGGGCGAACGAAAAGGCGAGCGAAAAAGGCAAACAAAAAAGGCAAAUUGGUGAAGUGGGGGAGAGGAAAACGAGAGGCAACUGGCAAACAGAAUAAAUGCAAGAGAUGAGUUUGCGACACUUACUUGGAUGAGUUCUUGAUUUGAUCUUCCUCCCAGGCAACGGCGCCAGAAAUCCUUCUGCUACUUCUCAAACAAUAGCGCCAGAAAUUGACACGUUGACGGAGAUUGGGCUUGCGUUGGUUUUUCCCUUGAAGAGGAAAGGGUGAUGCAACACAGGAGCAGUAAGUNNNNNNNNNNNNNNNNNNNNNNNNNNNNNNNNNNNNNNNNNNNNNNNNNNNNNNNNNNNNNNNNNNNNNNNNNNNNNNNNNNNNNNNNNNNNNNNNNNNNAGGAUCACAAUGAUGAUGACUCCAUAGGAAAUGCCUCCGGCAGUGUACCGGGAUGUCCAACGAUCUAGUAUGAUCACGCAAUGGCAAUAUGAGAGUGAUGGCACAAGUCAUAAGACGGAACGGUGGGAGUUGCAUGACAAUAUAUCUCGGAAUGGCUAUGAAAAUGCCAUAGUAGGUAGGUAUGGUGGCUGUUUUGAGGAAGGAAUUUGGUGGGUUUGUGCACCGUCGAGAAUUGCGUGGCGCUAGAGAGGCUAGCAAUGGUGGAAGGUGAAAGUGAAUCUAUACCAUGGACUCAACAUUAGUCAUAAAGAACUCACAUACUUGUUGCAAAAGUUUUUAUUAGUAAUCGAAACAAAGUGCUAAACGCAUACUCCGAGGGGAAGGGUUGGUAGGUGUAAACCAUCACGCGAUCCCGACCUCAACACAAAGGAUGACAAUAAAUAGAUCAAUUAUCCUCCGACUUCCUAACAUAGCGGUUCACCAUACGUGCAUGCUACGGGAAUCACUAACUUCAACACAAGUAUUUCUAGAUUCACAACACCCUACUAACAUAGCUUUUAAUAUUCCCGAAUCCAUGUCUCAAAACUAAUUGAGAGGAAUCGAAACUUUUCUUUCUACUCAAUGCACAUGAAGAUGGAGGGUUUUUGCAUCCUCUUUGGGUACCUAGCACAUGGGACUACUUUCAUAGCAUAAGCCAACUACCAAAUCACGCACCGUCGUGCUCUAAAGAUAUAAGUGAAGCACAAGAGCAAACGUAUCUAGCUCAAAAAGAUAGAAGUGAAGCACUAGAGCAAAAGUAUCCACCUCAAAAUAUAUAAGUGAAGCACNNNNNNNNNNNNNNNNNNNNNNNNNNNNNNNNNNNNNNNNNNNNNNNNNNNNNNNNNNNNNNNNNNNNNNNNNNNNNNNNNNNNNNNNNNNNNNNNNNNNAAAUAGCGGGACCUGGAUGCCCAUAUUGGAUCCUACAUAUUCUAUGAAGAUCUUGUCGUUUGAACCUCAGUGCCAAGGAUUCAUAUAAUCCUGUAUGUCAUUCCCUUUGUCCUUCGGUAGGUUACUUGCCCGAGAUUCGAUCGUCAGUAUCAUCAUACCUAUUUCAAUCUCGUUUACCGGCAAGUCUCUUUACUCGUUCCUUAAUACAAGAUCCCGCAACUUACACUAAGUCACAAUGCUUGCAAGGCUUGUGUGUGAUGUUGUAUUACCGAGUGGGCCCCGAGAUACCUCUCCGUCACACGGAGUGACAAAUCUCAGUCUUGAUCCAUGCCAACCCAACAGACACCUUUGGAGAUACCUGUAGAGCACCUUUAUAGUCACCCAGUUACGUUGCGGCGUUUGAUACACACAAGGUAUUCCUCCGGUGUCCGGGAGUUGCAUGAUCUCAUGGUCAUAGGAACAGAUACAUUGACAUGCAGAAAACACUAGCAAUAAACUGACAUGAUCAUACACUAUAUUUAUAGUUUGGGUCUUGUCCAUCACAUCAUUCUCCUAAUGAUGUCAUCCUGUUAUCAAGUGACAACACUUGUCUAUGGUUAGGAAACCUUAACCAUCUUUGAUCAACGAGCUAGUCAACUAGAGGCUUACUAGGGACAAUGUUUUGUCUAUGUAUCCACACAUGUAUUUGUGUUUCCAAUCAAUACAAUUCUAGCAUGGAUAAUAAACGAUUAUCAUGANNNNNNNNNNUAAAGAAAUAUAAUAAUAACUAAUUUAUUAUUGCCUCUAGGUCAUAUUUCCAACAAGACGUGUGACCGUGGAUGGCGUGAUCGCACGCACAAGAGGCAUGGUCGUCGUCGUGCUCCUCGUUGUGCUAGGGUGGAGCAACUCGCCACUCCUCAUCGAGUUGGCUUGGAGAGGCGAGUUGCUGAACCGCGCGCCAACUUGGGUGACAACUGGCUCUAUCGGGCUAGGCAAGGGGGGUGGAGGAGCGAGCUAACUCGCUCGUGCUCAUAAUAGGCGGGCUCGGCGGGCCACCUACCCGGCUUGUAUGCCGGAGAACUGCUCUUCGGAAGCCAUCGGAACAGUGUAGAAAAUGGUGAAGUGGGAGAUGGGGAGCAACGGAUAGGUGUUGUUCUUGCCUGGCGUCUGGCCUCGUUUAAAUAUAGGGCGAACGGGAGGAGCUCGGGAAAUGUUGCAUUUAAUAUAGGCCCGCUCAUGAACAUAUGCAUGGCCGGAGUAGGUUUAUUGGCUUCCAGGCGGGGUUAGUGGAGGCAUUUGAAUGCAACGAGGAGGCGUGUUCAUCCGGGCGUGUAGUGGGUGCUAUCCUCGGCCACUCGGCCGCUUCAAUAGCGGAGGCAGUGAGAGGUUGUCUCUGCCCUGAGCCGCCUUCAAUGUGGAGCGGCGCGCUCUACAAUGGCAUGAAUGCGGACGGCUGGUGUCAGGUGGGAAGCGCGCGUGGGAGGGGGUGGGCUUUGGGUGGGCCGAAGCGGCCACGAUCAUGCGAACUAGCAAUCCAGACUCUCGCAAACUUCGCCAUGUUUAUCUUUGAUUUGCGGGAGAAAUCACGUCCGGACCGAUACAAGACCACGUUGGAUGGCGGUCCGGAUCGUUGCGGGAGAUUUGCGGGUGUGCCUUGGAGAUUUCCUAAGUACAUCAACGAGAUGAUCCAUAAGUUUGGUAUGGAAUGUACUAGAGGUAUUGGGACUCCAAUGGCUACAAGUAGAUAUCUUGGUCUAAGUGAAGAUGAUGCACACGUUGAUCAAAUGUGGAAUGGCAUUUCCCUCCCUAUGUGACUUUGGUGUAGAUGACAAUGCAACUUGUGGUCUAAUUGCGUUCUUAAGCAAUACAGUUAUAUUCAAAAAUGGCACAAGACGGUUAGGUGCCCCUCUAAAAGGAAAAGAGCAAAUAUGGUCUUUCAGCAUUUGCAUUUCCUUUGAGUCACAGGAAAACCAUACUAUUAAGAGGGGUUCCCAUUCAGAAGGUAUGAAUGGAAUCAAUCAGAGACACAAAACCAAAUUGCACCCACUUAGCCUUCCCAACAUUUGAGGAGUUUCUCCAUCCUUUUCUGGUGCUCUUCAACUUUCUUACCUGACAGUACCGGGUUUGGCAAUGAUAGUAUCGCUCCUUCAUAGGAGUAGUACUGUUGUUGCCUGCCUUCAGACCAGUCAUACCGCAUUCUUGACCGAUAGUACCACUCCCCUAUUGGAGCGGAAUUACCGGACGCAGUGUUGGUUUAGUACCGCAGGGGUCAUUCUCCUUUGUUUUAGGCCUUGAUACUAGGGUGGCACUACUACAACAAUACUAGUUAUUUUCUAUCCUCUGUGGUAGUACAGCUUGGGCACUUGUAGUCCAACCCGUAUGGGACUGGGGUAGUAUUUCUCACUGAAAUUCUGGGGUGAUAGCUAGAUUCGAGGGGGCAUAUAAAAAGGGGGUAUUCUUCCCAAGGUGGCCUACCUUUUGCCUCCAUCUCCUUCAUUAUUGCAUAGAAAAUAAAUCUCAUAUAUCUCUCUCCCUAGCCACCCAAACUCCUUGAUCUUAUAGAAUUUGGGAGAGAAGACCUAGAUUUACCAUUCCAUGGAAGAAAAUUUGAUUCCCCUUGUUUCCCUAGUGGAUCUUCUUACUCUUGGGUGUUUAGGCACCAUGGGUGGAAGAGAUCACCUCAAAGCUCAAUCAAUAUCGUGUAAGGCUUCACGGUGGUGAUGGGAGCCUUCAAUUAAGUUGUGGAGACUGCCCUGACGGGGUCUUGGAUUAGGGGGUGCUCGGCAUGUCGGUUAUCGGUCCUUUGGGAUGGGUCAAGGGCCCCUUUGAGUUCAUCGCUUGGUAGGCCUUGUUUGUCUAGUACAAGAAGAUUAAGAAGGAAUGGCCCGAGAGUUGGUGCGUACUCCAAGACAUAAAGAUAGACCCUGACAUGUUUGCCCCUAUAUGGAGCCGACUUAUGUGUAACCCUAGGCGUGUGUUCUGAAGCGAUCUCAUUCAAAGCCCUUUUCCGACGCCCUGUAGGAGGAGGAAAUCAUCACCUCGGGCCAUAUUCACCAUCCCGCGGUUUCCAUGACAAGGAGAAAGUAGUUCACCCUCGAGGCUGAGGGUAUGUACGCGUAGCUAUGUGUUUGAUCUCUCUCUCUCUCUCACACACACACACACCCUCUCCCUCUCCCUCUCCAUCUCUCUCUCUCCCUCUCUCCCUCUCUCUCCCUCCCCUCUCCCUCUACCUCUCACUCUCUCUCCCUCUCACUCUCUCUCCCUCCCCCUCCCCCUCUUCCAUGGUGUUAUGCAACGUGAUUCAUCGCUGGAUGUAGCCUCACAGAAUCUCAUUGUUCUUCUAGACGCAGUACUGCAGCUUUGUGAGGCCACCCGGGCGCUUGUAGGUGCCUUCAAACGCUUUGACGAACACUCGGGCAAGGUCCCCCCAGCUGUGAUGCUACUAGAGGGAAGUUGAUUGAGCCACGCCCUCGCCGCCCCCUCCAACAUGAGGGACAGGUACUUCAUCACGAUGAAGUCAUCGCCCCGCCUAUCUGGACGGCCGCUCGGUAAUCUUCGAGCCAAGUUUCUGGCUUGGACUCACCGUUGAACUUACCCAUCCCCGUAGCCAAUCGGUAGUUGGAGGGAAUCUCCGCUUCACGGAUAUGUCUACCGAAGCACUCAAGGACAGGUACCCCCCGGCCUGCCCGCGAUUGGUUAACCAUGUUUUGCGUGAUUAUAGACCCCGCGUUGAACUGGGAGAUCGGUAGCCGUCGUCCCUAUAACCCCUGUGUCGAUUGGGGCUUAGCCUACGGUCGUGGGGUCCGUGUCCGAGUGAAUCACUCCUCAGAGGAGGUGUUCUGAUAUGAACCCGAUAAUCGUGCCUCUGAUCCCCGUACGGGCCUCUCGGAGGAGGAGGAGAUCNNNNNNNNNNNNNNNNNNNNNNNNNNNNNNNNNNNNNNNNNNNNNNNNNNNNNNNNNNNNNNNNNNNNNNNNNNNNNNNNNNNNNNNNNNNNNNNNNNNNGUUGCUAUUUAUUGCUUUGGCCAAGUAGUAGAUUGUAACUCCAAAAGGGAGUGUUAUGCAUGAUUGUGGGUUCAUACCCCUCGAUGUCUAUCUUGAGUGAUAGAAACAUGAGACUAGGGGAUGUGCUUGUUGCCACCAAAGAGAAAACAACGGUGCUUGUGAACAUGGUUGCAAGGAUUGUUUACCUUACACAUAGUUCGUUAAUGCAGUUGUCUGUUGCUUUGAGUUUACACUUUGGGUGGGGCUCGCAAUUUAAUACCGGCGAGAUGUUCUGAAUAGAUAUCUCAAGGUGUAUGAUUAGUAAGUAGAUACUGAUGAAUAAACGGUCUACUUGUCUUGGCGUACUGCCCAUUACUAUUGAACCUCUAACUAUNNNNNNNNNNGAGGGAGCGUUAUGCAUGAUUGUGGGUUCAUGCCCCUCAAUGUCUAGCUUGAGUGACAGAAGCAUGAGACUAGGGGAUGUUCUUGUUGCCACCAAAGAGAAAAUAACGGUGCUUGUGAUCACAGUUGCAAGGAUUGUUUACCUUACGCAUAGUUNNNNNNNNNNNNNNNNNNNNNNNNNNNNNNNNNNNNNNNNNNNNNNNNNNNNNNNNNNNNNNNNNNNNNNNNNNNNNNNNNNNNNNNNNNNNNNNNNNNNCCUCUAGCUCGCGUUUCUGCGGAGCUCGGGAAGAGCCUUGCUGAGAUUAGAUCACCACCAACCUCCGGAGCACCGUCACGCUGCCGGAGAACUCAUCUACCUCUCCGUCUCUCUUGCUGGAUCAAGAAGGCCGUGAUCAUCGUCGAGCUGUACGUGUGCUGAACGCGGAGGUGCCGUCCAUUCAGCACUAGAUCGGAGCGGAUCGUGGGACGGAUCGCAGGACGGUUCGUGGGACGGUUCGCGGGGCGGAUCGAGGGACGUGAGAACAUUCCACUACAUCAACCGCGUUUCUUAACGCUUCUGCUGUGCGAUCUACAAGGCUACGUAGAUCGGAAAUCCCCUCUCGUAGAUGGACAUCACCAUGAUAGGUCUUCGUGCGCGUAGGAAAGUUUUUGUUUCCCAUGCGACGUUCCCCAACACCUUAUUCCUUGGUCUUGGUGCUGCAAUGGAGGAGCCUCUCCCAUUCUUGGCGGCUGCCUAGGGAGAGGCAAAUUCGUGGCUCCUGGUGGCUCUAUCAAAAUUAGGGGUUUUCUCUCCUUAUAUGUGCCUAUGUGGUGCUCUAUGACCCUCCGAUGGAUGGACCCUUGAUCCAAUGGCUCUAGGGAACCUCUACAACCUAGGGGCUCCUCACAACCCUCAUGAGUCUUCAAAGUCGUGGCUUGGCCGAAUAUAUCAGAUAUAUUAAGACUUGGACUUAAUCACCUCAACAAUUCUUGUGAUCCCGUAAUCAGAUAUUUUCCUUUAGUAAAACAGGUCUCCAGAUCGCAUAUGAACACCGUUUUGGACGAAUUGUUAGUCCACAAUUGUUGCCAUAAAAUUCCCCACACUUUCCUAUUUUUACCUUUUCCAUGUGAUGCAGUGUUCGGGGGUCAAACUGACGAUCACUAAAAACUGUUUGUGAACAGAUUUCAGGAGAAUCAGAGUCCUCCUCCAACAAGUCUCCUUUUGCAUUUUUGACAAUUUCUAAUUAAUUCCUAGAAAUCAAAGUGUGAAACAACAACUUGUGCAAUUUUGCAACCAUUAAUAGGUUAGUCUAAAAAAUAAUAUAAACUUGUAGUAAAAUGAUUGUAAAACACCCAAGAAUGAUAAAUAUAACAGCAUGGAACAAGCAAAAAAUAUAGAUACGUUGGAGACGUAUCAACAUCCCCAAACUUAAUUCCUGCUCGUCCUCGAGUAGGUAAAUGACAAAAACAGAAUUUUUGAUGUGGAAUGAUGCGUAACAUGUUCAUCAAAUUUUUUUCUUCUUUUUAUAGCAUGUACAUUUGGACUUGUAAGUGAUUCAAAGCAACAGUCUAGUUUUAACAUAAUGACUUCAAUACUAAAGCAUGUCAACAAGCAACCAUGUCUUUCAAAAUAGCAACACUAAACAAAGUUAUCCCUAGCCCAUCAUGCUCAAUCAUUGAUAUAUUCAUGAAACACACUCAAAUAUUAGCUAUGCCCAAUGCUCAAGUACGAUCAUAGUGUUCCCUAGUUGGUGCUUAUAAGAGAAGAUGGAGACUCAAAGCACAAUUAAAAAUUGCAUAAAGUAAAUAGAUAGGCCCUUCACAGAGGAAAUUAGGGAUUUGUAGAGGUGCUAGAGCUCAACGUUUAAAUUUAGAGAGAAAAACUAUUUUGAGUAGCAUGCUUUUCCUGUCAACGAAAACGACAAAGUAGCUCACAAUACUUUUCAUUCUAGAUACAUUAUAGGCGGCUCCCAAACAGAAUGGUAAAGUUUUUUACUCCCCCUCAACCAAUCAAUCACACUCCAUGGCAAGCCGAAUCCACGGUUACCGUCCAUACAAACAACAUACCUGAGGAAGUUUUGUUUCAUUAUAUUUGAUUUGAUUUUUGAGCAUGGAACUGGGCAUCCCGAAUACCAGUCACUUUCUCGUGAAUGAUAGUGAAUCAACACAUAUCAUGAGAAUAGCCCACCUAGUAUGAGAAAAUAUUGGAUACUCCCCACCGUUUCAUGAGCGGUACGGGCACACAAAAGAGAAAAAUUAUUUUCAAAAUUUAGAGAUGGCACAUACAAAUUUUCUUGGAACGGCAUGGAAAUACCGCAUAUAGGUAGGUAUGGUGGACUCAUGAGACAAAACUUGGUUUAUGGAUUUUGGAUGCACAAGUAGUAUUUAUACUUAGUACAAAUGAAGGCUAGCAAAUAGAUUCGGAAGCAAUCAAACCAAGAAAUGAAAAUUCACAUAAGUGAGCAUUGAGUCAUAACUAACACCAAAUAAUGCACCACAGUAGGAUGUAACUUCAUUGCAUAACUAUUGACUUUCGUGCAUGCAUAGGGAAUCACAAACCUUAAAACCAAUAUUCCUACUUAAAGCAUAAAUAUUCACUAACAUGACUCACAUAUUACUAUCAUCAUGUUUCAAAACUAUUACAAAGAAUCAAGUUUAAUUUGUUCCAUGAUCUUCAUGAAAGUUUUUAUUAUAUCCCUCUUGGAUAUCUAUUACUUUGAGACUAGUUUCAUAUAUUGCUAUUGCCCUUUCUACAUGCUCAAACCAAUUUAAAGGAAGUAGAAGAGCAUAAAUAUUUCAUCCCUCAAAAAGGUAUAAGUGAAGCAUGAAAGUAAAUGACAAAACUACUCCAAAACAUAUAAGUGAAGAUCAAUGAGUAGUCAAACAAUUAAGUAGCUAUGAGAGGAUUUUCUCUCUCUCGCUCUCUUAAUAAAGAUUUUCAGAUCUGAGUAUUUUCUUUAAACAUCAAGCAAAAGAAAAAUAGCACCCCAAGAAUAGGACGCAUCAUGUGAACGAAUAAAAAUUUAGGCUCAACAUAGUCUAACCGAUAGUUGAUGAAGAGAGGUGGGAUGCUAGCAUCCCCAAGCUUAGAUGCUUGAGAGUUCUUGAAAUAUUUACUUGGGGUUCCUUGGGCAUCCCCAAGCUUGAGCUUUUGUAUCUUUUUCAAUCCUCUCGUAUCCUGGUUUCACCUAUUCUCACAAACUUCAUUCACACAAAACUUGGAAAGAACUCGUAAGAAAGGUUAGUACACAUAAUAAUAAAUCAACUCUUUAUGUAUUGCCAAGACAAGGUGAAUAAUAAUUGCAAAAAUCAUCUAUUGUUUACUAUAAUUUCCACAAUUUAUAUAUAUCAAUAUAGGCUAUGGAAACUAUAGGAUAAGUAGAUAACAAAACUAUGACAACAAUCUGUCCAAACAGAACAGUCUGUAGAAAUUUAUGAAAACAAUGUACUUCUAUAACUUAAAAAAUUAUGAAAAUUUAGGAAAUGCUAUAAAAUUUAUAUGACAAAACCGUGCAAAAAUGUCAGAAACUUUUUUCACGUUCCAGUAAAAUAUGAAAAUUCAAACACUACAGCACCGGUUUUUGUUUUUACACAGCACCAAUCAAAGCUUGCAAUGCAAGCAUCCUAAUGCAAUUCUUGGAAUUUUUUUAUUGAAAAACAUGAUUAUAAAUAACACAUAACAGAGAAAAACAAAAUAAAAUGACGCUUCAAGCAAAACUCAUAUUAUGUGACGAAUAAAAAUAUAGCUCCAAGUAAGAUAUACCGAUAAUGUUGAAGACGGAAGAGGGGAUCCUUCCGGGGCAUCCCCAAGCUUAGGCGCUUGAGUCUUCCUUGGAUAUUACCUGGGGGUGCCUUGUGCAUCCCUAAUAUUAGGUUCUUGUCACUCCUUAUUCUCCUCAUAUCGGUGUCUCACCCAAAAGUUGAAAACUUCAAUCACACAAAACUUAACGGAACUUCGUGAGAUCGGUUAGUAUAAUAAAUAAUGAUCAUUCACUUAGGUACUGUCAAGAAAAUAUUAAUACUUUCUCCCACAUGAUACCUACUGUAUUCUACUAUUCCCAUAAUUUAUAUCACUGAAUAUAAGCUAUGGGAACACUAAAACAAGCAAACUAUGCAUGCAAAACAAAAUCUGUCAAAAAUAGAACAGUGUGUGAAGAUGUGUAGUGUAGCCAUACUUCCCUAUCUCUAAAAAUUCUGAACAAAUAGGAAAAUUAAGGAAAUUUGUAUAUCAAUCAUGUGUAAAAAAUUCAUAUCAAAAGCACGUUCCACUAAAUUUACAAAAGUCCUCGACUAAGAGCAAAUGUUUCUGUUUUUGCAUAGAAUCAAGUCAACUGUCAUCCACACUAUCCCAAAGGCUUUACUUGGCACUUUAUUGAAGUAAAAGGCAUAAAACUUGAUUAAUACAGUAGCUUAAUCAUGUGAACACCAAAAAAAGAAAGUAAAAGUGUUGGGUUUUAUCCCAACAAGCGCUUUUCUUUAAAGCCUUUUAGCUAGGCAUGGUGAUUUCAAUGAUGCUCACAUAGGAAUAAUAAUUAUAAUAUGCAAAAGAGCAUCAUGAAUAUCAUGACAAGCACAUUUAAGUCUAACCCACUUCCUGUGCAUUGGGAUUUUCUAAACAAACAAUUUAUGGGAGCAAGAAUCAACUAGCAUAGGAAGCCAAAACAAGCAUAACUUCAAAACUUUGAACACAUAGAGAGGAAACUUGAUAUUAUUGCAAUUCCUACAAGCAUAUGUUCCUCCCUGAUAAUAAUUUUCAGUAGCAUCAUGAAGGAAUUCCACAAUAUAACCAGUACAUAAAGCAUUAUUUUAAUGAUCUACAAGCAUAGAAAUUUUAAUACUCACCAAAUAAGCAAAUUUAUUCACAUCAGUAGUAGUGGGAGCAAACUCAACUAAAUAACUAUCAUGUGAAGCAUAAUCCAAUUGAGAAUUAAAAUUGUGAUGAGAAAUUUCAUGGUUAUCAUUAUUCUUUAUAGAAUAAAUGUCAUCACAAUAAUCAUCAUAAAUAGGAGGCAUGCUUUCAUCAUAAUAAAUUUUCUCAUCAAAACAUGGGGGACUAAACAUAUAAUCUUCAUCAAACAUAGCAUCCCCAAGCUUGUGGCUUUGCAUAUCAUUAGCAUCAUGAAUAUUCAACGAGUCAUACUAACAACAAUGUAAUCAUGCUCAUCAUACAAAGAUUUAGUACCAAACAUUUUAAUAACUUCUUCUUCUAACACUUGAGCACAAUUUUCCUUUCCAUCAUUUUCACGAAAGACGUUGAAAAGAUGAAGCAUAUGAGGCAACCUCAAUUCCAUUUUUUGUAGUUUUCUUUUAUAAAACCAAACUAGGGAAAACAAGAAACUAAAAGAUUUAAUUGCAAGAUAUAAAGAUAUACCUUCAAGCACUCACCUCCCCGGCAACAACGCCAGAAAAGAGCUUCGUUGACGGGAUGUGACUGCCGCUUACCUAACCUCCUUGGCAACGGUGCUAGAAAAGAGCUUGAUGUCUACUACAAAACCUUCUUCUUGUAGACUCGCGUUGGGCCUCCAAGCGCAGAAUUUUGUAGGACAAUAGCAAGUUUCCCUCAAGUGUAUGACCUAAGGUUUAUCAAUUUGUGGGAGGCGUAGGAUGAAGAUGGUCUUUCUCAAUCAACCCUGCGAUCAAAUAACAAAGAGUCUCUUGUGUCCCCAACACAUCCAAUACAAUAGUAAAUUGUAUAGGUGCACUAGUUCGGCAAAGAGAUGGUGAUACAAGUGUAAUAUGGAUGGUAGAUAUAGGUUUUUUUGUAAUCUGAAAAUAUAAAAAACAGCAUGGUAACAAAUAGUAAACAUCAAGCAAAACAUUGUAUAAAUGCUUGGGAACAAGACCUAGGGUUCAUAGUUUCACUAGUGCAAGUUCUCUCAACUAUACUAACAUAGUUGAAUCAUAUAUAAAUGCCUCACGUGCGACAAAGAGUUCACUCCAAAGUCACGAAUAGCGAAGAACAAACGAAGAAAUUAUUGUAGGGUACGAAACCAUCUCAAAGUUAUCUUUUCUGAUCAAUCUUAUGAGCUAUCCCUAUAAGUGUCACGAACAGACCUAGAGUUUGUACUAAAAUAACACCUUAAGAUACACAUCAACCAAAACCCUAAUGUCACCCAGAUACUCCAAUGUCACCACAAGUACCCAUGGGCAUGAUUACACGAUAUGCAUCACAUAAUUUUAGAUUCAUCAUGUUCAAUCCAACACAAAGAACUUCAACGAGUGCCCCAAAGUUUCUACCGGAAGCCAAGAGGAAAACAUAAGCCAACCCCUAUGCAUAGAUUCACAAGGUCACGGAACCCGCAACUUGAUCACCAAAACAUACAUCAAGUGGAUCAAUAGAACAUCACAUUGUCACCACAUAUAUCCCAUUGCAAGACAUACAUCAAGUGUUCUAAAAUCCUUAAAGACUCGAUCCGAUAAGAAAACUUCAAAGGGAAAACUCAAUUCAUCACAAGAAGAUAGAGAGGGGAAAACUCCAUAUGAUUCAUCUAUAUCAAUAAAGCUCGCGAUACAUCAAGAUCGUUCCAUCUCAAGAACACGAGAGAGAGAGAUUGAACACAUAGCUACUAAUACAUACCCUCCGCUCCGAAGAGGAUUACUCACACAUUAUGAUGGUGAGAAAGAGAGAUCUGUUGAUGGAGAGGUGCAGCCCCGAAGAGAUGGAGGAGAUGGCGGCCACAGCAUCGGCGACGGACGACAGCGGUGGCGACGAACGGCGGCCCCUUGCCCCUCCUUCUUCCUUGGUCUUGGUGCUGCAAUGGAGGAGCCUCUCCCUUUCUUGGCGGCUGCUAAGGGAGAGGCAAAUUCAUGGCUCUUGGUGGCUCUACCAAAAUUAGGGUUUUUCUCUCCUUAUAUGUGCCUUUGUGGUGCUCUAUGGCCCUCUGAUGGAUGGACCCUUGAUCCAAUGGCUCUCGGGAACCUCUAGAACCUUACUAGGGGCUCCUUACAGCCCUCAUGAGUCUCCAAAGUCGUGGUUUGGCUGAAUAUAUCAGAUAUGUUAAGAGUUGGACUCGAUCACCUUAACAAUUCUCUUGAUUCCAUAAUCAGAUAUUUUCCUUCAGUAAAAUGGGUCUCCAGAUCUCAUACGAACUCCAUUUUGGACGAAUUUGUAGUAAACAAUCAUUGCCAUAAAAUUACCAACACAUUCCUAGUUUUAGCUUUUUACAUUUGACGCCGUGUUCGGGGGUCAAACUGAUGAUCUCUAAAAACUGUUUGGGGACAAAUUUCAGGAGAGUUAGAGUCCUCCUCCAACAAGGCUUCUUUUGCCUUUUUUCGACAAUUUCUAAUUAAUUCUUAUAAAUCAAAGUGUGAAACAAGAAAUUGUGCAAUUCUGCAACCAUUAAUAGGUUAGUCCCAAAAAAUAAUAUAAAGUUGUAGUAAAAUGAUUGUAAAACAUUCAAGAAUGAUAAUAUAACAGCAUGGAAGAAGCAAAAAUUAUAGAUACGUUGGAGACGUAUCAGAUGCCAGCUCAAUGCUUCAUGCUAAUGUCCGAGUGAGUGCGAUUGUAAGUUCAUUUCUGAUUGAAUUCUGUCCAUCUGGACUCUACACCCACUGGAUGUUUUCUUUUGGCGUAUACUUGUUUGUUUCUGGUCCAGUGGGGGCACGCUGAGUGCAUCCACUCGGUGUAGUCCCCGAGACCGCUGUCGAAUUACGGUGACAUCGGCACGGGUCUUUUAUUGGUUUUUGAUAGUCGUUGACACUCGACAUGACAUAUCUAUGCGGGUGAUAAUAAAUCUAGUGGGGGCACGCUGAGUGCACCCACUCGGUGUAGUCCCCGAGGCCGUCAUCGAGUGCUUGCAUCGGUGGGGGUCUGAUUGAGAUAGUUUUAGACAUUUGCUCUUUUUUUUUGACUCGGACAGGACAGACCUUGUCGAGUGGUGUCGUAUCCAGUGGGGGCAGGCUGAGUGCACCCACUGGGUGUAGUCCCUGAGACUACUGUCGAUCGUUUACGAUGGGCAGUAGUCUUAAGAACUUGGACUCAUGGUCCUUUUUCGUACUUGUAGUACUUUUAUCACUCGGUCUGUCGAGUGAAUGUUUUUCCUUAGUGUCUCCACAGCUGAAAUUUUUUCGUAGGGCUGAAAAGGUCCUAACCAGCAAGAUUUAUCAUGUAGGUUUCAUGGACAUCAUUUUGAUCAACCAUGAUAUGAUGCUUUGCAGGGGUGUGGGGUGGGGCGGUGGGCCGCCAUCUAGUCGACUGAACUGCUCUUCUCCACUCGGGAGUGGAGAAAUAUUAGUGUUGACUGAACUAUUUCUUUGAUGAUUUCAGAAAACCCGUGAGUUUGGGAUGAAGUACGUCAACUUGGAAAAGGAGAAGAACCAUCUUCAACUGGAUUUGGAGGUGACCACAAAUGAUCUGAAUCUCUUGAAGAAGGCGCUCGAAGACAAAGGCAAAGCACUUGCUGAGGCUAAGGAGAAACCCGAGGCCGCAGAGAAGAAGCUCGCUGCAGCCAGCAAAUUGGAGGAGGAGAAUGCCAAACUAAAGCAGGAACGGACCGACUCGAACAAGAAGCUUGAAUAGAUGACCAAGAGGAGGAACGACGUGGAGAACUACUUGGGCGACUUCGCAAAGAAGAUGUUUGGCAUGCGUACUGGUAACUUCCUUUUGCUGAGUGAAUUUCCUCCAUUUCCACCAAAUGAUAGUAUGGCCAACUUUUCAUUUUCCCUUCGUGUAGACUUCUGCCAGGAUUUUGACAAGGAGAGUGAAGAGAUCGAGCCAAAUUUGGACCCCACCAAGUCACCCGUUGGGGACGCUAUGGCCAGGAACAUGUUUCGCCUUGAUGCUCGUCUCAAAAAUGUUCAAGAAUAUGUAGCCCGACUGAGUGCUGCACUGGAGAGGAUCGACAAGGAACUUUGGCCAAAAGAGACCCUCCAGACGGACCUUGAGUCAAUGAUGAGCCGCCUCAACCAGAUUCCCAGUCGAGUACAAGCAUGGAAGAAAUUUGUUGCACGCUGCGGAGCUGACGUGGCUCUUUCACUCGUUCGGGUGCAUUGCAAGGAGGCUAAGGAGGACAAACUGAAGGCGCUCCAGGUGGCCAACACAAAAAAGCUUCAGUUCGAGGACUUCAUGGAGAUAUUCAUCGACGCAGCCACCCACAUCGCUGAUGGGAUUGAUCUAGACACCUUCGUCUAGCCUGCGAGUCCCGACGAGCCUUGAAAAAACUUUGAUUGAAGUUCAAACUUUACUUGCCUCGGUAUGCCGAGUGAUGGUCUAACCAUUUUAAACUUCGUUCGGGUCUUAAACCCGAGUACUUUCAUUUGCAUAGACAACCUUAAUCCGUGAUGGGGAUCAUGAGUUUAUCUGCAUUUUGCUUUCCAAUCCUUUGCUUGACUAAGUUUGUUUGGUCAUUACUCGGAAGAAUUUUGAGCUUAGGCGAAACCUUGUUCGCGGCUAAGUCUCUGAGUAAGAGGAGUGCUCGUCAUUUGGGAAAGUUUUUUACUUAGGCAAGGACUGAUUCACACCAAAGUAUCCGAGUGAAUAGGUUGCUAUUCACUCGGUUGGAUUUUAACUUAGGCGAAAACUUGUUCGCAGCUAAGUUUCUGAGUUAGAGGGUGCUCACCACUCAGAGGGUUUUUAACUUAGGCGAAGACUUGUCCCUCGAGUGAGAGGAUCGCUCACCACUCGGAGUGUUUUUAACUUAGGCGAAUACUUGUUCGCAGCUAAGCCCCCGAGUGAGAGGACCGCUCACCACUCGGAGUGUUUUUAACUGAGGCAAAGACUUGUUCGCAGCUAAGCCCCCGAGUGAGAGGAUCGCUCACCACUCGGAGGGUUUUCAACUUAGCGAAGACUUGUUCGCAGCUAAGCCCUCGAGUGAGAGGAUCGCUCACCACUCAGAGUGUUUUUCACUUAGGCGAAGACUUGUUCGCAGCUAAGCCCCCGAGUGAGAGGAUCGCUCACCACUUAGAGGGUUUUUAACUUAGGCGAAGACUUGUUCGCAGCUAAGCCCCCGAGUGAGAGGAUCGCUCACCACUCGGAGUGUUUUUAACUUAAGCGAAGACUUGUUCGUAGCUAAGCCCCCGAGUGAGAUGAUCGCUCACCACACGGAGGGUUUUUAACUUAGGCGAAGACUUGUUCGCAGCUAAGCCCCCGAGUGAAACGAUCGCUCACCGCUCAGUGUUUUUAACUUAGGGGAAGACUUGUUCUUAUCUAAGCCCCCCAGUGAGAGGAUCUCUCACCACUUGGAGGGUUUUUAACUUAGGUGAAGACGUGUUCGCAGCUAAGCCCCCGAGUGAGAGGAUCGCUCACCAUUCAGAGUGUUUUUAACUUAGGGAAGACUUGUUCGCACCUAAGCCCCCAAGUGAGAGGAUCGCUCACCACUUGGAGGGUUUUUAACUUAGGCGAAUACUUGUUCGCAGCUAAGCCCCCGAGUGAGNNNNNNNNNNUCGCUCACCACUCAGAGUGUUUUUAACUUAGGCGAAGACUUGUUCGCAGCUAAGCCCCCGAGUGAGAGGAUCACUCACUACUCAGAGUGUUUUUAACUUAGGUGAAGACUUGUUCGCAGCUAAGUCUCUGAGUGAGAGGGUCGCUCGUCACUCAGAGUGUGUUUUGAACUUAGGCGAAAUAUGGUUCGCAACUAAGUCUCCGAGUGAAUAGGUUGGAAUUCACUCGGCUGGGUUUUAACUUAGGCGAAAACUUGUACGCACCUAAGCCCCAGAGUGAGAGGGUCGCUCGCCACUCGGAGUGUUUUUUUUUAAUAUGAGAUUGCACGACCGGAAUCGAAUACAAACUCAAGGAGUCAUAACUUUGAUAAGCAACAUUGUCUAUAACACUCUUAUUACGUCAAACCACUCAAUUUUCAAGUGUAAAAAUGUCGAAGUAAAUCUGUGUUCCAAGCACGUGGUUUGUCAAUUCUCUUCUUGAGGUUGAAGAGGUGGUAGGCCCAUUGUUUAGCACUUUGGUAAUGACUAAAGGACCUUCCCAUGCGGGGGCGAGCUUGUGAGGCCGCUACUGAUCCACUCGGAGCACCAGAUCACCUUCGUGGAACAACCAACUCCUGACAUGCCUUGCAUGGAAACGACACAAAUCCUGCUGGUAUAUUGUCGACCGAAUCAAGGCUAGUUCGCGAUCUUCUUUUAUAAGAUCUACACCGUACUGUCGUGCCUGUUCGGCUUCAGCCUCAGAAUAAAGCUAUACUCGCGGAGAACUCUGAAGGAGAUCACUCGACAAAAUGGCUUCGGUUGCAUAUACCUAGAAGAAAGGAGUGCGUCCAGCCGACCGGUUGGGAGUCAUCCUCAAGCCCCACAGAACUGACGAUAAUUCAUUAACACAAGCUCCAGCUACAUGUUCCAGAUCUCGCAUCAGUCGAGGCUUCAACCCUUGAAGGAUAAGGCCAUUCGCUCGCCCAGCUUGACCAUUAGUCUGGGGGUGUGAUAACCCACAAGUAUAGGGGAUCAAUUGUAGCCUUUCUCGAUAAGUAAGAGUGUCGAACCCAAUGNNNNNNNNNNAUUUCAACAAAUGGAUUUGAUCCCAUAAAAGUUUCCCUUUUUGAGUCAAGCGAUAAUCCCUAAAGUAUUCACGUUGAUCCAACGUGUAUCCCAUUAUAUAAUUGAAUGGGGCUUUCUCAGGAUUAUUAAAGAAGUGCAUAAUAUUUUCCACAUAACGAGCCUCGAGGGUUUUAGGAGAUUCCCCAUCUCCAUGAGUAGCAAGUACUCCUAAUUUUUUUUGUAUUUCGUGUUCCAUAUCCAUAACUAAAGAUAGAGAACAACCCAGAACAACAAAUAAAUCUACUUAGUGAUAAAGCAAACAAGCACACACGAGGAUAUUCACCCCACGCUAUUGCUCCCCGACAACGGCGCCAGAAAAAGGUCUNNNNNNNNNNNNNNNNNNNNNNNNNNNNNNNNNNNNNNNNNNNNNNNNNNNNNNNNNNNNNNNNNNNNNNNNNNNNNNNNNNNNNNNNNNNNNNNNNNNNGUAGCAUAGAGCACCAUGUUCAAGUAGAGGGUAUAGCGGGUUGCGGGAGAGUGAACCGCUGAAUAUAGAUGGGGGAAGAUGAUGGAGAUGUUGGUGAAGAUGACGGAGGUGUUGGUGUAGAUCAUCGUCACACGAUGAUGUCCCGGGCGGCGUUCCGGCGCCGCCGGGAGAGAGGGGGAGAGAGCCCCCCUCCUUCUUAUUCUUACUUGACCUCCUCCCUAGAUGGGAGAAUGGUUUCCCCUCUGUUCCAUGGUCUGUAUGGUGGCGGAGGGGCGAGAGCCCCUCCGAGAUUGGAUCUCUCUCUUUGUGUCCUUCUGUUUCUGCGCUCCCAGAUUCUACGUUUCACCGUUUCUUAAAUUUCCGGAGAUCCGUAACUCCGAUUGGCCUGAAAUUUUAACACAAUUUUCUUCCGGAUAUUAUCUUUCUUUAGGCGGAAGAAGGGCUCCAACCGCCUUAAGGAAUGGCCACAAGCCUGCCUGCCGCGGGCCCACCCCCUGGUCGCGGCGACAGGGCUUGUGGGCACUCCGUGCAUCGCCUCGCAUUGAUUCUUCUUCCCAAAAAUCAUAAAUAUUCCAACAAAAAUCCCCGUAAGUUUUUAUUAAGUUUGGACUUCGUUUGGUAUGGAUAUUAUGCGAAACAAAAAACAUGCAACAAACAGGAACUGGCACUGGGAACUGGAUCAAUAUGUUAGUCCAAAAAAUAGUAUAAAAAGUUGCCAAAAGUAUAUAAAAGUUGUAGAAUAUUGGCAUGAAACAAUCAAAAAAUUAUAGGUUCGACGGAGACGUAUCAGGGUGCGCGACGAACGCGUAAUCCUCCCGAGUGCCUUGGGCAGAGCAAAAGUAUCUAAAUUCUUCCGAGUCAAAGUUGGAACCAUUGUCUGUGAUAAUACUAUGGGGAACUCCAUACCGGAAUGUUAUUUCCUUUAUGAACUUGAUAUAGUGCGUGAAUCCAGUUUUUUUAUGGGUUUAGCUUCAAUCCGCUUGGUGAACUUCUCGACUGCUACAAGCAAAUGUGUGAAUCCACUCUGGCCCGUUCGGAGACGACCGACAAUAUCCAAACCCCAUACAGCGAACGACCAGACGAGUGGAAUAGUCUUCAGGGCAGAUGCAAGCUUAUGUGACAAGUUCGAGGAAAACUGGCAUCCUUCACAGUGAUCCACGAUUUCCUUAGCCAUUUCAAUAGCGCGCUGCGAGAAAAAACCAGCUCGGUAUACUUUCGCAACAAUCGUCCGAGAGGACGCAUGAUGACCAUAGGUUCCCGAGUGAAUUUCCUACAAAAUCAACCGACCUUCCUGAGGAGAGAUGCAUGAUACGUCUCCAACGUAUCUAUAAUUUUUUAUUGUUCAAUGCUAUUAUAUUAUCUGUUUUGGAUGUUUUAUAUGCAUUAAUAUGUUGUUUUAUAUUAUUUUUGGUACAAACCUAUUAAUCUAGAGCCUAGUGCCACUUGUUGUUUUUUCCAUGAUUUUGUGUAUUGCAGAUAAGGAAUAUUAAACGGAGUCGAAACAGAAUAAAAUCUCCGGAAUGAUUCUUCUUGGACCAGAAGAAACCUAGAAGACUUGGAGUAGGGGCAGGUCACCUGCCGGGAGGCCACAAGCCUACAAGGCGCGCCCUAGGGGGGGCUGGCUCAUGUGUCCCAUCCAGGUCUUCUAACCCUAUUCUUCGGCCUAUAAAUUCCCAAAUAUUCCCCCAUCACUAAAGAGAGCCAUGAAAAAUACUUUUCCGCCACCAAGAGCCUCUGUUCCCGUGAGAUCCAAUCUGGGAGCCUUUCCGGUAAUUUGCCGGAGAUGGAAUUGAUCAUGGAGGGCAUCUAUAUCAACUCCAUUGCCCCUCCGAUGAUGCGUGAGUAGUUCACCACAGACCUAUGGGUCCAUAGCUAGUAGCUAGAUGGCUUCUUCUCUCUCUUUGAUCUUCAAUACCAUGUUCUUCAUGAUCUUCAUGGAGAUCUAUCCGAUGCAAUACUCUUUUGCAGUGUGUUUGUCGAGAUCCGAUGAAUUGUGAGUUUAUGUUCAGAUUAUCUAUGAAUAUUAUUUGAAUCUCUUCUGAAUGAUUAUAUGCAUGAUUUCAUAUCUUAGCAAGUCUCUUCGAGUCAUUGGUUUGGUUUGCCCAACUAGAUUCGUAAUUCUUGCAACGGGAGAAGUGCUCAGUUUUGGGUUCAAUCUUGCGCUGUCCUCGCCCAGUGACAUAGUAGGGGUAGCUAGGCACAUAUUGGAUUGUUGCCAUCGAGGAUAAAAAAGAUGGCAUUGUCAUCAUAUUGCUUGAGUUUAUCCCUCUACAUCAUGUCAUCUUACUUAAUGCCUUACUCUGUUCUUCCUGAACUUAAUACUCUAAAUGCAGGCAAGAGUCGGUUGAUGUGCGGAGUAAUAGGAGUAGAUGCAGAAUUGUUUUAGUCUACUUGACACGGAUGUGAUGCCUAUAUGCAUAAUCAUUGCCUUAGAUAUAUUCAUAAUUAUUCGCUUUUCUAUCAAUUUCUCGACAGUAAUUUGUUCACCCACUGUAUUAUUUUCCUUUAUGAGAGAAGCCUCUAGUGAAACCUAUAGACCCCAGGUCUAUUUUCCAUAUUAUACUUUCAGAUCUAUAAACCAAAUAAAUACCAAAAAUAUCUUGCUGCAAUUUAUUUACUUUUGUUUCCGCAAUCUUUUAUAUCUAUCUCUAUCAGAUCUCAUCCUUGCAAAUAACUCGGAAGGGAUUGACAAUCCCUUUUUAGCGUUGGGCGCAAGUGUUUGAUUGUUUGUGUAGGUAGUAAGAUUGGGGCCUUUCUUGUUCCUCCUACUAGAUCGAUACCUUGGUUCUCAACAAACUGAAGGAAACACGUAUCUACUUUUCUGCAUCACCUUUUCCUCUUCAAGGGAAAACCAACGCAAGCUCAAGAAGUAGCAAUGCACCGUUGAGCUACGCGAGUUACACUUUCUCUAUGAAGUUGUCCAUUUAUCACAGUAAAUGCCUUGGACGUGCAAACAAUCUGUCGAGCUUCAACCUCAUCUUCUGGGAGUUCAUGCCUCAGUAUGUAUGCCAUGUAUGGCACCGUCCAAUCAGGCGUAAUCAACAGAAUAUCCAUGACCAGAUCAACGACUCCUGGGACAUCAAUCUUAGUCGGAUUGGAAGCGCUUAUCGCUUGCGGGGGAUCUUCAGUGAAGGGAUCUUAUUGCACAGUGUUCUAGAAACACAUUGCUAGGUACAUGCUUUUGAGUGGAUCCAAUCUUGGCUAGGUCGUCAACUCCUUGAUUCUUCACUCAGGGAAUAUGAUGGAGUUCCAAACCUUCAAACUUCUUCUCAAGCUUUCUCACCGCAUGGCAAUACCCAGUCAUGGCAGGGUUCCUGACAUCCCACUCCUUCAUCACUUGAUUGACCACCAAAUCCAAAUCACUGUAUACCAUCAGGCGUCGGACACCGAGUGAGAUGUCCAUAGGUAACCCGUAGAGGAGUGCCUCGUAUUCAGCUUCAUUAGUGUAGGAAUCAAAGUGAAUCUGGAGGACAUAGCUGAGCUUGUCACCCUUUGGAGAUACCAAUACCACAUCGUCACGAGACCCAUUCAACAUUUUAGAGCCAUCAAAGAACAUGGUCUAGUGUGUCGAGUGAAUUUGAGUUGGCUGCUACUGUUCUACCCACUCGGCCAUGAAAUCAGCAAGCGCUUGGGACUUGAUUGCCUUCUUUGCUUCAAAUUUGAUAUCAAUGUAUAGGAGUUCGAUGGCCCAUUUUCCCACUCGACCAGCCGCGUAUCGGUUGUUGAGGAUCUCAGACAAUGGAGCAUCACUGACGACUGAGACUGAAUGAUCUUGAAAGUAGUGUGCCACCUUCUUUGCUGAUAAAUAUAUAUCAUAGAGGAGCUUCUUAUAAUGAGGGUACCUUUGCUUCGAAGGAGUCAGCACUUCGGAAAUAUAGUAGACUAGACGUUGGAUUUUGUAAGCCUUGCCCUCUUCUUCUCGCUCGACAGUUAGAAUUGUGCUGAUGACUUGAUUAGUAGAUGCAAUGUAUAGGAGUAGGGGUUCUUUGUUGUGCAGAGCAGCAAGCACCAGCUGGGUGGAUAGCAUGGCUUUUAGCUCGACAAACGCUGAUCUAUCUCGGGAGUCCACUUGAACGCAUCAGACUUCUUCAUGAGUCGGUAUAAAGGCAAUGCCUUCUCUCCGAGGCGAGAAAUAAACCUACUCAACGCCGCUAGGCAGCUUGUGAGCUUCUGGACAUCGUGCACAUGCUCAGGGCUUUUCAUUCGGACGAUGGCGCCGAUCUUCUCAGGGUUGACGUCGAUCCCUCGUUCAGAAAUGAGGAAACCGAGUAACUUGCCACCAGGAACUCCAAAAGUGCACUUAGACGGAUUCAACUUUAUAUCAUAUUUCCUCAAAAUUGGUGAAUGUUUCUGCCAAGUUAGUCAGCAGGUCGGAACCUUUGUGAGACUUGACUACGAUAUCAUCCAUAUAAGCCUCGACAUUUCGAUUGAUUUGAUCAAGCAUGUAUUUCUGAAUCAUACACAUGAAAGUAGCGCCAGCAUUUUUCAAACCAAAAGGCAUGGUGAUAUAGCAGAAACACCCGAAAGGGUUGAUGAAGGCCGUCUUUAUUUCAUCGAGACCAAACAGACGGAUUUGAUGGUAACCAGAGUAUGCAUCAAGAAAAGAUAAACGCUCGCAUCCUGUAGUUGAGUCGACAAUAUGAUCGAUCCAGGGGAGCACAAAAUGAUCUUUCGGGCAGACCCGAUUGAUAUGUGAAAGUGCGUUAUAUCGACUAGAGGGGGUGAAUACGAGAUUUUUAGAAUUUCAUCACUGAGGAAAUUCCUUUUGAGGAAAUUCCUCACUGAUGACUAACUUACAGCGGAAACAGUAAAGGAUCAGAAGUGCAAAGUUUCACAACACUGGUUUUUCAGAGUGAAGAAUGUGAAAACAGAUUGCACAGUGAGCAGGCACGCAGAAUACAGAUGAGGAUUAACUGACGUGAAGAAUUUGGGGUUGAGGAAAUUCAGAGAAAGUCUUCAGCAAAUUCUUCAAAUAGUCGCAGUGGAAGUCAUCAACACAUAAUACGAGGAAAGUAAGGAGUUGAGGAAUUAGAACCCGUUUCUCAGUGAAGACAGUCGUUGAUGACCCAGUUCCAACUGUUGUGCCAGUUGUACAUCUGGUUUGGAGCGGCUUGGUAUUGAAACCAAAAGUCACACAGUCCCGGGACACAUAGUCCCGGGACACACUGUCCCUACCGUAUUCUCCUUGAGCUAAGGACACACAGUCCUCGCCCAACACUCGUGGUAAGUCUUCGGGGCAGACUUCCAAACCCUCACAAACUUGGUCACCCGGCGAUCCACAAUUGACUACUCGAAAGCUCUAGACCAUGACGCCUAACCGUCUGGAGGAUGCACAGUCCUCAAAGGUAAAAGGCUUCAGUCCCACACAGGAACAACUUCUUCAGUGAUGCUCAAUCACUAGGUUUGGUUUGUGGUUUCGGUGUAUGGUGUAUUUCCUCACUGAUGAAUUACUCUCAAAGACUCUGAGGAAUUGGGUUGCUCUUAUGACAAGUGACAGUUUCUAACGGAGCAGCCAACCAGCUAAUGGUUGUGGGGGUGGCUAUCUAUAGCCUGGGAGCAUCCCGACAUGAUUUGACACUAAUGCCCUUAAAUAAUAUGGCCGUUGGAGUGGAUAAGACCAAUGACUUGGCGUGACUAUCGAAACGGUCGGAACCCUCAACUGUGAGAGUCCUCAUGUCACUCGUAUUCCUCACUUGAGGCUUUUGGUAGGAUUAGGCUUGGGUUGAGCAUCAUGAGGAAAUUCAUUCCAAAGUGUAACUUCGACCCCCUUUAACAGUACGGUGUUCCUAUUACUCAAAUGCGAAGAAAAUAAAACAGAAAGUGUAAAUCUUCAUGCUUCAAAUUCUUCAGAGUGAUUUUCUUCAGGACACACUGGAUUCCUCAAUAUCAGUAUCUUCAUGAGGAAUAUCAAUUUCAUCGCAGAUUCCUCGCGAUUCAUUUCUUCAGCUUCAGACCAAUUUCUUCAACUGAAGACACAUAUUUUUGGGGGUCGAUAUUCUUCAAAUAUCUCAAACUCCUCAAUGACUUAUAGAUCAUGUGUACACUCACAAACACUUUAGAUACUUAACCUAUAAGUCUUCAAACCACCAAAAUCACUAAGGGGCACUAGAUGCACUUACAAUAUGUUUAAAAUCGAUACACAUAUGGAGAGACUUAUCCUUCUUGGGGACCAUGACGACGUCCACGAGCCACUCCGAGUGGUAAACUUCCUAUAUGAACGUUGCCUCCAAGAGUCGAGCCACCUCUUCGCCGAUUGCUUUCCGUUUCUCUGCUGCCGACCAACGCAAAUGCUCUUUGACGGGCUUUGCUUUUGGGUCAACCCUCCGUUGGUGCUGAGCAAGUUCCCUAGGUACACCCGGCAAGUCAGAAGGCUUCCAUGCAAAGAUGUCCCAGUUCUCACGGAGGAACUGGAUGAGCGCGACUUCCUAUUUACUGUCAAGUGUCGUUGAGAUGUUGGUCGGGGCAACAUUAGGAUCUGUCGGGUGAAUGCUCACUUUCUUCACGUCACCUGCCGACUGAAAAGCAAUCUCAGAAGCGGGCUUCUUUGAGCGCAUCAAAUCGGCAGGAUCAAUGUUCUUCCGGUAUUCUUCCAACUCAACCAUAGCCAUCUGCUGGUCGGCAAUCUUGGAGCCUUGUUAUAAGCACUCCUCAGCCCUCUGUCGAUUCCCUAUGACUGUGAUCACACCCUUGGGUCCAGGCAUCUUCAUCUUGAGAUACACGUAACAUGGGCGGGCCAUGAAACGAGCAUAUGCUGGACGACCAAGGAUGGCAUGAUAUGCGCUCUGGAAGUCCACAACUUCAAACGUUAACUUCUCCUUGCGAAAAUUCUUGUCAGUGUUGAACGACACAUCCAAAGCUAUUUGGCUGAGUGACUUGGCCUUUUUCCCAGGAAUGACUCCAUGGAACUGCAUAUUGCUCUCGCUGAGUUGGGACAUCGAAAUACCCAUCCCCUUGAGGGUAUCCGCAUACAAAAUGUUCAACCCACUCCCUCCGACCAUCAGAACCUUGCGGAGACGAACGCCUCCCACAACUGGAUCCACCACCAAAUCUUAUCGACUAAGGGUAGGGACGUGAGUCAGGUGGUCUGACUGGUCAAAUGUUAUGGAGGUCUGAGACCACUUGAGGUACGUGGGGGUAGUCGGAACAACCAUGUUGACCUCUAUGUUUAUAACCUUCAAUCGACUUUUGCUCUCCACAUCGGCAAAAAUCAUCAAAGUGGCAUUGACUUUUGGAAAAUAAUAUUUAUCUUCAUCAUCCUCCUUUUCAAGAUUUUUCUCACUCAACUGAGCUUCCUUGAACUAUUGAAUCAGCAAUCUGCAUUGUUGAGUGGUAUGCUUGGGAAAUAUCAAAUUGCCCUCUGAUAUUCCCAAACGUAUCUAUAAUUUAUAAUUGUUCCAUGAUCUUUUGGGUAACAUUGGUAUAUGUUUUGCUACACUUUUAUAUCAUUUACACAUAUUUGGACUAACCUACUAACUCAGUGCACCCAGUGCUAGUUUUUCUCUCCUGAUGUCUAUUUUGCAGGGGCUUUUACCCAAUUUUCCGAAGCCCGAAAAAUUCCAGAAAAAAUAUAUAUAAACUCAGCGAAACAGAAGCUUCAAAAUCACCGAAGGAGGGCUAGAGGGGGGCCAGGGGCCUCUCAGGCGGUCAGCUCGUGCGGCUGGGCCCUAGGCCGCGCCAGGAGGUCGCUUGGGUGGGUCCCACCUCCUCCAGUGCCCUCCUUUGGCCUAUAUUUAGAGUUUCGUGAGGAACCCUCGAAGACUUUAUGGAAUCGCGAAUUUCUCCAUCGUUCCGCCGCCGCGGCGCUUCCAAGAUUGGGAGCUGCUACGGCGACAGAAAUCUUCUGUCGUCUCUUGAGCUUACGUUGGUUUUUCCCUUCAAGAGGAAAGGGCGAUGCAGCACAGGAGCAGUAAGUAUUUCUCUCAGUUUGAAAACCAAGGUAUCAAUCGAGUAGGAGAAUCUCGUCAAGUCCAGAGUACCUGCACAAACACAAAAGAGCUUGCACCCAACGCUAUAAAGGGGUUGUCAAUCCCUUCAAGAUUGAUUGCAAAGUGAGAUCUGAAGGCGGAAAGUGCAACAAAGAAAAAGUGUAAGGUUGAAAAUAUGGUGUGAAGUAGACCCGGGGGCCAUAGUGUUCACUAGAGGCUUCUCUCAAAAUAGAAAAUAUUACGAUGGGUGAACAAAUUACUGUCGAGAAAUUGAUAGAACCAUGCAAAGUCAUGACGAUAUCUAAGGCAAUGAUCAUACAUAUAGGCAUCACGUCCAAGACAAGUAGACCGAUACUUUCGGCAUCUACUACUAUUACUCCACACACCGACCGCUAUCCAGCAUGCAUCUAGUGUAUUGAGUUCAUGACGAACAGAGUAACGCCUUAAGCAAGAUGACAUGAUGUAGAGGGAUAAACUCAAACCAAUGAUGAAAACCCCAUCUUUUUACCCUUGAUGGCAACAACACGAUGCGUGCCUCACUAUCCCUUCUGUCACUGGGUGAGGUCACCGCACGGUAUGAACCCAAAACCAAGCACUUCUCCCAUUGCAAGAAUCAUAGAUCAAGCUGGCCAAACAAAACCCACAACUCAAAGAGAAUUACAAGGAUAUGAAAUCAUGCAUAAGAGAGAUCAGAAGAAACUCAAAUAAGAUUCAUAGAUAAUAUGAUCAUAAAUCCACAAUUCGUCGGAUCUCGACAAACACACCGCAAAAGAAGAUUACAUCGGAUAGAUCUCCAUGAAGAUCAUGGAGAACUUUGUAUUGAAGAUCCAAGAGAGNNNNNNNNNNNNNNNNNNNNNNNNNNNNNNNNNNNNNNNNNNNNNNNNNNNNNNNNNNNNNNNNNNNNNNNNNNNNNNNNNNNNNNNNNNNNNNNNNNNNAGAGAAUGAAAUUAAUGAUUAGAAAUUGUCCCGCUCAUGGCUUGAGCCUUUGGAUGAUUAUUCAAAUCUUUUACGUUGGCUUGAAUUUCUCUUCUAGAAAUAUCUUGGACUCCGCCUCAGGUGAAACGUUCAUGGAAAUCACGUUAGGAGAAGCUACAAAGCUCUUCGACAACAUCAUGACAAACUAUUCUCAAUGGCACACUGAAAGGUCACCUACUAGUAAGAAGGUACACGCUAUAGAAGAAAUUAACUCGUUGAGUCCUAAGAUGGAUGAGUUAAUGAAUUUGGUUGCUAGUAGAAGUGCUCCUUUGGAUCCUAAUGAUAUGCCUUUGUCUUCUUUGAUUGAGAGUAGCAACGCUAGCUUGGACGUUAAUUUUAUUGGUAGGAAUAACUUUGGCAACAACAAUGCUUUUAGAGGAAACUAUGUUCCUAGGCCUUUUCCUAGUAACUCCUCUAAUAAUUUUGGCAACUCCUACAACAAUACUCAUGGAAAUUACAAUAGAUUACCCUAUGAUCUAUAGAGUAAUAUCAAAGAGUUCAUCAACUCUCAAAAGAUUUUCAAUGCGUCCAUAGAGGAAAAACUACUCAAAAUUGACGAUUUGGCUAAGAGCGUUGAUAGGAUUUCUUGUGAUGUUGAUGCUUUGAAAGUUAGAUUUACUCCUCCCAAAAUCAACAUGGAUUAAACUUUGAAAGAUAUGCGUGUUUCCAUGAUUGAGAGCCAAGAAAGAACCGCCCAAAUUCGUGCUAGACAUGAAUGGCUGAAAAAGGCGUGUUCUCGUGAUGAGAAUCACGAAGAUCUUAAAGUGCUUGGUGUGACUCCCAUUGAAUCUUUGUUUUCUUGUGUCAAACCUAAUGAUUAUGGUGCUGGAUAUGAAUCCACUUUGGUUGAAUAUGUUGGGAACGUCGCAUGGGAAACAAAAAAUUUCCUACGCACACGAAGACCUAUCAUGGUGAUGUCCAUCUACGAGAGGGGAUUUUUGAUCUACGUACCCUUGUAGAUCGCACAGCAGAAGCGUUAGUGAACACGGUUGAUGUAGUGGAACGUCCUCACAUCCCUCGAUCCACCCCGCGAACCGUCCCACGAACCGUCUCACAAUCCGUCCCACGAUCUAGUGCCGAACGGACGGCACCUCCGCGUUCAGCACACGUACAGCUCGACGAUGAUCUCGGCCUUCUUGAUCCAGCAAGAGAGACGGAGACGUAGAUGAGUUCUCCGGCAGCGUGACGGCGCUCUGGAGGUUGGUGGUGAUCUGAUCUCGGCAGGGCUCCGCCCGAGCUCCGCAGAAACGCGAUCUAGAGGAAAAACCGUGGAGGUAUGUGGUCGGGCUGCCAUGGAAAAGUCGUCCCAAAUCAGCCCUAAAACCUCCGUAUAUAUAGGUGGCAGAGGGGGGCCUUGCCUUGAGGCUCAAGGAGCCCCAAGGGGGUCGGCCGAGCCAAGGGGGGAAGNNNNNNNNNNNNNNNNNNNNNNNNNNNNNNNNNNNNNNNNNNNNNNNNNNNNNNNNNNNNNNNNNNNNNNNNNNNNNNNNNNNNNNNNNNNNNNNNNNNNACACAGGCGGUUACAGAAGCUGGGAGAGAAAGAGGAAAGCGGAGUUGUGCGACAUGCAGCAGAUCCAAACAAGACUACAAAAGCUUGAGGAACUUGAGAGCCAGCGAGCUGCCGGCCAACCAUCUCAGCGGCACGAAGCUACCUCAGAAGGUACCCCGCCAUCUCAGCGGAGAAGCAACGUGGCUUCCACGGUGCCCAUUCAGCAUGACUUCAUAACUCCUAGCUACCGCGUGGAUACUAUCACAGAGGCUCAACAUUGCGAGCUUAUGAUGAAAUGUCGGAACCCCACUUUCAAGGCGGCUGUCGGCUCUGUUGCACCUCCUGAAGCCAACGGAACUUUUCACUUCCUUCUGAUUCCACAUGGCUAUGUUGUUGUGAUGGUGGAUCAAGUAAUGGAGGGAUUUGAGGAGCUCAAGCUUGACCACCCUACAGGUAAAGGGGAUAAUCAGCUGGUUCGUGCUCUGAGGAGUACAUGUCUAUGACAGAAGGAGUUCAUCAAGCUUCCAAACUAGACGCCUCCUCCUCCUACUACUACUCCGGCGAGUGAUCAGGGCACUCUGCCUCCUCCCCCUCCUCCUCCUCCUCCUCCUCNNNNNNNNNNNNNNNNNNNNNNNNNNNNNNNNNNNNNNNNNNNNNNNNNNNNNNNNNNNNNNNNNNNNNNNNNNNNNNNNNNNNNNNNNNNNNNNNNNNNUAGUAGUAGUUGGCGUGAUGACUUCACAGAGACACGAUGAUGGAGAUCAUGAUGAUGGAGAUCAUGAUGAUGGAGAUCAUGGUGUCAUGCCGGUGACAAUGAUGAUCAUGCGAUGCCCGAAGAUGGAGAUCGAAAGAGCAAAGAUGAUAAUGGCCAUAUCAUGUCACUAUAUGAUUGCAUGUGGUGUUUAUCAAGUUUUUCAUCUUAUUGCUUAGAACGACGGUAGCAUAAUAAGAUGAUCCCUCAUAAAAAUAUCGAGAACGUAUUCCCCUAAGUGUGCACCGUUGCGAAGGAUUGUUGUCUCGAAGCACCACGUGAUGAUCGGGUGUGAUAGAUUCUAAUGUUCGCAUACAACGGGUGUAAGCCAGAUUUACACACGCGAAACACUUAGGUUGACUCGACGAGCUUAGCAUGUACAGACCGAAAGUUCGAACAUGAGUCAUAUGGUUGAAUACGGUCAGCAUGAAGUUGCUCACCAUGACGACUAGUCCGUCUCACGUGAUGAUCGGACACGGGUUAGUCAACAUGGAUCAUGUAUCACUUAGAUGACUAGAGGGAUGUCGAUUUAAGUGGGAGUUCAUACGUAAUUUGAUUAAAUGAACUUAAUUGUCAUGAACUUAGUCUAAAAAGUUGUCUUUACAAAUAUUGUAGAUCCAAUGGCCAACGCACAUGUCAACCUCAAUUUUAACGCAUUCCUAGUGAAAAACAAGCUCAAAGAUGAUGGUAGCAACAAUGCGGACUGGGUCUGCAACUUGAAGCUCAUCCUCGAAGCACCUAAAAAGGCUUAUGUCCUUAAUGCGCCGCUAGGUGACCCUCCUGCUCCCGCAGCGGCCCAAGACAUUCAGAAUGUCUGGCAGACGUGGAGUGAUGACUACUCUCUGGUUAGGUGUGGCAUGUUAUACAGUUUGGAUACGGGGCUCCAAAUGCGUUUUGAGCCACACGGAUCAUAUGAGAUGUUCCAGGAGCUGAAACUAGUUUUUCAAGCUCCUGCCCGUGUCGAGAGAUAUGAAGUCUCCGACAAGUUCUUUAGCUGUAAGAUGGAGGAGAACGAGAGGCAACUGGGAAACAAAGUAAAUGCAAGAGAUGAGUUUGCGACACCUACUUGGAUGAGUUCUUGACUUGAUCCUCCCUGGCAACGGCGCCAGAUAUCCUUCUGCUACUACUCAAACAACAGCGCCAGAAAUUGACACGUUGACGGAGACUUGCUUGCGUUGGUUUUUCCCUUGAAGAGGAAAGGGUGAUGCGGCACAGGAGCAGUAAGUAUUUCCCUCAGUUUGAGAACCAAGGUAUCAAUCCAGUAGGAGAAUCUUGUCAAGUCCAGAGUACCUGUGCAAACACAAACGAGUUUGCACCCAACGCUAUAAAGGGGUUGUCAAUCCCUUCAAGAUUGUUUGCAAAGUGAGAUCUGAAGGCGGAAAGUGCUACGAAGUAAAAAGUGUAAGGCUGAAAAUAUAGUGUGGAGUAGACCCGAGGGCCAUAGUGUUCACUAGAAGCUUCUCCCAAAAUAGCAAAUAUCACGGUCGGUGAACAAAUUACUGUCGAGCAAUUGAUAGAACCGCGCAAAGUCAUGNNNNNNNNNNAUACAUAUAGGCAUCAUGUCCGAGACAAGUAGACCGAUACUUUCUGUAUCUACUACUAUUACUCCACACAUCGACCGCUAUCCAGCAUGCAUCUAGUGUACUGAGUUCAUGACGAACAGAGUAACGCCUUAAGCAAGAUGACAUGAUGUAGAGGGAUAAACUCAAACCAAUGAUGAAAACCCCAUCUUUUUACCCUUGAUGGCAACAACACGAUGCGUGCCUCGCUACCCCUUCUGUCACUGGGUGAGGUCACCGCAUGGUAUGAACCCAAAACCAAGCACUUCUUCCAUUGCAAGAAUCAUAGAUCUAGUUGGCCAAAUAAACCCACAACUCGAAGAGAAUUACAAGGAUAUGAAAUCAUGCAUAAAAGAGAUCAGAAUAAACUCAAAUAAGAUUCAUAGAUAAUCUGAUCAUAAAUCCACAAUUCAUCGGAUCUCGACAAAUACACCGCAAAAGAAGAUUACAUCGGAUAGAUCUCCAUGAAGAUCAUGGAGAACUUUGUAUUGAAGAUCCAAGAGAGAGAAGAAGCCAUCUAGUUACUAGCUAUGGACCCGUAGGUCUAUGGUGAACUACUCACGCAUCAUCAGAGAGGUCAUGGUGUUGAUGAAGAAGCCCUCCAUGUCCGAAUCCCCCCUCCGGCAGGGUACCAGAACGUGCUCCAGAUGGGAUCUUGCGGAGACAGAAGCUUGCGGCGGCGGAAAAGUGAUUACGAUGCUCCCUUGAUUUUUUUUGGGAAUAUUUGGGAAUUUAUAGGCGCAAGAUCUAGGUCAGGGGACCUCCAAGGGGCCCACAAGCCUGCAUGGCCCGCCCCCUGGCCGCGGGGUGGGGGCUUGUGGUGCCCCUGGGGCUCUUCUGGCUUGGCUCCCAAGUCUCCCGAUCUUCUUCCAUUCCAGAAAUAAUCUUUACGGGGAUUUUCUUCCGUUUGGACUCCGUUUCAAAAUCUCCUCUGAAAGGGGUCAAAAACAUGGAAAAAAUAGGAACUGGCACUUGGCACUGGAUUAAUAAGUUAGUCCCAAUAAAUAUAUAAAAGGCAUGCAAAACAUCCAAAGUUUGACAAGAUAAUAGNNNNNNNNNNNNNNNNNNNNNNNNNNNNNNNNNNNNNNNNNNNNNNNNNNNNNNNNNNNNNNNNNNNNNNNNNNNNNNNNNNNNNNNNNNNNNNNNNNNNNNNNNNNNNNNNNNNNNNNNNNNNNNNNAGCAUCCCCAAGCUUAACUCUUGCUCGUCCUCGAGUAGGGAAGUGAUAAAGAAUGAAUUUUUGAUGUGGAAUUCUACCUAGCAUAAUUGUCCUUUGCAACUUCUUUCACGUGGCAUGAAUGUUCAGAUCCAUAUGAUUCAAAACAAUAGUUUGAUAUUGACAUGAAAACAGUAAUACUUCAAGCAAACUAGCAAAGCAAUCAUGAACUUUCAAAAUAACAAGGCCAAAGAAAGUUAUCCCUGCAAAAUCAUAUAGUCUGGCUAUGCUCCAUCAUCCUCACACAACAAAUGUAAAUCAUGCACAACCCCGGAAUUGGCCAAGUAAUUGUUUUCGCACUCUUACUUUCUCAAACUUUUUAUAACUAUCACGCAGUACAUGAGCGCGAGCCAUGGAUAUAGCACUAUAGGUGGAAUAAAGUGUGGUGGUGGUUGUGAGACCAAAAAGGAGGAGAUGGUCACAUUGACUCGGCGUAUCAAUAGGCUAUGGAGAUGCCCAUUAAUAGAUAUCAAUGUGAAUGAGCAGGGAUUGCCAUACAAAAGAUGCACUAGAGCUAUAAGUAUGUGAAAGCUCAAGAGGAAAACUAGUGGGUGCGCAUCCAACUUGCUUGCUCACGAAGACCUAGGGCAAUUUUGAGGAAGCCCAUCAUUGGAAUAUACAAGCGAAGUUAUAAAACGAAGAUUCCCACUAGCAUAUGGUAGUGACAAAGCAAGAAUCUCUCAAUCAUGAAGAACAUGGUGCUAAUAUGAAGCACAAGUGUGGAAAAAGAUAGUAGCAUUGUCCCUUCUCUCUUUUUCUCUCAUUUCUUUUAUUUAUUUAUUUGGGCUCUUAGCAAUCUCUUUUUUCUUUUGUCACCUUUUUUUUGUGUUUGGGCUCUUUGGCCUCUUUUUAUUUAUUUAUUUAUUUCCUGACAUGGGACAAUGCUCUAAUAAUGAUGAUCAUCACACUUUUAGUUACUCAAAGCUCAAAGAUCACAAUGAUGAUGACUCCAUAGGAAAUGCCUCCGGCAGUGUACCGGGAUGUCCAACGAUCUAGUAUGAUCACGCAAUGGCAAUAUGAGAGUGAUGGCACAAGUCAUAAGACGGAACGGUGGGAGUUGCAUGACAAUAUAUCUCGGAAUGGCUAUGAAAAUGCCAUAGUAGGUAGGUAUGGUGGCUGUUUUGAGGAAGGAAUUUGGUGGGUUUGUGCACCGUCGAGAAUUGCGUGGCGCUAGAGAGGCUAGCAAUGGUGGAAGGUGAAAGUGAAUCUAUACCAUGGACUCAACAUUAGUCAUAAAGAACUCACAUACUUGUUGCAAAAGUUUUUAUUAGUAAUCGAAACAAAGUGCUAAACGCAUACUCCGAGGGGAAGGGUUGGUAGGUGUAAACCAUCACGCGAUCCCGACCUCAACACAAAGGAUGACAAUAAAUAGAUCAAUUAUCCUCCGACUUCCUAACAUAGCGGUUCACCAUACGUGCAUGCUACGGGAAUCACUAACUUCAACACAAGUAUUUCUAGAUUCACAACACCCUACUAACAUAGCUUUUAAUAUUCCCGAAUCCAUGUCUCAAAACUAAUUGAGAGGAAUCGAAACUUUUCUUUCUACUCAAUGCACAUGAAGAUGGAGGGUUUUUGCAUCCUCUUUGGGUACCUAGCACAUGGGACUACUUUCAUAGCAUAAGCCAACUACCAAAUCACGCACCGUCGUGCUCUAAAGAUAUAAGUGAAGCACAAGAGCAAACGUAUCUAGCUCAAAAAGAUAGAAGUGAAGCACUAGAGCAAAAGUAUCCACCUCAAAAUAUAUAAGUGAAGCACUAGAGCAAAAGUAUCUAGCUCAAAAGAUAUAAGUGAAGCACUAUGAGCAUUCUAGCAAAAUCACGAUGAGUGCAUGUCUCUCUCUCUCAAAAAGGUGUGCAACAAGGAUGAUUGUGACACAACAAAAAGAAAAGACUCCUAAGAUACAAGACGCUCCAAGAAAAACACAUAUCAUGUGGUGAAUAAAAAUAUAGCUCCAAGUAAUGUUACCGAUGGAUUAAAGACGAAAGAGGGGAUGCCUUCCCGGGCAUCCUCAAGCUUAGGCUUUUUGGUGUCCUUGAAUUUGGCUUGGGGUGCCUUGGGCAUCCCCAAGCUUGAGCUCUUUCCACACCUUAUCUCUUUGUCCAUGAGAACAUGACCCAAAACUUGAAAACUUCACAACACAAAACUUAAACAGAAACUUGUGAUAACAUUAGUACAAGAAAACAAACUACCACUUCUUUUGGUACUGCAGCAAACUUGAAUUCUAUAUAUAUUGAUGAUGGGAUACUGUAUUCUCACUUUCCAUGGCUAGUACCCACCAAUACUAACCAUGGUUUCAUCAAAACAAGCAACCAACCCAACAAAAACAGAAUCUGUCAAAAACAGACCAGUCUGUAGCAAUCUGUAUUCUUCGUAUACUUCUGGUACCUCAAAAAAUCUGAAAACUUACGACGUCUGGGGAAAAAGAAUAUCAAUCAGAAGCAAAAAUAAUCAACUCAAAAGAUCUUUCUUAAUAAAAAUGAAAAAUCAUCUCGUGAGCGAAAAGUUUCUGUCUUUUUCCAGCAGGAUCAAACAACCAUUACCAAGACUAAUCAUAAAGGCUUUGCUUGGCUCAAACACAAAAAGAAACACAAAAACACAAUCACAACAGAAUUAUGAAAGUGUGGACGCAACAAAACAGAAAGAAAAAAGAUAAAUUCAUUGGGUUGCCUCCCAACAAGCGCUAUUGUUUAACGCCCUUAGCUAGGCAUAGAAGCGAUAGAAUCACGUAUCGUCGUCUUUGGUGCUCAAACCAUAAGUGGCCCUCAUCAUGGAUUCAUAAGGCAAUCUUAUUUUAUUUCUAGGAAAGUGUUCCAUACCCUUCCUUAAAGGAAAUUGAAAUCUAAUAUUCCCUUCCUUCAUAUCGCUGAUACUACCAAUAGUCCUUAGGAAAGGUCUACCAAGAAUAAUAGGGCAUGUAGGAUUGCAAUCAAUGUCAACCACAAUGAAAUCCACGGGUACAUAGUUCCUAUUUGCAAUAAUAAGAACAUUAUCAAUCCUUCCCAUGGGUUUCUUGACAGUAGAAUCAGCAAGAUGCAAAUUAAGAGAACACUCUUCAAUCUCAUUAAAAUCUAGAACAUCACAUAAAGACUUUGGAAUCGUAGAAACACUAGCACCCAAAUCACACAAAGCAUUGCACUCAUAGUUUUUGAUUCUAAUUUUGAUGGUAGGUUCCCACUCAUCAUGAAGCUUUCUAGGAAUAGAGACUUCCAAUUCCAGUUUCUCUUCAAGAGCUUUCAUCAUAGCUUCGACGAUAUGAUCGGUAAAGGCUUUGUUUUGGCUAUAAGCGUGUGGAGAGUUCAACAUGGAUUGCAUCAAAGAAAUGCAUUCAAUCAAGGAGCAACUAUCAUAAUUGAAUUCCUUGAAAUCCAUGGUAGUAAUUUCAUUACUAAUCAAAGUUUUAACGUCUUCUACCCCACUUUUAAUGCUUUUAGCAUCAAGAUAGAUGGACUUCGAAUCACUCGGGCACUUUUCUGUUGGAAAUAUGCCCUAGAGGCAAUAAUAAAUUAGUUAUUAUUAUAUUUCUUUGUUCAUGAUAAUCGUUUAUUAUCCAUGCUAUAAUUGUAUUGAUUGGAAACACAAUACUUGUGUGGAUACAUAGACAAAACACUGUCCCUAGUAAGCCUCUAGUUGACUAGCUCGUUGAUCAGAGAUGGUCAAGGUUUCCUGACCAUAGGCAAGUGUUGUCAGUUGAUAACGGGAUCACAUCAUUAGGAGAAUCAUGUGAUGGACUAGACCCAAACUAAUAGACGUAGCAUGUUGAUCGUGUCAUUUUGUUGCUACUGUUUUCUGCGUGUCAAGUAUUUGUUCCUAUGACCAUGAGAUCAUAUAACUCACUAACACCGGAGGAAUGCUUUCUGUGUAUCAAACGUCGCAACGUAACUGGGUGACAAUAAAGAUGAUCUACAGGUAUCUCCGAAGGUGUUCGUUGAGUUAGUAUUGAUCGAGACUGGGAUUUGUCACUCCGUGUGACGGAGAGGUAUCUCGGGGCCCACUCGGUAAUACAACAUCACACACAAGCNNNNNNNNNNGACACCGGAGGAAUGCUUUGUGUGUAUCAAACAUCGCAACGUAACUGGGUGACUAUAAAGAUGCUCUACAGGUAUCUCCGAAGGUGUUCGUUGAGUUAGUAUGGAUCGAGACUGGGAUUUGUCACUCCGUGUGAUGGAGAGGUAUCUCGGGGCCCACUCGGUAAUACAACAUCACACACAAGCCUUGCAAGCAAUGUGACUUAGUGUAAGUUGCGGGAUCUUGUAUUACGGAACGAGUAAAGAGACUUGCCGGUAAACGAGAUUGAAAUAGGUAUGCGGAUACUGACGAUCGAAUCUCGGGCAAGUAACAUACCGAAGGACAAAGGGAAUGACAUACGAGAUUAUAUGAAUCCUUAGCACUGAGGUUAAAACGAUAAGAUCUUCGUAGAAUAUGUGGGAUCCAAUAUGGGCAUCCAGGUCCCGCUAUUGGAUAUUGACCGAGGAGUCACUCGGGUCAUGUCUGCAUAGUUCUUGAACCCGCACGGUCUGCACACUUAAGGUUCGACGUUGUUUUAUGCGUAUUUGAGUUAUAUGGUUGGUCAUCGAAUGUUGUUCGGAGUCCCGUAUGAGAUCACACACGUCACGAGGGUUUCCGGAAUGGUCCGGAAACGAAGAUUGAUAUAUAGGAUGACCUCAUUUGNNNNNNNNNNUGAUCGAAUCUCGGGCAAGUAACAUACCGAAGGACAAAGGGAAUGGCAUACGGGAUUAUAUGAAUCCUUGGCACUGAGGUUCAAAUGAUAAGAUCUUCGUAGAAUAUGUGGGAUCCAAUAUGGGCAUCUAGGUCCCGCUAUUGGAUAUUGAUCGAGGAGUCACUCGGGUCAUGUCUGCAUAGUUCUCGAACCCACAGGGUCUGCACACUUAAGGUUCGACGUUGUUUUAUGCGUAUUUGAGUUAUNNNNNNNNNNCCGAAUGUUGUUCGGAGUCCCGGAUGAGAUCACGGAUGUCCCGAGGGUUUCCGGAAUGGUCCGGAAACGAAGAUUGAUAUAUAAGAUGACCUCAUUUGAUUACCGGAAGGUUUUCGGAGUUACCGGGAAUGUACCGGGAAUGACGAAUGGGUUCCGGGUGUUCACCGGGGGGGGACCCACCCCGGGGAAGCCCAUAGGCCUUGGGGGUGGCGCACCAGCCCUUAGUGGGCUGGUGGGACAGCCCAAGAAGGCCCUAUGCGCCAAAGGAUAAGAUAUCAAAGAGAAAGAAAAAAAAGAGGAGGUGGGAAAGGAGAGAAGGACUCCACCUUCCAAACCUAGUUGGAUUCGGUUUGGAAGGGGAGGACUUCCCCCCUUGGCUCGGCCGACCCCCUUGGGGCUCCUUGAGCCUCAAUGAAAGGCCCCCCCUCUCCCACCUAUAUAUACAGAGGUUUUAGGGCUGAUUUGAGACGACUUUUCCACGGCAGCCCGACCACAUACCUCCACGGUUUUUCCUCUAGAUCGCGUUUCUGCGGAGCUCGGGCGAAGCCCUGCCGAGAUCAAAUCACCACCACCCUCCGGAGCGCCGUCACGCUGCCGGAGAACUCAUCUACUUCUCCGUCUCUCUUGCUGGAUCAAGAAGGCCGAGAUCAUCGUCGAGCUGUACGUGUGCUGAACGCGGAGGUGCCGUCCGUUCGGCACUAGAUCGCAGGACGGUUUGUGGGACGGUUCGCGGGGCGGAUCGAGGGACGUGAGGACGUUCCACUACAUCAACCGCGUUCACUAACGCUUCUGCUGUGCGAUCUACAAGGGUACGUAGAUCAAAAAUCCCCUCUCGUAGAUGGACAUCACCAUGAUAGGUCUUCGUGCGCGUAGGAAAUUUUUUGUUUCCCAUGCGACGUUCCCAACAGUGGCAUCAUGAGCUAGGUUCAUGCGUAGAUGUCUUCUCGAGUAGAACACAAAAGUUUUUGUUGGCGGUGAUGUGCGUUUUGCUGCCCUCCUUAGUCUUUUCUUGAUUCCGCGGUAUUGUCAGAUUGAGGCGGCUUGGACCGACAUUACUCGUACGCUUACGAGAGACUGGUUUCAUCGUUACGAGUAACUCCCUUGCUCAAAGAUGACUGGCAAGUGUCGGUUUCUCCAACUUUAGUUGAAUCGGAUUUGACCAAGGAGGUCCUUGGAUGAGGUUAAAUAGCAAUUCAUAUAUCUCCGUUGUGGUGUUUGCGUAAGUAAGAGGCGAUCCUACUAGAUACCAUGGUCACCACGUAAAACAUGCAACAACAAUUAGAGGGAGUCUAACUUGUUUUUGCAGGGUAUGCUUGUGAUGUGAUAUGGCCAACGAUGUGAUGUGAUAUAUUGGAUGUAUGAGAUGAUCAUGUUGUAAUAGUUAAUAUCGACUUGCACGUCGAUGGUACGGCAACCGGCAGGAGCCAUAGGGUUGUCUUUAAACUAACAUUUGUGCUUGCAGAUGCGUUUACUAUAUUGCUAGGACGUAGCUUUAGUAGUAAUAGCAUGAGUAGCACGACAACCCCGAUGGCGACACGUUGANNNNNNNNNNNNNNNNNNNNNNNNNNNNNNNNNNNNNNNNNNNNNNNNNNNNNNNNNNNNNNNNNNNNNNNNNNNNNNNNNNNNNNNNNNNNNNNNNNNNCUCCUUGGGUAGGACCUAUAGGGCAGACCUAUGACCCUACCCUCGGACUAUAACCCCAUCAUUAGUCCACGAAUGGAUCGGGGUUGGAACGAUGAAGUGAUGUCCGGAGUUUGGAACCGACUGGUAUUGAGGUGAUCUUUGCGUUGUCUGCCUCGAUCCAUUUUAGCUUUGCGGCAAGUGAUCCGAGUGAAUAUGCAAGCGAAACGAACCGUGAGGGACCGUUUGCUUCCGCGGAAUCUUUCGACGUGACCGGUCAUACUAAGAGCGCCGGAUUUUCCGAGAUCCUCAAAUUUCGGUUGCCGCGCGCUCACCGGGGAUGACGACAUCGCCAUCGAGUAGAUUUCGCCUCCUCGAUUACCACGACGCGAUCUUCUCCACUAAUCUUGCAGCAGCCGGUUGGGAGGAUAAGAUCUUGGGCCCACCUGUAGGUGACUCAGUCGGAGGCCUAUUAAAGCCUUCCCGACAGACCUUCCUGUUGCCUGCUCGUCCUCCUCCCAUUGAUCUCCCCCCUCCCCCCCCNNNNNNNNNNNNNNNNNNNNNNNNNNNNNNNNNNNNNNNNNNNNNNNNNNNNNNNNNNNNNNNNNNNNNNNNNNNNNNNNNNNNNNNNNNNNNNNNNNNNGGUCUUGUCCAUCACAUGAUUCUCCUAAUGAUGUGAUCCCGUUAUCAAGUGACAACACUUUCCUAUGGUCAGGAAACCUUGACCAUCUCGGAUCAACGAGCUAGUCAACUAGAGGUUUACUAGGGACAGUGUUUUGUCUAUGUAUCCACACAUGCAGUGUGUUUCCAAUCAAUACAAUUAUAGCAUGGAUAAUAAACGAUUAUCAUGAACAAAGAAAUAUAAUAAUAACUAAUUUAUUAUUGCCUCUAGGGCAUAUUUCCAACAGUCUCCCACUUGCACUAGAGUCAAUAAUCUAGUUCACAUCACCAUGUGAUUCCAACGAAUCCAACACCCAUAUAGUCAUGGGGUCUGAUCACGUCUUGCUCGUGAGAGCAGUUUUAGUCAACGGUUCUGAAACUUUCAGACCCGUGUGUUCUUUACAAAUCUUUAUGUCAUCUUAUAGAUGCUGCUACUAUGUGCUAUUCGGAAAUACUCCAAAUAUCUACUCUACUAUACGAAUCCGUUUCACUACUCAUAGUUAUUCGGAUUAGUGUCAAAGCUUGCAUCGACGUAACCCUUUACGACGAACUCUUUAACCACCUCCAUAAUCAAGAAAAAUUCCUUAGUCCAUCAGUUACUAAGGAUAAAUUUUGACCGUUGCUAGUGAUUCAAUCAUGGAUCACUCUCUGUACCUCUCAACAGACUUCGAGUCAAGGCACACAUCAGGCGCAGUACCCAGCAUGGCAUACUUCAGAUUCUACGGCCAAGGCAUAGAAGACGACCUUCGUCUAUUCUCUUUAUUCUGCCGGGGUCGGGUUUUGAGUCUUACUCAAAUUCACACCUCACAACGCAACCAAGAAAUCCUUCUUUGCUGAUCUAUUUUGAACUCCUUCAAAAACUUGUCAAGGCAUGGAUCUUGUUGAAACUUCCAUUAAGCGCUUUUGAUCUAUCUCCAUAGAUCUUUGAUGCUUAACGUUCAAGUAGCGCAAUCCAGGUACUCCUUUGAAAACUCUUUUCAAACAACCUUGUAUGCUUUACAGAAAUUCUAUAUUACUUCUGAUCCACAAUAUGUCAACCACAUAUACUUAUCAGAAAUUUUAUAGUGCUCCCACUCACUUCUUUGGAAAUACAAGUUUCUCAUAAACCUUGUACAAACCGAAAAUCUUUGAUCAUCUCAUCAAAGUGUAUAUUCCAACUCCGAGAUGGUUGCACCAGUCCAUUGAAGGAUCGUUGGAGCUUGCAUACUUGUUAGUAUCUUUAGGAUCGACAAAACCUUUUGGUUGUAUCACAUACAAUGUUUGCUCAAGGAAACCGUCGAGGAAACAAUGUUUUGACAUCCUAUGUGCAAUAUUUCAUAAAUAAUGCAACAACUACUAACAUAAUUCUAACAGACUUUUAGCAUCGCUACGAGUGAGAAAGUCUCAUCAUAGUCAACCGUUUGACCUUGUCGGAAACAUCUUUGCGACAAGUCGAGCUUUUCUUAAUAGUGACUUAUCACCNNNNNNNNNNUGUCUGUCUUCAUUUUAAAGAUCCAUCUUUACUCAAAAGUCCUAUGACCAUCAAGUAAUUCUUCCAAAGUCUACACUUUGUUUUCAUACAUGGAUCCUCUCUCGGAUUUCAUGACUUCCAGCCAUUUGUCGGAAUCCGGGCCCACCAUUGCUUUCUCCAUAACUCGCGGGUUCACUGUUGCUCAACAACAUGACCUCCAAGACACGGUUACUGUACCACUCUGCAGUAGUACGCGACCUUGUCAACCUACGAGGCUUGUAGUAACUUGAUCCGAUGCUCGAUGAUCACCAUCAUCAGCUUUCACUUCAAUUGGUAUAGGCGCCACAGGAACAACUUCCUGCGCCCUGCUACACACUGGUUGAAGUGAUGGUUCAAUAACCUCAUCAAGUUCUACCACCCUCCCACUCAAUUCUUUCGAGAGAAACCUUUCCUCGAGAAAGGAUCCGUUUCUAGAAACAAACACUUUGCUUUCGGAUCUGAGAUAGGAGAUGUACCCAACUGUUUUGGAUAUCCUAUGAAGAUGCAUUUAUCCGCUUUGGGUUCGAGCUUAUCAGACUGAAACUUUUUCACAUAAGUGUCGAAGCCCCAAACUUUCAAGAAACGACAGUUUAGAUUUCUCUAAACCUCAGUCUAUACUGUGUCAUCUCAACGGAAAUACGCGGUGCCCUAUUUAAAGUGAGUGCGGUUGUCUCUAAUGCAUAACCCAUAAACGAUAGUGGUAAAUCGAUAAGAGACAUCAUAGUAUGCAUCAUACCAAAUAGUGCGUGGCUAUGAUGUUCAGACACAUCAUCACACUAUGAUGUUCCAGGUGGCAUGAACUGCGAAACAAUUUCCACAUUGUCUUAACUGCGUACCAAAACUCGUAACUCAGAUAUUCAUUUCUAUGAUCAUAUCGUAGACAGUUUAUCCUUUUGUUACGACGAACUUCACUCUGAAACAGAAUUGAACUUUUCAAUAUUUCAGACUUGUGACUCAUUAAGUAAAUACUCCUGUAUCUACUCAAGUCGUCAGUGAAGUAAGAACAUAAUGAUAUCCACUGCGUGCCUCAGCACUCAUUGGACUACAUACAUCAAAUGUAUCACUUCCAACAAGUUACUAUCUUGUUUCAUCUCAAUGAAANNNNNNNNNNACUUGUUACAACGAACUUCACUCCUGAAACAGACUUGAACCUUUCAAUAUUUCAGACUUGUGAUUCAUUAAGUAAAUACUCUUGUAUCUGCUCAAAUCGUCAUUGAAGUAAGAACAUAAUGAUAUCCACGGCGUGCCUCAGCACCCAUUGGACUGCAUACAUCAAAAUGUAUCACUUCCAACAAGUUACUAUCUUGUUUCAUCUCAAUGAAAAUAAGGCCUUGCUCAUGUGGUAUGAUUUGCAUGUCACUAGUGAUUCAAAAUCAAGUGAGUAUAAAGAUCCAUCAGCAUGGAGCCUCUUCAUGCAAUUUAUACUAACAUGACUCAAGCGGCAGUGCCACAAGUAAGUGGUACUAUCAUCACUACCUCGUAUCUUUUGGCACCAAUAUUAUGAACAUGUGUAACACUACGAUCGAGAUUCAAUAAACCAUUAAAGGUGAUUAUUCAAGCAAACAGAGUAACCAUUAUUCUCUUUAAAUGAAUAAUCGUAUUGCAACAAACAUGAUCCAAUCAUGUUCAUGCUUAACGCAAGCACCAAAUAACAAUUAUUUCGGUUUAACACCAAUCCCGAUGGUAGAGGGAGCGUGCGACAUUUGAUCAUAUCAACCUUGGAAACACUUCCAACACGUAUCGUCACCUCGCCUUUAGCUAGUCUCCGUUUACGCCGUAGCUUUCAUUUCGCGUUACUAAUCACUUAGCAACCGAACUGGUAUCCAAUACCCUCGUGCUACUAGGAGUACUAGUAAAGUACACAUCAACAUCAUGUAUAUCAAAUAUACUUCUUUCGACUUUUGCCAGCCUUCUUAUCUACCAAGUAUCUAGAGUUGCUCCACCUCAGUGAUUGUUCCCCUCAUUACAGAAGCACUUAGUCUCAGGUUUGGGUUUAAUCUUGGGUCCCUUCAUUAGUGCAACAACUGUUUUGUCGUUUCACGAAGUAUCCCUUCUAGCCCUUGCCUUUCUUGAAACUUAGUGGUUUUACUAACCAUCAACUAUUGAUGCUCCCUUUUGAUUUCUACUUUCGCAGUGUAAAAACAUCACGAACCGCUCAAGGAUCAUUGUAUCUAUCCUUGAUAUGUUAUAGUUCAUCACGNNNNNNNNNNUUCUUGAUUUCUACUUUCCCAGUGUCAAACAUCGCGAAUCGCUCAAGGAUCAUUGUAUCUAUCCUUGAUAUGUUAUAGUUCAUCACGAAGCUCUCACAGCUUGGUGGCAGUGACUUUGGAGAACCAUCACUAUCUCAUCUGGAAGAUUAACUCCCACUUGAUUCAAGCGAUUGUCGUACUCAGACAAUCUGAGCACACGGUCAACGAUUGAUCUUUUCUCCUUUACUUUGUGGACAAAGAAUCUUGUCGGAGGUCUCGUACCUCUUAACAAGGGCACAAGCAUGAAAUCGCAAUUUCAUCUCUUUAGAACAUUACUUAUGUUCCGUGACGUUUCAAAACGUCUUCGGCGCCUUGCUUCUAAGCCAUUAAGUAUUUUGCACUGAACUAUCGUGUAGUCAUCAAAAACGUGUAUGUCGGAUGUUCACAGCAUCCACAUACGACGCUCGAGGUGCAGCACACCGAGUGGUGCAUUAAGGACAUAAGCCUUCUGCGCAGCAACGAGGACAAUCCUCUACAAAGUUUGCUACUAUCAACUUUCAACUAAAUUUUCUCUAGGAACAUAUAAAAACAAUAGAGCUAUNNNNNNNNNNNNNNNNNNNNNNNNNNNNNNNNNNNNNNNNNNNNNNNNNNNNNNNNNNNNNNNNNNNNNNNNNNNNNNNNNNNNNNNNNNNNNNNNNNNNUGGUUAGAUAGCUUGGUGUCGCCGAUGAUCUCUCCUCGCUAGAUCCCUGAUGCCAAUGCAGCAGCUCUCUACCCUUCGGAUAUUCACAACUUCACACACUUGCGCAACGUAGCCGUCGACCACGAGACGGUUAGAAUUGCAAUAUACUAAUUCCCAAUGGAACAGCAGAUCACACUUAACUUGUAGUAUAUAAUCUCCAGAUCGAUAUGAAUUGGAGACAAGAAUUCAAGAUGAAUGCUUAUAGCAGUCUCAUGAACUAGGUUUUAUCUUAAACGUGGUCUAUCUAUCUAAUCUGAGAGCAGCCCUCUAUAUAAGAGGGGCUGGGUGAUGCGCCCAGGGGGGGGGGGCUAGGUCUGGUGCGCCCAGCCUGGUCCUCCUGACUUGGUGCAACCUAAACUGGUCGACUCAAAAUGUGGUUCGACUCAACUUGAUACAAACUGACCCAACUUGGGUUCAGCCCCUUGGCACGCAGGCCAUGUACUUGAGGUAUGGCGCUGCAACAUGGUGUUGGUGCGCCUGGUGUUACUCGACGUGGGGAUCCUCCUCCUUGACGUUAGCGCCUGACUGCCUCUCCUCCCUCGCGCCCUCUUGCUUGUACUCCACAUCAUGCUCCUCUUGCUGCAACUCCUCGCUCCCUCGUGCUAUGCCUUCUUCUCCCAUGCACCUGAGUAUGCAAACACUCAAAGACUUAGGUAGUAGAAAGCUCUCAUUAAAAUAAAUAGCAUAUUCAACUAAGAGAGAAUUCACCCGUUGUUCUAUUAUCUUUGCACGAGCUCUUGUGAUAGGUCCAAUUCUGAUUUCAUCAUUGGACGUCUUCUUUGCAGCCACUUGGUGAUCAUCAUCAUAGGUUGGAGGUGGGUCAAGUGUNNNNNNNNNNNNNNNNNNNNNNNNNNNNNNNNNNNNNNNNNNNNNNNNNNNNNNNNNNNNNNNNNNNNNNNNNNNNNNNNNNNNNNNNNNNNNNNNNNNNAAAGUUCAUCAACUAAUGGCCUUAGGUACACAUCAAUAUCGUUGCCGGGUUGCUUUGGACCUUGGAUAAGCACUGGCAUCAUAAUGAACUUCCGCUUCAUGCACAACCAAGGAGGAAGGUUGUAGAUACAUAGAGUAACGGGCCAGGUGUUGUGACUGCAACUCUGCUCCCCAAAAGGAUUCAUGCCAUCUGUACUCAGACCUAACCAUAAGUUCCUUGUGUCAGCUGCAAAUCUCGGGAACUCUCUCUCGAUUUUUCUCCACUCACGACCAUCAGCGGUGUGCCUCAACUUAUCGUCUUUCAUACGAUCUUCCAUGUGCCAUCGCAACAACUUCACGUGAUCUUUAUUUCUGAACAGACGUUUCAACCGUGGUAUUAUAGGAGCAUACCACAUCACCUUGGCAGGAACCCUCUUCCUGGGUGGCUCGCCCUCAAUAUCACCAGGGUCAUAUUUUCCGAUCUUAUACCGCAACGCAGUGCAUACCGGGCAUUUAUCCAUAUUCUCGUACUUCUCACCGUGGUAGAGGAUGCAAUCAUUAGGGCAUGCAUGUAUCUUCUGCACGUCUAAUCCUAGAGGGCAGACAAGAUUCUUUGCUUCGUACGUGCUGGCAGGCAAUUCGUUCUUUCUUGGAAGCAUCUUCUUCAUGAGUACCAGCAACUUUUCGAAUGACGAGUCAGUCACACUGGUCUCUGCCUUCCACUUCAGCAAUUCCAGUGUGCUACCCAGCUUCUUCUGGCCAUCUUCACAAGUUGGGUACAACAAUUUUUUGUGGUCCUGUAACAUCUGCUCGAACUGCAACCUCUCCUUUUCUGUGUCUCAACCUCGCCGUGCAUCAGAAAUGACCCGGCCAAGAUCAUCAGCGGGCUCAUCUGGUUCCCGUUCUUCAUCAUGAUCUUCUUCUUCAUUGUCUUCCAUUGCGGUAUCAGCAUACUCAGGGAACAUAUAUCGGUAGUUGUCAUCAUCGUUCUCUUCUUCUUCAUCGUCGUCUUCCAUCAUAACCCCUCUGUCUCCGUGCUUGGUCCAAACAUUAUAGCCCGACAUAAAACCGGACCGAAGCAGGUGGCUCUGAAUGACUCUUGAGGAAGUGUAAUCCUUCUCAUUCCGACAAUCAACACAUGGACAAAACAUAUAGCCACCACCAUGCUUGUUCGCAUCGGCUGCAUCUCGAAAAGAAUGCACGCCUUCUCUGUAAGCGGCUGUGCGUCGAUCACCGUACAUCCAUGGAUGGCUCAUCUGUGUUAUACGACAGUAUAUCAAAUACAAUCACGAUCCUAAAAAUUAGUACCGCACGGUCUAAAUGAGGAAAUAUAGUUGCUAACCUUUUAGAAUAAGUAGAAAUAAAGAGGAAGAGGUUUAAGCGUGGCUCAGGCAUCUCAUAUCGUAGUUGUGUUCGGUGAACUGAAGCGGCAUCGCUCUAACACACAUUUCAACAAACACCUCUAGUGCAUCAAAAAAAGUGGAGAGCUAGCACACACCCACAAUCCUCCAUCCAAGAAAAAUGCAAGGAAGAGGGGAGAGGGGGGCUGUGCUAUAUAUGGGCAGAGGACUUUAGUCCCGGUUUGGGACACGAACCGGGACUAAAGGCUCCUUACGGGUCGGGACUAAAGCCUCGAGGCAGGCAUUGAGAAUUGGGGCGACGUGGCCGGGCCUUUAGUCCCGGCCCAGAGGCAGGCCGGGACUAAAGGGUUACGGCCAAAGGCCCGUUUUCCACUAGUGAUUGGUUUUGCUUUUUCGAAAAUAUGGAAUAUUCCAUUGUUUGCCCACUGCAAAGCCGCUGGUAGGAAGCUGUGAUAUACGGAUAUUUUUCUGUGAAAAAUGGGACGCGCGCAUGCAAAAUUUUGUAGUGGUUCCUGCAUGUGGGCGCCGUGGCUGCAGGCCUGCAGCACCCCCGCCGUCUCGGCUCGCCGUCGACGGAGGCUUCCACCACCAUUAUAUUCAGCAAAAAAAAUCAGGAACAAAAACAAUAUUCGCUGGUUGUAGCAAAAAACUAAAACUGUUCCAGUAAAAAAACAUCACGGUUUCGAUAAAAAUAUGUCGUGGCCGGUGUUCGCAAACAAAAAAUAUCGCCGGAUGCAGCAACUUUUUUGUCGGUUGUAGCAAAAUAAGAAGAUAGUACUAGAAAAAUGCUUCCUCUUGUGCUUCUUGUGCUGUCUUAAAAAAGGAAAAAGCAGGUGCUUGGUCUGUUUCUCCUGUUCCUCACUCACUUGCUUUCUUUUGCAAUUUUGACAAUGUCAGUGUGGGUCCUCUCUCUCCUUUGUGAGACUAUACUGUAUGGCCUGUGUUAAAGUAACUAGAAUCUUCUAUGGCUUCAUUAGUAUUUGUUUCUGUUACGGUUGGCUGGAGUUAAAGCCUUAAACCGUUUUCUAUUAUGAUCUUCUCUUACGUAUCAAGUUGUAAUUUAUCAAUACUUGUACGCCACGGAUGGGGCUGUUCCAUCCCUAUAUAAACACGCAACAGCGGCCUGCUACGGUGGGUAGAACGCUUUCCAUCUUUCAGCCUGCUCUAUCCUGAGUUGUUGAACUUGAGGAGGGAUCUAUGGUUGAGGGUACCACUAACAAUACUUAUACUCUUCAGUCAUAGAUAGUGUUUCCCAUGAAAAUGUACUAUUAGCUGGUGUUGCAAGGGCACGAUGUGGGCAACCAUCGUCAUGUUAUGCAACAUGUUGAAAGCCAGUGUCGUUGGAGUGCCGACAUAAUACGACGCACGCCGAAGCCAAUGCUAUGAGGGGCAUCUCCAUGCUACAAGAUUUGCGUUGCUGCUGCGAGGCAAUGUUACGAGGGGAGUCACCAUCCUCGAGGGACUAUCGGCGUGUGGCGAGGCACGCUACAAGCAGGUGUUGCGAGCCAUGAUUAAGGAGUCCCAUUGGUGUUGCGAGUGACGACCAUAGAUGUUGCGCCCGGGGGUGCAGGAAGAGGAAUUGCGAGAUGUAUUGAGCACUAGACACACUAUGUGCAAUCUGAUGACUCUCCAUGUUACAAUGGGUGGGCAUCCCGCUAAGACACGCGCUGCUAUAAGGACCGACCACCAGUGCUGCAAGCCUUGAGAAGUAAUGUUGCAAGGACCGGACAACAUCGUCCAGGUGCUCGCUGCUGCAAGGCCGUUUAGUGAUGUUGUGAGCUGCUGCUCCAAGGUCGUCGGGGUUGGUACGACGGACAACACUGCUACAAGCCACAUGUUAUGAGGCCGUCAAAAUUGGUACGACGGGUGGCGAUGUUGCGACGUCAAUGACGGAUGGCGAUGGUGCGAGGUUGAUGGAGCAGCUUCGACGGGUGGAGUUGUUGAGAGCUGAUGCUGGAGCUGCGAUGAUGGUCCGAUUGCUUCCACCACAUGACGGCGAUGUGACGCUUGAUGACCGCAAUGAUGGCAUUCAUCCACGACAGGACGGUGCUACGACGCUCGAUGAACCGUGGUAACGGCAUGCUUAUAUGACACGACUAUGUUGCGAUGCUCGACAGGCCGCAGCGGCGGUGUGCUUCCACAACAUGACCAUGCUGCGACGGAUGCUACGAUGGUGUCUCAGCUGACAGGAUACCAGCGAUGCUGCAAUGACGACGGCAUGCUAUGAGUUCGUGGUGCAACGGUAGUCAUGCUAUGACGAUCGGCGUGCUACGAGCAAUACCGAUUUGCUGCGUGUCGGUGUUGCGACAACGCCGAUGUGUGAAAAGUCGGUGCUACGAUGGGGAAGAACGAAACAAGACAGUGAGGAGUGGUCCCGUUGACUUGUCUGACCAACGGUAAGAUCAAGAUUAAUCGAAGUAUGAAGAAGACAGUUGAGUCCGCACCAAUACAUCCACGUGAUAUGUACCCAGCCAAGCAGAACAAGAACCAACGAUUUGCUUGUUCCAUCGUACGACUCGAAAGACGGCUUAAAACUCAUACAAAUCAUCCGUCUGACGCCUAGUGCGGGUCUUUUUUUUGACAAACCAACGAACAUUUUCCCCAUCGAGAUCGGGUCUCCUAUACACCGCUCCUUGCGGCCAACUGCCGAGCAAACACAUAGGGGUUGCCCGACUAGCCCGGCCCAGUUAUUUUUUGUAUUUUGUUUUUCUGCUCUUUUUCUGUUUAUUUCCUUUUUUGUUCAUUUUUUCUUUCUUUAUUCAUUUUCUUUUAGAAUUUGAAGCAAAAACAAAAUCCAGAACAUUUUUUGUUUCUGUUUUUAAAAAUGUUCUGAAUUAUCGACAAAUGCUCCAGUUUUUCAAAUUGUUCACAAGUUAAAAAAAUCUUUCUUGAAUUUGUUUCGCAAUUUCAAAAAUUCAGGAACAUUGUUUCAAAUUCCGGAAAACAUUUUUUCAAAUUCCAGAACAUUUUUUCAAAUCCUGGAAAAAAUUCAAAAUCCAAAAAAAAUUAAUUUUUUUUGGAAUAUUUCUUCAAAUUCUGGAAUAUUUUUCCAAAUACCGGAACUUUUUUCCAAAUCCAGAAGAUUUUUGUAACAGAAAUAGAAAAAAAGGAAACAGAAAAGAAUAAAGAAAAAGGAAACGAAUUUUUUCUGAAUAUUCAAAACAUUUUUUGAAAGAGAAACAGAAAAGAAAAAACUGAAAAAGCUGAAGCAGUUCAGUGAACCUUCUAGAAGUUUUCCAAAACCAAAAAAAUCCGGCUGAGAACCUCUAGAAGGUUCCCAAAACCGGGACUCUCUAAUGGGCCAGCCCAAUCUGAAGCCAUCCCUCUCUUCCAUGUGCAUUUGGUCGACAUUUCAACACACAAAGUAUCAAAUAGGAUUUUCCGUCGCGACCUCCCUCCCCGCUCUUCAUCAUCAAGCUACAGCCCAAAAUGCAACAACUAGUGAUUCUUAUUUGUGGCCUACAUCGUGUGUUUUUAGUGUUUCUGCAAACGAACGCUCACAGUACGUCUUUAACUCUUCCAAAUAAUCGAUGAACUUUUUUCAAAAUCAAUAUAUUAUUAAAAAAUCCAUGAACUUGGUUUCGAGUUUACAUUUUUCAGAUAAUUUAUAUUGGGUACAUGUUAAUGUUUUACUAAGCAAAAAGGUUAUCUAGCAUUGUUUUCUUGCACUAGAAAACAAAGUUACUUUGGUCUAGUGGUUAUUGCGGUGGGCUGGCAACAUUGCAAACCGGAGUUAGUAUGGAUUUUUCUUUGGAGGUCCUAUACAACCCAUUUAGCGUCGGUUAGGCAAACCGGGGUUGUAGCGUCCUUCUCGUGGGUCGGCCCAUGUAGAAUGUGUUGGUUCUUAAAAAUCAAAAAAGUUUAUAAAAAAAAUCAGAUUUGCAAAAAAGUUCAAUGAUUAUAAAAAAAGUUCACCAAUUUUUUAGUUAUGUUUAUGUUUUUUCAAAAAGUUCACAAAAUUCAAAAAAAAUCAUUGAUUUUCAAAAAAAGUUUAUGGAAUCUCCGAAACUAUAGGAUCUGAAAACUAAAUCUACAUCAUGGGAUAAGGUGGCUGGGAGGAGAAACCGGAAAUUAAAAAUGCAUGAGCGUACAACAGUGAAGAAGCUAUCGAUAAGUAGCGAUACUCGUGGGAUACGACCAUCUGCCAUAUUACACACGACCUCCUUUUCUCUAUAUAUUCUCUAUCUUCCAUGUAACAAAAAAAUCUUAUGUGACAUGUGUUAUAGACGACUGAGUUGAUGCUGUUGUACAUGCCCUUAGAGUGGCGGUUAGGAGCUCCCUCAGCUGCUAUUUGUAAAGAUUACAAUGGUAUAAUUCCCAGGAUUCUUCUGCAAUGGUGUUCAACAUUGUACAUGCUCCGGCAAACGCUUGAAGUACUUGCUUGUCGAGAAGAAUUAGCUCUAGCUCUUGAUAUUUUUGUGCAGAUCGGGUGGGAUUCGGUCGUGUCCAUUGGUCCUCCGUUUAAAAGGGAGCGGCACGAAGCUCUGCUAUCUGUUGCCAUCAGGAGCUAUGUUUUGCUUUAUGGUGAAGUCAGAUGUGGAGAAUGUCAUGGAAGCCGAUGUUGGAGGACUGGUAAUGGUGAUUGGAGCCUACAACGCUGAGGAAUUUGCUUGGAGUUUCGGGAUUCGUAGCGGUGGUAUGUAAGUGGGGCAACAACAUAUGUGAAUGUUCAAGAUCUUACCUUUCAGGAUGAAAAUCUAAGACUUGGCCUUAGUUGGUUGUGUAUCACAAUGGCCUUGUUGAAGGCAUUGUUUUGAGAGCGGACAUUAACUUCAGGGUGAAAACCAAGAUAUAUAAUCGGAUGACGACGACGCUUGUGCACUGUUUCCUUCUUUGAGGCAUCGCUUUUGGGGAACUUGGACUACGGGGGUUGUUUUUGUGGUGGUUGUACUGCUGCUGCAAGGACUGGAACUAUGUAGCAGGGCUUUUCUUUUUUUAGCUUCUUCUUUCUUUUUUGGUUGCGUCCAGCCGUAAUGCCAUUAGUGUAUUGCGUUGUUGCAGAGGUUGGGUGUAAUUGAUAUCUUCGAGAUAUUAAUAUAUUUCCUUUAUCAAAAAAAAAAAAUUCUGUGCGAAGAGUGAUUAUUGCAUGCGAUUGCAAAUCAGUAGUAUAAGAGAUAAAGAAUGGAACCAAAGGAAGGUAUAGCCCAUCAAAGAAGUCACAAAAAGAUCAUGAUAGUCCACUUUUGUAGAUUCACGUUUGAAGGACUCAUUUUAAACUUUUGAGGCUCAUAGUUUGGCAAAGUUUUCUUCUUCUUUAGUCGAGGGUCGUUAUGUCUGGUUAGGAAUGCCCCAUGGCCCGUUUAAUUAUCCGAGUAUCCGGUAAUCCUCCUUAAUAAAGUGUGAUUUACUGUUGAAACAAAAUCAAAUCAAAGUCAUUAAUUAAAGGGUUCCCUACAAAAAUCAAUCCCACCUUCUCUGGAUGCGACAAGUGGUGUAGUGUAUGUGGGCAACUUGUUGCUUCCGAAGAGUUUUCCCUUUUUAGGUAGAUUCGUUUAUCCAUACGGUUUAUCUUAAACCUUAUGUCCAAACUGCGAGCUUUUUUCAUCGUUGGAUUUCAUGCGUUGAAAUUUUUAAAACUAGAUCUCAUGUUAAUAGGUUUUGACGAAAUUUUUUUCAUGAAAAAACCAGAAGAAAAGAAAACAGACCGAAACCACGGUUAUUUCUCUCACAUUUUCUAUUUCCGAGAGUUAUAGUUGUCCUCUCACGAAAUAAAAUCCAUGUCCCCACGUGAAGCAAACUUGUACCUCUCAUGUAAGAGAACAAACAAUAUUUUUUUUGCUUUAUAUGAGGCAUAACUGUGCCUCUCACGAAAGAUUUUUUUUAUCUUUUUGAGAGGCACAAAGUAUGUGCAUCUUGCGGAAUAAAACAAUGUUUUUUUCUAUUUCCCAAAAGGUGCAGUGGAAGCAAACUGUUGUUCCGAUGAAAGAAAAUAACAUUUUUUCAUACAAUUUUUUUCUCCGUACUUUUUUGUCCAAAAUCUAGGAAAACUGGGCAAAAGCCAUAAGAAUCAUCUAAAAUCUGAAAAAGCAUACAGAAAAUAGAAUAAAAAUAAAACCCUUAAAAAGCGUCCAACACGCGACAAGUGGCAACCAAAAGCACAUCGAUUGACGCGGUCUCAGUCCACCCGAUUUUUUUGAACACAUGCAAAAUGCUCAUAUAUACACGUAUAACUAUAUACUCACCCCUAUGAACAUAGACACGCACGCCUUAUUUCUAUGAUCACCUCCGAGAGACUGAGCCGGCAUAUCAUCUUGAAAUUUACGAAGUCACCGUAGACACUUCAUCGUCGACGGAAACGUCUCCUCCCAAUAAAGUGUAUCGUUAGAAAUCCUAAAAUAAAUUCAGAAAUAAUGCAAGCACUAGGACUUCAAUCCUGAUGGGCUAGAGAUACCAUUGUCCUUCUAACCAUCCAACCGCAUGUUAAUUUGCUCAGCCACCCAAAAUGAGAGGAUCCCGCAAGGGGUAACCCUUAGUUAAUUACUCCUACGUCAAAGUAGCAUAUCAUAAAGUCAUAAAAAAAUCAAGGUAGCACCAUUCAAGACACAACAUCAAGCUACAAUUCAUUUUCUAGAACAGGUGCAAAAAAACAUUGUUCAAAAAUAAAAUUGCCGUCAUGUUUGAAAGAAAAAUGGCGUAACACAAGUAAAAUGCCAUCAUGUUCAAAAAAGAUGGAUCACAUGCAAAAACAAAUCCUUGGAAAAAAGAACCUUCCAUACCCUAAGAGCUAAGAAUACAAACGACAAGAAAAAUGGGGUAUGUUUAUACACAAAACUGCCACAUUUUAAAAUAAAAAUACAUUAUGCACACAUAAAACAUGAUGUUGAACCUAAAAAUGUCAUAUAAGAAGUCCAUGAUAUGCUAAAAUAUGUCGUUUUCUUACUAACGAAAUUUCCAUGCUCUUAAUAAAAAAUGGCAUGCUCUAUACAAAAAUGACAUGUUCUCUCUAACAAAAAAUUGUCAUCUAUAUAAAAAUAAAAGUGUCAUGCUCUUUAAAAUAAAAGUACCAUCUUGCAUAAAAACAUGACAUGCUCUACAAACAAACCCCAUGCACUUUAACAAAAUUGAAUGGUGCAAAAAAAAGGAAAAAGUCCAUUUUGAACCCUGAAUUUGUAGAGGUUCGACGAAAUGAAACUCCAACUCGAAAUCCCUGUCGAUUGCACCCUGAACUAUGUAAUCCUGGUCUAAAAAGAACCCUGGAUUCGUUUGACAAACUGGGAUUGCUGAUUUGACCAGUUAGGCCCAUCUCGGUAUCGUACAUCACAAAACAUUUACGGAAUUAAAAAAAUGAGAAUAAAAGUUCACGAAUUUUGAAGAAAUAACCACGGAUAUAAAAAAAGUUCAACGAUUUUAGAAACAAAUAAAUGGAUUUUCAAAAUUAAAAUUCAGGGAUUUUCAAAAACAUUGUGAAGUCCACAGGUUAUUUUAUAGUACGUAGGAAGCACCUUAAAAUGGUUUUUAACAUAUGAUUAACAUUUUUUUAGAAUACAUGUUAAAAAUAUUAAUACAUCAUAUACAAUUUUUUAAUUGUCCCCAACACUUUUUCGAAAUGUAUGAACAUUUUCCAAAUGCAACAAUUUUAAAAUUACACACAUGUAUAUUUUUAUAAUUUUGAUAUAUAUGUUAAAAUUACACACAUGUAUGUUUUUUAUAUUUUUGUUUUCUGGUUCUUUUCUUCCUUUUGUUUUUAUUUUUAUUUUUAUUUUCUGUUUCAAUUUAUAUUUUAUACUUUUUAUUUUUUUAUUUUUUAUUUCUUUUUUUGUUACUGUUUUAUUUUCACUUAUAUUAUAUAGAGUUCAUUGUGUGUCGUCAAAAUAUUUAUUGUAUAUCAUGUGUGCAUGUACGUGUAUGUGUGGAUUGUCAUGGUGUGUAUUAUACAUACCUGUAGGCUAUUCGGCGUUCAUCGCUGGACCGGAUUUGUCCCAACACGCUGUAAGAAAUAUUUGAAAAAAGAUUACUCAUUUUUUAAAAAGAUUAACAAAUUUAAAAAAAUGCUGACCAGGUAGAGCUUAAAGGUACAGUCUUAAUAUACUCACAACUACAAGAACAAAUGCAUGCAUCACUCCACAACUACAAGAAAAAAUGUUCGCGCAUCCAAAAAAUAUUUUCGAAUUUGAAAAAUGUUCCGAUUUUGAAAAAAAUCAUGUUUUCUAUUUUUGAGAGAUUUUAUAAAAUGGUUCACAUAUUAUAAGAAAUGUUCGUGUUUCAGGAAAAAAAUUAUUUGUUUGAAAAUGUGUUGGCCGUUUUGAAAUAUGUUCUAAAAAUAUUAAAUAUGUUUGUGAUUUUAAAACGGGCCGGCCUAAAAAAUAAAUCCCGGUUGACACGGUGCGAGGGUUUGAUUUAGACCGGGAUUGCAUAGUUCAGGGUGCAAUCGACCGGGAUUUCGAGUUGAGGGUUUAUUCCGUCCGACCAAUACAAAUUCAAGGUUGAAAUUGGACUUUUUCCGCAAAAAAAUGCCAUGCUUCAAAAAGUAAACUAUCAUUGCCUAACUAAAUAAAAUUGCCAUCGUAUGAAUAGUAAAAGGUACAAAGCCCAACGAAAAAAAACUCAUGGUGCAACUAAACAAAUUGCCAUGAUCUAAAUAAAAUAGGCUUGCCAUGGUACAUGACUUGAAAUGGCCAUUGUCUAAUUUUGGAAAAUUCCAUCCUCCAGCUAAAGAAUUGCCAUGGUACCCAAAUAUAAACUACCAAGUUCUGACUAGUAAAUAUACCAUAAUCUGAUGACUAAAAUUGCAUUGGAUUCCAUAAUAGAAAUGGCUUUGCUAAAAUACCUCUAAAUGUAAGAUAAGUAUUGCACAUGUAAGUCCUCUAUCAUUGAUCUUACAUGAAAUUCGUGUGGGUAUUUUUUUUCUUUUCUUUUCCUUUUCAUGCUUUAUUUAGUUAUUUAGAUGUGCAAUAACUAUGUCACAUCUAGAUGUGUUCUAGAUACAUCCUAAUAAAAAUGCACCUUUACGAACAAUUGUAGGAACAUGUCAAUUCUUAUGGGUGAAAACUGAAUAGUGUGACAACUUCAAUAUAAACACUCUUAGUAAAAUUCAGAACGAGGCAAUCUCUGGCAUUGUGUUGCCCAUGGCAAUUUCUACAUGAGAUGACCUAAUUCAAGUACACAAAAGAUUUAUGAAAAAAUGCCAUCUUAUUUUCAAACAAAAAAUCAAUGGCGAAAAAAAUCGGUAGACGCAUAUUUAAAACUUUGUGUCCAAAACCAUAUUAAAAAUGUUAUAAUAGUUGUACCAACAAUGCCAGGCUCCUUAUAAAUAAUAUGCCAUGUAUGUAAAUAAUGCCAUACCAAGUUCAAUAAAGAAAGUGCCAUACAUUGAAAAUGCCAUGUUGAAUACAAUAAAAUGCCAUACAAAAAUUGUGAAUUUUGCCAUGAUAUUUUAACAAAAAUAAUUCCAUGUCACUUUAGAAAUAAUUGCCAUGGUUAUAGACAUUUUUAAAAUGCCACCUCCUAAACAAUUCACAUGACUUCAUGGUUCAGUUUGUAAAAAGUUGCCAUGAUUUCAAUCUAAGAAUUGCAGAAAAUACUAUGUUAGACAAUAUUUUUUAGCAAACAUUGUUGAAUGUUUCACGGUGCAAAAUUAUGAUUCUGUAAAAAACCUAGAUGAAUUCGGUGCUCCGAAAUUUCUCGAAAAAAUAACAUCUUUAAAGUAUCGAUUUUCCCUUAGUGAUAGAAACAUUGCAUGCAUAUGGAACAUUAACCAGUGUUUUGUCACAAAAAAAAUCUUAUAUUUUUCUUUUUGUUUUAGAUUUUUUGUUUUGAAAAGCAUGCCUUAUAUUAAUUAAGCAAACAAAAGGUUAUUACAAUCAUUCAUUACGCCUUGCGUGGCGGGAUAGAGUUAACAAGCAACCCAUUAAACCUGCUACUAAAACUAAACUUAGCAAUCUCAUGUACCAUCUCGUUGGCAGGCCGACUUAUUUUUGAAAAACUUAAUUUUGGAACAUGUUAGUAAUACUCACUUAACAAGCAACACAUCAAACCUGCUACUAAACUUAGCAAUCUCGUGGUCGACUUAUUUUUGAAAAACAUGUUGACAAUACUCUGUCAAGCUUCUCAUUUGCAAGGAAGGAAUAAAUGAAGGCACACUCAUUUGCAAGGAACGAAUAAACGAAAGCACUGCCAAUUUGUUUUAGAUUUGAGUACAAUUGUUCAUCUGAGAGCAGUACUGUAAUUCAAAACGACAGAAAUGAACUCCAUAUAUUGCAGAAGAAUGCACCACUGUCAAGGCAAAAUUGCUUGUUUACUGCUACACAAAAAUAUAUGUUAUCGAGUGCAAGUAUAGUUAGUUCUUGUGGGGUAUUGCGAGUUGUAAGAGCAUCUCUAGCAGAACCCAUAUAAAGCCGACCCGGAAAACUCGUUUACAGUUCGCGGAAAAACAGUUUUGUGUGCCGGUACAGGCACGAACAAAGUCAGACCCCACAAAACGGACCCGUAAAAAAGGACAGAAGAUGCUCUUUUACGGAUCGGCUAUGGAGGGUCUGCUCGGGCAUCGCCGUGUCGACCCGCAAACCAAAAACCCUCCAAUAAGCGAAUUUGACAGUGAUUCCAACAAAUGAGUUCAAAUUCAAACAAUAAAACAUAGUUCGCUCACAAAAUGAAAGCAUAGUUUUUAAAGACAAACGCAAAAGGACUUCAUGCAUCCCGGUCGCUCUUCACUCCGCAUCAUCGAGGUCAUCGCUGCCCUCGAAUCCAUCGUCGACACUUGUUCCAACUCCGGUACCAAAAUCAUCGGUGAUAUUGGUUCGGAUUCCCGAUGAGAAAACAUCAAUGCCACUGUAACACGCAAGCAUCCUCCUCUUCAAGAUGUCUCGCCUUGUCAUAUCAUGUCAUUCUUUGUUGAUGUCGUUCAUGUCAUUGCGGUUCAAAGCAAUGAUCAUAUUCUAUUCGGUAAGAAGGUUGGACAUGAUUUUCUUCUCAGCGGCAUGUGCUCUUCUCUCGUGAAUGUCUUUGAGAAAUUUCCAUCUCUCUUGCUUCUCUCGUGCCUUCUUCUCGGCCAACUCUAUCUUUGUCCCCGAAGACUUCACUAGCAUCACCUCAUUUGAUUGCAUCAUGACAUCUAUUUUGUCCCGCAAGCUCGAUGCUUUAUGUCCCCUCUUGAUCUUCUCCUUUGUCUUUUUGUCAUCAUCGGGCUUGUUCAAGUUUCUUGGGCCAUCAUCAUCUUCAUCUUCAUUCAUGUUCGUAAGUGAACCUUUUUCGAUGGGGAUUCUUUGUCCAUUAACUUCCACUUCUCCCAGUCUUUGAUCAUUUUUCAACAAUGCUCUAGUUUAAAAAAAAUACCUUCAGAAGCUUCCAUGUCUUUAUAUCGUUGUUGGGCAUUUUUUUCUACACAAUUAAAGCAAAGUCAAAUGACGCAACCAUUUUUAUAUGAUGCAAAUGGUGUGCAGAACUUGGGACGUGAAAACGAACUCACAUAAUCGGAUUCCAUGGUUUCACUUGAAGGUGCAUUGCAAACUUGUUCCAAGCAAGCUGCCCAACGGUUACAAAUCGGUUUCAUCACAUCCCAACGACCUUGGAGUGACCGAAAGGUCCAUGUUGUCCUAUUGGGAUACUUGGUCAUGAAUUGGAAGUAUUGAUCUUCGAUUCCUUGUCAAUACCUCUUGACAGUUUGAGACACACUCGUGCAAGCAUCCAUAGACACCGUACUUUAAGCCUUGAUCAAGAUUUGAUCUUCCAAAAUCGUGUAGUUCUUCGAUCUCACCCUUUUUUUUUUGCUUGCACUUGCUGAUACGCCCCUCAUCUACCUUCUCCACUUCAUCUUCACCAUCGUGGUCAUCCACGCCACCCUCCAAUUCAUUAUAAUCGAAACCAGCGAUUGGGGCUUGAUCGAUGUCGACGGCGUUGGUCUUUAACAAGUUCACGAACUCGACAGCGACAUUGUUCAAACCACCGCUAUAUUGAGUGACAGCAAGUCAUGACAUACCACAAUAGCAAAAAAGCAAAGUAAGAACAAGGGAGGAAAGAUGCAUACCUUCCAGCCAUUUCAUCGAACACCUCGCUUGCGGUGGAAGCAACACUGUUCGAAGACAUCGUCGGGGAACAUCUUGCCGGGGCGGAGCGAGUGGACGAAGAACAUCUUGCCGGGGCGGAGCGAGUGGACGAAGGCGCCGAUCUUUUAUAGGAACCUUCUUUCGUUUCAUGUUCGAAACCUUAAUCAUCUUCUCCGCCAACGGUCGGUCAGAUCGUGCAGCAACAACGACGCCCGACGCGCGUGCCUUUCCAGCAGGAUUGCCGCCCUGCACGACAAUGAUGUCCUACUGCUUCUAGGCAGGCACGUUGAUGCCUUUGGCGACGGCGGGGCAACGUUGCCCUGCCGCUUGUGGGCAGGCACGUUAGUGCCUUGGGCGACGACGGGGGCGACAUGGCCGGCUACGAGAUUCGUCGGAGGGGAUUGCGCAUGCACGACCUCCACGUUGAUGUUGGGACGGCUCCACGUUGAUGUUGGGACGGCUGGAGGGUUAAAUGACGAUGAAAAUGGUGGGGAAGAUGUUGGGACGACUGGAGGCUUAAAUGACGACGAAAAUGGUGGGGAAGAUGGUCCGGGACGCGUGAUGACGGUACAAUGGCUGCCGAGGAGGGGGAGCGACUGCGUGGAAAUUUUCUUCGCGCCACAAAUUUCGUUGUGAAUAAGGAUAGAGCUUGAAAUCUCGUUGCGGAUAGGGGACAAGGUCAAUUUCGUUGCGAAUAAAGGUAGGUCAAUUUCGUUGCGAAUAAGGGUAGAGCUUAGGUCAAUUUCGUUGCGAAUAAGGGUAGAGCUUGAAAUCUCGUUGCGGAUAGGGGACAAGGUCAUAGCUGGUAAAUCUUCUAGAGGUUAGACGAACUUUUAUCGGGCAUUAUACGGGUCUGCUAGAGAUGCUCUAAUAGCAAAAUCUAAUGGUUAAGAUCGCAUUAUAGCAGAACUGAAGGUGGCCCAAUUUCAGAUGGAUGGGACUUGAGGCAAGAGAACAGUAAGAGCAAGUACAAUAAAGCUGAGUCAGCUGGCUAUAAGGAAUAAAGUAGUAUAUUUUUGCUUAGUUGGAGGAGAGAGAAGAGGAGAGAAAAGGUAAACGGGCUCUUAGCUAAGAGCCAGCUACACGUGCUCCUAAGCACUUUGUGAGAAUGAAAAGUGGAUCAUAUAAUAAAUAAGUAGUACUCUUCUAACCAACUAUUGUACAUGAUAGCUAUAAGAUGGACUAUAUGUGACAUGGAGUGGAUCAUAUAAUAAAUAAGUAGUACUCUUCUAACCAACUAUUGUACAUGAUAGCUAUAAGAUGGGCUAUAUGUGACAUGGCAUGAGCUUACAGUCGGCUCUACUAUUGUAGUUGCUCUAAGAACAAAGGAGGGAUUUAGAAAUGAGAGCGGUAGCACCGAAGCAGCAUAACAGGAAUCGACGAUCAGAGUCUCGAAAUGAGUAGUCCCUUGCAUCUGAAGACGAAGCAGCGCAAGUAGACGCUAGAAGGAACAAGUAGUACAGGCGUUUUCCAUUUUUAUUUUUAAUUUACGUAGUAGAUAAGAUAUGCAACAACUUAUUAUUCGUCGGUGGUACUAGCACCGCCCGCAGGCACGUCCGUACAUAGAGAGGCGUGGAUCCACACUGGUAACCACAUAGGAGGGCAAAUGACCAAAACAUGCCUACGGAGCUCGGGCCUGGUCGAGGCGAUGCUGCGCCCAGUUCUUCACGUCGUGCGCCUUGGAGUCCAGCUUCGCGCCCGCGUGGUCCACCGUGUCAGCCCCCAUCGGCGAGGGCGACCCGUGCGACAGGUACUUGUACAUCCACGCCAGCACCGCCACCGCCGCCGCGCCGAACGCCCCCGACGACACGAACCCAGCCGUCAGCAUCGUCACCGCUAUGGCCGCGGGCACCAGCACGGGGCUGAAGAUCACCAGCAGAGGCGUCGCCACGAUGAGCGCCAGCACCGUGCCCGUCAGCGUCAGGGCCGACAGGAACAGCAUCGACCCGGCGGCCGCCGCCGCGGCCACCCCCUUCGCGAGGGUGACGGCCGCCGGCUGGUUGUGGCCCUGGCCGUGCCCGCCGUAGUAGUCGUCGUCGCCGCGGAUGGCCCGCAUGUAGUCCGGCCCGACGGCGCUGCCGCCUCCGUACACGCCUCCCCGGUGGAACGCUUGCUCUCCAGCCAUGCCGGUAGCCAGAUGCACACUUUAAAAGCUUCGCUACUCCGAAACCUGAGCCUUACCUGAGAAAUGCGAUAACCAAAUGCGCCGUGGGUUUCUCGGCGAGAUGGAUUGUGGUAUAUAAGAUGUGAUGUGAGUGAGAGUGUAGGGCGGCGGUGGAGCGAGUCUCGAACAUGUGGACGCACAGCAGGGUACGUGGUGAUCUGCAUGGAUAGCGAUGCCUCAAGCCUUGCCACGUACGUGCCAACUUGCAGGCUCCCGGCGCACUCUCGUCUUACGUGUUGCGAAUGCAGUACCCUUCCCCGCCGCUGAGCUCGACGAGCAGCCUGCAGGACAUGGUUCCAACAUGACGUCUUUCAUCGACGGCGUGGGCGUUGCCUUGCUGGCCCGCGCGUCUGGAGUUAAGCUGGACGCCGCUUUACACAUUUUCACCUAGAGACACUUCGCCUCUAGACAAUUCUCGAACCUCAAAGUCUGUUUUAACAGGUUUUCACCUAGGUUAGGCAGUUUGGACAUUCAUCUUGUUAGAAUAAUCCGAGGCACUUCGUCGAUCAUCCGAAGAUCAAGCAAACACACAAGUACUACACCGAGAUUUGUUAACGAGGUUCAUCGAUAUGACUACAUUUCCGGAACAUGACUACGGUCGCUCCUCCCUCUGACACCGUCAUAAUACCACAUCCUGGCCGUCCUGGGCGCCGGCAUACGUCGCCGACUCCCCCUGCACACCUGUGUUAUUAUGUUGGCAUAGGUUACAUCGUGUGUCUAGACCCGCUAUAUAUGAGAGGCCUAGGAUACAAGUGUCCUGCUUGGACACGACUCCAUAUCCUAUCUAAACAUAAUACAACUACAAGUCCAACUGUAACCUACCUUGUACAAUAAUAUUCGACACAACUCUAACAAACUCCACCCUGGCGAAUAUUCUCCACCACCUUGAAUUCGUUCAUGCGUCAAUCUUCCAUGUACAUUGGACUUGAGCGUAUCCCAUGAGCACCGCUGCUACUCCAAAGAGUCGAUGUGACUUCACCUGCAACUUGUAGUUCCUUCUUUUCCUGACCAUAGUCAACGCUCGAACGAAAUUAAGCUCCACAUUACUCUAGUUGCGCUCCCAACUUCCAGAGUAUCCAACAUCAUCACAUACCGAUCACUAACCUACGUGAAAGUGAACAACUCAUAUUGGGUGUCGCUCACACAAGAGUUACCUGAACUCAACAUCACUGCUUUUCCUUGACCGCCUGUCUGAAACUUGAAAGAAUUUCGCCAUUGCUUGUAGUCAUCUCGAGUCAAAUUCGCAGUUUGUUUCACCACAUGUAUGACCACCAGAGCCCUAGCCCGUCUCCAUGUCCCGUGUGUACCGUACGCCUCGCCGCUAUUACCAAGUCGAGCCUCCGCUGUCCCGGUCGAGUCUCAAGAGUCGCGAACCCACACCACUCAACCCCCGCUGCAGAGUACCACCGAUCCUCACCGACCGAUGACGAGUAUCACGUUUCCAUCAGACCAGCGAGCUCUAGUCCGAACCACGUGCCACUCGCUUUUCCCCGAGUGAAGUCCUUCAGACUCCAGCUCCACCUUCAACAUGACUCCAUGGUAGAUAAUCAGUCCAUCCCUUGCGCCCCGUCGACUUCAAGCUCACAUGUGCACCCUCUUGAAUCAACCCCGCGCCAUAGUCUUGUCGAAGCCACACAAGCCCUAGAGCAUGCGCCGCGUGUUUCCACGCCCAGAAGUCGGUCACCAUCAGCAUCACGCUCCUAUGUUGUCGUCGCCGAUCCUACCACCGUCUUCUAUACCAACCGACUCGCGUCGACCCGUCAGACUGUCCAGUCCGACCCAGCCGAAAUCGUCCGACUGUCGUGAAUUUCCAUCUAUCACAUGAUAAUUCCAUCUAAGCUGGCUUAACUUCCCGCAACGCCUUCAAGCAUUCCUGUUGCGCCAACAAUCUUUCAUCCAUGUCUGCCAUAACUCAAGGUUUUCAGUUCCAUCGAACUUCUUCACCUCAAACCUGAUGCCUGAUGACGUCAUGAUUCUUUAAACGGGUGACCUUGCGAAAGACGACAUUGGCCUCAACUCGGAUACUAGCAAUUACCUUGUCAACGCCUCCUGCUAAUUCCAAUGGAUACCAACGUGAUGGAUUGUUCUUUCCCAGUACGAUCAGCUACCGCCUCUUUCCAUGUCGUAUACGAGGACACGAUCCUCUCUUUUUCCCCAAACAAAUCUCUGCAGUUUGCACUCUAGACCUUUCACGCAGAGCCUGUCGAGCUCCUUUCGUGCCUGGUCCACUAGCUCAACACAUGCACGCACUAGCUAGCUCCGAAUACACUUCGACCUCAACCGACUGGCCUGCCACGCGUGCCUCCGGAUCGCACACUUGCCAUCGACACGGCAUGCCGCCACACACGCCUGAUCAACUGAUCCGCCGAUCGAUCCGAUCCGCCGAUCGAUUGCCGCACGUCCCUUGCAACGCUGCUUUCCAAUCCCGUCGAGAACUCUGCCAGCUUCUAAUUGCUUCAUGAUGAUUACAACACGACCAAUACAUCUGCUUUGCAUCAAAACUCGCUGUAUUACGAUUGCUUCCUGCAGACUUUCAUCGUGUUUUGUUCCCUCCUCUAGAUCAACCUUUUGCAACCUCUCGUCAACCUAGCUCAUGAUACCACUUGUUAGAAUAAUCCGAGGCACUUCGUCGAUCAUCCGAGGACCAAGAAAACACACGAGCACGAUACCGAGAUUUGUUAACGAGGUUCACCGAUAUGGCUACAUCCCCGGGGCAUGACUACGGGCGCUCCUCUCCGUGACACCAUCACAAUACCACACCCUGGCCGCCGGCACACGCCACCGGCUCCCCCUGCACACCUGUGCUAUUAUGUUGGCAUAGGUUACAUCGAGUGUCUAGACCCGCUAUAUAUGAGAGGCCUAGGAUACAAGUGCCCUGCUUGAGCAUGACUCCAUAUCCUAUCUAAACACAGUACAACUACAAGUCCAACUUUAACAUACCUUGUACAAUAAUAUUCGAGACAGCUCUAACACGUCUAGCCACGUCGGACAUCCGGACAUGCGUAUGCAUAGAUGGAUAUUUAGAGGAUAUUGUUGGAUGAUGUGCUCCUGCUUCAAUGUGUCCGCUUUAUGGGUUAGCGUUGGAGAAGCCCUAAGGUCGCAAGUUAUGUAGACAUGUAUUUUGUCGAAGACAACUUUUCGUCCUAGGCUCAUUUGGCCCAGAUAUCUUAGAGAUUGGAUUAAAAACAAGGCAGUGACGCGACAUGGUCUAAUGGUGGGAGAAGGACUGGGAUUUCCUCACAAUUCAGGUGACUUAGAGUUACUAAAGUCUUGAGUCGCAAAUCCACUGACUCACAUGUGAGUGAAACUUAAUCGUCCGAGUUAGUCAUUUGAACCAAAAAGAGGAUACAUGACUUGCAUACCAUGGCAUGAUGCAUGGCACGUUGUCGGUAUUAAAACCGGCAGAUCUCGAGUAGGGGCUCCGAACUAUUGAUCUUGGAUCGACGGGUUACAAGAGACAAGGGAGACAAUGUUUACCCAGGUUCGGGCCCUCUUGAUGGAUGUAAAACCCUGCGUCCUCCUCUUGUUAUAUUGAUGGGGUUGCACAAAGUACAUAGUUGAUCUACUUCGAGAUCAGAUGUUGUGGUCUACACCCAAACAUUAAUGAGCUUAAUCUUUCCUACGAACUAUGGCCCUCUGAUAUAUACAUACCAGGGGCGUUAAGGUUACACAAUGUUGAUUAAAUCAUGAAAGGAAUAUACCAAUCACUAUGUGUCCUUGGAUUAGACGCCAAGUCUUGGGAAGAGUCCAUCUUGAAUUCAGCAUCACUUAAUGAUGGUAGAACGGUCCAGGAGUCUGACCCAUGGAAAUGAGCAAGCGGCCCGAGGACCCUUUAGUCCCGGACUCCCUCAGUAGACCCCAAACUGGCCCUCCAAUGCCGUAGUCUUGACCUUCAUCUACUUUAUGCUCCCAAAGACUUUGGCUUACGAGGCGAGUUCCUCUCUUCUUACAUUUAGCCGACAAUAGUUCGGUUGCUGAUGACGUACCCUCUUCCACACACACACACACACACACACACACACACGAACACACACACACACACACACAGAUAUAUAUAUAUAUAUAUAUAUAUAUAUAUAUAUAUAUAUAUAAGGCCGAUCGUUCGACCAAUAAUAGUGUUUUUUGCCUCACACCCUUUCUAACGAAAGGUCCCGGCUGGUCAAGGUCUAUGACCUUUAUGGUAGCGUGGUUCGAGACCGUCUUUACUGACACGUUCCAUUAUGGAGAUCAUGUUCCUCUUUUUCAGGGAUAUGGUUUAUGAUUUGGAUUAUCCCACACCCGCAUAACCGCACAAUUUUAUCGGGAAAUGACGAAGUUCACUACGUAGUAGUGGGACUCUUGUUAUCUCAGUUGUUCAUAAAAGGUAAAACCGUCACCAUAGCCUCCUAAUACAUUCCAGAUCUCGCAUAGUUGUUGCCUUUCCCAGCCUCCAAACCUCCAGUGCCCAAGUUCUCUUAUUCGCUCCACUUCCUCGAACCCUAAUUCCAAUCCGGCCAUGGCCAGCUCGGGCUCGAAAGGCAAGUGGAAGGGCUCAUGCGUCACCGAGAAGGAUAUCCACGAACUAAAGAGCUCCAUUUUUCUACCGGAGAACAUAGCCCACCGUGCCCCGAAAAAGGACAAGUCAUCCCCACACCAAAAGACGGGGACAGGGUGGUUUUCGUUCCUCAUUUUUGUCGGGGUCUUGUUUUUUCCCUUCACCCCUUUGUUCAGGGUAUUAUGUAAUAUUAUGGGGUAGACUUCCAUGAUCUUCCGCCAAAUUCCAUUAUGCACAUCUCAGCCUUCAUCGUAGUUUGUGAAGCAUUCCUGCAAUUUCAUCCCCACUUUGGCAUAUGGCCGAAGGUCCUCAACAUCAAGCCCAAAGUCGUUAAUGGCGAAUAGGCUGACUGCACGGGAGCAACAGUUAGCAAACUCGCUCGGAUCCAAUGUGUGGAAGGCACAUUCAUAGACACCAUCAAGGUGUGAUAGAAAGAGUGGUUCUAUAUCAUGGAGCCACGCAACACGGAAGGAGUAGCUUCGCCGGCAUUCAGAUUUGGUCCUCCCAUCGAACUUGUGUCCUGGACAGAGAAAGCCCUAGAUUGGGGGGGGGGGAGGCNNNNNNNNNNNNNNNNNNNNNNNNNNNNNNNNNNNNNNNNNNNNNNNNNNNNNNNNNNNNNNNNNNNNNNNNNNNNNNNNNNNNNNNNNNNNNNNNNNNNNNNNNNNNNNNNNCAAAGAAAAUCUCCGCUAUAAUGGAGAAGAAAAUCGAGCUCACCAACGUGGUCCACGUAAUGCUACACCGCCACCUUCUCCCUUGCCAACAUCGGGCCAUCCCGAUGUGGGCUUAUAAUCCGGACGACCCGACCACUGUGCGGAACUUUUUCCUCAUUACUCACGAGAAGUUGUGGAAAUUGUUGUUCAAGCCACAGUAGACUCGGCCAACUGAAGAAGAGGACGUUGGCAUUUCCGUCCUUAAUCCUACCGGAUCGGUAAGGUUUUUAUCAUAUUAUUAAUUUUCAUCCCUUCCUCUUAGUAAAGUGCUCACUUCUUCCUUCCUCCAUUCUCGCAGAUGUGGCUAAAAAAGUCCCAGCAGGUCACUGAUGACCCACAAGUGUAGGGGAUCUAUCGUAGUCCUUUCGAUAAGUAAGAGUGUCGAAUCCAACGAGGAGCAGAACGAAAGGACAAGUGGUUUUCAGCAAGGUAUUCUCUGCAGGCACUGAAAUUAUCGGUAACAAAUAGUUGUGUGAUAAUAUAAUUCGUAACGGGUAGCAAGUAACAAUAGUAACAAAGGUGCAACCAGAUGGCCCAAUCCCUUUUGUAGCAAGGGCAAGCCUGGACGAACUCUUAUAUAAGGUAAAGCGCUCCCGAGGACACAUGGGAAUUUCUGUCAAGCUAGUUUUCAUCAUGUUCAUAUGAUUUGCGUUCACUACUUUGAUAGUUUGAUAUGUGGGUGGCCCGGUGCUUGGGUGUUGUCCUUACUUGGACAAACAUCCCACUUAUGAUUAACCCCUCUCGCAAGCAUACGCAACUACGAAAGAAGAAUUAAGACAAAGUCUAACCAUAGCAUUAAACUGGGGGAUCCAAANNNNNNNNNNGCCCCUUGCGGAGGAACGCAUAAACUAGGGUUAAGCUUCUGUCACUCUAGCAACCAAUCAUCUACUUAUUACUUCCAAUGCCUUCCUCUAGGCCCAAAUAAUGGUGAAGUGUCAUAUAUUCGACGUUCACAUAACACCACUAGAGGAAAGACAACAUACAACACAUCAAAAUAUCGAACGAAUACCAAAUUUACAUGACUACUUAUAGUAAGACUUAUCCCAUGUCCUUAGGAACAAACGUAACUACUCACAAAGCAUAAUUAUGUUCAUGAUCAGAGAGGUAUUGAAUAGCAUUAAGGAUCUGAACAUAUGAUCUUCCACCGAGUAAACCAACUAGCAUCACCUACAAGGAGUAAUUAACACUACUAGCAACCUUACAAGUACCAAUCGGAGUCGCGAGACGAAGAUUGGGUACAAGAGAUGAACUAGGGUUUUGAGAUGAGAUGGUGCUGAUGAAGAUGUUGAUGGAGAUGAGUCCCCUCUGAUGAGAGGAGUGUUGGUGAUGACGAUGGCGAUGAUUUCCCCCUCCGAUAGGGAAGUUUCCCCGGUAGGACGGCCCUGCCAGAGCUCUAGAUUGGUUCUGGUCAAGUUCUGCCUCGCGGCGGCGGCGUUUCUUCCUGAAAGCUCUCUCUUGAUUUUUUUUCUGGGACAAAACCCUCUAUAUAGCAGAAGAUGGGAGUCGGAGGGGUAACAGGGGGCCCACGAGCGCCGAGGCGCGCCCAGGGGGGUGGGGCGCGCCUGGCAGGCUCGUGACCUCCUCGUGGCUCCACUCCAGUAUUUCUUCCGCCCAAUAUUUUUUAUAUAUUCCAAAAUAAUUCCUCACUGAUUUUCAUGGCUUUUGGAGUUGUGCAGAAUAGGUAUCUCAAACUUGCUCCUUUUUCAGCCCAGAAUUCCAGCUGCCGGCAUUCUCCCUCUUCAUGUAAACCUUAUAAAAUAAGAGAGAAAAGGCAUAAGUAUUGUACCAUAAUGUGUAAUAAUAGCCUAUAAUGCGAUAAAUAUCAAUAUAAAAGCAUGAUGCAAAAUGGACGUAUUAGUCACCUGCCCGGUGCCCUUACCUGAGGACCCCAUGAUGCCUUUAUUGGCAGCCAUGCUAGUCAGGAAGCCAUACACGGCUCCGAAGGAGAAGGACGAGAGGAACAAAGGGAAUAAAAAGGCCUAAGAGGGUCGUCGGUAAAAGGAUCCUUGGACACUAGGUCGUACGAUACGUUGGCUCCCUCUAAUCUUGUAACGCCCAAGAUGCGGUCCUAUCCUUAUUUCGAUGUGAGGGCUUCGAGAUGGAUAGAAACGCAUCUCGUCGUUUCGCAAGAAUGGAUAUCGUUACAACUACAUUCACUGAAAAGAUGAGUAUAAGGAGUUGGCUUAUACUCGCCAUAAGCUACAUGAAGUUCACAUCAGUACAACAACAUAAUCAGUCAUCAUGAAGGAUAAAAGAACGAUGUCCAUUCUUGCUAUCCCAGGCUGCCGCCCUGGAACCCAUCCUAGAUUGAAGAAGAAGAAGAAUUCCAAAUAGCACAACCAUCACGCUCAUGUCAUAAUAUCACUUUACGUGUACCUGCAACUGGUGUUGUAAUAAACUGUGAGCCACAAGGACUCAACAAUCUCAUUUCCAAAGGUAUCAAGACUAGCAAAGCUUAAUGGGUGAGUGCUACUUCUCAAACAACAACGCUAGAAAUUGACACGUUGACGGAGAUUGGGCUUGCAUUGGUUCUUCCCUUGAAGAGGAAAGGGUGAUGCAGCACAGGAGCAAUAAGUAUUUCCCUCAAUUUGAGAACCAAGGUACCGAUCCAGAAGGAGGGUCUCGUCAAGUCCAGAGUACAUGCGCAAACACAAACAAGCUUGCACCCAACGCUUCAAAGGGGUUGUCAAUCCCUUCAAGAUUGUUUGCAAAGUGAGAUCUGAAGGAGGAAACUGCAACGAAGUAAAAAGUUUAAGGCUGAAAAUAUGGUAUGGAGUAGACCCUGGGGGCCAUAGUGUUCACUAGAGGCUUCUCUCAAAAUAGCAAGUAAUACGGUGGGUGAACAAAUUACUGUCGAGCAAUUGAUAGAACCGCGCAAAGUCAUGNNNNNNNNNNUAGCAUAUAGGCAUCACGUCCGAGACAAGUAGACCGAUACUUUCUGCAUCUACUACUAUUACUCCACACAUCAACCGCUAUCCAGCAUGCAUCUAGUGUAUUGAGUUCAUGACGAACAGAGUAACGCUUUAAGCAAGAUGACAUUAUGUAGAGGGAUAAUCUCAAACCAAUGAUGAAAACCCCAUCUUUUUACCCUUGAUGGCAACAACACGAUACGUGCCUUGCUACCCCUUCUGUCACUAGGUGAGGUCACCACACGGUAUGAACCCAAAACCAAGCACUUCUCCCAUUGCAAGAAUCAUAGAUCUAGUUGGCCAGACAAAACCCACAACUCGAAGAGAAUUACAAGGAUAUGAAAUCAUGCAUAAGAGAGAUCAGAAGAAACUCAAAUAAGAUUCAUAGAUAAUCUGAUCAUAAAUCCACAAUUCANNNNNNNNNNNNNNNNNNNNNNNNNNNNNNNNNNNNNNNNNNNNNNNNNNNNNNNNNNNNNNNNNNNNNNNNNNNNNNNNNNNNNNNNNNNNNNNNNNNNAUGCUAGUUGGUUUACUCGGUGGAAGAUCAUAUGUUCAGAUCCUUAAUUCUAUUCAAUAACUCUCUGAUCAUGAACAUAAUUAUUCUUUGUGAGUAGUUACGUUUGUUCGUGAGGACAUGGGAUAAGUCUUACUAUAAGUAGUCAUGUGAAUUUGGUAUUCGUUCGAUAUUUUGAUGUGUUGUAUGUUGUCUUUCCUCUAGUGGUGUUAUGUGAACGUGGACUACAUGACACUUCACCAUUAUUUGGGCCUAUAGGAAGGCAUUGGGAAGUAAUAAGUAGAUGAUGGGUUGCUAGACUGAUAGUAGCUUAAACCCUAGUUUAUGCAUUCCUUCGCAAGGGGUUGAUUUGGAUCCCCCAGUUUAAUGCUAUGGUUAGACUUUGUCUUAAUUCUUAUUUUGUAGUUGCGGAUGCUUGCGAGAGGGGUUAAUCAUAAGUGGGAUGUUUGUCCGAGUAAGGACAACACCCAAGCACCGGUCCACCCACAUAUCAAACUAUCAAAGUAGCGAACGUGAAUCAUAUGAACAUGAUGAAAACUAGCUUGACAGAAAUUCCCAUGUGUCCUCGGGAGCGCUUUACCUUAUAUAAGAGUUCGUCUAGGCUUGUCCCUUGCUACAAAAGGGAUUGGUCCAUCUUGCUGCACCUUUGUUACUAUUGUUACUUGCUACCCGUUAUGAAUUAUCUUAUCACACAACUAUCUGUUACCGAUAAUUUCAGUGCCUGCAGAGAAUACCUUGUUGAAAACCACUUGUCAUUUCCUUCUUCUCCUCGUUGGGUUCGACACUCUUACUUAUCGAAAGGACUACGAUAGAUCCCCUACACUUGUGGGUCAUCAAGACUCUUUUCUGGCGCCGUUUCCGGGGAGUGAAGCGCCUUUGGUGAGUGGAAUUUGGUAAGGAAACAUUUAUAUAGUGUGCUGAAAUUUAUUGUCACUUGUCACUAUGGAAACUAAUCCUUUUAGGGGCUUGUUCGGGGUAUCUUCACCUCGACCGGAAGCACAAAGAAUUGAUCCUCAACCUACUGCACCUACUGAAAAUAUUUAUUAUGAAAUUCCUUCGGGUAUGCUAGAGAAACUGUUGGCUAAUCCUUUUACAGGAGAUGGAACAUCACAUCCCGACUUGCAUCUAAUCUAUGUAGAUGAAGUUUGUGGUUUAUUUAAGUUUGCAGGUUUGCCCGAGGAUGAGGUCAAGAAGAAGGUCUUUCCCUUAUCUUUGAUGGAUAAAGCAUUGACAUGGUAUAAGCUACGUGAUGAUACUGGAUCAUGGAACUAUAACCGAUUGAAAUUGGAAUUUCAUCAAAAGCUUUAUCCUAUGCAUUUGGUACAUCGUGAUCGGAAUUAUAUAUAUAAUUUUUGGCCUCGUGAUAGAGAUAGUAUCGCUCAAGCUUGGGGGAGUCUUAAAUCAAUGUUAUAUUCAUGCCCCAACCAUGAGCUCCCUAGAGAAAUUAUUAUUAUGAACUUUUAUGCUCGGCUUUCUCAUGACAAUCGCACCAUGCUUGACACUUCUUGUACCGGUUCUUUUAUGAAGAGAGAUAUUGAUUUUAAAUGGGAUUUAUUCGAAAGAAUUAAACGAAACUCUGAAGAUUGGGAGUUUGAUGGAGGUAAGGAGUCAGGUAUGAAUCUUAAGUUCGAUUGCGUUAAAUCCUUCGUUGAAACAAAUACAUUUCGUGAUUUUAGCGCUAAACAUGGACUUGACUCUGAGAUAGUAGCUUCUUUAUGUGAAUCAUUUGCUGCUCAUAUACAUCUCCCUAAGGAGAAGUGGUUUAAAUACCAUCCUCCCGUAGAAGUUAAUGUAGUAAAACCCAAUCCAGUUGAAGAGAAAGUUAUUGCUUAUAAUGAUUCUAUUGUUCCUAGUGCUUACAUUGAGAAACCACCUUUCCCUGUUAGAAUAAAGGAUCACGCUAAAGCUUCAACUGUGAUACGUAAGGGAUACAUUAGAACACCCACACACCCUGAGCAAACUAAAGUUGAACCUAGUAUUGCUAUUAUUAAAGAUCUCUUGGCCAAUAAUGUUGAUGGGCAUGUUAUUCAAUUCUGUGAAGCUGCUGCUAGAAUUGCUAAACCUCAUGCUAGAGACAAACAUAAACCUGUUGUUGGCAUGCGUGUUGUUUCUAUUAUGAUAGGAGAUCAUUGUUAUCAUGGUUUAUGUGACAUGGGUGCUAGUGUUAGUGCAAUACCAUAAUCUUUAUAUAAUGAAAUUAAAGAUGAGAUUGCACCUGUUGAGAUGGAAUUUAUUGAUGUUACUAUUAAACUUGCUAAUAGAGAUACUAUCUGCCCUAUGGGAAUUGUUAGAGAUGUUGAAGUCUUGUGUGGUAAAACUAAGUAUCCUACUGAUUUUCUCGUUCUUGCUACCACACAAGAUAGCUUUUGUCCCAUCAUAUUUGGUAGACCUUUUCUUAAUACUGUUAAUGCUCAAAUUGAUUGUGAGAAACAAAUUGUUACUGUUGGCUUUGAAGUUGUGUCACAUGAAUUUAAUUUUUCUAAGUUUGGUAGACAAGCUCAUGAAAAAGAAUUGUCUAGUAAGGAUGAAAUUAUUGCUCUUGCUUCUAUUGUUGUGCCUCCUACUGACCCUUUGGAGCAAUACCGGCUUGAACAUGAAAAUGAUAUGCAUAUGGAUGAAAGGAAUGAGAUAAAUAGAGUUAUCUUUGAACAACGUCCUAUCCUUAAGAAUAAUUUGCCUGUUGAAUUACUUGGAGAUCCACCUCCACCAAAGGGUGAUCCUGUGUUUGAGCUUAGACAAUUACGUGAUACUCUUAAGUAUGCUUAUCUUGACGAAAAAGAGAUAUAUCAUGUUAUUAUUAGUGAUAACCUUUUAGAGCAUGAAGAAAAGAAAUUACUGAAAACUCUGAGGAAGCACCGUGCUGCUAUUGGAUAUACUCUUUAUGAUCUUAAGGGCAUUAGUCCCACUCUAUGCCAGCAUAAAAUUAAAACUGAUCCUGAUUCCAAACCAGUUGUCGAUCAUCAAUGAAGAUUAAAUCUAAGAUGAAAGAGGUGCUAAGAAAAGAAAUACUAAAGCUCCUGGAAGUAGGUAUUAUUUAUCCUGUUGCUCAUAGUGAUUGGGUAAGUUUGGUGCAUUGUGUCCCUAAGAAGGGAGGUAUUACCGUUGUCCCUAAUGAUAAAGAUGAAUUGAUCCCACAAAGAAUUGUUACUGGCUAUGGUAAUUGAUUUUAGGAAAUUAAAUAAAGCUACUAAGAAAGAUCAUUACCCUUUACCUGUUAUUGAUCAAAUGCUAGAAAGAUUGUCUAAGCAUACACACUUUUGCUUUCUAGAUGGUUAUUCUGGUGUCUCCCAAAUACCUGUUGCACAAUCUGAUCAGGAGAAAACCACUUUUACUUGCCCUUUCGGUACCUUUGCUUAUAGACGUAUGCCUUUUGGUUUAUGUAAUGCACCUGCUACCUUUAAAAGAUGUAUGGUGGCUAUAUUCUCUGACUUUUGUGAAAAGAUUGUUGAGGUUUUCAUGGAUGAUUUCUCCGUUUACGGAUCUUCUUUUGAUGAUUGCUUGAGCAACCUUGAUCGAGUUUUGCAGAGAUGUAAAGAUACUAACCUUGUCUUGAAUUGGGAGAAGUGCCACUUUAUGGUUAAUGAAGGCAUUGUCUUAGGACAUAAAAUUUCUGAAAGAGGUAUUGAAGUCAACAAGGCUAAAGUUGAUGCGAUCGAGAAAAUGCCAUGCCCUACAGACAUUAAAGGUAUAAGAAGUUUCCUUGGUCAUGCUGGUUUCUAUAGAAGGUUUAUUAUAGACUUCUCUAUGAUUUCUAGGCCUCUCACCAAUAUCUUGCAAAAAUAUAUUCCAUUUGUUUUUUAUGAUGAUUGUGAAGAAGCAUUUGAAAUACUUAAGAAGGCCUUGAUAACUGCACCUAUUGUUCAACCACCCGAUUGGAACCUACCUUUUGAAAUUAUGUGUGAUGCUGGUGAUUAUGUUGUUGGUGCUGUUCUAGGACAAAGAGUUGAUAAGAAAUUAAAUGUUAUUCAUUAUGCUAGUAAAACUCUAGACAGUGCCCAAAGAAACUAUGCUACUACUGAAAAAGAAUUUUUAGGAGUUGUGUUUCCAUGUGAUAAGUUCAGAUCUUAUAUUGUUGAUUCCAAAGUUACUAUUCACACUGAUCAUGCUGCUAUUAAAUAUCUCAUGGAAAAUAAAGAUGAUAAACCUAGACUUAUUAGAUGGUUUCUCUUGCUACAAGAAUUUGAUUUGCAUAUUGUUGAUAGAAAGGGUGCAGAGAACCCCAUAGCAGAUAAGUUGUCUAGGUUAGAGAAUGUUCUUGAUGACCCACAACCUAUUGAUGAUAGCUUCCCUGAUGAAUAAUUGAAUGUCAUCACCAACACUCCUCUCAUCGGAGGGGACUCUUCUCCAUCAACAUCUUCAUCAGCACCAUCUCAUCUCCAAACCCUAGUUCAUCUCUUGUACCCAAUCUCCGUCUCACGACUCCGAUUGGUACUUGUAAGGUUGCUAGUAGUGUUAAUUACUCCUNNNNNNNNNNNNNNNNNNNNNNNNNNNNNNNNNNNNNNNNNNNNNNNNNNNNNNNNNNNNNNNNNNNNNNNNNNNNNNNNNNNNNNNNNNNNNNNNNNNNCCAUCAUCAUCUACGUUACCGCUCAUUGAGAAGAUCGGGCUACCCCAUAUCAUAAAGUGCAUAAGUAAAGGGUUCGGGUAAGAGAUAACCGAGGUACGCGGAGACGAUGAUGUAUCCCGAAGUUCACACCCUUGCGGAUGCUAAUCUCCGUUGGAGCGGUGUGGAGGCACAAUGCUCCCCAAGAUGCCACUAAGGCCACCGUAAUCUCCUCACGCCCUCACACAAUGCAAGAUGCCGUGAUUCCACUAAGGGACCCUUGAGGGCGGUCACCGAACCCGUACAAAUGGCAAACCUUGGGGGCGGUUACCGAACCCGUACACGUGGCAACCCUUGGGGGCGGUUACCGGUACCCGUACAAAUUGCUCGAGGCUAUCUCCACAACCUAAUUGGAGGCCCCGACGCUUGCCCGGAGCUUCACACCACAAUGAUUGAGCUCCGAGACACCACCAAGCUUCUAGGAUGCCAAAGCAUCCACGAAGAACAAUAUCUAGGGUACUAAGUACCAAAGGUAGUAAGCUUCUCAACCUUCACUUCCACGUAUCACCGUGGAGAACUCAAACCGAUGCAACCAAUGCAAUGGCAAGAACACACGAAGUGGUCAAGUCUCUCACACUCAAAUCCCUCCACAACAACGAAAGCUAUGGAGAAAUAUGAGAGGAAGAACAAGGAGCUCACAAAGAACUCCAAGAUCAAGAUCCAAGGGGUUCCCCUCACAUAGAGGAGAAAGUGAUUGGUGGAGAUGUGGAUCUAGAUCUCCUCUCUCUUUUCCCUCAAGAACAAGCAAGAAUCAUUGGAGGGAUUGAGAGUAAGCAAGCUCUAAGAAUGUCAACAAUGGAGGUAGAACAAGAGCUCAACGAAUGGAUAAGGCCAAGGGGGAAGAAGACCCCCUUUAUAUAGUGGGGGAAGGAAUCAGACCGUUACCCCCACUCUCUGCCCGAGCUCCAGCGGUACUACCGCUGGCACCCCAGCGGUAGUACCGCUGACUACAGCGGUACUACCGCUGGGCCCCUGGUAGUGCAAAGGCACUACCACCGCCAAGAAAGUCUUUGCAAAAAUGUCCGUCCACGAACAACCGCUAGGCAGGCGGUACUAAGCUCCUGGAGCGGUACUACCGCUGACCAGGGGCGGUACUAUCGCCAGCCAGCGGUACUACCGCCAACUCUAACGGUACUACCGCUAGGUCCAGCGGUACUACCGCUCGCCACUGAAACAGCCAUAACUUUCGCAUACGAGCUCCGAAUCGAGCAAACCCAAGCUUGUUGGAUUCAGGACGACAAGAGCUAUCUUAAGACCAUGCAGAUAUGAGUCCUAUAUGAAAAUGCCAAUGAUAUAGAGAUGUGAGUCCUCUAUGAAUGAAGAACCGGCAAAAACUCCAACAUCGAAAACAUCAUAGUAGAUGCAUAUGGACUCCAUUUUCGAUGAACUCGAGCCUGUCACGAAGAUGACCAUAAGCUCUAAAACUCACAAAGAGAAACACCAAACAAGAACCAAGAAGUAUGAUGCAAGGAUGCAAAUGGUUUGAGCUCUCAACGAACGAUACGAUCAAGCUACUCACUUGAGAGCCCCCCUUGAUAGUACAACAAUCUAUCCUAAACAGAAAACCUAUCAAGGGCAAACCUAUACCUUGCACCUCGUCCUCUUGAGCUAGAAGAUGAUGAUCUUGGCUUCCUCAAGAUGGACUACCUUUCUUGAUUGCGUUGGCUUGAUGAAGACUAGUUGAUUGCUCCCCCAUACUCACUAUGGGUGAGCCACUCUUCAGCAUAUCUUCACAAGUCCAUUGCCACCACAAUGGACGGCAAGCUUCAAGCAUGAUAUCUUCGUGCUGAUCCACUUGAAAUUGCACAUCGCAAUCUUGAUGACGAUCACAACUUGACGUCAUACUUCAUGGGUUGUAUGAGAUCUUCCCUUUGACGCAAGCCCAUGGAAACACACCUAACCCCCACAUAGAACUCUCACGAAGACCAUGGGUUAGUACACAAACACGUAAUGGACAAUGCUUACCAUACCAUGGGAUCACUUGAUCCCUCUCGGUACAUCUUGUACGCUUUGUGUGUUGAUCAUCUUGAUUUGCUCUUUGUCUGAGAUCUUGAUCAACCAUGUGUCUCUAUGACCAUUCUAUGGAUAAUACCUUGAAUACCACCUUGGUCAUCAUAUAAACUCCUUGAACCCAACAGAUGGACUUCAAGAAGUGCCUAUGGACAAAUCCUAUAAAUAUAACUUAAGGCAACCAUUAGUCCAUAGGAAUUGUCAUCAAUUACCANNNNNNNNNNNNNNNNNNNNNNNNNNNNNNNNNNNNNNNNNNNNNNNNNNNNNNNNNNNNNNNNNNNNNNNNNNNNNNNNNNNNNNNNNNNNNNNNNNNNNNNNNNNNNNNNNNNNNNNNNNNNNNNNNNNNNNNNNNNNNNNNNNNNNNNNNNNNNNNNNNNNNNNNNNNNNNNNNNNNNNNNNNNNNNNNNNNNNNNNNNNNNNUGGUAAUUGAUGACAACUACUUCAAGAGAGUUUAUAUAAGGAAAUAAGCAUAACCAACCGCACACAUACAAAGCAAUAAUGCAUGCGUGCAAGAUGUAAAUGCUUACGCAAUAAAAGCAAACCCCUCUAAACAUAUCCAAAGUAAACUCUCUAAACUUCUCCCCCAUUGGCAUCGAUUGCCAAAAUGGACGAAAAGUUUAGAAAGCCAAUAUAUUUGGUGGUCCUCAAAAAAGUGUGUACUUCUCAGCAAAUGAGUGCCAAGAAAUACACAAAUACAAUGAUAAGUAGUUGGAGGAAAACAAACUAUAUUGAGGACCCAAAGAUUGCAAAUAAAAGAAUCGUAUGCCACAAGGACAUACCACAAUAGAGGCAAGCAAUCAAAAGAUACCGGAUGGGACAAACAAUCAUAUGGUCCUUCGAACCACAUGAAUAAAAGAUAUUAUGAUAAAAGCAACGGAGUGUUUUAUCAAAACUAGAGAAGCUCCCCAUGAUUUGUGCACUAAUAGGAGAUUUUUGUAUAUGAUACAAGUGCACAAAAUAGGAUCGUUGCUCCCCCAAAAUUAAUAAAAACACACAAUGGGUGCAAGAAGAAAGAUGAGACAAUAAGCAAAUCUCUUGCACAAAACAAGUGUUUGAGCAACAUGUAAAAGAAGCAACUUAAGAUUAGGCUCAACCAAAAUAAUGUGUGUGAGUCAUGGCAAGGCACUUGAGAAGACUAAGAUAAGGAUGAACAUUACUCAUCAACAUAGUCUUGAUGAAAUGAGACACAAAGUGCAAGACAUAUCAUUCCCACACACACAUACUAGAAAAUGGGUUCACAAGCUUACUAAUAAACAAAAUAAGAACCAACGCUUGUGACAACCCAUGGUGAAGAAAGGAAAUAAGAGCCUUGUCAAGAGAGGAGGGAUACCAAUCGAAAUGGCAAAACCCUCAUCAAGACAGGCAUGAGGAAAAAUAAUCUUCACGGCCAAAGAGUGCAUCAAGAUGUAGGAAAAUAAGAUACACACUCAAGACAAAUCCUUUCACGAAGCCACCAAAAACUGAAAAAGGAAAUGCAACGGUGGACGUAAAAGAAAAGAGGAUAUAAAUUAGAGAUGUAACUUCUCUCAUGUGUAAAAGAUUCUAAGUAGAAGACAAUCAUGAUGAUAUAUAUCCACAAAGAAGAAUGUACACACAAAAUGGUUACAAGAAGGAACAAACUAGAUAUCCAAAAGGAAGUCAUAAAUAUAUCAAUAAGAUCUUUUGCUUGGAAGCCCUUUGUAAGAGAUGAGUUCUCGUUCGAAACCCUGAUACUUCAAGAGAGAUUGUCCGUUNNNNNNNNNNNNNNNNNNNNNNNNNNNNNNNNNNNNNNNNNNNNNNNNNNNNNNNNNNNNNNNNNNNNNNNNNNNNNNNNNNNNNNNNNNNNNNNNNNNNNNNNNNNNNNNNNNNNNNNNNNNNNNNNNNNNNNNNNNNNNNNNNNNNNNNNNNNNNNNNNNNNNNNNNNNNNNNNNNNNNNNNNNNNNNNNNNNNNNNNNNNNNNNNNNNNNNNNNNNNNNNNNNNNNNNNNNNNNNNNNNNNNNNNNNNNNNNNNNNNNNNNNCAACUUUCAACAUUUUUAGAGUUCAUUUGUAGUGCUUUUCAAUUUCAGGGUCAACUAGCUCAAAAAAAUAAGUAAAUGCACGAAAUAUACCAAAUGAAGUCACAAAUUGUUGAAAUUUUGUGACGUGCCUUUGAAUGGUGCAUUUUGAACACACAAAAAGUAUGGAGUUCAAAUAAGUUCAAAAAAAUGAAAUCCCUUUGUAAGAGAUGAGUUCUCGUUCGAAACCCUGAUACUUCGAGAGAGAUUGUCCGUUNNNNNNNNNNNNNNNNNNNNNNNNNNNNNNNNNNNNNNNNNNNNNNNNNNNNNNNNNNNNNNNNNNNNNNNNNNNNNNNNNNNNNNNNNNNNNNNNNNNNNNNNNNNNNNNNNNNNNNNNNNNNNNNNNNNNNNNNNNNNNNNNNNNNNNNNNNNNNNNNNNNNNNNNNNNNNNNNNNNNNNNNNNNNNNNNNNNNNNNNNNNNNNNNNNNNNNNNNNNNNNNNNNNNNNNNNNNNNNNNNNNNNNNNNNNNNNNCAACUUUCAACAUUUUGAGAGUUCAUUUGUAGUGCUUUUCAAUUUCAGGGUCAACUAGCUCAAAAAAAAGUAAAUGCACGAAAUAUACCAAAUGAAGUCAGAAAUUGUUGAAAUUUUGUGAUGUGCCUUUGAAUGGUGCAUUUUGAACACACAAAAAGUAUGGAGUUCAAAUAAGUUCAAAAAACCAUAUUAUGAAAUUAAAUAUUAUCAUUGACGAUUCAUCUCUAUUAUGAAAUUAAAUAUAUCAAAAAACCAUUGCAGAACAUAUGACCAAAUUAAUACAAGUUCAUCAUCACAUUAAAGCCAAAGAACAGUAGUGAUGUUAUUAUUGCAAAAAAUAAAUACAUAAAGUUCUCUCAUAAAACAACAUACAACUAUGUAAAACAUUUAAAUGCAACAACAAACGCGAUCAAAAUCGCAACUAAGGUAACAAUUGACCCAACAACAUAAUGAUACCAAGCCUCUUUAUCAAUGGCAUAUUUUCUAAUAUUCCUAAUCUUCAAGCGCAUUUCAUCCAUCUUCAAGCGCAUUGCAUCCAUCUUCAACCGCAUCGCAUCGAUCUUCAUCUUGCGAUCAUCGAUGACACCGACAACAUGCAACUCCAGUUCCAUAUUCUUAUCCUCAAUUAUUUUCAAUUUUUUCUUCAAGUAUUUGUUUUCUUUUUCAACCAAAUUUAACUUCUCGACGAGAAUUUUUAUGUGGGUUGGAAUUUACGGUUCACAUACCUCCUAGAUUAAAAAAUAUAUGUCACGUUGGUCGUCAUAAUUGUCAUAAACACUAAAUAAAACAAAUAGUUAUAAAACAUAAUAUAUACCACAUCCGAAUCAUAGACAGGACGAGGGCCGACGGAGGCGGAUACCAAAACCAUCGCACUAUAUAAUAACAAAAAGUAAUGAAAGUGAGUAAUUUAUACAAGUAUGUAUCUAAAUCAUACAAGUAAGAUUUUUUUUCUUUUAAAAAGAAGAUAAGAACAAGAGGCUCACCACGGUGGUGCUCGCGACGAGAUCGGCACGAGGCGAUCGACAAUGGUGAGGACGGACACGGGACGACACCCUACGCAUGUGCAGACUCUAAGAAGUUAAUUUGAGCAUUUGAAAUGAGCUACACUAGCAGUGACAAAUGAAAGGAUGAAGUAGCUAACCUUUUAAAACACUUGUGCAGUUGGUGCAUGGCCAAACCUAGACAAAUAUUAAGGAAAAUGGAGCUUGGAGGUCGAGCUUGGAGAGGAGAAAGCUUAAGUAGAGUGGCUCGGGCAUUUCAUCGAACACGUCAUGUGCAUGAACUAGAGUGGCAAGAGCAUGGCAUGGUCACACUUCAACAACCAAAAAACAGGGGAUAUGGUGGGCAGGGGCGAGGGUUUAUAUAGGCAACACUCUAGUCCCGGCUUUUGUCUAAAACCGGGACUAAUAGCCUAACCUUUAGUCCCGGUUCUUUCCAUGCCCCGGGACUAAAGGCCCCUGCUUCCCGCCUUCUGGUCUGCCGAAAAAGGGCCUUUAGUCCCGGGUGGAGCCACGACCCGGGACUAAAGGGGGUCUUUAGUCCCGGUUCGAGCCACGCACCGGGACUAAAGAUCCACCUGUAUAAGCGGGAGUUGGAAAAUUUCCAACCCAAAUCGUCCAUUUCUCUUCUUCUUCCUCUCGUUCUCCUGCCCGGCGCGGCACAACGACGAACUCGACGACGCCGUCAGGCUGCCCGCCGUCCUGCUCGCCGCCGCCUGCCGUCCUCCUCACCUUCGCCGUCGUCCUGCUCGCCGUCGUCGUCAUCCUCGCCGCGUGCAGCCCUCCUCGCCGUGCGCCGCCGUCCUCCUCGCCGCGCGCCGUCGACACCUCCGGCCGGUAAGCCCCCCGCCCCCUCCUCCCCAACACUCCGGCCAGUAGAAGAAAAGAAUAAAAAGGAGAAGAAAAUAAGAAAAAGGAGAAGANNNNNNNNNNNNNNNNNNNNNNNNNNNNNNNNNNNNNNNNNNNNNNNNNNNNNNNNNNNNNNNNNNNNNNNNNNNNNNNNNNNNNNNNNNNNNNNNNNNNNNNNNNNNNNNNNNNNNNNNNNNNNNNNNNNNNNNNNNNNNNNNNNNNNNNNNNNNNNNNNNNNNNNNNNNNNNNNNNNNNNNNNNNNNNNNNNNNNNNNNNNNNNNNNNNNNNNNNNNNNNNNNNNNNAAAGGAAGAAAAAGGGAAGGAGAAGAAAAGAAGAAAAAGGAGAAGAAAAGAAGAAAAGGGGAAGAAAGGAAGAAAAAGGAGAAGAAACGAAGAAAAAGGAGAACAAAGGAAGAAAAAGGGAAGAAAAGAAGAAAAAUAUUUUUUUUGUCAUUUAAUUCCUAUUGUUAUUAGGUUUGUUCUAGAUUAUUAGGGUUAGUAAUAUGUAGAAUUAGGAAAAAGGAAAAUAAAAAGAGGAGGAGAAGAAAAGAAGAAAAAGGAGAAUAAGAAGAGGAGGAGAGGAGAAGAAGAGGAAAAAUAGAAGAAGAGGAGAAGUAUAGAAGAAGAGAAAAAAUUAGAAGAGGAGGAGAGGAGAAGUAGAAGAAGAGAAGAGGAGAAGUAGUAGAAGAAGAGGAGAAGUAGAAGUAGAAGAAGAAGUAGAAGAAGAGGAGAAAUAGAAGAAGAGGAAAACUUAGUUUAGGGUUACAAGAAGAAGAAAUAUUUUUUUUGUCAUUUAAUUUUGCUAUUGUAUAGUGUAUAUGCUUAAGUGUUAAUAGUGUUUCUUAGAUUAUUGCUUAAUUUUGCUAUUGUAUAUGCUUAAGUGUUAAUAGUUUAAUUUUGCUAUUGUAUAUGCUUAAGUGUUAAUAGUUUAUUUUUAGCAAGAAAAUUAAUAGAACUAGUUUAAUUUUGCUAUUGUAUAUGCUUAAGUGUCCGGGACUGGGCUCCGCCCGACUGGUAUUUUAGAGUUUAGGUUCUAGCCAAGACCCGGGACUAAAGGUCCUCCUAUAUAAAACGACACUUUGAAGUUUCCAACCCUUCUUAUAUAGUUUGCUAGUUUAUUAGUUAAUCAAAUGUCCGUUUUUUGCAGAACUAUGGAUCCACAUAUCAGGAACCUCGAAGAGGAAGAACUUCUCGAAGAUAUAAUCAAAGACGGCCCCGACGUUGAACCAGCUGAAUCUCCGUCGUCAUAUCUAAACGCCUACCGAUAUGGAAUGGAGGUCGAGCGACACGAAGAUGAAGCCGAUGGGCAGGAGAUAGGUCCAAUGACGGAGAAGGUGAUAGCUCCACUGAUGGAGAAGCCGGUGGAGAAGCCGGUGAAGAAAUAAUAAAGUCCGGCGAGGUAUACAUAUGAUGUUCGACAAUCACUUGUAAUAUGUGAAAAAUAUUGGAGAUAGCUCUAUAUUGUAUACAUAUACAUUCACUUGACGAAUGUUUCUCCCUCUUAGGCCUCCACAUAGAGCAAAGCUACGAAACGAGGCCCGACUAGAAAGUUGGAUGCACGGACGCAUUACACCUUUGAGGUGAUAUUGCCUACGGGCGAACCCAAGCUUCCUAAGAAUGCUGCUGACACAUUCAAGAAGCAAUGCGGAGUUCUCGUUAGGGAUCACGUCCCGAUCAGCGUUCGGGAGUGGAACAAGCGCAAAGGGGCAGCCGAUAGUGACUAUGUCGCCGAAAGGUACAAAGAUAAUCUUUGGAAUGAUCUCAUGUCACAUUUCAACCUGCCAGAAUGUGAGAAUGAAGACGCCUCAGACAAACUGAGGGCCAAAGUCAAGAAGUGGACUCUAAAGAAGAUGGCCGAACUGUUCCAUAGCUGGAAGAAAAAGCUAUGGAAAAACUAUCUGAAGACAAAGAAAGUGCGAGUAUUCGAGGGGUAUCUAGCCAAGGAGGCGAAUCACUGGAAGGCAUUUCAAGAGUACAAGGAGUCAGAAGAUGCCCAGACAUUAUGAGAAAAGAACAAGAUAAAUGCCGACAAGAAGAAAUAUCACCACAAGCUGGGGCCAGGGGGCUAUGAGACUGCCAUCCCAAAGUGGGAUAAGAAAGAGCAAGAUCUGCUAGAUAAAGGCAUCGUACCUGAACCACUCCGUGAUGAGUGGGAAUUGAGAGCAAGAAAUUGGUUCCUUGCGCAUGGUGGUUCGUACGACGAAGAAACAGGGGACCUCAUCUGCAGUGACGGUCUUAGGAUACCCAGGGAUAAUUGGAAAAGGAUAGUGAAAGAAAUUAAGGAGGGAAAAAGAAAGUUCACUGCAGAUAGAGAUAAAGAUUUGCUCACACUGGUCCUCGGCAAUGGCGAACAUGGAGGACGAACGCGAGGCUUCGGUCCUUCUUACCCGUGGUGGCUUGGGUUUGCCAGAGACCAAGACACUUACAGAAGCCGAAAGAGAGCAAAGAAGCGGCAGCAGGAUGAGGAGAAUGACAAGUUCAACCAGUUCCUUGCCAGGAUUAACGAGCAACAGAAGCAGAUUGAUGAGCUUAGAGGAGUAUCGCGCCAGGAAGAUCCUGCACUUGAUAUUACGGGCACCCCAUCUAAGCGGAAAAGCAGCGUGGCUGAAUCUGAGGCCCCGCCCGACGAUGCACGAAGAAUGAUAGAGGGCGGUCCCGGCUACCCCGUGGAUGGAAUCAAGGAGUCAACAUCAUGUGAACUCCAUAAUAAAUUCAAGAACAUAUCCAUGAAGGUGGCCAUCGGACAAGCUUUACCUUCUGGCCCUGAUGCACGCUGGCAUGGCCGUGAGAUUCGAGCUGGCUUUGCUAAAGUCGGGGUGGAUGAAAUCCUGACGGGGUUUCAUGAUAUGGAGCUCGACAUAGCUGGACCCGAAGAUGAGAGGACACUCGGAGAAGUACUGGGUGGAUUCAUCCUAUGGGACAAGAAGUACAUCAAGCUUCCAGGCUCGGCCCCAAGGACAACACCGCCUCCGAGUCGUCGCAGGUCACCUACACCUCCAUUACCUCCAAGCCCUCCACAUGACGUCGGCCAGCACAACACGAGUCCAUCUCGAUCACCGCCGCCGGACUUGGGUCGUCCGUCUCCGCCGCCGCCCGCUCCGGAUACUAAGCGGGAGUGUGCCACCAAGAACGCUCCGCCGAUGAUUCCUAAGCGACGGAGCCCCCCAAAGCGCAAACGGUCGCCCCUCCCAAAGGUACGUCAUGCUAAUCUUCCUACUAGACCUUAUGAUCGUACCCCCGAGGAAAACGCCAGGAUAGCAAAGGAACAUCAUGAUGCGCAGAUGAAAAAGAAGGAACCCGAGCCCCGCCCGGAAUACACCGAGAAGCAAAUAGCAUUUGCAAAAUACUUCACGACCCUUCCAUCACAGUAUGACUUACACCAUAAGCCUGAUGACUAUACACGCACAUUGCAGAAGGAAGUGAAAAAGAGCAGAUCACGUGCAAGUGCAAGUGGGGGCAAAUCAAGUUCAACUACAAGCAAGAAAAAAUCAGACGUUCCUCAGCUUGGGCAACAGGCCAAACAGUCGAUCCCACCCCUCAAGGUGUUAACCGAGAAUGUUCCCCCUCCGGUGCAGGGGCAAGCUUUUGAAAUAGCAAAGGAGUGGGCGGCUGAAUGUGGUGUCUCGGUUGAAGUUUUGCUGGCUUCCCAAGACGACAGGAUACCCAAGGCUGUGGUAGCCCCUAAGCCACAGUUUGUCAUGGGAGAGCCUUUGGUCAGCAAAGAUGAUCUCCCAACAAAUAUGCGUUACUUGCAUCAAUGGUACUUAAGUGAAUCAAAGAAUGGGAGAACGAUGAUCGUGCUGAGUGUCCCACGGGAGUACUACGGCCGCCCCGAACAAAUCCAUAUCGACUUUGAUGAACUCUUCCAGAUGUACAAUGGCGACGCCCUCAACAAAUCGCUUAUGAGUUACUAUUGUCUGUAAGUUUUUCAAUUCGUUGUCUACAUAUAACUUGUUUAGUUAUUUCAAUUCAUUGUCUAUAUAUAACUUGUACUCUAUUAUGCAGAAUGAAGAUUCUGGAUUGUAAAAGUAAGAACAUCCUAAAUAUUGGAUUUAGAUAAAAUACAUAUAGUGACGCUAACUGAUAAACCCAAGGAGACGGAGGAAAACCUUCUAAGGUUUCUAACAGAUCAAAAUUUCUGUUACCACAUAAUGUUUCCAUACAACUUCAGGUGAGGGUCUUUACUCUGUUGUGUCCAUUCACUUAUAAGUGUAAUUGAUAAGUUACUGACACAUAUAUAUAUAUAUACAUGUGCAGCUUCCAUUGGAUUCUGUUGGACAUUCAAAUUGAUAAGGGAAGAGUUGAUGCCUUCGACCCAUUAUCGAGACCCUUGGAACAGUUCCAAAGCCUGCAGGACAUGCUCCAAGGGUAAUUUCAAUCAUUCUUGCGCUCUAUCGGUCUCUUUCGAUGAUUUUCUGAUAUAUCAAUUAAUGAAAAACUUAGCAAAUCAUUAUCCUUGUCGGGCAGGGCUUGGAAGCGGUUCAAGUGCGUGACUCCCGGUAACUUUCCUGAGAAGCUGACCUUUAGAGCGGCUCAGGUAAGUAGUAGUAUGAUAUACUUCUAUUUUCAAUACAUUUAUGAUGCUAGAUUAUUAUUUUGAUUAUAUAUAUUCUAUUCUUGUAAAGUGCGACCAGCAGCCACGGGGAACGCAUCUAUGCGGAUACUAUGUUUGUGAGACCAUUCGCACGUUUACCUAUGAGCACAAGGAUCACAGAUUCGACGUAAGCAAUGAACAUUCACACCUCUAUUUUUACCCGUCAUUCUUUGUUAUCAUGAUUGAUAUUCAUAUUCAUCUCCUCUUCUUAUAUAGUACACGGCCAUGACGACGAAGGUCCUACUAGAGCAACGCGCGAUUGCUGCUGCAGAGGAGCUUGCGACCUUUCUGAGGACGGAAGCUAUAGAUGACAAAGGAGGAUUUAGUGUAGCUAGGGGCCAUUACUGAUGUUCGUCCAUGUAAUCGAAUAGACGGCCUCUAGUCCCGAUAAUUCAGAUCUCCAUAUAAUUGUAUAUAUAUGCUCGCUUGUAAGAUAAGUUAAUCUUAUAUAUAUAUAUAUAUGCAUAAUUAUUUCUAUUUAAAUUAUAUGAAAACUAAUUCCCGAACACCAAAUAAGGCAUCACGUUAAUCUCCCGAACACCUAAACCCUAAAACCCUAAAAUCCAAAAAUAAUUUCAUUCAAAAAAAAAUCCAAAAAUGAACAAAAUCUGAAACUCUUGAGUCCCGAUCCGUGUAACGAACCGGGACUAAAGGGCCUGCCCCUCGGGCGCUACGAGACGCCCACGUGGAGCACCUUUAAUCCCGGCUUGUAACAGGGCCGGGACUAAAGGUUAGGCCUUUAGUCCCGCCCCUUUAGUUCCGGUUGGUGAACCGGGACUAAAGCCCCUUACGAACCGGGGCUAAAGGCCCCGUCCCCACUAGUGAAUGGAAUAGUCCAAGUAAGCAUGCUCCUCCUGAAACCAUGCGUACAUACGCGAGCCACUCACGGCCUCACGGCUUCUCCUUCUGGAUAUGGGCGUAGAUUAACCAUGUGUUGACUGGACUAGCUAUAUAUGAAAAUCCAAAUGACAGACUCGAUCGAGUUGCUUCAUGCAUGUCUUGUUCGUGGAAUUCUUUGCCAGUGCAAUAAAAUUCCUUGCCAUGGUGCUAGACUUUCCAGGCAAACUGCAGAAAUUGCUCGUACAAAUCCACUAUAAAACCCCCUCUAAACUGAAGCUAUACGUACAAAAGCAUAGCCAGCUAGCUACGGCCUACACAUACGCAGGCACAAAGAAAUCAUUUAGACACCAAACCCAGAAUGGAGACGCCCAAGCUGGCCAUUUUGCUCGCCCUAGCCAUGGCAGCCGCCAUGGUUAAUCUUUCCCAAGCGCAAAACUCACCUCAGGACUACCUUUCACCCCACAACGCCGCCCGCGCUGCCGUCGGCGUGGGCGCAGUGAGCUGGAGCACGAAGCUGCAGGCGUACGCCCAGAGCUACGCCAACCAGAGGAUCGGCGACUGCAAGCUCCAGCACUCCGGCGGGCCCUACGGGGAGAACAUCUUCUGGGGGUCGGCCGGCGCGGACUGGAAGGCGGCGGACGCGGUGAAGCUGUGGGUGGACGAGAAGAAGGAUUACGACUACGGGUCCAACACCUGUGCAGGGGGGAAGGUGUGCGGGCACUACACGCAGGUGGUGUGGCGCGCGUCGACCAGCAUCGGCUGCGCUCGCGUCGUCUGCAACAACAACGGCGGCGUCUUCAUCACCUGCAACUACGAGCCCGCCGGGAAUGUUGUUGGACAGAAACCAUACUAAACUGUGAUUGCUUUUCGCAGUACAUAUAUUCAUGCACGCUCGUAUCUAUAAUUAGCUAGAGGGGCUGGGCGAGUAAAUAAAAGGAAUGCUGUAAUAAGCUAUGUAUUCUCCUCUCCAUCAUGGACUGUAAUAAAUAAUGAGCUUUUUUACUGUACCCUAAAAUUCAUAUGAACCUUUCAUUACAGUUAAUCUAAUCUUAAAGAUGAUUGUGAUGAUAUAUUGAAUAAUACUCCAGCACAAGUAAAUAGGAGGAUAUACCCCCUAAAAAUCCAAGGAGAGUACCAAGUGUUUAGCUAAGCGUAUUGAUGGAGUUAUAGUCCGAGGGUAGGGUCAUAGGUCUGCCCUAUAGGUCCUACUCAAGGACUACCCUUCAUAGAGGGCAAGGCCCUUAGACAGUUCCAACUGAACUAAGGACGUCCCCAUCAUCCAGUCGGCGACGAUCCACUCGGAGCAUAUCUAACGUACCGACUGGAAUCCACUCUGUAACGUCGUAACCUCCNNNNNNNNNNNNNNNNNNNNNNNNNNNNNNNNNNNNNNNNNNNNNNNNNNNNNNNNNNNNNNNNNNNNNNNNNNNNNNNNNNNNNNNNNNNNNNNNNNNNNNNNNNNNNNNNNNNNNNNNNNNNNNNNNNNNNNNNNNNNNNNNNNNNNNNNNNNNNNNNNNNNNNNNNNNNNNNNNNNNNNNNNNNNNNNNNNNNNNNNNNNNNNNNNNNNNNNNNNNNNNNNNNNNNNNNNNNCACUACUCCACCCCUGUCCACCGGACCAUUAUGAAGGGCAGCACACUCUAUAUAAGCCGUCCUUCACCACUGGUACAGGGGUUGGCACUUGCUGUAAUCCCUUUAUUCACUCGACACAAAGCUCCCAAGAGCACUGAGACGUAGGGCUUUUACCUCCACCGUAGAGGGGUCUGAACUCAUACAUCCUCGCCGUAGCUAAGGCUUUGCCCAUAUACUUUCGUACCUCGUACUUCUACUGUCAGACUUAUACCCACGACAGUUGGCGCCCACCGUGGGGCAGGCGUCUAAGCGACUUCCGGCGAGUUUGCGAUUUCAUCUUUUCGUCAUGUCAUCCGGCGGAGAUCUGUGCAUGGGUCAUGAGAUCCUCUUCGGUGCACUCUCCUUCGUCGCCGAUGAUUCGGCAUGGCUUCAGGAUGCGCCCCUCGACAUCGAGACGCUUCCUAGUCGCGGGGCUACGCACUUCCGUGCCAGUUCCUGCGGCGUUCUCCUUCUCCAGCCAUCGACCCCGGUGUCGAUCUUCGCCCCCGUCACGCGCCGCAACAAGCGAUCCGGUCGUUCGCGGCUCCAGCGUUGGGUGCGACACGCCCUAGCGCGACAAAACAUGUCCUCUCAAGUGGCAGUGCUCGAAUCGGUUGUGGUCCCGCGGUCAUCCCACUGCUUGGAGUCAGUUCCGACUGAACUACCUUCCGAGUAUCAGGGUCACGGGCCUGCAGCCGAAGUACUCAUGGCCAAUUCCCACGAAAGUCCCUUUAAGACUGGUCGGAACGAGCGUGAGAUCGGAGAAUCAUCCGACGCUCGUUGUCAGCACCCUCGUUCUUCCAGUCGACGCACUCGCCAGAGCAACAUCGAGGUGUUCCGCACACCCAUCCUCAACUUGGCUGCAGCUGCCAGGAUAGCUGAUUCUCUCCAGCCGACUGAUUCGGAGGCUGGUAGAGGAAUCGAGUAGAUUCGUGCCUUGUUACAUACGACGCAGCAGCAAAACUCGGCGGUCUCCCAGUCGCACAACAAGAUCCACAACAGUUCUGUUCAAGCGAACACACAUCGGUCGGUUUUCAGUCCCGACUCUCACCGGCGAUGCAGAGGGGGCAUCCGUUCCAGGGACCCGAGUCGGAAUCCGCUUUCCAUUCGGUCCCAUCCUGAAGAUCGUCGCCGUUCGUGUACUCCUCCGCGGAGUGGGCCUUACGGACCCCGGUAUUACGAUGAUCAUCGUUCGGGCGGUGGCGCGCAUGAUCAAAGGCCUGAUGCAAGAGGCUAUAUCACUCAGAAGAAGGUUGAUAGAAGCCGAGCCCACCGUGAUGGUCACGAUAGAGAUCAUCCGAGUGGAAGCAGGACCGUUGUUUCUUGUCCCGAGUGCUUCAGUCGGGCCAUUCGCUCGGCUGACAUCCCUCCCAACUUCCGAUUGGCGACGGGAAUCAGCAAAUUCAUAGAAGAUUCCAAACCAGAAACUUGGUUAGACGACUACAGAGUGGCGGUCUAGAUCGGUGGCGGAGAUGACCAUGUCGCCAUGAAACAUCUCCCACUGAUGCUUGACGGUUCGGCUCGAGCUUGGCUAAACCAGUUAGCUCCAUCAAGCAUUUACAGUUGGGCAGAUCUGUCCCGAGUCUUCAUCAGGACCUUCGAGGGUACGUGCAAACGCCCUGCUGGUCUCAUAGAGCUUCAAGACCGUGUCCAGAAGCAAAACGAGCCCUUGCGCGAUUUCAUCCAGCACUGGACAACCCUCUACCACACGGUGGAGAAUGUUACAGAGCACCAAGCAGUCUGCGCCUUCGAGGCAGGCGUUCGGUACCGAGAUCUAUACCUGAAGUUUGGUCGGACAGGCGACAUCUCCAUGAGCAAGAUGAUGGAGAUAGCCGCGCGCUAUGCAAAUGGCGAAGAGGAGGACCGCAUACGUAGCGGCAAGCAUAAGUCAGUCACCGACGGAGAUGGGAACAGCAGUCGGAAGCAGAAACAGAAAGCUCAAUCCACUCCGCAAGCAGAGGUGGCAGUCGUUACAAACGCUAAGUUCAAAGGCAAGGGGAAAGCACAGUACACCCCCAAGAAGAAACAGUCAGGAAAUUCCAUCCUAGAUCAACCGUGUCCCAUCCACACGAAGACGGAUGAAGAAGGCAAUGUCAUAUUGCCGAAACAUACCACUCGGCAGUGUCGCCUCCUGAUCCAAGGAUUUGGUGAAGGACAGUCGAGUGAGAAAGACACCGAGAAAGAUGAUGAGGACAAGGAGGAUCCGUUCCCUCAAGUCCAUGCAACGUUAAUGAUUUUUGCUGAUGUAGAAAGCAAAAGUCGACUGAAGCUGGUCAACAGGGAGGUAAACAUGGCAACCCCAUCCACUCCCACGUUCCUCAAGUGGUCACAGACUGCAAUCACUUUUGAUCAGUCAGACCACCCAGCACACGUACCCACCCGAGGGAGGCAAGCUCUGGUCGUCGACCCGAUGGUGGAAGGAGUUAGGCUGCGCAAAGUCCUCAUGGACGGCGGCAGCGGCUUGAAUAUCAUGUAUGCCGACACUCUCAAGGGAAUGGGCAUUCCGAUGUCCAGACUUAGCAAGAGCAGUAUGCAAUUCCAUGGAGUCGUCCUUGGAAGAAAGGCUAAAUCACUCGGUCAGAUUGCGUUGGAUGUCGUUUUCGGCUCUCACAAGAAUUUCCGCAAAGAGAAGUUAACAUUCGAGGUGGUAGACUUCCAGAGUGCAUACCAUGCCAUUCUGGGCCGUCGGGCAUACGUACGUUUCAUGGCCCGUCCAUGUUACGUAUAUUUGAAGCUGAAGAUGCCUGGUCUCAAAGGCGUGAUAACUGUCACACGCAAUCGGCAGCGGGCCGAGGAGUGUCUGCAGCAGGGUCGAGAAUUGCAGACCAUCAGAUGGUUGUGCUCGAGUUGGAUGAGUACAAGAAGAUUGCCGACCCCGCCGACCUGAUGCGUUCAAAGAAGCCAGCUUCCGAGUCCGCAUUCCAGUCGGCGGGAGACACGAAGAAAGUAAGCAUCCACCCGACGGAUGCCACCACCGCCCCAACAAACAUCUCCACCACCCUUGAUGCAAAAUAGGAAGCCGAGCUCAUCCAAUUACUCCGUGAGAACUGGGACAUUUUUGCAUGGAAGCCUGUUGACAUGCCAGGUGUACCGAGGGAGUUGGCUGAGCACCGACUGCAUGUGGACCCUGCCGCUCGGCCCGUCCAAGAACGCCUGCGUCGGUCCGCCGCGCACAAGAGAAAAGCAAUCGGAGAGGAGGUAGCUAAACUUCUGGCUGCCAACUUCAUUCGCGAGGUACACCACUCCGAGUGGCUCGCUAAUGUUGUCAUGGUGCCCAAGAAGGACAAGUAUCUCCGUAUGUGCAUCGAUUUCAAGCACCUUAAUAAGGUCUAUCCGAAAGACCACUUCCCGCUCCCCCGCAUUGAUCAAAAUUGUUGAUUCGACUGCGGGUUGCGAGCGCUUAUCCUUCCUUGAUGCCUAUUCGGGCUAUCAUCAGAUCCGUCUGCAUGGUCCAGAUGAAUUAAAAACAUCUUUCAUCACCCCAUUCGGGUGCUUCUGUUACAUCACUAUGCCAUUCGGUUUGAAGAAUGCAGGAGGAACUUUUAUGCGAAUGAUCCAAAAAUGCCUCCUAGACCAGAUUGGUCGAAAUGUGGAGGCAUAUAUGGACGAUAUCGUAGUCAAGUCACGCAAAGGUUCCGACCUGCUGACUGACUUGGCAGAAACAUUCGCCAACCUACGUAGGUACGAUAUCAAGCUCAACCCAGCCAAGUGUUCAUUCGGCGUUCCCAGCGGGAAGUUACUCGGUUUCUUCGUUUCCGAACGAGGGAUCGAUGUCAACCCCGAAAAGUUCAGGACCAUUGUUCGAAUGGAGCGGCCGGUAAGAGUACAUGACGUACAAAAGCUCACAGGUUGCCUAGCGGAUUUGAGCAGGUUUAUCGCUCGACUCGGCGAGAAGGCGUUACCUCUGUACCGACUCAUGAAGAAGUCAGAUACCUUCGAGUGGACAGACGAACACCAAAUCGCAUUCGACGACCUCAAAGCCCUGCUUUCCACACAGCCGGUUCUUACUGCCCCGCUCAGUAAAGAACCCCUUCUUCUGUACAUCGCGGCUACAAAUCAAGUCGUCAGCACUGUUCUGACAGUCGAACGCGAAGAAGAAGGCAAAGCGUACAAGGUUCAACGACCAGUAUAUUAUGUUUCCGAAGUCCUGAUUCCUUCCAAGCAGAGGUAUCCCCAUUAUCAGAAGCUUAUUUAUGGGAUCUACAUGACUGCAAAGAAGGUGGCUCAUUAUUUCCAAGACCACUCGGUAUCUGUCAUAUUUGAUGCUCCAUUGUCGGAAAUUCUCCACAAUCAGGACGCAUCAGGCCGAGUGGCAAAGUGGGCAAUGGAGAUGCUAUACUGCGACAUCAAGUUCGAAGCCAAGAAAGCUAUAAAGUCUCAAGCUCUUGCUGACUUCAUAGCAGAAUGGGUAGAACAACAACAACCGACUUACAUCUACUCGGCUCAUUGGACCAUGUUCUUCGAUGGGUCCAAGAUGUUGAAUGGCUCCGGCGCCGGCGUAGUGCUCAUAUCCCCGAAAGGUGAUAAACUCAAGUAUGUGUUGCAGAUCCAUUUUGAUUCUUCCAACAACGAAGUAGAGUAUGAAGCUCUCCUUUACGGGUUGCGCAUGGCCAUCACACUCGGCGUCCGUCGCCUGAUGGUCUAUGGCGACUCAGAUCUAGUAGUUAAUCAAGUAAUGAAGGAGUGGGAUGUAAGGAACCCCACCAUGACUGCAUAGUGCAACGCAAUAAGAAAUCUCAAAAAGAAGUUUGAAGGUAUGGAACUUCACCAUGUUCCCUGACUGAAAAACCAAGCAGCAGAUGAAUUGGCAAAACUUGGAUCCAUGCGGAGACUUGUCCCGAGUGAUGUGUGCCUCGAGCACUUACACCUCCCAUCGGUAAAAGAAGAUCCUUUUAUAGAGGAACCUGUGCAACCGAAGAGCACAACAGAUUAGACUGAAGUCGAGGUUCCCGCUGUGGUUGACCUGGUCAUGGAGAUUCUAGCUGUCAUUCCCGAAUGGACCGUGCCAUUCAUUGCGUACAUCCUGAGGCAAGAGUUACCGGAAGACGAAGUCCAAGCUAGGCAGAUCGUUCGCAGGUCGAAGUCCUUCACCGUCAUUGAUGACCAGUUAUACAGGGAAAGUGUUUCAGGCGUCCUUCAGCGGUGUAUCUCUCCUGAGGAGGGGCAGUUAAUUUUGAAAGAAAUUCACUCAGGAACCUGCGGCCAUCAUGCCUCCUCAAGGGCAAUCGUCGCCAAAGCAUUCAGAGUUGGUUUCUUCUGGUUGCAGGUGAAUGAAAUGGCAAAAUAUAUAGUCGACCGUUGCGAAGGUUGUGAGUUCUAUUCAAACAAGUCCCACAAGCCAACGUCCGCGUUGAAGACAAUUCCCCUUUCUUGGCCAUUCGCCGUGUGGGGAUUAGAUACAGUCGGACCAUUCAGAACAGGACAAGGAGGAUUCACCCAUCUGCUGGUAGCAGUCGACAAAUUUACCAAGUGGAUUGAAGCCAAGCCAAUCAAUAAGCUUGAUGCCCUUACGGCCAUCAAAUUUAUCAGAGACAUCAUUGCCAGAUACGGGGUUCCACACAGCAUAAUCACCGACAAUGGCACAAACUUUGACUCGGAUAGGUUCAAAGGUUUUUGUGCAGACCAAGGUAUCCGAGUGGAUUUUGCAUCCGUUGCGCACCCCCAAACAAAUGGACCAGCGGAGCGGGCGAAUGGACUCAUUCUUCAAGGGUUGAAGCCUCGACUCCUGCGGGAAGUUGGACAUGCCGCCGGCACAUGGGUCACCGAGCUGCCUUCGGUGCUGUGGGGCCUCCGAACAACUCCGAAUAGGUCGACAAGACGAUCCCCGUUUUUCCUCGUUUAUGGGGCAGAGGCAGUCCUUCCGAGUGACUUGCUCCACAACUCUCCACGAGUCGAACUCUUCUCCGAAGCCGAAGCAGAGCAAGCCAGGCAAGACGGAGUAGACCUUUUAGAAGAGGAGCGCGAGAUGGCAUUGAUCCGUUCAACAAUUUAUCAGCAAGAUCUGCGGCGAUUUCAUGCGCGGCACAUUAGGAGCCGCACGUUCCAAGCAGGCGACCUGGUGCUCCGAGUGGAUCAACAAAGACCACACAAGUUGGCUCCCGCCUGGGAAGGACCGUUCAUCAUUUCUGAGGUGCUGAACAACGGAGCAUAUCGACUCUACAACCUCGACAGAGAGACGGACGAGCCGCGAGCAUGGAAUGGAGAUCUAUUGAAGCGCUUCUACACAUAACCACCGACAGAGACAAUGUAAAGAACAAAUGUCAUCGAAGUAAUACAAAGCGGACUAAUUUCUUGCCGAUUCAAAAUUAUUCCUCGUUUGCAGACUUCGGUCUAAAAAAUUAAUUCCGAGUGUGCACCAAAAUUCAGACUCGGAGACUUAGGUGCGACCCAGAGUCGCCUAAGUAAAAACUCGCUCCGAGUGUGCACCGAAAAUAACACUCGGAGACUUAGCUGCGACCCAGAGUCGCCUAAGUAAAAACUCGCUCCGAGUGUGCACCAAAAGUCACACUCGGGGACUUAGCUGCGACCCAAAGUCGCCUAAGUAAAAACUCGCUCCGAUUGUGCACCAAAAGUCGCACUCGGAGACUUAGCUGUGACCCAGAGUCGCCUAAGUAAAAACUCGCUCCGAGUGUGCACCAAAAGUCACACUCGGAGACUUAGAUGCGACCCAGAGUCGCCUAAGUAAAAACUUGCUCUAAGUGUGCACCAAAAGUCACACUCGGAGACUUAGUUGCGACCCAGAAUCGCCUAAGUAAAAACUCGCUCCGAGUGUGCACGAAAAGUCACACUCGGGGACUUAGCUGCGAACCAGAGUCGCCUAAGUAAAGAGCUUCCUCCGAGUGGGCACUCGAGUUCCACUCAGAGGCUUAGCUGAGUCGCCUAAACAAAAACCACGAGCCAAAACCGUGUCAGAAAAAACUCAGCGAAAGAAGAGCAAAAGAUCCGGUUCGAAUUCAAAUUGAGUUCUACGAUCAGUCGACUCGGUGUGAAUCAAGUUUAUCCACACUGAGACACGAAUGUACCGGCCAACAACAGUGGCCAAAGUUUAAUACAAACUCCACUCGGCAUACCGAGGUAAAUGCGCGUUCAGCAUAAAGUCAAUCAAGCAUCGCCGGGGCUGGUAGGCUCCACGAAGGUGUCGAGGUCGAUUCCAUCUGCAAUCCGAGUGGCCUUGUCGAGGAAGGUCUCCAUGAAGUUUUCAAAUCGAAGCUUCUUGGUGUUGGCGACCUGCAACGUCUUCAGCUUGUCUUCACGGGCUUCCUUACAAUGCACUCAGACCAGAGACAGCGCCACAUCCGUGCCACACCGAGCGGCAGACUUCUUCCCUGCCAGCACUCUGCUUGGAACAUCCUCCAGUCGAGUCAUCAACCUCUCUAUCUCAUUCCGGGAGUCAUCUUCAGGCCACAACUCUUUGACAAUUUGGCCGACAACUCCUCUCAGGCGACCAAUGAAAGGACCCACAUUGUUAAGGCGGGAAUUCAGUCGGAACAUGUCCCGGUUAGCUUCAUCACCGAGUGGAACAUUCGGUUGCCCAAGCGACCGUUCAAUUUCGGCAGUUUCGGCUUCAACGUCCCGACAGAAAUCUGCAAAGAAAAGACAGGGAGAAAAUAAGCGUGGAGUGAACUCCAAAGUCAAAAGAGCACUCGGCAAGCAACUUACCACCAAGCAGUGCGACCAUCUUCUUCACCCAGUCGCCGACGUAGUUCUCCUGUGCUUUGCACCGAGCGUUCAUUAACUUCAGCUGGUCCAUCCAUCUAGAUCUCUCCUUCUUCAUUUUUUCUACCCCGGCUAGCAGUGCCUUGUUAGUCCCCCGAGAUUCCUCCAAAGAUACUUCUAGUUCACCGAGAGCCUUCUUCAUGCCAGCCAGAUCAUUCGCAGCUACCUCCAAGUCGGCAGCAAGUUGAGUCUUCUCAGCCUUCAGAGCAUUAUAGGCCGAUCCCAUUUCACAAGUCUUCUGUCAAAGAGACACAAAGGGAGGAUCAGCCAGGUUCAACAAGGAAGAAGUCUCGACAGAUUCUUCAGACCCCUGCCGAUGCAAGCAAUCGACAGUGGUCUCGGGGACUACACCCAGUGGGUUCACUGAGAGUGACCCCACUGGUAUGAAGCUCGAACAGGUCGGUCCCAUUGAGCUUCAUAGCAAACCAACAACACUAUGAGAUAACAUUACUCUCGGAGACUACACCCAGUGGAUGCACUCGGCGUGCCCCCACUGGUACCAUUCGGGCAGAUCAGCUCUGAUCUGUAGAGAUUAUGGAAAAUACAUAUAAAGACAACUACCGGUGCAAGCACUCGGCAGAAGUCUCGGGGACUACACCCACUGGGUUCAUUCGGAGUGAACCCACUGGAAAAUUAACCUACUGUAUCCGAGUGUCUCGCCAAAACCCCCAGUGGGCACCAAGAGGAAUGUAAACACUUACUAGUGCACUUACUCGGAUAUUAUCCCGAAGCUCCAAGAUCUUCUUGUAUAGGGACGCAACAGAGUCAUAUGCUCCUUUGGCUUCGCCCACCAUCAGCUCCACUUGUACCAUGGCGUCCUUGGCGGCUCCUACUUGAUCUUCUGGGAGGCGUCGGGCAUCGUAUUGAACAGUCGACGGACCCGGCGUGGCAGAAGGCACCCCAGGUAUCCCGAGCUCCUUGGGCAUCCCGAGCUCUGCUCCAGUCGGUUCCGCCAUGAAGACCAUCGUCUCAGUCGGCGGCACGCUCAUGGCGGGGUUGGCAGUAGGUUGGAUAACCCCAAGGACAGGUGCCAAAGCUAGUUCCGACAUCCUUUGGUCGUCGUUGUCCAGAUGGAUCACCUCCGAAGGAAGCCCGACUGAACAAAAUAAAAAUACAGAAAAAGAUCAAGAUCAAAGACAACACUCGGGAAACGGUAAUACAGCUCUCGGAGUCAUGACAACGUACCUUGCUGGGACGUGGCGGUGUUAUCAGUGUCCAUGGGAUCGUCACCCUGAUGCGGCAGAGAGGUGGCGGAGGUAGCAGCUCUAUUGAGUGAAAUCCAUUCGACGGGUAAACAUGAAUUCCCAAAAAGAAGAGUCCAAUCGGAUACUGAAGGAAGUUGGAAGAGCAAAGAUACUUACGCUGAGGCGACCGGAACAGCGAUCCUCAUCCGGGACAAAGCUUUCCGAGGUUUAGACCCGCUGGGUUUAGCCACCUUGGACGGCUGAUCCACGGGCUCGGCAGAAGAACCCAUGGUUCUCUUCACACUCCGAGCACUCGGGGCCACGGGAGGAGCCGACGGAAUAGCGGGGUCAUGACGGUGCUUGGUUCGGUGUUCUGGUGGUGAGGGUGACGAGCUCUGCUCUUCACUCUCCUCCUCCUCCUCUUCUGUUUCCUCCUCCGUCUCCCUACUGUCAGAGACGUACUCGGCACUACCCGCGCUACCCUCCAUGCUGCCUUCUUCUUCCUCGACCGGAUUCCCAUUUGAGCCUGCAGAAUGCCAGUUCGUCCACUCCUGCACAAAACACAAUCGGCAACGUCAGUCUACGAGACAAGAAAAGCAAUAAAACUGAGAAGGUUAAAAGCACUCGACAACAUGUACUCGCCUCAUUCGGAGGAGGAUUUUGGGCGCGGAAGGCCCUCACCCGCCGAGCUCCCACAGGGUUGUCACAUGUGCCCGUGAUGCUGCGGACCCACGCACUCACGGUCUCCUCGCUCACGUCUUCGGGAUGGGACCGAGUGGUAUCCGAAGGCCCCGUGUAAUGCCACAUUGCGUGGUCUCGGGCUUGGAGCGGCUGGAUGCCUCGACCCAGAAAAGUCUCCAACAGGUCCGUGCCGGUGACUCCCUUCCGGACGACGGCUAUCAGCGCGUCGAUCAAAGGCUGGAUCUGGGUUCUUUCUCCCUUAGAGAGCGCUAGCUUCCUAGGAGGGCCCGGACGGUCUAAACUGAAGGGUGGUAACCCACUCGAAGCAUUCGGGCAGGCAAUGUCCUGGCAAUAGAACAGGACGAUUGUCAGUUCCUAACCGACUCGGAUAGCUGAAGGGAGGGAUAACUACUUUUCGUUUUCUUCUGAAAUCCUAAACCCCCGCAGAGCUGGAGGAUGUGUGUCUUAUCAUCAUGCUGGCUAAGCUUCUUAACAGUUCGAGAUCUAGCGAAGAAAACAUAUUUGAAGAGCCCCUAGUGGGGAGGACAUCCUAUGAAGCACUCGCAGAGGGUGAUGAAUGCGGAAAGGUGAGCUAUCGCAUUCGGCGGAAAGUGAUGGAGCUGCGCCCUCAAGUAAUUCAUGAUACCUCGGAAGAAAGGAUGGGGAGGCAGGGAGAAACCUCUGGCCACGUGGCUGAGCAGCAGAACGCGCUCCCCCUCCUUCGGCGCCGGCUCCAUCUCACCUUCCGGCAACCUCCAAGAUUUGUUGACGACCAUGCCGUGCUCCACCAGCUCCAGCAUGUCGUUCUCCCUCACCGUGGAGGGGAGGAAGUCCCCCUGGAUCCAGCCCGCCGGCAACGCCCGCUAACGCCGCUGAGUGGAGGCCGCCCCCUUCUUCUUCUUCUUCGCCUCGAGCUUGCUGGUCUGCCCCUUCGUAAUGGCGAGGGCGACGGAUCCGUAGAGGAGGAGGGGAAGGAGGUGGCUUGAGGUGUGCAGGGAGUUGCGGGGGGANGGGGGGAGGGGGGAGAUCAAUGGGAGGAGGACGAGCAGGCAACAGGAAGGUCUGUCGGGAAGGCUUUAAUAGGCCUCCGACUGAGUCACCUACAGGUGGGCCCAAGAUCUUAUCCUCCCAACCGGCUGCUGCAAGAUUAGUGGAGAAGAUCGCGUCGUGGUAAUCGAGGAGGCGAAAUCUACUCGAUGGCGAUGUCGUCAUCCCCGGUGAGCGCGCGGCAACCGAAAUUUGAGGAUCUCGGAAAAUCCGGCGCUCUUAGUAUGACCGGUCACGUCGAAAGAUUCCGCGGAAGCAAACGGUCCCUCACGGUUCGUUUCGCUUGCAUAUUCACUCGGAUCACUUGCCGCAAAGCUAAAAUGGAUCGAGGCAGACAACGCAAAGAUCACCUCAAUACCAGUCGGUUCCAAACUCCGGACAUCACUUCAUCGUUCCAACCCCGAUCCAUUCGUGGACUAAUGAUGGGGUUAUAGUCCGAGGGUNNNNNNNNNNNNNNNNNNNNNNNNNNNNNNNNNNNNNNNNNNNNNNNNNNNNNNNNNNNNNNNNNNNNNNNNNNNNNNNNNNNNNNNNNNNNNNNNNNNNNNNNNNNNNNNNNNNNNNNNNNNNNNNNNNNNNNNNNNNNNNNNNNNNNNNNNNNNNNNNNNNNNNNNNNNNNNNNNNNNNNNNNNNNNNNNNNNNNNNNNUACCCUUCAUAGAGGGCAAGACCCUUAGACAGUUCCGACUGAACUAAGGACGCCCCAUCAUCCAGUCGGCGACGAUCCACUCGGAGCAUAUCUAACGUACCGACUGGAAUCCACUCUGUAACGUCGUAACCUCCGAGGAGGGCAACAUUCAUACGUUUUCAUACACCAUAACUAGCAUUUAAGGGUUACGUUACCAGUAACGCCGGUGUUUACUCGCCACUACUCCACCCCUGUCCACCGGACCAUUAUGAAGGGCAGUACACUCUAUAUAAGCCGCCCUUCACCACUGAUACAGGGGUUGGCACUUAAUGUAAUCCCUUUAUUCACUCGACACAAAGCUCCCACGAGCACUGAGACGUAGGGCUUUUACCUCCACCAUAGAGGGGCCUGAACUCAUACAUCCUCGCCGUAGCUAAGGCUGUGCCCAUAUACUUUCGUACCCCGUACUUCUACUGUCAGACUUAUACCCACGACACGUAUCUAAGGUUACCUUCAUAUUCAUUUAAAAAAAGGUUACCUUCAUAUUAAAAAUGAAUUAUUUCUAUUAGAAAUAAUUUGUAAAGUGCUUUGGUUAUUUUGUAGCCCAAAAUACUUUGAUACUCUGUCACAACAAGGAAAAUCUAGUCCCACCUUUUUUAGGAAAAUCUCAAAAAACCAAUCUUUGAUCAAUCAGGGACUCUCCUUAGAACUCGAUCGAUCAUGAUAUUGUCGUUUGGUGAUGGACUAUUGAUUACACAUAAGGGAACAUACCGUAAUAUCUUUUCCUAAUAAUAAAGUAGCUACUCCUUCUGUAGUCCGUUGUUGCUGUUUUGCAGAAAGGCCCCUGUAGUUUCCUUUAAUUAAACUGUAGUCCGUUUAUAAGUGAGACCGAAACGUUUUUUCCACAUUUUACACAAGACCCCCUUACUUUCAUGCUAAAUAACCCGCGGUCCAAGUUGUAGUCACAGUGAAUCGUUUUUUUUAAUUUUACGUAAACCCUUCAUAUAUGCGUUAAUUACCCCAAGUCCAUUUAGAAUAGAUAUGUAUUUCAAAUAACAGUAUCUUUUAAACCGUAAAUCCAAUUUAAACAUGUUAUAUAUUAAACUUGAUUAGAAAAAUGUGUAGAGUUCGAAUAUGUUGUUAUUUUACAUGUUAAAUAUUUUUAAAAUACUAUAUAGGAUACAAUGCUAAUCAAUAUUUGUCUUUAUUUCGUACCGAUUAUCUGUAUUGUAACAUCUAAACUUAAGCAUCAAUAUUUGUGAAAUGUUAUAAUCUUUGGGCAUGGUGUACUUGCACUAGGUUCUUUCUUUGUACAUAUUUUAUAAUCUACGAUCUUACAUACGUGCCUUUUUUUUACAAUAUUCACGUGCGUUUUGAUCAAUGGACUACACUUUUUUUUAGUGAAUAUACAAACAUUUUUUAUAGGUUAUACAUGCACUUAUAAAAUUGAUGAACAUCAAAAGUACAUGGAGGUUUAUUUUAAAAACAUCUGAACUAAUCAUCGGAUAGUAAUUGACUGUUAAUAGUGAAUUUUUUGUUUGAGGAUAAGAGUUGAAUUCAUAAGUACAAUCUUAAUUUGUUUUCAUCUAUUGUAUGUGAUGGAUAUACAUAUAGAUUUUUUUAAUAGACUUAAUUUAUAAACACGGCCUCCUCAAUAUCGAACAACAGCACGUCGAUGAUACCUGAGUGUGGUCAUAAGUGCACACCAUCAAUAAUCAAAAUUGGAUCAAAAUGAUACAUCUCAGGUAAGAAAUCUUACUAUCCAUUGUAACGCACGGUCGUUUUGCUAGUCAAAUAUAAAAGGACCAACUGCCUUCUUAGAUGAAUCAUCAGAUUUUUAUUCGUAAUUUUGCUCAUCUUUGAGGAUUACCAGGCGCCGUAAAAUUGCUCUGAAUGAAACAUUGAAGUUCACGCAAGAAAAGCUGCGCAUGGUGCACCUCCAGUUCAUCAUCAACCGAGUGCGUUCGCGCCUGGAAAGAUGGAAGAGCAAGCUCCUAAAUUUGGCCGGUCGUGGGGUGCUCGUGCAGUCAGUUCUCACUGCUCUGCCCACCUUUGCUCUCACGGUGCUCAAGGUGCCCAAGAAAAUUCUGAAAGAGGUGGACAAGGAUUUCCUAUAGGCUCAGGACUGGUGCUUGUUAGGUUGAUCUGUACCAUGUGGACCCAACGGGUCCACACGGCCCACCGGACUCCUAGUCCACAUAGGGCGCCCAACUUAUUAUGGUUGGUAGGCCCCUAUGAACCGUGCUAUACUAAUAGAGGUGGGGGUCGGGGCACGAAUGACGAAGUUCACCACCGUCACAAACCCCACCGACACUCCCCUCCGAUCUAGGAUUAGCGCGGUGCUCACGGAAAGCACCACCACCACCUCUUCAUCUCUCUGUCAUCACCACCGUCACCAUCUCACCAUGGCCAACGGCGGGAGCACCUCAAGUGCAGCAGAAGGUAAUACCUAUCACUAUUGUGGAGGACACAUAUCCGGCNN
rnacentral:lncRNA from 1 species